rnacentral:lncRNA from 1 species
UGAAGUCCGUGAAAUGAAGGAAAAAUUGAACAUAUUCUCAAGGCUCAAAUACCUCAAGCUCAAUAGGCUGCCAAGAUUGAAGAGCAUCUAUCAGCAUCCGCUACUCUUUCCCUCUCUUGAAAUCAUCAAGGUGUAUGAAUGCAAAGACUUAAGGAGCCUCCCGUUUGAUUCCAACACUUCAAAUAAAAGUCUGAAGAAAAUUAAAGGAGAGACAAGUUGGUGGAAUCAGUUGAAGUGGAACGAUGAAACUUGCAAGCACUCUUUUACUCCGUAUUUCCAAAUCCAUGAAGUUGAAGCAUAUUUAACAGACUCUGAGGAGUCUGAAAUUGGCAGCUUAGAUGAUGUUCAAGAACAACCAGUAUCAAAUUAAUUUCUAUCAAUCUUUCAGGUAUUAAUUAACUUUUAUGCUAUAUUUGGAAAAUCAUUUUCUUUCUUUAAUCCCAUUCUUUUGUGGAAAUUUUUACUUUAUCUAUGCCAAAGUGCAUCAAAGUCUCAACAACAUAAUAACUUUCAAUGUUUGAUCUAUCAAGUUUGCCCCUUUUGAAGUAACUGUUAGAAAGUUUGCCCAGAAGGGACUUUGAAGGAGGUCUUUUAUUUAAACAUCUAAUGACAUUUCCUUUUGGUUAUUUGAGAAGUUGAAAAUAUGCAGAGUUCUCAACUAUAUUACUUAUUUUGUCUUAAUUUUUUCGAUUCAUUUCAAUCUAUAAACAGAAAGAGAAUACCUAAUUUCAACUUAACUCCUUAUAUUUCAUGUUGAAACAACAGGUGUUGCACAACAAUUAUAGGUAAAGAUAUUCCAUUAAGAAUUCUCGCUUUGUUUAAUGCAUUUACCAGGACCAACUAUAGUAAUUUCUCUUCUUUUGUUCAGUUGCCUCUAUCUGGUUGACUCUCAGUUGUUUUUUCCUUUUUUUUUUUCUUUUCUUUUAUCUAUUUCAUUCAGAGUUGGGGCUUGUUCUAGAAGGUCUGUCAACAGCUGGGAUUCAAUAGGCUGUAUCUAGUGGAGCCUUGAGUUUUUUGGUUGGAUGCAUAAUAGGGUCUUGUUCUACCCGUUCUUACUCAGUUGGGAUCUGAGCUUCUUCGACUGCUUCUGUUUCGUCCUGCUCUUUUUCCUUCUAAUUGGUAUAGACGUGAGCUGGAUUAUGUUGGCUUGCUGGUCUGGGUUUCUGAUAUGCUUGGUGGUGGUGUGCUGAUUCUCAGAGCAUCGCUAUUCAUGGUGCUCAGUCUGCUGGGAAAGUUGCUUAAUGUCCAGAUGCCGGGGCUCUUCUCGGCAGGCUUUGGUUGGGAUCCAUGUGUUUGCUGGAAUUGGAUUCUGUGGGUUGCCUUUGGCUUUUGAUGUAGGCUGGGUUUGUUUUCUUUGUUGAGACUGGUGGAGUAUGGUGGCUCAGAAGCUGCUAGUAAUCUGUCUGUUGUAUGCUGAGGCUGGAAUCUUCAUGGUGGUUGCUCUGCUGGGUCUAUAUAAUAUGUGAAUGCUUUUGCCUUUUUGAGUCCUUGGGCGUCAGCUGGUUGCUUGUGUUUCCUCUGCGCUUUAGUUCAUAUACCAGAGUGCAUACUUCCUUGAGUUCCAUAUCCCACUGCCAAGUGUGUUGUCCAUGAUGUGUAAAGCAGUUAAUUUGUAUACCUGGCCUUCAGUUCCUCUCUAGAUAACUUUGAACUCUCUUUAUGAAUGAAAUGUUGUGAGAAAAACUGGAGUUGAUUUUCACAUUUGAGGUCGUUAAUGGUGAUUUUUCUUAAUGUAAUUGUGAUGGAAAAGAAAUUUGAUCAAGGAGUCGAAACCAUAAGCAGAGUCGAUCUCAUUCAACAUUGCAUUAUAAUUUGGUACCCCUCACAGAUCGCUCCAAAUAGCAUUGGAAAGUACUUUCAUUUUCCUUCAGUGGAGGCUUCUUUUUCUUUGCUGGUUAAUAUUCAUAGCUUCAGUGCUUGAUAAAAUUUCGUUACUUGACAUUGUUCACUCUUGUCCCUCCUGCUCUAAUCACAAACAAAUGCCCCAAUAAAUAAGAAUGAUUUGUUCAAGAAAUUUGAAAAUACUUGAACAAUAAAAGAAAAGAAUAGGAGAGAAAGGAAAAGAAAUUCAGAAAGCAAAUACUUGGUAGUUUCCAUUUCAAUUAACCGAUCUUUGAAACUAAAAUGUAAUUCUUGCAGUAGAAUAAAAGAAGACACGCAACAUCUUGAGAAGAUUCAUCUAAUGGAACAUACCAUGCUACAAUUGGCAACUGAGACUAAAUAGUAGUUUUUGGUAGAAUAGAUAUCGCAUGCCAAAAAGAAUGUCUUGUAGCUCUGACUACUUCAAAAUUCUUGUACGUAUAGCCCACAAAGCUUUCGAGAUCAUACUUGUUUAUUCAGGCCUGUUUGAACAUACGACCCUAGCGGAAGAUCUUACAACUUUAGGAGUUCAUAGUGUCCAUGAAAUCACAGGAAAAGAAAAGGAUAUAUAGUCAAGUUCAUGAAAAAUAAAGAGAUGGCUUAUUAAAGUUCACAAAUCUGGACAUCUAAAACACUUUAAUUGUGUUUGGUUGAGUCUCCAUUUAUUUGGCAAUUCCCAUCAAGUCUAAUGAUUGACCACCGAUGACUUGAAAAUCGAAGCAUUGGAUGUGCCGCAUGUAGUUGAUGUUGCAUUAUUGAGGGUGGUUAUAUUAUAAAUUAAAUAGACAUGAUAAGAGCAUGAGUUAUAGAUUACCCGAUCCUGACUUGUCUCAUUUAUAUUAAUCUAUUCUCAUUCCUAUCCUAACAAAAAAUUUUAAAUGAGGAUGGAUGGAUAUGAGAAUUUCUCAUCUUAUACCAUUUAUUUAUUUAUUUUAGUUUUUUAACAAUUAAAAAUAAAAAUAUUUUAUAAAUAAAUAAAAUUUAUAAAUUUUAUAACUUAUUUUAUUUAAAUAUAUAAUUAUUUCAUGUGUUCAAAAGAAGAAAAUGAAAAACAAUAAAUUAAAUUAAUUUUAAAUUUAAUUAUACGGCUUGGAAAGUAGUGGGUUAGUACAAGGCAUAUCUUGAACCCUGCCCCUAACCAACCCUAGUUUUAAAACAAAAAAAAAUGUUGAAUUUGUAUCUAAUCAAUUUAUUUUCAUUUAAACUUGUCUUCUUGAAGUAAGUAUUUGAAAAAACUAGUCUCAUUAUCAUCUUUAAUCAUAAUUUUUUUUAAUUUAAAUUUAGAUACCAACAAACAUUUAAAUUAAAUUAAAAAUUCUUAUGCAAACAAGGGCUUUUUAGUUGCAGAAAAAUUGUGUACCUUCUUUGACAUUCUAGAUCCAGUUAUUGCAUUUUUUGGAGGAUCCACAUGAGGAACAAUUUAAAUUUAUUCACAUAUACAAUUAUUCAAAAAGGCAUCAUACUGAACACAAGCAAAAUAACUACAAAUGUUAAUAGAAAUGGAUGGAAGCAUACAGGAAGAAUAUAAAAAAGGAUUUUGAAGCCAAAAAAAUAAAAAAAAAUCAAAAUAAAUAAAAGUAUAUGGUGGCUUAUUAUUGCUCAGGCCUAAUAAUUGAUUGUACAUGUCAAUGGGCCUAAUAUUAUUGCUCCGGCCUUUAUUCUAGAUGUCCAGGCCCUGUCAUUGCCUGAGUGUGAGGUCAUGGCUCGUUCUCUGUAUAGGUAGGUUCAUCCCUUGUCCAUUUGUAUACUUUUGAUCCAUGUGGUCAAGCCAACUUGGCUAUUGGGUACUUCAGGUGCGAUACCUUCUAUCUUACUUCUUACCCAAUUGAGUGAUUUAUCUUAGACGUCAUGGGGUCAUACACCUCUAAAACUUGAGUUGGUGUACUACUACCUUUCCCAGUGCUGAUCUCUCAGAUUCUUUCAUGGGCUUGAGUUCUAGCAUUAGCUUCCUGUUCUCCCCUACCCUGGUCCUAUAGUACUAUUUAUUUUUCAAACUUGGCCCUAGAUUUUUUUUAGUGUAAAAAGUACUAUUUUGUUGAAUUUAAAAAAACUAAUAGGGAACAUAACCUUUCAAUAAGCUUAAACCUCUAUCUCUCAAAACUUUCAAAAUCCUUCUUGAAAGUCUCUUUUGGCUAAAACAAAUAUUUGAGACUCGCAUUGUAUAUGCUUUAAUAAGGGCUUUGAGGGACUCGCUAAAGAUAUAGGUGACAAUUUUGAUAUGAUACUAACACGACUUGAAAAUGAUAUAAAUUUUAAUAGAUUCAGAUUAGGUAUAACAUAUUCAUGUUGUAAACAUAUCAACUCAUAUGACCCGUUUAAUAAAAAUGUACAAUUAUCCAACCCCAUAUAGCUUGUUUACUAAUUCAUGCCAAACAAACCAAUUUAUUUAAUCAUAUCAAAAUGAUGUUUAACUCAUAUAAAAUUAUUAAUAUUAUAUUUCAAAAUUAUAAAAAAAAAAAUACUUAUUAGUUAUAAAUAUGAUAUAGUUAAAAAAUGAAGUAACUAAGUAAAAUUUUAUACAUUUCAUUGUAAAUAUUAAAAUUAUUUUAUCAUUAGAACAUUAGAUAGAAUUAUAAACAAGCGUAAAAUUCAAAUUUUAAUGUAUUUUUAUGUUAUAAACAUUUUCUAAUUUAAAUUUUAUAAUUAAAUUAGUUAAAAUUUAAAAAAUUAAAAUGCAUUUCGAAUAAUACAUUUAUAAAUUUUAAAUAGGUUAAACAUGCUAAAAUUGUAUUAACAUGUUAAACGAGUUAAAAUGGGCUAACCAUGUUAGAAUUGUAUUAGUAUGUUACACAAGUUCAAAUUGUGAUAACAUAUUAAACGGAUUAGAAUCAUGUUAAUGGGUUCAACGGCUAUUAAUAUGUUUCUUAUGUUAGAAUUGUAAUAAUAAGUUAUCUAUGUCAAUUUAUACAAAGGUUAACUUAACCCGUCUAUUAAAUCAGUUUUGUUUGAAUUAGGUCAUUUUAACACAAUUCUUAAAUAAACUGUAUUCCUAUUGAGUAAAUUUUCACUAUUUUUUAUCUUAACAUUAUACAAAUCCAACACGUACGAUAUCACUUAUUGUCACCCCUAACUAAGGAGCAUAUGAGUGUUGCAUUGAGGAACCAGAAGAAGAGUGUAAAUACUAUUUAUAAAAAACUUUAGGAAGUGGAAGCAUUCUAUCAAGUAAAGUUGUGUUAACUUUUUUUCAUAGUUAGUGGAUUAUUCAAUGGUCAAGAGACCAACUAUGGUUUUUUACGCCUAAGGAUUUCUAGGUAGGUUCCACAUUAAAUUCUAUAUCUAAUUGUAUAAUUAGAAAUAUCGUGCAUGAGAUUGAUAACAUAUUAAUCAUAAUUGAAUCAUAAUAAAAUAAUUUAACUUUGGGGUUAAUUAAUUGAACUACGUAUGUAUGGAUAUUUUAUAUUUUUUAACUUUAAAUUAAUUAUUAUGUUGGGAAAUGGAAUAAGGGAAUAGUUGGCUCCAUUUUCAAUCUUGGUAACAUAAUUUGUUGUUGACAUGUUAUUUUAUCUUAUUUUAUAUAUUUUGUAGGAUAAAAAUAUAUAAUCAAGUGCUCUUGCAUGAUUGAUUUAGAUGUUAGAAAAGGUUACAAAACAUUAAUUCUAUUUGACUGAUGACAAAAACUUUUAAUUGCCAACAAUUUUUUUUUUUAUAAACUUUAAGUUGCUAGCAUUCAUAUGUUAUCCUAAAGUUAUUAAUUAUAAUUUUAUCUAAGUUGAACCACAAUUUUUGGGUAAAUGAAGAAGUAUUUAUUGACAAGAUACUUGUUUAUAUUGGAAGUUUUUAGUUUGAUUUGUUGUUGAAUUCAAAUUCUUAGUAGCUAGCUUUGAAUACUAUCUAGUUGCAUUGGUUUUUGUUGUAAGUUCGGUUUUUAUAUUGUUUCCAGACAUGAUGUUUAUUAAUUGAGAAUGCUAAUGAUUCGAGGUUGGAAUCGAUCACUCCUUACUAAACUUAUUCUUUUAGGCUAUGUUUAGUUGGCCGAAUAUAAUAUAUAAUAGAAUAAGAGAAAUGAUAUUAUAUCAUAUUCCAUCUUUAGUUGAUGAUGAGAUAUGAUAAAUUAUUUCAUUGCUUAUUAUAUACUAUGUUUAACUAAAUAUGAGAUAUGAUAAGUGAUGAGAUAUAUUACCCACCUUUUUUAUUUUUAUUUUUAUCUCUUAUACAUGAAAUAUGUUAAUCUCAUGCUAAGAUAUAAGAAAUGCAUAUUUCAUAUAUCAUAAAUUUAUUUUUUAUCAAUUUUUUUAUAUAUUUAUUUUGUAAAAUAAUUUUUUUAUUAUAAAAUUAAAUUUAUAGUUAAAAAAGAAAAACUAAAAAAAUAUUUAUAAAUAACAUUAAUAUAUGAUAUAUAGAUUACUUUUAUGUAUUAAAUAACAUAACAUAAACAUUUUUUAUUUGUAAAAUUUAAAUAUUUUAAUCAUGACUAAUUUUAAACAUAAAAGAAAUUUCAUUUUUUUAAAUGGAAAAUAUUAGAAUGUGAUAUAAUUUUUAUUUUAAACAUUGAAAAUAAUAUAUAUAUAUAUAUAUAUAUAUAUAUAUAUAUAUAUAUAUAUAUAUAUAUAUAUAUAUAUAUAUAUAUAUCAUAUUAUUUUUAUUCAUUUCAUAAAUUAAAUAUAAAUAUAAUAUAAUAUAUCUAAUUAGAUAUGUCACAUUAGAAUAUCAUAUUCAUAUGAUAUAUAUAUUUAAGAAUAUCAUAUCCUAUUAGAAAUUAUAUUUUUAGGAUAUCAUUCUUUUUACCACAAGAGAGCAACAAUUGCUUUUAAUCGGUAAAAUUUGUAUGUGUACUAAAGUUGCACUGCCUAAUGUAAAGUGUUGGCUCCGCCACUGUGUUGCACCUCAAGCCACCACCAAGUCUCCACAUGAUGCUCUUGUAAGCCUUGAUUAUCACAUUACCUUGGUCAAUAGGCACUUAUGGGUACAAGGUGCAACCCCAUGAGACCUUAGUGCCACAUUCUCCAAGUCAAGGUGUUAAUACUCUUCUAUGCUCACAAACUUAAUUUGGUCACCAUUUAUUAACUUAUAAGUCUCUAUAACCAUAAAUAAAAUUUUAAACAUACUAUUAGAACAAGACUCUAUAUUUUGGGUUUUGAUAUCCAAUAAGAUAUGAUAUUUUAAGAAAUACAUAUUUUAUUAAAUUCUAUCCCGUCAAUGAAAUAUAACCUUAAAUGUAUUCUCAUUUUUGUUUCGCAUCUUUAUCCGAAAUCCAGGAAUUUACUUUUUUUUGUUUUAAGGUAAUUCAUUUUUAAUUUUAUUUUAUGUGUAUUAAAAAAAUAAAAGAAAAAAUAAGGAGUGACAUCAAUCAUUAUAAAGCCUGAAUCAAUCCCAAACAUACAUAAGAAGACGAUUUAAGUCUUAAAAUAAAAUCCCAAACCUACUUCUGAUUAGACUACGCGUUUUGAUGACAUUUCACUUGAAAAUAAUGCAGAGUUUUCACUUAUAUUAUAUACUGUCUGAAUUUUAUUUUUGAUUCAUUUCGAUCUAUAAACAGAAACGGAAUUCCCAGUUUUGAAGUAUCAACUUCAUUCCAACUUAUAUUUCAAGUUAAAUAAUAGAUGUUCCAUUCAGAAUUCUUGCAUUGUAUGAUGUGUAAUUCUCUUGUUCAGUUGGCUCUGAUCAGUUUUUCCUUUUGUCCUUUUAUUGCAUUUAGAGUUGGGGCUUGUUCUAGCAGUUCUGGCAACAGCCGGGUUGAUCUUCUUCAUAUAGAUUGGGGUGCUUCUGUUUUUGCUGAUUGGAGAUGUGCUGCUCUUUCUCCUUGUACUUGGUAUUCGGGUGAGAGGUGGAUUAUGUUUGCUUGCUUGCUGGUCUGAGUUUCUGAUAUGUUUUGUCACGGUGGCAUGAGUGCUGAUUCUCAGAGCAUUGAUAUUUUCAUGGUGCUGAGACUGCUGGGAAGGUUGCAGCAUCCUUUUCGUUUCUGGCUGGAAUUGGAUUCUCUGUGUUGGCUUUGCUCUCUGGUUUCUUCACCUAAUUCAACAGAGCCACAUGCUUUGGUCCAUAUACCAGACUGCUGCAUACUUCCUUGGGUUUGAUAUCCCACUGCCAAGGGUGUUGUCCAUAAUGUUAUGUUAUGUUAUGUAAACAAGUUUCAACUUUCACCCAUUGUGGAUUGAAAUGUUUAAUUUGGGAGAAAAACUGGUUGAUUUUAACAUUUGAGGUUGUUAAUGGUGAUUUUUCUUAUAAUGACUGACUGAAAAGAAUGUUGAUGAACAAGGUGGAAGUAUAAGCAGGGUUCUGAGGACUCAAAUAAAAGGGAAAACUUGGGUUCACUUCUGCAAUGGUUUUGGCACUUGGCACUAACUGAUGAAUGGAAAAGAGGUUCAGGGAUGAUGAAGUGAUCUUAUUCAACGUUGCAUUCUAAUUCCUCUCAUUUUCAUAUCUAUUUUCUACCAUGCUAUAUUCAAUAUCCAUUCUGUGAGUUGAAUGACCCAUGUUUUUAUUUUUCUAAGAAAUUCUCUAUCAUUUCAUCAUAACAUCCAGAGGAAACAUAGACAAGAAUUUCUCAUUUUUCAUUCGGGAGCAUUUAGAUCUUCCAACACCAACCUCACUGAACAUGACCGCAAAAUUCCUUCGAUUUUGGACUUAAAAUUAUGUUAGUACCCAUUGGACAAUCCAUUAGGUCACAGUUUGACCUAACUUGAUUCUUUCUUACCCAUGUCUUUUCCUUUGAAUUUUGGGGUGCCCUAUAAUUCAAGUCAAUGAAUUUGGACAAAUCAAAUCAAUUUUUUUCCCAAUUGAUGCCAAGGAAUAUCCAUAUGAUUCAAACAAUAUUUACAUUGUUUGUUUGAAUUUUGCCUAAAGUAUUCAUGAUUGUGUCCAAACAAAAUGCUUAUUAAUGACAUUAGUAAUGACACAAGUGCGUGUGUAGACCCCCAUAUGGGGCUUGGUUUUCAUGCAGCCUGUUUUGCCAAGUGUCACAAUUCCAUAAGGCCAUGUGUUGAUUUCUAGUUGGCUGCUGGGAAUCAGAGUAGUGGAAUUGGAGGACCAAUGAGAGGUCGACACGUGGCAAGAAGAUUCCAAGGAAUCUGCAGAAGCCGUUAUGGAGGAGCGUUUCUGGCAGCUGGAGAGGAGGGUGCUUUUCAGAGUUGGUUAGGAUAUACAAUCAGAGAGGCUGCAAAAAGAAAGGGAGGAAAAAUCAGACAGGAGAGUUGCAGAGAGGGAGUUUUGGAGAGCUUAGAGAGAGACAUUUCUUGGGGAGCAAGCUGGAUAUUCAGAGACUGGAGAGAAAAACGAAAGGAAAAAUCAGAAGAGAGAGGUACCUGGGCUGCUGAAGGGAUUGCCAAGGGAGUCCAGAGGGAGUUUCCAUUAGAGAGGGAGUUGAGAGCUGUUAUCGAGAUAACAGAGGAGGGUUUUUGACCAAGGGUAGAGGAAGCUGCCAGCUGCAAGAGAGAGUGAUUGCUGUUAGAGAGAGAAAGGUUCAUCUUUCUGAGGCUGGUUCCAGGAAGGAUUUGGGCAGGGAGGAGCGGAUUCCGUUAGGGGGAGCAAGCUGUGUAGAGGAGAGCUGGAGAGAGAAAAACAGAGCAUGUUUCGGGAGAGAGAGGACAGAGCAUUUUUUUAGAGUGAAACCAGAGAGAGAAACCAGAGGAGUGGGGAGGUGUUUGUGGAGAGGUAUGGGAGGAUUUGCAGGGGGCAGGCUGGUGACAGAGGGGAGAGCUUGAAGGUGAAGUUUCGUUGAAGGGGAGGCAAACUAGCAGGAGAGGAGGUUUUUCUGGAGUUUUGAGAGGAAGACAGGCGCAGAAAGGCGCAGAGGAGUCAUUUUGGAAGAAGACGUUUUAGCGCGUUACGGCUCGUGGCCCAGGUACGCACUCUCUAUACCUAUUCUGUUUUUUAUAAGUGCAAGAUUGAUUUGAGUAUCCAUUGUUUUUCCCAUUGAUUGUCAUGUCAGCUUCAUUUUAUUAGUAGAGACCCGACUUUAGGGAUUUAGAGGGGUGCUACGGUCUUUACCGUACCUUCCCGAUAAGUAACCUGACCCCCGAACCCGAUCCGGUUUUUCACAGACCGCCUUUUCCAAAAUAAGGAGUCACACUUAGGGUUUUUCUUUCUUAUUUUGUUUACCUUUUAAAAAUAAAACAAAAAUAAGUGGCGACUCCAAAUCAUUUUCAAAUAAUCAAUAAAAAUCAAUUUUUCAAAUAAAAAUCAAGCUCGACAUCGAGUGGGAAACGCAUCGAGCAAUCGAAAUGCGGGGUCCACAGCGUGGUUUUGACAUUUUCAAUAUUUGCAUUCCCAUUACUAAUUUUUGUUUCCCCAUUUUUUUUUUUUUCAUUUUUUGUUUGUUUUGGACUGGUGCUUCCUUCCUCAUUCAUUCUACUUUCGUUUUUUGAAAAACAUUUGUCUCUUUUGCACACAUCCUAAAAAGCCCAAAAGCAUUUUUUUUAACUUAAGCUUUUUUUUCAAUUUAUCUUAAAAUGAAAAUAAAAAAUACAAUUUUCUUAUUGAAGUGUUAUUUUGAUUUAUAGAUAAAGUUAUUUCAUAUUUUAUAAAUCUUUUACUCUAUUUAUUUUGUUCUUUGCAAAUUAUAAUUUGGCUCACUUCAACUUUGAAACAAAAUCAGAAUAAAAAAAAUUAUAGCAAAUUAUGUUUUAAUCUGCUUUCCAAGUGGAAAAUACAAAUAAUGCAACCCGUAUCUGCAUAAAAUUAGUGCAUGUAACAUUACUUUUCAAUGGACUUGAAAAAAUAUUUUAAAACCAACAACUCCAAAAGUCAAUGGUCUCAAUAAUCUAGUGUAAUAGGUUUCCAAAAGAUGAAGGGUGUGAAGAUCCCUAAAAUGUUUUUGAGUGUAAGUGUUUCCAAAAGAUAUAAGCAAGUACGAAUUUCUUUAAAAUGUUUUUCAAUUGUUUUUUUACAUGGUUAUUUAAGUUGCUUAAUAAUAAAUCGUUUUCUAAUUUCUGUAUGAAUUAAAUAUUAUUAUUUUUCUAAAAUAAGAAGUAUGUUUAAUAAUUAAUUUAUCUAAGUAAUAAUAAUGACCAACAACCUUUUAGACCUAGUCUUUCAAUCGACUGAUUUAUUUUCUAGGUAUAAAUUAUCGGGAAGUAAAAUACAUGUAUUGAUGGAUUAAUUAAAGGGAGAGUUAAACCUUCUAAGACACUACCCAUCUCACUUGAGAAUGGAAAAUUGAAUGGCUACAAAUACAUCCUUAUUUCCCUCUUUCCACAAAAAUGGUCUUCCAUAUCCUCUUAUCAAUUUCACUUCAAUUAUCCUUAAAAAAAUCACUUCACAACUUCAAAGAUUUGUUAGUAAAAUUAUAAAAGUACUAACAUGUCACUUGAGUAAAAAAGACAUGAUUAAUAUCCAAAAAAUGAAACAUAUACCAUAUUUAUCAUCUAAAUUAUGUACUUCUUAAAUAGUAAUUACAUGUUACAUAAGAUAGAAUCAUGUUAACAUAUUAAACGGAUUAGAAUCAUGCUAUCUGGUUUAACGAAUGUUAAUAGGUAUAAUAGGUUAGAAUCGAAUUAACGGGGGUUACCUAUGUUAAUUCAUAUAAAGGUCAACUUAACCUAUUUAUUAAAUUAGUUAUGUUUAUAUCAAGUUAUUUUAACAUGAUGUUUAAACAAAUCAUAUUCCAUUUGAGUAAAUUUUCACUAGUUUUUAUCUUGACGCAAUACAAAUCCAACAUAAUAUGACCCAUUAUCACCCUAAUUAAGGAGCAUACGAGUGUUGCAUUAAGGAAGUGGAAGAAGAGCAUAGAUACUAAUGAUAUCAAAUUUUAGGGAGUGGAAGCAUUUAAUCAAGUAAAGUUGUGUAACUUUUUUUUCAUAAGUAGUGAAUUAUUCAAUUGUCAAGAGACCAACCAUAGUUUUUUUUACACCUAGGGAUUUCUAGGUGGUUUCCACAUUAAAUUCUAUGUCGAAUUGUGUAAUUGGAAAUCUCAUGCAUGAGAUUGAUAAGAUAUUGAUGAUAAUUGAGUUGGAAUAAAAUAAUUUAACUUUGAGGGGUUAAUUGCUUGGACUACCUAUUUACCCCUCCCGUAAGAAGUUCCAUAUCAACAAAAAAGUUCUUUCAAUAUGUAUAUAGAUAUUUUAUAUUUUCUAAUUUUAAAUUUAUUUUUAUAUUGGGAAAUUGAAUAAUUGAAUGGGGAAAUAGUUGGUUCAAUUUUCAAGCUUGGAAACAAAAUUUGUUGUUAACAUGUUAUUUUACCUUAUUUUAUACAUUUUUUUUUGAAUACAAAUAUAUAAUCAAGUGCUCUUGUAUGAUUGAUUUAGAUGUUAGCAAAGGUUACAAUCAUUAAUUCUAUUAAUUGACCAACAAUUUUUUAUAAACUUUAAGUUGCUAGCAUUCAUAUAUCAUCCUAAAAUUAUUAAUUAUAAUUUUAUUUAAGUUGAACCACAAAUCUUGGGUAAAUGAAGAAGAAUUUGUUAACAAGAUACUUGUUUAUAUCGGAAGUUUUUAGUUUGAUUUGUUGUUGUUGAAUUCAAAUUCCUAGAAGCUAGCUUUGAGGACUAGCUAGUUGCCUUGGUUUUUGUUAUAUGUUUGAUUUUUAUAUUGUUUUCAGACAUGAUGUGUAAAAUGGAUUAAUGGUAAUGAUGUUGAAACAUGGCUAAUACUAUUAGACCAAUGUUGAAGAGAGUGCCUUUGCUGAGCUGCAUCUGGAGCAAGCUCCAUGACAAGCUCCAUUUACUCCGAAGUAUUGCUUCACAACCUCUCUUUGUGUAUUAUAAAGUUGUGAGUAGAAUUAUUAAAGUUGUUUAAACAAGUGGCAAUCUUGAUAUGCCAGAAUGACACCAUUAGAAAAUUAUAUAAAUUUUAGUAGGUUCAGGUAAGUUGUAAUUAUAUCAGAGUAAUAAUCUUGUCAACUUGCAUAACUCAUUUAAAUGAUUUAAAUAUAUUUAUGAGUGGCAUUUGCAUUGCCUAAUUAUAGUUCUUAUUAGAGAAUGAGUUACUAUCAAUUUUAUGGAAUGAAACUAUAAUUAGUCGGUAUUACUUCAAAGUGAAAUCUUACUCAUAAAAUUUUUCAAUUAAAUUCAAAAGUUAAAAUUAUAAAGUAGAGAAUUAAAAGAACCAUUGAGCAUAGUUUAAAAUUUGAAUAUUAUACGUUUAUUAUUGUAAUGCAAGCCCAAUAUUUAUUAUUUAUUAUUAAAAAUAUAAUUUUAUAUCUAAUUUUUAUAUUUAAGAUAAUUUAGCACAUUUGAACAAUGCUUUGAGAAUAAGAUUGAAGCAUCUAAUUUGACUAAUUGGAUACAAAUCAAACUAAUCCAGUCUUAUUUUUCGUAUUUAUCCACCUUCAAUUAUAAGAUAAACAUAAACAAAAGUCUUUAUAUGAUUAUAACAAUAUAAACACUAAAAUAAUGAGUUUAACAUUAAAUAACAAAAAAUUUAUUUCAAUCUUUGACAUAUUGUUAUAUAAGUUAUAUAUAUGUUAGUAAAAUAAGAAAUAUUAAUAUAUUUAAAAUAUUAAUUAAUAAAAUCACAAUUUUUUGUUAUUGUUAAUAUUUAAUUAAUAAAUUCUAAUUAAAUCUAAAAUAAAAACUUUACACAAAUUAGUAUAAAACCAAAUAUGAUCGCCAUAUUUGUAUUUUAAAUGAGAAACAAAUGUUAAAAGAUAUAAAAAAGAAAAAAAACUCAUUGUCUAGUAUUUUAAUUAUUUAUAUAAUUUUAACUUCUUGUAUUAUUUUAAAUUUUAAUAAUAUAUGAAUUAUAUAUGCAUAUUGCCAUGCUGAUAUCAUGUUUCAAUUACUUGAAUCACCAGUUCAAUUAAGAAACUCUAAUGCAAUAAUUUUUCAAUUCAAUAACUAAUUAAUAAGAUUUUCAAAAUAUUGUAUUUAAAAACUCGUCACAAAAAAUGAAUAUAAAAGAUCAUGAAAUUCUUGCAAAGAAAACUAACCUCAUGAAAAUAUAGAAACCCCAAACCUUAAUUUUUUCAAUAAUACUAAUCAAAGUUCUUCUUGUGUUUAGGCAUAUUAGGAGAGAACCAAUAAUCUCAUCCGCAAAUCAAGCAUAGUCAAUAGUCAAUUCUUAUGUUUAGGAGUAAUAUAUAUAUAUAUAGAAAGUCAUUUAUAUAUUUAAAUGUUGUAAUGUAUAUCUUGAAACUCAAUAAGAAAGGGCUUCUUUUCUUUCCUAGUUCUUAUAGUUUAUAGAUUACCUCGGCAAAAAGGAAAAUGAGAGCUAGAGCUUGAAUCAAACAGUCCAAUCGCAAUCAUUCCUAUUAUUGUCUGACGCACUCCUGCUUUGAACCUUAACGUAUUGAUAAAAAAUCCCUUUCUCAUUUUAGACUAGGGCUUCUCUCUAUAAAUAAGGGAAUUUCUCCGCUUCAGAUGAUGUCUCAUUGGGCCCUUCGAAUGCAUUGUUUUCAUGGUCGGUAGGAGAGAGCCUUCUAUACUUUUGGUCAUUCAUUCAUUCAUCCAUUCAUCUUAUACUCUUGUUAAGAAAAGUGACUUCAUGAAAAUAUAUAUGGAAACCUCAAACCUUAACUUCUUCAAUAAUGCCUAUUAAAAUUUUUGCAAUUGAAGGUUGUGUAAUCGAGGAUGAUAAUGAUGCAAGGUUUAGAACUAGUCACUUCUAACCAAACUUAUUCUUAUACGUAUUCCCCUCUUCAUCUCAAGUCUGGGAGUUUACUUUUCUAUUUUAAGAAAAUUAAUCAUUAUUUUUAUUUUACAUGUAUUGAAAAAGGCAAAAAAAAAAAAAUUAAGAUUGAGCGAUAUGAAUCUCCGUAAAACCAGAAUCAAUCACAACAUAUAUGUGAGAAGAAAAUUUAAAAGUGUGUUUGACAAUAUUUCAUUUUGAAGUGUUUUUAAUUUUAAUGAAAAUAUUUUUUUUAAAAGUGAUUUUGAGAGAAUCAUCUAUUAAAUGUUUUUUUAAAAAGCACCAUAAAUAAUUUUUUAUUUGUUUAAAACUAUUUAAUAAAUUUGAUUAAAUACUUGAUUUUUCUUCAAAAAUAUUUUUUAAAGCUAGAAGUUCUUUUUGAAAAACAACAUCAAAUGGACGUAAGUCUUAAAAUAAAAUCCCAAAUCUACCAUUGAUUUAAUUAUACUUUUCAAAUCCAUCCUAUGGGCCUAGGCAACCUUGAAAUACCCAUCCCUAUUAUAAUACAAAAGCAAACCACCACUAAGGAUAUUUAAACAACAUUUUAAAGACAAUCGAAACCUAUCAAUGAGUCUUUGUCUUAUAAUACAAAUUUCGUUAUGUUCACAUGUAGAAAGGGACAAGUAAUACAUAAAAACUAAAAAUCAUAUACAAUAGAAAGCUUGGAAUCAAGAGGGAAGAGAGUAGAAAGUUACGAAGUGGUGGAGCCUUGGGUAAAAUAAAAUUAACAAUGGCAUUAUCAUGUGCGUGUCUCAUCGCUUGAUGGGUUAUAACUAGAGCCCACUUGAUGCUUAGAAAAAUAUAUUUGCAGGUGGUCUCCAUCUGUCAAUUGAUUAAUCUAUACAAUAUUAAAAAUCCACUUGAUGUUAAUUUAGGAAAAUUAUUUUAUUUUGUUGGUGAUGGCCUGUCUCCCAUCUUCUUCAAGUUUCAACUCUGGACUUCUCAAAUUUGCAAAGUGCAGUGCAGUGAUUCAUCUUUCUUAUUUGUUCCAUCUUUGGCCGAAUUCUAGUCAUUUUUUCUGUUACUUCCGGAAAGCAAUCUUGGGUCUUGUCCCAUCAAAAAUCAAAGCAACCAGCUACUAGGCAUUUGAAUUCAAGAACAACAAAUCAAACUAAAAAACUUUAUGUACAAAUAAGUAUCUUAUUAACAAAUACUUCUUCGUUUAUCGACGAUUUGUGGUUCAACUUAAAUAAAAUUAUUAUUAAUAAUUUUAAGAUAAUAUAUGAAUGCUAGAAUUGUUGGUCAAUUAAUAUAAUUAAUGUGUGAUGAGGUAUAGCACUAUAAAAAUAACUAAAAGAAUAAUCAAAUUUACCCCAUUUCAAUUGGGAAGAGCAAAAUAAACUUUAUUUCACAUUAGAAGACAUUUUGCAAAAAAGUUCAAUAUUUACUAAUAACAAAAUAUAAAAGUCAAUAUAGUUGAGAAACAAGGAAAUUUAAGGAUUUUAGUGUUAAAUCCUUUAUAUGAUGAUAAGAUAUUCUUAGAAAAAGCAAAAUGUAAUAGCAUCUCCUUUAUUUAUUUAUUUUCUUUCAAAAAAAUGUUAUAAAUUGUACAAGUUAUAUGAAUAAUUCAAAUUUUGGCAAUAAAAAUACAAUUCAAUGCCACCGUGACCAAUCAGAAUUGUUUAAAAAAUAAUGUAAAGCAUAAUGUAGUGGUGAUGAAUGCAAGCAUAAAACCAUUGUGGAGCCAAGAUUCAAGGGGCAUCAAUGGAGGAAAAAUAUUAAAGAAAUGGAGGAGGGUGUAUGCAUAGAAUUAUCAUGGACACAGUGCGGGGGGCCCAUCUCUUUCCUAAAAGGAAGACAGAAUAAUUAAGCGACCCAGCUUCUCUUAUGAUGGGAUAUUGCAUCAGGUUAACUUCACCCCAGUCUCAGUCUCUUUGAAUUACCAAACCCUAGUCUCUUCUCUCUUUACUGCUAAUCCUCAUCUCUUUUCCUCUUUCUGUGCUCUCCGGAAACUUUUGUAGAUGGUGGCAUAGCUGCCUAUACUGAAGUUUUAACUCCGGAGUUUUUGAUUGAUAAGGGCAGUGAUUCAUCUGCUCCCUGUAUUGCAAACUAUCCCCUCUUUCUUCUAUCUUUGGCUCAACUUCAGUCCUUUUUUCCUUUGAUUUCCCGAAAGCUAUGGAGUUCCUGAGCUCAAUCGUGGGUCUGAUCCCCUGCUUCUAUGAUCACACCUCCAAGCAUACGGUCUACAUUCGUGAUCUAAACAAAAAUCUCCAAGCCUUGAGGAAGGAAAUGGCGAAGCUCAACAACUUGUAUGAAGAUGUGAAGGCAAAGGUUGAACGUGCAGAGGAACGACAGAUGAUGCGCACAAAGGAAGUGGGUGGCUGGAUCUGUGAAGUAGAAGUCACAGUGACAGAAGUUAAAGAAACUCUGCAAAAGGGCGAUCAAGAAAUCCGGAAGAGAUGUCUCGGAUGCUGUCCCAGGAAUUGUUGGUCUAGCUACAAGAUUGGAAAGGCAGUAAGCGAAAAGCUGGUUGCUGUAUCUGGUCAAAUCGGCAACGGACAUUUCGAUGUUGUAGCCGAGAUGUUGCCUCGUCCUCCAGUUGAUGAUCUGCCCAUGGAGGCGACUGUGGGCCCACAAUUGGCGUAUGAAAAGAGCUGUAGGUUUCUCAAAGAUCCACAAGUGGGAAUUAUGGGAUUGUAUGGAAAGGGGGGUGUUGGCAAAACCACCCUCUUGAAGAAAAUCAACAAUGAAUUCCUUGCAACAUCCAAUGACUUUGAGGUUGUGAUUUGGGCUGUGGUGUCAAAAUCGCCCGACAUUGAAAAAAUUCAGCAAGUUAUUUGGAAUAAAUUGGAAAUCCCACGUGAUAAAUGGGAAACUAGAAGCAGUAGGGAGGAGAAGGCUGCAGAAAUUUUGAGAGUUUUGAAAAGAAAAAGGUUCAUCUUGUUGUUGGAUGACAUUUGGGAGGGACUUGAUCUCCUAGAAAUGGGGGUCCCGCGUCCAGAUACUGAAAAUCAGUCCAAGAUAGUUUUGACGACCCGAUCACAGGAUGUCUGCCACCAAAUGAAAGCUCAGAAGAGUAUAGAAGUGGAAUGUUUGGAGUCAGAAGAUGCCUGGACUUUGUUCCGGAAGGAGGUAGGAGAAGAAAUAUUAAAUUCUCAUCCGGAUAUACCGAUGCUUGCAAAGGUUGUUGCUGAAGAGUGCAGAGGUUUACCUCUCGCUCUUGUCACUCUUGGGCGGGCCAUGGCAGCUGAGAAAGAUCCCUCAAACUGGGACAAGGCAAUACAAAAUCUACGCAAAUCUCCAGCUGAAAUCACAGGUAUGGAAGAUAAAUUGUUUCAUCGAUUGAAACUCAGUUAUGAUAGGUUGCCUGACAAUGCCAGCAAAUCUUGUUUUAUAUAUCAUUCCAUGUUCCGAGAGGACUUGGAGGUUUAUAAUUAUCAACUUGUAGACCUUUGGAUAGGGGAGGGGUUCUUAGGUGAAGUUCAUGACAUACAUGAAGCACGUGAUCAAGGGAGGAAAAUUAUUAAAACUUUAAAGCAUGCAUGUUUACUGGAGGGUUGUGGUUCAAGAGAAAGAAGGGUUAAGAUACAUGAUGUGAUCCGCGACAUGGCCUUAUGGUUAUACGGUGAACAUGGGGUGAAAAAGAACAAAAUUCUAGUAUACAAUAAAGUUGCUAGGCUUGAUGAAGUUCAAGAAACUUCCAAGUUGAAAGAAACAGAGAGGAUAUCAUUGUGGGAUAUGAACUUUGAGAAAUUCUCUGAAACAUUGGUGUGUCCCAAUAUCCAGACUUUAUUUGUGCAAAAAUGUUGUAAUUUGAAGAAAUUUCCAAGUAGAUUCUUUCAAUUCAUGCUUCUACUAAGAGUUCUGGAUUUAUCAGACAAUUAUAAUUUAAGCGAGUUGCCUUCUGAGAUUGGUAAAUUGGGUGCCUUGAGAUAUCUUAAUUUGUCAUUCACAAGAAUAAGGGAGUUACCCAUUGAACUAAAGAAUUUGAAAAAUCUGAUGAUUUUGCUUAUGGAUGGUAUGAAAUCCCUUGAAAUUAUUCCACAAGAUGUGAUAUCAAGCCUUAUAUCCUUGAAGUUGUUCUCCAUGGACGAAUCCAAUAUCACAAGUGGAGUUGAAGAAACCUUACUGGAGGAGUUGGAGUCCUUGAAUGAUAUCAGUGAGAUAUCAACCACCAUAUCCAAUGCUCUUUCAUUCAACAAACAAAAGAGUAGUCACAAAUUACAAAGGUGCAUAAGUCAUCUACAUUUACAUAAAUGGGGGGAUGUGAUCUCACUUGAACUAUCAUCUUCAUUUUUUAAAAGAGUGGAGCAUUUGCAGGGGCUUGGAAUAAGCCAUUGCAAUAAGUUGGAAGAUGUAAAAAUUGAUGUGGAAAGAGAAGGCACAAACAAUGAUAUGAUUCUUCCAAACAAAAUUGUAGCAAGGGAAAAAUACUUCCACACCCUUGUUAGGGCAGGUAUAAGAUGUUGUUCAAAAUUGUUAGACUUAACAUGGCUUGUUUAUGCUCCAUAUCUUGAAGGACUUAUCGUUGAAGAUUGUGAAUCAAUAGAAGAAGUGAUACAUGAUGAUAGUGAAGUCUGUGAAAUUAAGGAAAAAUUGGACAUAUUCUCAAGGCUCAAAUACCUCAAGCUUAAUGGGCUGCCAAGAUUGAAGAGCAUCUACCAACAUCCACUACUCUUUCCCUCUCUUGAAAUCAUCAAGGUGUGUGAAUGCAAAGGUUUGAGGAGCCUCCCAUUUGAUUCCAACACUUCAAGUAAAAGUCUAAAGAAAAUUAAAGGAGAGACAAGUUGGUGGAAUCAGUUGAAGUGGGAAGAUGAAACUAUCAAGCACUCUUUUACUCCGUAUUUCCAAAUCUGUGAAGCUGAAGCAUAUUCAACAGACACUGAGGAGUCUGAAAUUGGCAGCAUAGAUGAUAUGAAGGAACAACUAGUAUCAAAUUAACUUCUAUCAAUCUUUCAGGUAUUAAUUAACUUUUAUACUAUAUUUGGAAAAUCAUUUUCUUUCCUUAAUCCCAUUCUUUUGUGGAAUUUUUUACUCUAUCUAUGCCAAAGUGCAUCAAAGUCUCGACAUCAAAAUAACUUUCAAUGUUUGAUCUAUCAAGUUUGCCCCUUUUGAAGUAACUGUUAUAAAGUUUGCCCAGAAGGGACUUUGGAGGAGGUCUUUUAUUUAAACAUCUAAUGACAUUUCCUUUUGGUUACUUAAGAACUUGAAAAUAUGCAGAGUUCUCAACUAUGUUAUUUAUUGUGUCUUAAUUUUUUCGAUUCAUUUCAAUCUAUAAGUAGAAAGAGAGAAUACCUAAUUUCAACUUAUUUCUUUAUAUUUCAAGUUGAAACAACAGGUGUUUCGCAACAACUGUAGGUAAAGAUAUUCCAUUAAGAAUUCUCGCUUUGUUUAAUGUAUUUACCAGGACCAACUAUAUGUAAUUUCUCUUCUUUUGUUCAGUUGCCUCUAUCUGGUUGACUCUCAGUUGUUUUUUUUUUUUUUUUUUUCUAUUGCAUUCAGAGUUGGGGCUUGUUCUAGAGGUUCUGACAACAGCUGGGAUUCAAUUAGCUCUAUGUAGUGGGGCCUUGAGUUUUUUGAUUGGAUGCAGAGUAGGGUCUUGUUCUACCUGUUCUUACUCAGUUGGGAUCUGAGCUUCUUCGGCUGCUUCCGUUUCAUCCUGCUCUUUUUCCUUCUAAUUGGUAUAGAUGUGAGCUGGAUUAUGUUUGCUUGCUGGUCUGAGUUUCUGAUAUGUCUAGUGGCGGUGUGCUGAUUCUCAGAGUAUCGUUAUUCAUGGUGCUCGGUCUGCUGGGAAAGUUGGUUAAUGUCCAGAUGCAGGGGCUCAUCUCGGCAGGCUUUGGUUGGGAUCCAUGUGUUUGCUGGAAUUGGAUUCUGUGGGUUGCCUUUGGCUUUUGAUGUAGGCCGGGUUUGUUUUCUUUGUUGAGGCUGGUGGAGUAUGGUGGCUCAGAAGCUGCUAGUAAUCUGUCUGUUGUAUGCUGACGCUGGAAUCUUCAUGGAGGUUGCUCUGGUGGGUCAAUAUGAUAUGGGAAUGCUUUUGCCUUUUGAGUCCUUGGGCGUCAGCUGGUUGCUUGUGUUUCCUCUGCGCUUUAGUUCAUAUACCAGAGUGCAUACUUCCUUGAGUUCCAUAUCCCACUGCCAAGUGUGUUGUCCAUGAUGUAAUGUAAAGCAGUUAAUUUGUAUACCUGGCCUUAAGUUCCUCUCUAGAAAACUUUGAACGCCCUUUAUGAAUGAAAUGUUGUGAGAAAAACUGGAGUUGAUUUUCACAUUUGAGGUCGUUAAUGGUGAUUUUUCUUAAUGUAAUUGUGAUCGAAAAGAAAUUUGAUCAAGUAGUCGAAACUAUAAGCAGAGUUGAUCUUAUUCAACAUUGCAUUAUAAUUUGGUACCCCUCACAGAUCGCUCCAAAUAGCAUUGAAAAGUACUUUCAUUUUCCUUCAGUGGAGGCUUCUUUUUCUUUGCUGGUUAAUAUUCAUAGCUUCAGUGCUUGAUGAAAUUUCGUUACUUGACAUUGUUCACUCUUGUCCCUCCUGCUCUGAUCACAAACAAAUGCCCCAAUAAAUAAGAAUGAUUUGUUCAAGGAAUUUGAAAAUACUUGAACAAUAAAAGAAAAGAAUAGGGGAGAAAGGAAAAGAAAUUGAGAAAGCAAACACUUGGUAGUUUCCAUUUCAAUUAACCGAUCUUUGAAACUAAAAUGUAAUUCUUGGUAGAAUAAAAGAAGACAUGCAACAUCUUAAGAAGAUUCAUCUAAUGGAACAUACCAUGCUACAAUUGGAAACUGAGACCAAAUAGUAGUUUUUGGUAGAAUAGAUAUCGCAUGCCAAAAAGAAAGUCUUGUAGCUUUGACUACUUCAUAAUUCUUGUACGUAUAGCCCACAAAGCUUUCGAGAUCAUACUUGUUUAUUCAGACCUGUUUGAACAUACGGCUCUAGCGGAAGAUCUUACAACUUUAGGAGUUCAUAAUGUCCAUGAAAUCACAGGAAAAGAAAAGGAUGUAUAUCAAGUUCAUGAAAAAUAAAGAGAUGGUUUAUUAAAUUUUGCUAGUGAGUUGGAUCACUAGCAAGCUCCAUGAUAAGCUCCAUUAACUACCGAGGAUUGCUUCACAACCUCUUUGUAUAUUAUUAAGUUGAAAGUAAAAUUAUUAAAGUUAUAUAAAUAGGUGGCAAUUUUGAUAAGCCAAAAUAACACCAUUCGAAAAUUAUAUGAAUUUUAGCAGGUUUGAAUAAGGUGUAAUCAUAUCCGUAUAAUAAUUAUGUCAACUCAUUUGCUAAAUGGAUUGUAUUGGAACUUGAUCACUCAACUUAUCUAACUCACUUAACUUGUUUAAAUACAUGUAUGAAAUGUAUUUGCAUUGUCUAAUUAUAGUUCAUAUUGGAGAAUGAACUACUAUCAAUUUCACAUGAUGAAAUUAUAAUUAGUCAAUAUUACUCGAAAGUGAAAUCUCUUAUUCAAAAAUAUCUCAUUAAAUUCGAAAAGCUAAAAUUAUCAAGUAGAUGGUUAAAGGAACCAUUGAGCAUGGUUUAAAAUUCGAAUAUAAUGUAUUUAUUGUUGUAAUUCAAGCCCAAUAUUUAUUAUUUAUUAUUAAAAAUAUAAUUUUAUGUCUAAUUUUUAUAUUUAAGAUAAUUUAGCACAUUUGAACAAUAUUUUGAGAAUUGGAUUGAAGCAUCUAAUUUGACUAAUUGGAUAACAAAUUGGACUAAUCCGAUCUUAUUUUUCAUAUUUAUCCACCUUCAAUUCUAGGAUAAACAUGAACAAAAGUCUUCAUACAAUUAUAACAAUAUAACAAAAUAAUGAGUAUAAUAUUAAAUCUAAAAUAAAAACUCUACACAAAUUGGUAUAAAACCAAGUAUGACAAUCAUAAACCAAUCCCCUCCCCCAUACUAAAUAAAUGAGAAAUGAUGUUACAAGAUAUAUAUUUAAAAAAAAAUAAUCUUUUAAUCUUUUAAUUAUUUUUAUAAUUUUAACUUCUUAUAUUAUUUUAAAUUGAAUAAUAUAUGAAUUAGAUAUCCAUAUUGUCAUGCGGAUAUCAUGUUUCAAUCACUUGAAUCAUCAAUUCAAUCAAGAAAUUGUAAUGCAAUAAUUUGUCAAUUCAAUGACUAAUAAAAUUUUGAGAACAUUGUAUUUGAAAGCUCUGCACAUAAGAUGAAUAUAAAAGAUUAUGAACUCUUGCAAAAAAAAAAAUGACAUCAUGAAAAUAUGGAAACCCUAAACCUUAAUUUCUUCAAUAAUGCCUAUCAAAAUUUAAGGUUGUGUAAUUGAGAAUGCUAAUGACCCAAGGUUAGAACUAGUCGCUCAUAACUAGACUUGUUCUUAUUUUUUUUAAACAUAUUCCCAUCUUCAUCUCAAAUCUAUGGAAAUUUACUUUCCUAUUUUAAGAAAAUUAAUUUUUAUUUUUAUUUUACAUGUAUUGGAAAAAGCAAAAGAGAAAUUAAGGUGACACAACAAGAAUAACUAUAAAACCAUAAUGACUAUAUAUAUAUAUAUAUAUAUAUAUAUAUAAAAUAAGACAAUUUAAAAUAUGUGUUUGGCCGGUUUUUUUAAGUGUUUUUAGUAGAAACAUUUUUUCUAAAAGUAUUUUUGAGAGAGUUACCUAUCAAAUGUUUUUUUAAGAGGCAUUACAAGUGAUUUUUCAGUUGAGUUUGGUAAUGACUUUAAAAAACAAUUUUAUUUUAUCUAACAUUUAAAUGAUAAAAAUUUUUAAAUAUAAAAAAAUUUAAAAACACUUCCUAAAAUUAUUACUAAACGGACUCCUCAUUUAUUUAAAAGUGUUUUCAAAAUUUUACCACUUAAUUUUUUUUCAAAAACAUUUUUUAAACUAAAAAUAUUUUUUAAAAGUAUUAUCGAACGGAAUCAAAGUCUUAAAACAAAAUCUCAAAUCUACCCUUGAUUUAAUUAUAUUUUUCCAACCCAUCUGAUUGGGCCCAGGCUUCCUUUAAAUACCCACCCCGAUAAUAAUACAAAAGCAAACCACCACCAAAGAUAUUUAAACGACAAUUGAAACCUAUUAAUGAGACUUUGUCUCAUAAUACAAAUUUCGUUAUGUUCACAUGUAGAAAGGGACAAAUAAUUUACAAAAUUAAAAAUCAUAUACAACAGAAAGCGUGGAAUCAAGAGGGAAGAGAGUAGAAAGUUAACGAAGUGGUGGAGCCUCGGCUAAAACUAACAAUGGCAUAUUAUCAUGUGCGUGUCUCAUCGCUGGAUGGACCAAAAUUUGCUUCUCCCAAAGCUCUUUGAAUAUUAUAUUUAGAGCCCACUUGGUGCCUAGAAAAAUACAUUUGCAAGUGAUCUCCAUCUGUCAAUCAAUUAAUCUAUACAAUAAAAAUCCACUUGGUGUUAAUUAAGGAAAAUCAUUUUGUUGGUGGUGGCCUGUCUCCCAUGUUACUCAAGUUUCAAAUCUGAACUUUUCAAAUUCACAAAGUGCAGUGAUUCAUCUUUGUUCCAUCUUUGGCUGAAUUCUAAUCCUUUUUUCUGUUACUUCCGGAAAGCCAUGGAGUUCCUGAGCUCAAUCGUGGGUCUGGUCCCCUGCUUCUAUGAUCACAUCUCCAAGCAUACCGUCUACAUUCGUGAUCUGAAGAAAAAUCUCCAAGCCUUGAGCAAGGAAAUGGUGGAUCUCAACAACUUGUAUGAAGAUGUGAAGGAAAGGGUUGAAGGUGCAGAGCAACGACAGAUGAGGCGCAGAAAGGAAGUGGGUGGCUGGAUCUGUGAAGUAGAAGACAUGGUGAAAGAAGUUCAAGAAAUUCUGCAGAAGGGUGAUCAAGAAAUCCAGAAGAGAUGUCUCGGAUGCUGUCCCAGGAAUUGUUGGUCUAGCUACAAGAUUGGGAAGGCAGUAAGCGAAAAGCUGGUUGCUGUAUCUGGUCAAAUCGGCAAAGGACAUUUCGAUGUUGUAGCCGAGAUGCUGCCUCGUCCUCUAGUAGAUGAACUGCCCAUGGAGGAGACUGUGGGCUCAGAAUUGGCGUAUGGCAGAAUCUGUGGGUUUCUCAAAGAUCCACAAGUGGGAAUUAUGGGAUUAUAUGGAAUGGGGGUUGUGGUGUCAAAAUCGUCCAACAUUGAAAAAAUUCAGGAAGUUAUUUGGAAUAAAUUACAAAUCCCACGUGAUAUAUGGGAAAGUAGAAGCAGUAAGGAGGAGAAGGCUGUCGAAAUACUGAGAGUUCCGAAAACAAAGAAGUUCGUGUUGUUGUUGGAUGACAUCUGAGAGCGACUUGAUCUCCUAGAAAUGGGGGUUCCACAUCCCGAUGCUCAAAAUAAGUCCAAGAUAGUUUUCACGACCCGAUCACAGGAUGUGUGCCACCAAAUGAAAGCUCAGAAGAGUAUAGGAGUGGCAUGUUUGUCGUCAGAAGCGGCUUGGACUUUGUUUCAGAAGGAGGUAGGAGAAGAAACAUUAAAGUCUCAUCCACAUAUACCGAGGCUUGCAAAGAUUGUUGUUGAAGAGUGCAAAGGUUUACCUCUCGCUUUGGUUACUGUUGGGCGAGCCAUGGUGGGUGAGAAAGAUCCCUCAAAUUGGGACAAGGUAAUACAAGAUUUGAGCAAAUUUCCAGCUGAAAUUUCAGGUGUGGAAGAUGAAUUGUUUAAUAGAUUAAAAGUUAGUUAUGAUAAAUUGUCUGACAAUGCCAUCAAAUCUUGUUUUACAUAUUGUUCUUUGUUCUCUGAGGAUUGGGAGAUUUAUAUUGAAAGCCUUAUAGAAUGUUGGAUAGGAGAGGGAUUUUUGGGUGAAGUUCAUGACAUACAUGAAGCGCGUAAUCAAGGGUAUAAAAUUAUUAAAAAACUAAGGCAUACAUGUUUGUUGGAGAGUUGCGGUUCAAGAGAAAAAAGGGUUAAGACACAUGAUGUGGUCUGCGACAUGGCUUUAUGGUUAUAUGGUGAAUGUGGGAAGAAAAAGAACAAAAUUGUAGUAUACGAUGAUGUUUUUAGGCUGAAGGAAGCUACAGAAAUUUUAGAACUGAAAGAGACGGAGAAGAUGUCAUUUUGGUAUCCGAAUGUUGAGAAGUUCCUUGAAACAUUGGUGUGUCCCAAUCUCAAGACUUUAUUUGUGGAGGGAUGUCAUAAGUUGACGAAAUUUUCGAGUGGAUUCUUUCAAUUUAUGCCUCUAAUAAGAGUUUUGAAUUUGGCAGGGAAUGAUAAUUUAAGUGAGUUACCUACUGGGAUUGGUGAAUUGAAUGGCUUGAGAUAUCUUAAUUUGGAACCCACAAGAAUAAGAGAGUUGCCCAUUGAGCUAAAAAAUUUGAAAAAUUUGAUGAUUCUACGUUUGAAUUCUAUGCAAUUCUCUGUAACUAUCCCACAAGACUUGAUAUCAAAUCUCAUAUCUUUACAGUUGUUCGACAUUUGGAACACCAAUAUUUUAAGUGGAGUUGAAACCUUGCUUGAGGAGUUGGAGUCCUUGAAUGACAUCAAUGAGAUAGGAAUCACCAUAUCUAGUGCUCUUUCAUUGAACAAAUUAAAGAGAAGCCACAAAUUACAGAGGUGUAUAAGGCUUCUACAGUUACAUAAAUGGGGGGAUGUAAUCACACUUGAACUAUCAUCUUUGUUUUUAAAAAGAAUGGAGCAUUUGAUUCAGCUUGAAGUAGACCAUUGUGAUGAUGUGAAAGUAAGUAUGGAAAGAGAAAUGAAACAAAAUGAUGUUAUUGGUCUCUCAAACUACAAUGUUGCAAGGGAGCAAUACAUUUACAGCCUCCGUUACAUAAGAAUAAAAAAUUGUUCAAAAUUGUUAGACUUAACAUGGGUUGUUUAUGCUUCAUGUCUAGAAGAACUUUAUGUUGAAGAUUGUGAAUCAAUAGAACUAGUACUACACCAUGAUCACGGAGCUUAUGAUAUUGUGGAAAAAUUGGACAUAUUCUCAAGGCUCAAAUGCCUCAAGCUCAAUAGACUGCCAAGAUUGAAGAGCAUCUACCAGCAUCCUCUGCUCUUUCCCUCGCUUGAAAUCAUCAAGGUGUAUGAUUGCAAAAGCUUAAGGAGCCUCCCAUUCGAUUCCAACACUUUGAACAACAAUCUUAAGAAAAUUAAAGGAGAGACAAGUUGGUGGAAUCAGUUGAAGUGGAAAGAUGAAACCAUCAAGGACUGUUUUACUCCAUACUUCCAAGUCCAUGAGGCUGAAGCAUAUUUUGCAGAGGAGUCUGAAACUGGCAGCAUAGAUGAUGAUAUGCAGGAACAGUUGGUAUCAAAUUAAUUUCUAUCCAUCUUUCAGGUAUUAAUUAAUUUUUAUGUUAUAUAGAUUACUUCCAUAAUUUUCUGCCUAGUCCUAAUAACUUUCAAUCUAUUUUUUUCCCUUUUAUUUUCAUUCUCUUCUAUAUUGCUUUGAGUCUUUCGAGAUCCAAACAAAGCCAAAUCUACACCCCUUUCUAUAUCAUGGUCCUGCCCCCAAGAUCUUGGAUGGGUAAUUCAAUUCUAGUUGUCCCUUGUGAAAUAAUUGUUAUAAAAGGUUCGCCCAGAUGGCACUUUGAAGGAGGUCUAUUGUUUAAAAAUGGGAUGACAUUCCCUGUUGGUUACUUGAGAACAUGAAAAUAAUGCAGAGUUUUAAACUAUAUUAUUUAUUUGUCUUAAUUUUUGUGAUGGAUUUCAAUCUAUAAAUAGAAACAGAUCAACUUCGUUUCAACUUAGCUCCAUAUAUUUCAAGCUGAAAAACAGGGUUUCACAACUACUAUAGUUGUAGAUAUUCCAUUAAAGAAUUUUUGCCUUGUUUGAUGUGUUUACCAGGACCAACUUCACUUACAAGGGUAAUAUCUCUUCUAUUGUUAAGUUACCUCUAUCUGGUUGGCUCUGAUCACUUUUUGCUUUUCUAUUUUCGUUUUUUCAUUUCUCUUUUUGUUGCAUUCAGGGUUGGGGCUUGUUCUAGAAGUUCUGGCAACAGCCGGGUUUUCAUCUUCUUUAUAUAGACUGUGUUGCUGAUUGGAGAUGUCCUGCUCUUUUUCCUUCUACUUGGAAUCUGGGUUUGGUCUGAGGUCUCUGGUAUGUUUCAUCAGGGAGGCGCAAAUGCUGAUUCUCAGAGCAUUGAUAUUUCAUGGUGCUGAGACUGCUGAAAAGGUUGGUGUACUUAUGAUGGUUGCAGCAUCCUCUUUGUUUCUGGAUCUCAGGGACUGGAUUCUGUGGGCAGCCUUUGGCUUUUGAUGUUGGGUGGAUUUUGUUUUGUUAAUUUGUUGAGGCCGGUGCAGUGUGGUGGGUCUGAAGCUGCUAGUAUGCUGCUGCUGGGUCAAUGCGGAUGUGAUAUGGGAAUGCUUUUGGAUCUUAGGGCUUCAGCAGGUUGAUUAUGUUUCCUCUGCUUACAAAUAUUUUAUCACCAGAUCCUACGUGGAGAUGGGAUGGAUUGUUGUAAUAGUGAUGGUGUGUGUAUGUGAUAUAAUCCUAUGAACAUAGCCACAUGCUUUGGUUCAUAUACCAGAGCACCGCUUACUUCCUUGAGUUUGAUAUCCCACUGUCAAGUGUUAUGUUACGAAAACAAGUUUCACCGGUCGUGGAUUGAAAUGUUUUGUGAGAAAAACUGGUUGAUUUUAACAUUUGAGGUUGUUAAUGGUGGAAGUAUAAGCAGAGUUCUGAGGACUCAAAAUGUGAUCACUUUUUCUCAAGCAUAUUUCUUCCCCAAUAAAAAGGUUUAUUUGUGCAAUGGUUUUGGCACCAACUGAUGAAUGAAAGAGAGCUUUCAUUCCGGAGCAUUUAGAUCUCCAAACAGCAACCUGACUGAACAUGACCACAAAAUUCCUCCGGCGCCACCAAUUUCCUCCACCUGCGACUCUUCAAAUCCAACAUGUACGCCACAUGGGCUUCACCAAAGCUUCUGCACCCAAUCACUAACAGCUUCCCCUCCCAUGUUGUCAUGUAAGCUGUGUGGCGAAUCUCAGCUGGCAAUCUGUCUACUGUCUGCCAUCUGGAGUCCUGCAGUGUCACCACCUCACCCGCAUGACACAUGUACAUCCCCAUGUCACCACCGUCCACGCAGGUCCUCGGGCACGUGCUGUCUUCCAGGAAAUCCUCCUCUGCCUUGUCCCACUCCCAGUUGGCAAAAUCGAAGGCUUCCGCGCUCCUCUCGAACCUGCCUUGCAUCUCUGUGCAGUACCCGCCCAUGACAUGAAACUUACCACGGUGGAAUACUCCUUUGCAUUCAUCGCUCUCCCUUGCCAUGUCAGGCAGUGGGGCCCACUAAUCCUUUGCCACGUCAUACACUAGCGCUGACUUCAAUGCAUUCUUCCAAACCCUACAAACCGCGGCGAUGGUGGAGAAGUUUUCAUAAGAAACGCGAAUUAAACAUUGGCGGGCAACGUCGUCCGGGAGACCCGGAAUAAAGUCCAUGAACAAAAAAAAAACAGCAAGACUGUGGUGCUAUUAAUGGAGAGAAACCCAACCAGAGAGCAAAGAUGGGGGAUUGAAAUAAAUUGAGAGAGCAGCUAGCUACAGAGGAAGAAGAAGGAAGAAGAAGAUGAUGAAGAGAGAAACAGUUGAAUAUAAGAUGAUGAUGAUGAGGAGGAGGAUUGGCUUUUAUAGAGCUUGCCAAGAAGACUGUAAUACAGGUUUAAAAAAGGUUAGUUUCUAUGUCUUGUUAUUUAUUUGCCAACAAGACUGUAAUACAGGUUUAAAAAACGCUAAAUUCAAAAAUUAAAACAAAAAUUGAUACCUAAUCUAUUAAAAUUUUAUUUUAAAAUUUUUGUUACUUGUUUUGUUAGAACUAUCUAAUAUAUUUUUUCAAUUUUUAAAAAUUAAAAUUAAAUUUAUUUUUUAAAUUUUCUUUUUGCUAUAUUCUACAUUCGAAUGCCAAAAUAAUAAUAAUAAUAAAGAAAGAAAAAUGAUAUGAAAUUCAUAAAACCUUAUCAACUCAAAUAAGAGCAUUAUCGUUCCUAAGGUCAGAUUUUUAUUGAAAACUUAUAGGAGAAAAAUAAUAUGAAAAAUAGUUUUUUUUUUUUUUUUGUAUUUGAUUUUAUGAUAGAAAAUUAUGAAGAAAAUUAAAUAUAAUUAAAAUUAGUUAUAUUUAUAUAUUUUAAAUUAUUUAAUCAUUAAACUAAGGGAAAUGAGUUUAAAUAAUAAUAAUAAUAAUAUAUAAAUUAUUUAUUAAUUGAAUUUUUUUUUAAUUUUCAUUCACUUUUUAUCUUCUUUUUUUUUUCUAUUUUUUUUCUAUUAUAUUUUUCCUCAAUUUUCUCUAAAAGCAAACACAGCCGACAAAAAAUGUUUUGACUUUCAUUAAAAUUUGAAGUCUUAGUAAUACUUUCACAUUUAUUUUAAUUCAAAUUAGAAGCCAAUACAAGCAUAAUUGGAGUGUGUUUGGAAUAUUUUCCUAUUUUUUACUUUAAUUAGAAGUUAAAAUUGAAUCAAACUCACAAUUUUUAAAGGAUAAUAUAUGUAAAAUAAAGUUUUCACAAUCGAACAACAUUUUUCUAAUUUCUAUAUUAAGCUUUUUUAAAAAAUAAUCAUAAGAUUUUUGAACAAAAAUAGUUAAAAAAAAAACCUCUUAUUGAAGUUAAAAAAAGAAACUGUUAUCUUCAUAGAAAUCCUACCAAAUAAGACUUUAAUCUUAUGGGAAAAGAAAAAAAAAAAAAAAAGAAGUGGGUCAGUGGCCACUAGAUAAUGCAUUAUGCCACCAUUUGACCCAACUUGAUUCUACCUUCAUGAUUUAUCCUUUGAAUUGUAGGAAGAUGAGUUUGGACAAAUCAAAUCAAUUUAUGUCCUAAUUGAUGCCAAAAAUAUCCAUAUAAUUCAAAUAAAUAUAAGUUUGAUAGUGAGACAAAAGGGUAUGGCGUUUUUUAUGGGUGUUGCCAGCAUUAUUAUAAUUUAUAGCUUUUUUUAAAGAAAAACUAAAUUAAAAUUAUCAAAAUAUAUUUUAUAUUUACAAAAGCUAAAAACAUAACCAAGAAAAAAUCUUUAUGCUUUAUAUUUUAAAAUUUAGUAAAAGCAAAAGCAUAUCCAAAUCAGCCCCACACAUAAAAGAAAGCUAAAAUUGAAAUUGACUAAUCAUUUUUUUACUGAGCUGGCAAACCUUUUUGACUUUUUUCUUUUACUGUGCCAAUGAGAAAAAUGAUUCAUAUUAAAAGUGAUAAAAUUAAUUAAUUAAUUUUAUAGCAUCCUUGCCCAGGAGUAGGAGUUUAUCGCAGGAGGCUUUGUUUCUUGGCUUGAAGCAUGCGUUGCUCACCACUUCCUUCAUGCGAUUCUCUGGCCUUUUAUGCUGGAGGUUGACUGGUACACAUCAGCCUGCCGCUUGCUACCUGAUUGGUGAUUGUGAAUGCUUUUGGGUCUUGCUGGUUGCUUGUGUUUCCUCUGGUUUUAUUGUAUUCCUCUGCUUACAAAUGAAAUAUCACUAUAUAUUCUGGGAAGAUAGGAUGGAACUGCAUUUUCAAAGUAUGGAACAUAGUUUACAAACUUGGAUUUUGUUCUUCCCUUGAAAUUUGAUCACUCAUUAAUGAAAUUUUUUCGUUCAUUUUUUUGGGAGAAAAAAUGGGGUUGAUUUCAACAUUUUAGACCAAUUUAUGCAUAGAACUAAUUUGUUAAUGGCAAUUUGCUGCUAAUUUUGCUGGGUUUGAAAUGUUCUGCUCUCUUUCUAUCCUGUUGGUGCUGUUGGUGUUGGCGUUUGCUUAAUUGGUGCUUGGUCUUGGUGCUUCUCAGAAUUUUUUUAGUAAUAUUAUUUGUAGGAUAUUCUUAGAAAAAGGUAAAUGGUAAUAGCAUCUGAUUUAUUUAUUUAUUAAAAAAAUAUUAUAAAUUGUAGAAGUUACAUGAAUAAUUCAAAAUUUGGCAAUAAAAAUACAAUUCAAUCCCACCAUGACCAAUCAGAAUUGUUUAAAGAAUAAUGUAAAGUAUAAUGUAGUGGUGAUGAAUGCAAGCAUAAAACCAUUGUGGAGCCAAGAUUCAAGGGGCAUAAAACCAUUGUGGAGCCAGGAUUCAAGCAUAAAACCAUUGUUGGUCUAGCUACAAGAUUGGGAAGGCAGUAAGCGAAAAGCUGGUUGCUGUACCUGGUCAAAUCGGCAAAGGACAUUUCAAUGAUGUAGCCGAGAUGCUGCCUCGUCCUCUAGUAGAUGAACUGCCCGUGGAGGAGACUGUUGGCCUAGAAUUGGCGUAUGGCAGAAGCUGUGGGUUUCUCAAAGAUCCACAAGUGGGAAUUAUGGGAUUAUAUGGAAUGGGGGGUGUGGGCAAAACCACCCUCUUGUGGAAAAUCCACAAUAACUUCCUCCCUACAUCCAGCGAUUUUGAUGUUGUGAUUUGGGAUGUGGUGUCAAAAAUUUAAAAAAUUCAGAAAGUUGUUUGGAAUAAAUUGCAACUCUCACGUGAUGGAUGGGAAAGUAGAAGCACUAAGGAGGAGAAGGCUGCCGAAAUAUUGAGAGUUUUGAAAACAAAGAAGUUCGUGUUUUUGGAUGACAUCUGGGAGCAACUUGAUCUCCUAGAAAUAGGGGUCCCCCAUCCCGACGCUCAAAAUAAGUCCAAGAUAGUUUUCACGACCCGAUCACAGGAUGUGUGCCACCAAAUGAAAGCACACAAGAGUAUAGGAGUGGCAUGUUUGUCGCCAGAAGUGGCUUGGACUUUGUUUCAGAAGGAAGUAGGAGAAGAAACAUUAAAGUCUCAUCCACAUAUACUGAGUCUUGCAAAGACUGUUGCUGAAGAGUGCAAAGGUUUACCUCUUACUUUGAUUACUCUUAGGCGAGCCUUGGCGGGUGAGAGAGAUCCCUCAAGUUGGGACAAGGUAAUACAAGAUUUGAGCAAAUUUCCAGCUGCAACUUCAGGUAUGGAAGAUGAAUUGUUUCAUAGAUUAAAAGUCAGUUAUGAUAGAUUGUUUGACAAUGCCAUCAAAUCUUGUUUUACAUAUUGUUCCUUAUUCUCUAAAGGUUGGUGGAUUUCAAAUGAAACCCUUGUGGAAUAUUGGAUGAUUGAGGGAUUUUUGGGUGAAGUUCAUGACAUACAUGAAGUGCAUAAUCAAGGGCAUAAAAUUAUUAAAAAAUUAAAGCAUGCAUGUUUAUUGGAGAGUUGCGGUUCAAGAAAACAAAACAUUAUGAUGCAUGAUGUGAUCCACGACAUGGCUUUAUGGUUAUCUUGUGAAUGUGGGGAGGAGAAGAACAAAAUUUUAGUAUACAAUGAUGUUUCUAAGUUGAAGGAACCUUAAGAAAUUCCAAAAUUGAAAGAGACAAAGAAGAUGUCAUUAUGGGAUGAGAAUGUUGAGGAGUUCCCUAAAACAUUGGUGUGUCCCAAUCUCAAGAUUAGUGGCUUGUGAUAAGUUGAAGAAAUUUCCAAGUGGAUUUUUUCAAUUUAUGCCUUCAAUAAGAGCUUUUGAUUUGUCAAAUAAUUAUAAUUUAAGCGAGUUACCUACUGGGAUCGGUAAAUUGGGUGCCUUGAGAUAUCUUAAUUUGUUAGCCACAAAAAUAAGAGAGUUUCCUAUUGAACUUACAAAUUUGAAAAACCUAAUGACUUUGCUUUUGGAGAAUAGGAAAUUCCUGGAAUUAAUUAUUCCACAAGAACUGAUAUCAAGUCUCAUAUCUUUAAAGUUGUUCAGCACAAUCGAUACCAAUAUUUCAAGUAGAGUUUCAGAAAGCUUGUUGGAUGAGUUGGAGUCCUUGAAUGGCAUCAGUGAGAUAUGUAUCACCAUAUGUACUACUCAUUCAUUCAACAAAUUAAAGAGUAGUCACAAAUUGCAAAUGUACAUAAGUCAAUUCGAGUUGGAUAAAUGUGGGGAUAUGAUCUCACUUGAACUACCGUCUUCAUUUUUUAAAAGAAUGGAGCAUUUGCGAUGGCUUUGUAUAUCUAAUUGCGAUGAAUUAAAGGACAUAAAAAUUGAAGGGGAAGGAGAAGGGACACAAAGGGAUGCGACUCUCCGAAACUACAUUGCUGUAAGGGAGAACUACUUUCGUGCCCUUUGUAACCUAUAUAUUUUUCAUUGUUCAAAAUUGUUGAACAUUACAUGGCUUGUUAGUGCUCCAUAUCUUGAGGAACUUACCGUUGGAGAUUGUGAAUCAAUAGGACAAUUGAUAUGUUAUGGAGUAGAGGAAAACUUGGACAUAUUCUCAAGGCUCAAAUACCUUAAGCUCAACGAGCUGCCAAAAUUGAAGAGCAUCUACCAAUAUUUGCUGCUCUUUUCCUCACUUGAAAUCUUGAAGGUGUAUGAUUGCAAAAGCUUAAGGAGCCUCCCAUUCGAUUCCAAUACUUAACAAUAAUCUAAAGAAAAUUAAAGGAGAGACAAGUUGGUGGAAUCAAUUGGAGUGAAUCGAUGAAACUAUCAAGUACUCUUUUACUCCAUAUUUCCGAAUCGACCAAGUUGAAGCGUACUUAACUGAGGAGUCCGAAACUGGUGGCAUAGAUGAUAUACAAGAGCAAUUGAUAUCAAAUUAAUUUCUUUCAGGUAUUAAUUAACUUUUAUGCUAUAUUUGAAAAAUAAUAUUUUUCCACACUCCCAUUCAUUUGUGGAAAUUUUUACUUUACCGAUGUCAAAGUGCAUCAAAGUCUCAACAUCAUAGUAACUUUCAAUGUUUGAUGUAUAUGGACUACUUCCAUAAUUUUCGGCCUAAUCUUAAUAAUUUUGGUGUGGUUAUAAUUUUUUUCUUUUUUAUUUUUCUUUUUCGUCCUUCUAAUCUUAAGCCUUCAUUUUGAUGACAGACAUAAUUUAGAAAGGAAAAAAAAUGUAAGAAAUCCAAAUCUAAAUCUAUAUAUAUAUUUUUUAUCUCUAUCUGAUUGGCUCUGAUCAGUUUUUGCCUUCUUUUUUUUUCAUUUCUCUUUUUGUUGCAUUCAAGGUUGGGGCUUGUUCUAGCAGUUCUAGCAACAGCCGGGUUUUGAUCGUUUUUAUAUAGACUGUGUUGUUGGAACUCCAUUUUGCUUGUAUCCAAUUAUUAGACAGGAAUCACAUGUUGAAUCAUAUGAAGAAAUUAUGCCAAACAUUUCUAUAGAAAGGGAACAUACAGAAUCUGAACUAACCUGAUUCCAUUUUGAGUGUUGAAUGAACAAGGUAUGGAUCUUCUAAGGCUGUGGAGGGCACCACCUCUUUCUGGAUUCUCUCUGACGAUGGGAGCAGGAGAGAAAACAAGUCUAUUAUUAUUUCAAAUGAUGUGAUUAGACUGAACAGACACUUAGCCUUUGGUUUUAUACCCUCUUGCCUUAGGGACCAUACCCUUUGGCUAUUGGGCCUCACGAGUCUUAGGCCCAUCAUCUAAGGCCCGUGAUGGCAAUGGGCUCUACACAUAAGGUGACCCAUACUAUGGAAAAUUGAUACAAAAUAAAUAUUAAAAGGCGAAUAGCUUAGUCAUGUAUCAUUGUUAAAUAUGUGUGAGUCCAUAUCUUAACAUGUGUUGCUGUUGUUUUUGCUGAUGGUUGAUGUCCUGCUCUUUUUCCUUCUACUUAGUAUUUGGGUUUGGUCUGAGGUCGAUCUAGGUAUGUUUGAUCAGAGAGGCAUAAAUGCUGAUUCUCGGAGCAUUGAUAUUUCAUGGUGCUGAGACUGCUGGGAAGGUUGGUGUACUUAUGAUGGUUGCAGCAUCCUUUUUGUUUCUAGAUCUCAGGAAUUGGAUUCUGUGGGCUGCUUUUGGCUUUUGAUGUUGGGUGGGUUUUGUUUUGUUAAUUUGUUGAGGCUGGUGCAGUGUGGUGGAUCUGAAGCUGCUAGUAUGCUGCUACUGGGUCAAUGUCAAUGUGAUAUGGGAAUGCUUUUGGGUCUUUGGGCUUCAGCUGGUUGCUUGUGUUUCCUCUGCUUACAAAUGUUUUAUCAUCAGAUCCUAUGUGGAGAUGGGAUGGAUUGUUUUAAUAGUGAGGGUGUGAGGGUGUGAUAUAAUCCUGUCAACAGAGCCACAUGCUUUGGUUCAUAUACCAGAGCACUGCAUUCUUGAGUUUGAUAUCAUAUCCCACUCCCAAAGUGUGUCGUGCAUAAUGUAAUGUAAACAAGUUUCAACUUUCACCCAUUGUGGAUUGAAAUGUUUAAUUUGGGAGAAAACUGGUUGAUUUGUAACAUUUGAGGGUGUUAAUGGUGAUUUUUCUUAUUAUUAAUUGUGAUUGAAAAGAAAGUUGAUGAACAAGGUGGAAGUAUAAGCAGAGAGUUCUGAGGACUCCUAAUGUGGUACAUUUUCUCAAGCAUAUUUCUUCCCCAAUAAAAAGGAAAACUUGGGUUCACUUGUGCGAUGGUUUUGGCACUUGGCACUAACUGAUGAAUGAAAGAGAGAUCCAGGUUUAUCACUGAUGAAUUGAAAUGUUUUGUUAUUGUUGCUUAGUUAAAAAAGUUGCGGUUCAGUUUGCUAAUCUAUUGAUAUCUGCUGCAGUGAUUCUGCUGCUGAUGAAUAUAAAAGACAAUCAGUAGGUGCAGGUGAUGCCAUCUCAUCUGCUCAAUCAUCUCAAGUAUUACAGCCUGCUCGCUCAGGGGCCAGGGGACGUGCUUCAAUGGCUGAUAUUGUGAGGAGGGGCAGGCCAGGGACCAGGAGACAUGUUUCAAUGGCUGAUGUUGUAGGGAUGGGCGGACCUGGUGCCAAUACUUCCAGCCUGCCAAUUACGUCAACUGGAACUUCUCCCCCUCUUGUUGGGGCAGUACCAGAACAAUGUGGUGUGCCCAAUACUUCCAGCCCGCUAAUUACAUUAGAUGAAACUUGUUUCCCACUUCUUGGAAGAACACCAAAACGAUCCUCUUACCGUGUCACUACUCCCUUUGUUCUGCCACCAGUGGAGGCAGAACCACACCAAGAUUUGCAUUCUCCAAAUCCUUGGUAUGUGUUGGAGGUAAGUCAUGAGCCUUGCACUACUGAUGAAUGGCCCACCACUGAUUAGCCAACAGCACAUAAUGGCUUAUCUGUUUUAGGUGGCUCACCUGCCUUAGAAACAGAGAUAUUCUAACGAGUUUUGGGUCAAAAUGGCCUAUUUAAAAAAAAAAAUGUAACAUCUAGCCAUUUUUUGAAACUUAUGUUCAAAGUGGUUUCUUUGGUGCUACGUAGGCGCCAUAUCAUUAAAAAAUAUUUUUUUUUUCAUCAUUUUAGUUAAAGCCACAGUUGACAAAUACGGCUUUAUAUUUGAACUAAAACCGCAGUUGGCAACUGCGGUUUUAGUUAAUUUUUUUUAAUUUAAAAUUUAAUAAAAAAUUAUUAAAUUACAAUUUAUGAUUGAAAUUUUAAAAAUAUACUUAAAUAAUAAAUUAUUUGUAUUUAAAUUUAAAAAUCUAGUUACACAUAGGUUCCCUGUGAGAUUAUAUAUGUUUUUUAUUUUCCACUAUAUUAAUGUUUAGUGAAUAUUUUUUGUGACUUUAAUUAAAUGAUUAAAAAUUAUAUUUUGUAGUAGACUUUUUGUAAUUAAUUUCAUUAACUAAUUUUGUAAAAAAAUCUAUACAUGACAACUAAUAUAUGAUUUCGAGUAAAUUUUAAAUUAAUUUUAUCAAACAACCUUAAUAUUUAAAGUAAAAAUUAAGUAAUAAGUUUUAAGUUAAUAAAUUAAAUAUAAUUUAAUUUAAAAUAAACUUAAAUCAUUAAGUAAUAAGUAUUAAGUUUUAUCAAACAUUAAAAAAAAAAAUUAUUAUCGUAAAACAAUUAGGUAUUCAAUUAAAAAACCCAAAAAAAAGAAAAAGAAAUUGUAAUCUUGAUGAAUUUUGUAGACUGUUUCAUAGUUGAUGGUGAUUCAAAUACAAAAGUACAGUAUCAAAAUCAAAAGAAAGUUGUGAGUUGUGAGCUGUGAGUGAGAUAUGCAUCUGAACCGCCAGCAAAAGAAAUUUAAAAUUGUUAAUAUAAAAAGAAAAAUGGACGCAGUGAUCAUGGGCGGUGUUUAUGUACUGGGUUUGAAAGUGUUGAACCUGAACCAAGAACCAACCAUUUAUAGUUGGAAAUUUUGAAUACUACAUCACCAAUCACCAUGCAUACGCUCCUCCUCCCUUCAAAGUCAUCAACUCGCUAACUUUUUCUAAUCUCAAAUUUAAACUUAUAUGUUAUAUAAGUUUAUUAUUUUAAGAUUAUUAAUUUAUUAAUAAAUAAAACAUUCAUUUAUAAUAUCUUAUAUUUAUUAAUUUAUGUUUAUUGAACUAAUACUAAAUUCUUAAGUUUAAAUAUAAAUAAUUUAUUAUUAAAGUAUAUAUUUUUAAUUUUAAUAAUAAAUUAUAAUUUAAUAGUUUUUAAUUAAAUUUGAAAGUAAAAAAAAUUAUAAUUGAAAUCUCAGUUACCAACUACGACUUAAAAGUAUAUUAUUAAUUCGAUAAAGAUAAAUUUAUCAUAAUACAAAUAAAUUAAUAUCUUAAAAAACAACAAAUUAAAUAUCUUAAAUUAAUAAAUUAUACAAUUUUAUAUAUUAUUUAUAUGUUAUAUAAAUUUAUUAUUUUAGGAUUAUUAAUUUAUUAAUAAAUAAAAUAUUCAUUUAUAAUAUCUUCUAUUUAUCAAUUUAUGUUUGUUGAAGUAAUACUAGAUUUUGAAGUUUAAAUAUAAAUAAUUUAUUAUUUAAGUAUAUUUUUUAAAUUGUAAUUUAAUAGUUUUUAAUUAAAUUUGAAAGUAAAAAAAAAAAUUAUAAUUGAAAUCUCAGUUAUCAACUAUGACUUAAAAGUAUAUUAUUAUUUCGAUAAAGAUAAAUUUAUCAUAAUAUGAAAUAAAUUAAUAUCUUAAAAAACAACAAAUUAAAUAUCUUAAAUUAAUAAAUUAUAUAAUUUUAUAUAUUAUGCAUAUGUUAUAUAAGUUUAUUAUUUUAAGAUUAUUAAUUUAUUAACAAAUAAAAUAUUUAUUUAUAAUAUCUUUUAUUUAUCAAUUUAUAUUUGUUGAAGUAAUAUUAGAUUUUUAAAUUUAAAUAUAAAUAAUUUAUUAUUUAAGUAUAUUUUUUAAAUUUCAAUCAUAAAUUUUAAUUUAAUAAUUUUUAAUUAAAUUUUUAAUUAAAAAAAAUUAACUAAAGCCGCAGUUGUCAACUGCGGCUUUAGUUCAAAAAUGAAACCACAGUUACCAAUUACAGCUUUAGUUCAAAUAUGAAGCCGCAUUUGUCAAUUACGACUUUAACUAAAAUGAUGAAAAAAAAUAUUUUUUAAUGAUAUGACGUUUACGUGGCAUCAAAGAUGCCACUUUGAACAUAAGUUUCAAAAAGUGAUUAGAUAUUACAUUUUUUUUUUUUUUAAAUGGGCCAUUUUGACCCAAAACUCUAUUCUAACCCAUCUAACUUGUACAGUGAUACUGCUGAAAUGUCCCAGGACUGCCGGCCAGAUGAGGUCCAAGCAUCUGUAUCCAGUGAACAGUGGGCAGAGUAUAGCGCUGCAGGUGCGUCUUAUAGAGCUUGCCAACGAGACUGUAGUACAGGUUUAAAAAAGGUCAGGCGGUCUAGAAAGUUAAAAUGAAGGCGACCAUAGGUUGUGUCAAUACACAAGACCAUACAAACCGCCAUUGUUUCUAUAUUUUGUUAUUUAUUUUUAAUGUGAUUGGUUCCCUAGAAAAUCUGAUGUGACCCUGGUUCAUGAUGCCGAAAAUGGAAAUCAUGGGACUCCAUGUGGAUGGGUCUAUAUUUAUCACUCUUUUGAAAAUUCAUCACCCAUCAAAAUGAUCAAAUUUCAUAAUCUAAGCUUGAAAAUACAUCUUAUCAUUUGCCUUCUCACUCUCAAAAAUUCAAAAUAAAAAAUUCCACAUAAUCAAUACAUUUUGGAUUUUAAUUAUUUUAAUCCAUUCUAUCUUCAUUAUCUAAGUCCAACUUCUACUGUCAGUAAAAGUAAAACUUCAUUUCAGGAAGAGAGGAAUUGAUAAGUUUUAACAAAUAAGUGUAAAUACAUUUUCUAUUUUUAUUUAAUUUAAAAUUUUAUAUAACAUACCAAAAUUUUAAAAUGUUUAUAUUAAAAAUAUAAUGAUUUAAAACUAUUUAAAAAAUGAGAUAUCAAAAAAAUUAUUAUCUUAAAUUUAAAAAAUUAAUGUAAUUUUUUUUUAAAAAAAAACAUAAUAUAAAAAAAAUAUAUUGGAGGAGCAGAAUAAUUGAGAGAGAAGCAACAAAACGUUAAGUACAAAGUGGAGAAAUGCAACUAAUGAAAUUGGAAGUAACAAUGUCGUUUUGCAGGCACAUGAGGGUGGCCCAUUUCUCCCCUCUUUUUAUUUCUUUUCACACGCCAACUUGACUCAGCCCACAAUAAAUCCUUACUUAUCCCUUGUGUAAAUUGGAAGUAACGUUUUUCAAUUAUUUUUAUUUUUACUAAAUUCAUCAAGACAUUUGACAAAAUUUAGAAAUGAUUUUUGAAAUAUUAAAAAAUUACCUAAACUAUUUCCUAAAAAAAUUUAAUCAGUAAUUAUCCUAAAAAUAUUUUCAAAAACCAUUUUUAUUAAAGUAUUUCGAAUAAAAAGGUUGUCGAUCACAUGUAAAUUAAUAUUUAGAAGCCUUAUAAUAGAUGGUGUUGAAAUUUUCUCUCUUUUAAAAUUGACGUAUAAGAAUAAGAAAGUAUGACUGAAAGAAGAGAUUAGCUAAGUGACAUCAAGAAGCAUAACUCUUAGAAUAUCUUAAUUUUUUCGGCAAAAAAGCAAUUGAAUAUGAUAUAAUAUUGGUAGAAAUUAAUCAACCUUACUUGCCUAUUCAAGAAGUCAACUAUAUAUCAUUUAAAAAAUUAUCGCUCCCUUUGUAUUUAACAUGCUUAAACAUUAUAAAAAAUUAUCAAUUUAUUUAGAAAAUAUCAAUGCAUACAAGUGAACACUAAAUUGUUAUUAUAUAUUACUUCAAAGUCGUUUAAUUUAUUUUAAUUUUUAUAUAAAGAUUAAUUAAUUUGAAAACACGUAAAUUUCUAACCAAUCUUCUUUAUAUUUUACCUUCCUCACUAUUUUUUACUUUCCUAAUUUGGGGAAAGCCUUUUCUUAAAAAAUUUGGUUUUCCAAAUUUCAAAUUGAACCCACUUCAUUUGGGCAACAUUAAGUUAAUUGAUCCUAAUCAAUGCCAAAUACUAUGAAUCUAAAGUUCAAAUCAUAGCAACAUAGAGAGGGAGUUCAAUUUCAAUACAAAAUACAAAAAGUGUAAAACUAGAUAUUAAUAUUAAGACAUCAUACUAAUUAAACAAGUUUCAUUUUUGUCAAAAAAAAUAUAUCUAGUUCCCAAAAAUAUCAAGGAAAAAAAUAUAAAAAAUAUUUUUCUUCAUAUUUGGUUUUACUAUGAUAAAUUCGAGAUAAAAUCAAAUAUAAGAAAUUUUAAAUAUUUUAAAUUAUUUAAUCUUUAUAUAAAAAUAAAGUUAAAAUAAGUGAAAUGACUUCAAAAUAAUAUAUAAAAAAUAAAAUUAAUUUAUUAGUUUUAAUCCUAUUUUUUAUUUUCAUUGGUUUUUUGUCUUUCGAUUUUUUUCUUCUUUAUUUUCUUUUUCUCAUAUUUUUCCUCAUUCAAACAUACCAAAAAAAAAAAUUGUUUUAACUUUCAUUCAAAUUCAAAGUCUUAAUAAUACUUUCACAUUUAUUUUUAUUCAAAUUAGAAGAAAAUACAAAUAUUUGGAAUGCCUUUGAAAUAGUUUCCUAUUUUUCACUUUAACUAAAAGUUAAAAUUGAAUCAAAAUCAUAAUUUUUAAAAGAUAAUAUAUGAAAGAGUUCUUAGCAUAAAUCAAAAUAAAGUUUUUACAAGGAACAACAAUUUUUUUAAUUUCUAUAUUAAAUUUCUUGUUAAGUGGUCAUAAGUUUUUUAAACGAAAAUAGUAAAAAAAAAAAAAAAACAUAUGAUUGAUACCAAGAUAAAUUAUGAAUCCUUUAAAGUGAUCCACUACACUUUUUUGGGGUGGAAAUUCAGUCAUUAAUACAUGUACUUGAUCUGGGGGUGCCCUACAAUUCAAGUCAAUGAAUUUGGACAAAUCAAAUCAAUUUUUUUCCCAAUUGAUACCAAGGAAUAUCCAUAUGAUUCAAACAAUAUUUAUAUUGUUUGUUUGGAUUUUGCCUAAAGUAUUCAUGAAUGUGUCCAAAUAAUAUGCUUAUCAAUGGCACUACUAAUUUUUGCUUCCCCCUUUUCUUUUUUUUUUCAUUUUUUGUUUGUUUUGAAUUGGUACUUCCUUUCUCAUUCAUUCUACAUUCUUUUUUUAAAAAACAUUUGUCUCUUUUGCAUACAUCCUAAAAAGCCCAAAGUGUCUUUUUUUUAUUUAUUAUUAUUAUUAUUAUUUUUUAAAAAAGAACUUAAUAAAAUCUUUCGCUUCUAUAUAUCUUAAAAUGAAAAUAAAAAAUAAAAUUUUAUUAUUAAAGUUUUAUUUUGAUUUAUAGAUAAAGUUAUUUCAUAUUUUAUAAAUCUCUUCCUAUAUUCAUUUUGUUCUUUGCAAAUUAUAAUUUCACUCACUUCAACUUUGAAAUAAAAUCAAAAUAAAAAUAAAAAAUUAUAGCAAAUUAUGUUUAAUUUAAUCCGCUUUUCAAUUGGAAAAUACUAAUAGUGCAACCCAUAUCUGUCUAAACUUAGUGCAUAUAAUAUUACUUUUCAAUGGACUUGAAAACUAUUUAAAAACCGACAACUCCAAAGUCAAUUAUCUCAAUUAUGGAGUGUCAUGGUUCCAAAAGAUAAAAGCAAGUGUGAAGAUCCUUAAAAUGUUUUUGAGUGUAAUGGUGUUUCCAAAAGAUAUAAGCAAAAAUGAAAAUAUCGGAAUCACGGAUAUAUCAAUAUUUCGAUUUUACGAAUAUGUCAGAUAUAUCGGAGAUAUAUUGGUAAAUAUUUUGACAUAAAAUAUCGAUAGACCUAAAAUUAACCAAAAUUUAUAAAAAUAUAAAAUAAAACUUUUAGAAAUGAAAUUAAAAGUACAAUAGACAUUUUAAAAUUAUUUUGUUAAAUAAAUUAAUGUGUGUAUAUAUAUAUAUAUAUACGUGUCAACAAAAAAUAUAAAUUUGAUAAGUGUAUAUUGAUUAUUAAAUUAUAUCAAAUAUUAUUUGAUGAUUAUAUUGUGAUAUUUGAUUAUAAUAUAUUUCGGUGGAUAUUUUGACACAAAAUGUCUGUAAACCUAAAAUUGAUCAAAACUUACAAAAAUAUAAAAUAAAACUCUUAGAAAUGAAAUUAAAAGCAUAAUAAACAUUUUAAAGUUAUUUUUUUUUAAUAAAUUGAUAUAUAUAUAAUAUUGUACAUGUUAAUAAAAAAUAUAAAUUUGAUAAGUGUACAUUGAUUAUUAAAUUAUAUAAAAUAAUAUUUGAUGAUAAUAUUGUGAUGUAUGAUUAUAAUAUGUUUAAUUUUAAAAUCUAUUUAAUAUUAAAAUUAUGAUAUAUUAUAAAAUAAAUGAUGAUAAAUGUAUAAAUUUUUAAUAUAUUAAUAAUAUUAAAAAUACUCUGAAUAAAAUUAUGUUAUAUUUUUACUAAUCAAUUAAAUGAAAAAAUUUCAUUCAAUUAUAAAAUAGUGAUAAUUAAUUGUUAUUUAAAGUGUUUUUUUUUUAAUAUUUUAUUUAUAUCCGAACUUUCGAUAUAUAUUUCUUUAGUGCAUAUUAUAUAUCAAAGGGCAAGUUUGCUCUAGUGGAGCUAGGAGUUGGGGAUGCAUGUUGAACCUUCGAAUCCCCCAACAGCAACAAAAAAAAAAAAAACUCAAUUUUGAGCUUUGACCGCGUUGACCGCCCACGUUGACCAAUCGUUGACCACCGAUAAAUCCAUGCUAUAUAUCGUUUCACCACCCGCCGACACACCGAUAUUUCAACGAUAUUUUCUUCCCUAGAUAUAAGCAAGUAUGAUUUUCCUUAAAAUGUUUUUCACAUUUUUUUUGACAUAAUUAUUUAAGUUGCCUACCAAUAAAUCUUUUUCUGAUUUUUGUAUGAAUUGAAUAUUAUUAUUUUUCUAAAAUAAGAAGUAUGUUUAAUAAUUAAUUUUUCUAAGUAAUAAUAAUGACCAACAACCUUUUAGACCUAGUUUUUCAAUCAACUUAUUUAUUUCCUAGGUAUAAAACAUGGAGAAGUAAAAUACAUGUAUUGAUGGAUCAAUUAGAGGGAGGGUUAAACCUACUAAGACACUACCCACCUCACUGGAGAAUGGAAAAUUAAAUGGUUAUAAAUACAUCAUCAUUUCCCUUUUUCCAUAAAAAUGUUGCUCCAUGUCCUCUUAUCAAUUUCACUUCAAUUAUCCUCAAAAAAAUCACUUCACAACUUCAAAGAUUUGUUAGUAAAAUUGUAAAAGUACUAACAUGUCACUUGAGUAAAAAAGACAUGAUUACUAUGCAAAAAAUGAAACAUAUGCCAUAUUUAUCAUCUAAAUUAUGUACUUUUUGAAUAGUAAUUACAUGUUACACUAGGUAGAAUCAUGUUAACAUAUUAAAUGGAUUAGAAUCGUGUUAUCUUGUUUAAUGAAUGUUAAUAGGUUUAAUAGGUUAGAAUCAAAUUAAUGGGGGUUACCUAUAUCAAUUCAUAUAGAGGUCAACUUAACCUAUUUAUUAAAUUAGUUAUGUCUAUAUCAAGUCAUUUUAACAUGAUGUUUAAACAAAUCAUAUUCCAAUUAAGUAAACUUUCACUAGUUUUUAUCUUGACACAAUACAAAUCCAACAUAAUAUGACCCAUUGUCACCCUAGUUAAGGAGCAUAAGAGUGUUGCAUCAAGGAAGUGGAAGAAGAGCAUAGUGAUAUAAAACUUUAGGGAGUGGAAGCAUUUAAUCAAGUAAAGUUGUGUAACUUUUAUUUUCAUAAGUAGUGAAUUAUUCAAUUGUCAAGAGACCAACCAUAGUUUUUUUUUUUUAUACCUAGGGAUUUCUAGGUGCUUUCCACAUAAAAUUCUAUGUUGAAAUGUGUAAUUGGAAAUCUCAUGCAUGAGAUUGAUAAGAUAUUGAUGAUAAUUGAGUUGGAAUAAAACAAUUUAACUUUGAGGGGUUAAUUGCUUGGACUACCUAUUUACCCCUCCUUCAAGAAGUUCCAUAUAAGGGUCUCCAAUGGGCGGGCCGGGCCAUGGAAAAAUGUUAGGCCCGCGGCCCGGCCUAUGAGUCCGCGGGCUAGCGGGCUGGGGGCGGGCUGGGCCAACGGGCCGGGCUGGGGGCGGGCUGGGCGGGCCGGGCCGCGGGCCGAGCCUUGGGCUUUUUUAAAUAAGCCAAAAUGGCUUUAGAAAGGAAGAGAGAGGGAGGGAUUCGAACCCCUCCCCUCAUGCUUUAAUAUAAAGGCUCUAACCAACUGAGCCACAUUUAUUUUGUGUUAACUAAAUGAGUUAGUUAUAUAUAUAUAAAAUAAAGUAUAUUAUUUUUUUAAAAAAAAUUAACGGCUCCAACGGUCAUGUGACCGUUGGAGCUCCAGCCCAGCUCCCAGCUGCCAUGUGACCGUUGGGCAACGGUCACAUGGCCAAUUUUUUUUUUUUUUUUUUUUCUAAAGCCUUCCUAUAAAUACAUCUUCUCCCUUUUCAUUUUUUCAUCAAAUUCUCUCUAUUUCUCUCACAUUCUACAAUAUUUCAAAUUCUUUUAUUUUUCCCUCAAAUUAUACAAUAUUGUUGGUGGUGCAAAACAAGCAUUGGUGGCUCCAAGAGUUCAAAUUUGCUAGGAAUUUCUGCAUCGGUUCUCUAAUUGAGUAACAUACUUCACUCCUACUACUUUAUUUUUUUGUUACAUUUUUUUUAUAUUUAUUACUUUAUUAUUUUUGGCAUAAUAUUUUAUCAAUAAUUAUAAUAUGACAAGUGCUUCUUCUUCAUCUAGUCCAUGUGAUGAAAUAUCAUCAAACAAAAAAUUUACUUCAAAUAUAUGGAAUUUUUUUGAUAGAGUAGAAAUAAUUUUAGAAAAUAAUAAAAAAGAAAUAAAAGCAAAAUAUAAAAUUUGUAAUAAAUUUCUUACUGGUGGCUCAAAUGCAGGCACAAGUCAUUUAAAAAGACAUCACGAAAAUUGUAAAACUAAAAAUAAUGUAGAUAUUAAAAAUUAUAUGCAAUUAGGUAAAAAUGAAAGUGGAAAUUUAAAAACAUUUUCUUAUGAUGAAUCUAACUGUCGUGAAGAAAUGAUUGAUUAUAUAAUAAGAGCAGAACAACCUUUCAACAUGAUGAAAACUCAUGAUUUUGUAGGAACAAUUCAACGAGGUAUUAAUCCUCAAUUUAAAGGUUGGUCUGGAAAUACAGUUAAAAGAGAUAUUAUGAAAAAAUUUUAUACACAAAAAGAAAUUUAAAUUUUUUUUUUUUGCAAAUUUUGAAGGAAAUAUUUGUUUAACAUCUGAUAUUUGGACAUCUUUAACUCACACUGGUUUUUUAUGUAUAACUGCUCACUACAUUGAUAAUGAAUGAAAAUUAAAUAAAAGAAUAAUUUCAUUUAAAUUAAUAAAUGCUCCACAUAGUGGUAAAAAUAUAGCAUCUUUAAUAAAUGAUGAAAUUAUAGAUUUAGGCAUUCGUGAUAAAAUAUUGACAAUAACAUUAGAUAAUGCUGCUAAUAAUGAUACAACAAUACAUAGACUAAAACGAUAUUGGCAAGUAAAAGAAGAUCAUGCUAAAAUAUUUCAUGUGCGUUGUUGUGCACAUAUUUUAAAUUUAAUUGUAAAGGAUGGAUUAAAAAAUGUUGAUGAUACAUUGGAAAAAAUUAGAGGCAUUGCAUAUAGUAUUAAUAGUUCUCAAGCAAAACAUGAAUUAUUUUUUGAUUGUUGCAAAAUGUUAAAUAUGAAAAGAAAAAAUAUAAAUUUGGAUAUGGCCAUUAGAUGGAAUUCCACAUAUAAACUUUUACAAAAUAUUACAAAAUAUAGAAAAGUAGUCGAAUUAUAUGAAAUAUAAUUACUUAACAAUGAUUGUGAAGCAGAUAUUUAUGCAUUAAGUGAUUAUGAUUGGCAUGUUGCAGAUCUUUUAAGAGAUCUUUUUGAAAUUUUUGAUACUUCAACAAACAUUUUUUGUGGUGUAUAUUAUCCAACUUCAAAUCGAGUUAUUAUGCAAAUAACUAAUAUUUUUAUUGUACUUCAAAAAUAUUUAAGUUUUGAAAUAUUUAAUGAUACAAUAUUUGCAAUGAUAGAAAAAUUUAGAAAAUAUUGGGGGGAAAUACCUUUAAUUUUUUAUAUUGCUUUAAUUGUGGACCCUAGAUUGAAAUUUGAAGCUUUGGAUGAAUGGUUAACAAUUAUUUAUUUUAAUGACCAAAUAAAAAUUGAAGAAAUUAAAAAUGAAAUAAAUUCAUUAUUACAUAAUUUAUAUAACUAUUAUAAAGAAAAAUAUGGUAAUGAUAUUAAUACUAAUAAAUUACCACCUACAUCUACAAACUCCUCAUCUUUUUAUAAAGGAGCUCUAGAAAUGUUGAAAAGUCGAAAAAAGACAACAAAUAGUUCUCCAAAUAAUACAUCUGAUUUAGAUAAAUAUCUUAAUACUGAUAUAAUUCCAUUUGAAGAUCAAGAAGAUUUUGAUAUUUUAAUAUGGUGGAAAUCACAUCAACACAAAUAUCCUGUGCUUUCUAUAAUUGCUCGUGAUGUACUAACAGUUCCUGUGAGUACAGUUGCAUCAGAAGCUGCUUUUAGUGCAGGUGGAAGAGUUAUUAGUAAAAAACGAUGCAACUUAGCGCCAGACGUUAUUGAAGCAGGGAUAUGUGUAAAAGAUUGGGAAAUAGUAGAUAAAAGGAUGUACGAUUCCAUUUGAGAAACAGAGAUGUUUGCCAAUAUGGAAUCUUUAAAACUAUCAAGAUCUUCAUGGAUGCAUGAUAGUUCGCCAUCACCGCCAGAAAAUAAUGACUAAAUGUAUAUUAUAUUUUUAUUUUUAUUUUUUGUGGUUGAAAAAUACAGAUGAUUGACAAAUAAAUAGGUGCCAACCUAGUUGGGAUGUAUUUAUUUUAUAGUGAUGUAAACUUUUCCCACAUUUUUAAAUGUAAUUAUACAUUCAAUGAAUAAAAUUUUGAAAUGAAUAUUUUUUUUAAUACUUUUUAUUUUUGUAUUUUUUUUUUUAAAGGGGCGGGCCUAUGGGCCGAGCCUAAAUUUAGGCCCGCGGCCUGGCCCGGCCCGCCCAUAAACGGGCUCGGGCCUGCGCGGGCCGCGGGCCGCGGGCUUUUUGGAGACCCUUAGUUCCAUAUCAAGAAAAAAAUUAUUUCAACAUAUAUAUAGAUAUUUUAUAUUUUCUAAUUUUAAAUUAAUUUUUAUGUUGGGAAAUUGAAUGAGGGAAUAGUUGGCUCAAUUUUCAAGCUUGGCAACAAAAUUUGUUGUUAACAUGUUAUUUUACCUUAUUUUAUACAUUUUUUUUGGAAUAAAAAUAUAUAAUCAACUACUCUUGUAUGAUUGAUUUAGAUGUUAGAAAAGGUUAUAACCAUUAAUUCUAUUAAUUGACCAACAAUUUUUUAUAAACUUUAAGUUGCUAGCAUUCAUAUAUUAUCCUAAAAUUAUUAAUUAUAAUUUUAUUUAAGUUGAACCACAAAUCUUGGGUAAAUGAUGAAGUAUUUGUUAACAAGAUACUUGUUUAAUUAUAUUGGAAGUUUUUAGUUUGAGGAGUUGUUGUUGAAUUCAAAUUCCUAGAAGCUAGCUUUGAGGACUAGAUAGUUGUCUUGAUUUUUGUUAUAAGUUUGAUUUUUAUAUUGUUUUCAAACAUGAUGUGUAAAAUGUAUUAAUGGUAAUGAUGUUGAAACAUAGCUAAUGCUACUAGAAGAAUGUUGUAUAGAGUGCCUUUGGUGAGUUGGAUCAGGGGGACAAGCUCCAUGACAAGCUCAAUUUAUUACAAAGGAUUCCUUCACAACCUCUCUUUGUAUGUUAUUAAGUCGUAAGUAGAAUUAUUAAAGUUAUAUAAACAAGUGGCAAUCUUGAUACGUCAUAAUGACACCAUUCGAAAAUUAUAUAAAUCUUAGCAGGUCUAAAGGUAUUUGUAAAACACAUUUGUAUUGCCUAAUUAUGGUCUUAUUGGAGAAUGAGUUAUUAUCAAUUUCAUGGAACAAAACUUUCAUUAGUCAAUAUUAGUUGAAGGUGAAAUCUUACUCAUAAAAUUUUUCAUUUAAAUUUAAAAGUUAAAAUUAUAAAGUAGAAAGUUAAAAGAACCAUUGAGCAUAGUUUAAAAUUUGAAUAUAAUGUGUUUAUCAAGCCCAAUAUUUAUUAUUUAUUAUUAAAAAUAUAAUUUCAUAUUUAAGAUAAUUUAGCACAUUUGAACAAUGCUUUGAGAAUAAGAUCGGAGCAUCUAAUUUGACUAAUUGGAUAGCAAAUCAAACUAAUCCAAUCUUAUUUUUCAUAUUUUUUCCACCUUCAAUUCUAUGAUAAAUAUGAACAAAAGUCUUUAUAUGAUUAUAACAAUAUAAACACUAAAAUAAUGAGUUUAACAUUAAAUAACAAAAAUUUUAUUUUAGUCUUCGACAUAUUGUUAUAUAAGUUAUAUAUAUAUAUUUAUAUAUAUGUGUGUGUGUGUGUUAGUAAAAUAAGAAAUAUUAUUAUAUUUAAAAUAUUAAAUAAUAAAAUCACAAUAUUUUGUUAUUAAUAAUAUUUAAUUAAUACAUUCUAAUUAAAUCUAAAAUAAAAACUUUACACAAAUUAGUAUAAAACCAAAUAUGUUCACCAUAAACCAACCCCUGUAAAAAUACUUAAAUAUACAAAAGUCAAAGUAAAUAAAUGAGAAAUAAUGUUAAAAGAUAUAUAUAUAUAUAUAUAUAUAUAUAUAUAUAAAGAAUCAUUGUCUAGUAUUUUAAUUUUUUUUAUAUUUUUAACUCCAUAUAUUAUUUUAAAUUUUAAUAAUAUAUGAAUUAUAUCUGCAUAUUGCCAUGCUGAUAUCAUGUUUCAAUUACUUGAACCAUCAAUUCAAUUAAGAAAGUCUAAUGCAAUAAUUUUCAAUUCAAUAACUAAUUAAUAAGAUUUUCAAAAUAUUGUAUUUGAAAACUCACCACAAAAAAUGAAUAUAAAAGAUCAUGAAAUUCUUGCAAAGAAAACUUACUUCAUGAAAAUAUGGAAACCCCAAACCUUAAUUUCUUCAAUAAUACAAAUCAAAAUUCUUAUGUUUAGGCAUCUUAGGAGAGAACCAAUAAUCUCAUCCACAAAUCAAGCAUAGUCAAUAGUCAAUUCUUAUGUUUAGAAGUAAUAAUCUCAUCCACAAAUCAAGCAUAGUCAAUAGUCAAUUCUUAUGUUUAGAAGUAAUAUAUACAUACAUACAUAUAUACAUAUAUACAUACAUAUAUAUAUAUAUACACACCGUGUAUAGAUGAUGUAUCUUUUGGAAAGUCAUGUAUAUAUUUAAAUGUUGUAAUGUAAAUCUUGCAUAAUAUAGUUUGACCAUUCAUCCAUUCAUUCAUCCAUCUUAUACUCUUGCAAAGAAAAGUAACUUCAUGAAAAUAUGGAAACCUCAAACCUUAAUUUCUUCAAUAAUGCUUAUUAAAAUUUUUGUAGUAAAAAGUUGUGUAAUUGAGGACACUAAUGAUGCAAGGUUAUAACUAGUCACUCCUAACCAGACUUAUUCUUAUACAUAUUCCCAUCUUCAUCUCAAGUCUGGAAGUUUACCUUUCUAUUUUAAGAAAAUUAAUUAUUCUUUUUAUUUUACAUAUAUUGAAAAAGGUAAAAGAAAAAAUAAGAUUGAGCGAUAUGAACCACUAUAAAACUUGAAUCAAUCUCGACAUAUAUGUGAGAAGAUAAUUUAAAAGUGUAUUUAACAGUGUUUAAUUUUGAAGUGUUUUUAAUUUUAAUAAAAGUAUUUUUUUAGAAGUGAUUUUGAGAUAAUUACCUAUUAAAAGUGCGUUUGAUAAUGAUUUUAAAAUAGUGUUUUUAGUUUUUUAAUACUUGAAAAAUAAAAAUUUUCAAGUGUUAGAAAGAAUAAAAAUAUUUUUUAAAAUUAUUGUUAGACGCACUUUAAAACCCCGUUUAGUAGUGAUUUUAGGAAGUGUUUUUAAACUUUUUAACACUUUAAAAUUUGUAUUAUUUAAGUGUUAGAAAUGCUAGAAACGUUUUCUAAAAUCAUCAUAAAAUGUAUUCUAAGAGUGUGUGUGAUAGUGAUUCUUGGAAACGUUUUUAACAUUUUUAAUACUUAAAUGAUAAUAAUUUUCAAAUGUUAAAAGGUUAUAAACACUUCUUAGAAUCACUACCAAAUAGGUUUUAAGUGUUUUUUCAAAAAACACCACAAAUGAUUUUUUUUAUUUGUUUAAAAGUGUCUUCUAAAUUUUAUUAAAUACUUUAUUUAGAAAAAAAAAUUAAGCUAGAAGUGCUUUUUAAAAACACUAUUAAAUGGACCAUAAAUCUUAAAAUAAAAUCCCAAAUCACCCCUUGAUUUAAUUAUAAGUAAUUUUAAGAGAAUCAUUUAUUAAAUAUUUAUUUCAAAAAGCACCACAAAUGAUUUUUUAUUUGUUUAAAACUAUUUACUAAAUUUUAUUAAAUACUUAUUUUUGUUCAAAAAUAUUUUUUAAGGAAGAAGUGUUUUUUUAAAAAUAAUAUCAAAUGGACGUGUAAAUCUUAAAAUAAAAUCCCUUGAUUUAAUUAUACUUUUCAAAUCCAUCCAUAAGCCUAGGCAUCCUUGAAAUACCCACCCCUGUUAUAAUACAAAAGCAAACCACCACUAAGGAUAUUUAAACAACAUUUUAAAGACAAUCGGAACCUAUCAAUGAGACUUUGUCUCAUAAUACAAAUUUCGUUAUGUUCACAUGAAGAAAGGGACAAAUAAUACAUAAAAACUAAAAAUCAUAUUGUGGACCCCGUAUUUCGGCUCAAUGCGUUUUUCACUCGAUGGCGAACUCGAUUUUAAUUUGAAAAAUGAUUUUUAUUGAUUAAGAAAAUGACUUGGAGUCGCCACUUAUUUUUGUUUUAUUUUUAAAGGGGUAAACAAAAUAAGAAAGAAAACCCUAAGUGUGACUCCUUAUUUUAGAAAAGGCGGUCUGUGAAAAACCGGAUCGGGCUCGGGGGUCAGGUUACUUAUCGGGAAGGUACGGUACGAACCGUAGCACCCCUCUAAGUCCCUAAAGUCGGGUCUCUACUAAUAAAGUGAAGCUGAUGUGGCAUAACAAUUGAUUAAUUAAGCAUGGAUACCAAACAAUGAUCAAAUGUGUGAAAGUGAGAGAUGAUCAAUAAACACAAUCGGGGUACGGGACGUACCUUAGUCGUAAGCUGAGCGCUAUCAUAAGAGACAAGGUUAGUGCACAAAUACAAAAUAAUCGCAUGCAGAUCAUAGAGUGAGGCAAGCUAAUCAAGUAUGACAAUCAAGCAAUCAAUGAGAAAAUCACAUAUGUUGGGUCCCACCAAAACCCAAUUGAUCCUGCCUGAAUUAAUCUCACGAAUCCCAUUAUUUCGGAAUCAUGAAGAUUCAUCACUCUUGCUUGUGUAAAAAUCAAAAGAAAUAAAACAUUAUUUAAGAAUCGAAGUGGAAUUAAAACUGUUCGAGAGAAAAACUGGGUUUUUGAGAUUUAGUUGGAAAUUGGAGUCUCGAAAAUUAUUUGAAGAUUGGAGUCUUGAUAACUAAAUUUAAGAAUUGGAAUUUCGGAUAUUAAAUUUGAAAGAAAUUAGAAUUUUGGAAAUCGGAAAUUAAGUUCAGGAAUUGGAAUUUUGAAGAAUUGUUUAAAAUGGGAUUUCAAAAUAAAAUACUAAAAUAAUAAUAAUUAAAUAGAUUCAUGUGAGUACUGGAAUUUUGGAAUUAGAAAUUAAAUCGGAAGUCAAAAAUUUUAAUGAAUUAUUUAAAAUGGAAUUUUAAAGUAAAUAAAUAAAAUUAUAACUAAAUAGAUUAAUGCGAAUUUUGGAAUUUUCAGGAAUUAGAAAUUAAAAUCGGGAGUCGGAAAUUUUAAUAAAUUGUUUAAAAUGGAAUUUUAAAGUAAAUAAAUAAAAUAAUAAUUAAAUAGAUUAAUGUGAAUUUUGGAAUUUUCAGGAAUUAGAAAUUAAAAUCGGGAGUCGGAAAUUUUAAUGAAUUGUUUAAAAUGGAAUUUUAAAGUAAAUAAAUAAAAUAAUAAUUAAAUAGAUUAAUAUGAAUGUUGGAAUUUUGGAAUUAGAAAUUAAAACGGAAGUCGGAAAUUUUAAUGAAUUUAUUUAAAAUGGAAUUUUAAAGUAAAUAAAUAAAAUUAUAAUUAAAUAGAUUAAUGUGAAUGUUGGAAUUUUGGAAUUAGAAAUUAAAACGGAAGUCGAAAAUUUUAAUGAAUUUAUUUAAAAUGGAAUUUUAAAGUAAAUAAAUAAAAUUAUAACUAAAUAGAUUAAUGUGAAUUUUGGAAUUUUCAGGAAUUAGAAAUUAAAAUCGGAAUUUUGAGAAGUUAUUUAAAAGUCGAGUUUUUAUUUUUCUUAUUUUUUAUUUUUCUUUAUAUAUAAACAAAUAAGUAAAUAAAUUAAAAUGAUUAUAAUUAAAUAAAUUGAGGUGAGAAUUAAAGUUUCGGAAAUUGGAGUUUUGAGAUUAUUUGAAGAUUGUAUAUAUUGUGAGUAGGAUUGGGGAGUUGGAAUUUAGAAAAUUUAUUGAGGAAUUAGUGCUUUUUAGAAAUGUAAAUUAUAUAUAUAUAAAAGGCAAAUGGGUUAACUUAAAGUGGGUGGGCUUGAAAUAGGCAUGGGCCAAGGUAAAGUGGGUGGACAGAAGCUUGGACUUGGGCUUCAGCUUUAGCCCAUGUCCACUAGCAUGAAGCCCAAGCUUUUAAUCUUUAACAAAAUUUGCCUUCACGCCUGGGUGCCACCUUCCAUCUAGGAACCUCCAUCAUGGACGCCGCAGUUGCCGGAGUUGGGACUGUCCCCGACGUCGGCGACAUGGAGGCCUUCGUCGUGAGUGCGGGUGACGACACGGAAGACGCUGCACUCGCCGUCCGCGAGGAGGGCGCCAUCAGCGCUGGCGUCGCGGGGGCCACGCGUGGCUGUCAUUGGCGCAUUCUGCUGGGAGCUCCGUCAUUUGAGUAGCCUUCACGACCAGCAUUCAUCCCCAGCCCAACUAUCUUGGCUUCCAAGUCCAGUUUUUUAUGCAUGGUGAUUGGUAGGCAUGAAAUGGGUGGAGAGUUUGGAGGGAAAAUGGGUAAAGAUGAUGCAAACAAGAAAAACACUACUACAAGUGUCAAAAGAAAACAGAGCCCAACAGAUCUCAAUAAUAAAAAAAGCCAAAGAAAAGAGAACGAACAUGUUAGGACCCUUUCAAAGCAACCUAAAAAAAAAGGAAAACAUUCAGAAUAGUCGUACGACCCUCUACCCAUUCACAGUCAACCUAAUGCCCGGAAAUGAUCAAUAGAAAACUGAAGAAAAUAACGAAUAGAGGGAAACGAGAUGGUUGCCGCGUUCAUACCUGGAUUUCUCCCGUAAGCCAAAAAAAUGGUUUCCCCCUUCCUUUCUUCUCUAGCUCCGGCAGCUUGCCUUCCCGCCCAAGCUCUCUAAAACUCCCUCCAGAUCCCCUCUCUCAUGGAUCUUCUCUUUUCUUCUUUGCCUUUUUCCCCAGAUCCGGAAAUCUAGCACCUGCUCCCCUGUUCCCUGCUCCCUACAGCCGCCUAAGGAUAGUUCCUUCUCCCUCCUUCCACUUCCAGCCGUCCUCGGGUGGAUAAAGAAAGCAGAAAAGAAGAAGAAAAAAAAUGAAUAAAAAUAAAAACCGGCCCAUGCCCCUAGCUGAGGGGGUCUACACAUAUACAAUAGAAAGCUUGGAAUCAAGAGGGAAGAGAGUAGGAAGUUACGAAGUGGUGGAGCCUUGGUAAAAUAAAAUUAACAACGGCAUUAUCAUGUGCGGGUCUCAGCGCUGGAUGGACCGAAUUUUGCUUCUCCCAAAACUCUUUCAAUAUUAUAAUUAGAGCCCGCUUGAUGCUUAGAAAAAUACAUUUGCAAGUGAUCUCCAUCUGUCAAUCAAUUAAUCUAUACAAUAUUAAAAAUUCACUUCUUGUUGAUUUAGGAAAAUCACUUUGUUGGGGGUGGCCUGUCUCCGAUGUUACUCAAGUUUCAACUCUGGACUUUUCAAAUUAACAAAGUGCAGUGAUUCAUCUUUCUUCUUUGUUCCAUUUUUGGCUGAAUUGUAAUCCUUUUGUCUGUAACUUACGGAAAGCUAUGGAGUUUCUGAGCUCAAUCGUGGGUCUGGUCCCCUGCUUCUAUGAUCACACCUCCAAGCAUACGGUCUACAUUCGUGAUCUGAGAAAAAAUAUCGAAGCCUUGAUGAAAGAAAUGGUGGUUCUGAACAACUUGUAUGAAGAUGUGAAGGCAAGGGUUGAACGUGCAGAGCAACAACAGAUGAAGCGCAGAAAGGAAGUGGGUGGGUGGAUCCGUGAAGUAGAAGACAUGGAGAAAGAAGUUCACGAAAUUCUGCAAAGAGGAGAUCAAGAAAUCCAGAAGAGUUGUCUCGGAUGCUGUCCCAGGAAUUGUUGGUCUAGCUACAGGAUUGGAAAGGCGGCAAGUGAAAAGCUGGUUGCUGUAUCUGGUCAAAUCGGCAAAGGACAUUUCGAUGUUGGUGCCGAGAUGUUGCCUCGUCCUCCAGUUGAUGAACUGCCCAUGGAGGCGACUGUGGGCCCACAAUUGGCGUAUGAAAAGAGCUGUAGGUUUCUCAAAGAUCCACAAGUGGGAAUUAUGGGAUUGUAUGGAAUGGGGGGUGUUGGCAAAACCACCCUCUUGAAGAAAAUCAACAAUGAAUUCCUCACAACAUCCAAUGACUUUGAGGUUGUGACUUGGGCUGUGGUGUCAAAAUCGCCCGACAUUGAAAAAAUUCAACAAGUUAUUUGGAAUAAAUUGGAAAUCCCACGUGAUAAAUGGGAAACUAGAAGCAGUAGGGAGGAGAAGGCUGCAGAAAUAUUGAGAGUUUUGAAAAGAAAAAGGUUCAUCAUGUUGUUGGAUGACAUUUGGGAGGGACUUGAUCUCCUAGAAAUGGGGGUCCCGCGUCCAGAUACUGAAAAUAAGUCCAAGAUAGUUUUGACGACCCGUUCACUGGAUGUCUGCCGCCAAAUGAAAGCUCAGAAGAGUAUAGAAGUGGAAUGUUGGGAGUCAGAAGAUGCCUGGACUUUGUUCCAGAGGGAGGUAGGAGAAGAAAUAUUAAAAUCUCAUCCGCAUAUACUGAUGCUUGCAAAGGAUGUUGCUGAAGAGUGCAAAGGUUUACCUCUCGCUCUUGUCACUCUUGGGCGGGCCAUGGCGGCUGAGAAAGAUCCCUCAAACUGGGACAAGGUAAUACAAGAUCUACGCAAAUCUCCAGCUGAAAUCACAGGUAUGGAAGAUAAAUUGUUUCAUCGAUUGAAACUCAGUUAUGAUAGGUUGCCUGACAAUGCCAGCAAAUCUUGUUUUAUAUAUCAUUCCAUGUUCCGAGAGGACUGGGAGGUUUUUAAUAUUCUUCUUGUAGAACUUUGGAUAGGGGAGGGGUUCUUGGGUGAAGUUCAUGACAUACAUGAAGCACGCGAUCAAGGGGGGAAAAUUAUUAAAACUUUAAAGCAUGCAUGUUUAUUGGAGAGUAGUGGUUCAAAAGAAGGAAGGGUUAAGAUGCACGAUGUGAUCCGGGACAUGGCUUUGUGGUUAUAUGGUGAACAUGGGGUGAAAAAGAACAAAAUUCUAGUAUACAAUAAAGUUGCCAGGCUUGAUGAAGAUCAAGAAACUUCCAAAUUGAGAGAAACAGAGAAGAUAUCAUUAUGGGAUAUGGAUGUUGGGAAGUUCCCAGAAACAUUGGUGUGCCCCAAUCUUAAGACUUUAUUUGUGAAAAAAUGUCAUAAUUUGAAGAAAUUUCCAAGUGGAUUCUUUCAAUUCAUGCUUCUACUAAGAGUUCUGGAUUUGUCAGACAAUGAUAAUUUAAGCGAGUUGCCUACUGGGAUUGGUAAAUUGGGUGCCUUGAGAUAUCUUAAUCUGUCACACACAAGAAUAAGGGAGUUGCCCAUUGAACUAAAGAAUUUGAAAAAUCUGAUGAUUUUGAUUAUGGAUGGUAUGAAAUCCCUUGAAAUUAUUCCACAAGAUAUGAUAUCAAGCCUUAUAUCCUUGAAGUUGUUCUCCAUUUACGAAUCCAAUAUUACAAGUGGAGUUGAAGAAACUGUACUGGAGGAGUUGGAGUCCUUGAAUGACAUCAGUGAGAUAUCAAUCACCAUAUGCAAUGCUCUUUCAUUCAACAAACUAAAGAGUAGUCAUAAAUUACAAAGGUGCAUACGUCAUCUACAUUUACAUAAAGGGGGGGAUGUGAUCUCACUUGACCUAUCAUCUUCAUUUUUUAAAAGAACGGAGCAUUUGAAGCAGCUUUAUAUAAGCCAUUGCAAUAAAUUGAAAGAAGUGAAAAUUAAUGUGGAAAGACAAGGGAUACACAAUGAUUUGACUCUUCCAAACAAAAUUGCAGCAAGGGAGGAAUACUUCCACACCCUUCGUGCUGUGUUUGUAGAACAUUGUUCAAAAUUGUUAGACUUAACAUGGCUUGUUUAUGCUCCAUAUCUUGAAAGACUUUACGUUGAAGAUUGUGAAUUGAUAGAAGAAGUGAUACGUGAUGAUAGUGAAGUCUGUGAAAUUAAGGAAAAAUUGGACAUAUUCUCAAGGCUCAAGUCCCUCAAGCUCAAUAGGUUGCCAAGAUUGAAGAGCAUCUACCAGCAUCCACUACUCUUUCCCUCUCUUGAAAUCAUCAAGGUGUAUGAAUGCAAAGGCUUAAGGAGUCUCCCGUUUGAUUCCAACACUUCAAAUAAUAGUCUGAAGAAAAUUAAAGGAGAGACAAGUUGGUGGAAUCAGUUGAAGUGGAACAAUGAAACUUGCAAGCACUCUUUUACUCCGUAUUUCCAAAUCCAUGAAGCUGAAGCAUAUUCAACUGACACUGAGGAGUCUGAAACUGGCAGCAUAGAUGAUGUGCAAGAACAACCGGUAUCAAAUUAACUUCUAUCAAUCUUUCAGGUAUUAAUUAACUUUUAUACUAUAUUUGGAAAAUCAUUUUCUUUCCUUAAUCCCAUUCUUUUGUGGAAUUUUUUACUCUAUAUAUCUAUGCCAAAGUGCAUCAAAGUCUCAACAUCAUAAUAACUUUCAAUGUUUGAUCUAUCAAGUUUGCCCCCUUUUGAAGUAACUGUUAUAAAGUUUGCCCAGAAGGGACUUUGAAGGAGGUCUUUUAUUUAAACAUCUAAUGACAUUUCCUUUUGGUUACUUGAGAACUUGAAAAUGUGCAGAGUUCUCAACUAUAUUGUUUAUUGUGUCUUAAUUUUUUCGGUUCAUUUCAAUCUAUAAACAGAAAGAGAGAAUACCUAAUUUCAACUUAAUUCCUUAUAUUUCAAGUUGAAACAACAGGUGUUUCACAACAACUGUAGGUAAAGAUAUUCCAUUAAGAAUUCUCGCUUUGUUUAAUGUAUUUACCAGGACCAACUAUAUGUAAUUUCUCUUCUUUUGUUGAGUUGCCUCUAUCUGGUUGACUCUCAGUUGUUCUUUUUUUUCUUUUCUUUUUUCUAUUGCAUUCAGAGUUGGGGCUUGUUCUAGAAGUUCUGACAACAGCUGGGAUUCAAUUAGCUCUAUCUAGUGGAGCCUUGAGGUUUUUGGUUGGAUGCAGAGCAGGGUCUUGUUCUACCCCUUCUUACUCAGUUGGGAUCUGAGCUUCAUCGGCUGCUUCCGUUGUCCUGCUCUUUUUCCUUCUAAUUGGUAUAGACGUGAGCUGGAUUAUGUUUGCUUGCUGGUCUGAGUUUCUGAUAUGUUUUGUGGCGGUGUGCUGAUUCUCAGAGUAUCGUUAUUCAUGGUGCUCAGUCUGCUGGGAAAGUUGGUUAAUGUCCAGAUGCAGGGGCUCAUCUCGGCAGGCUUUGGCUGGGAUCCAUGUGUUUGCUGGAAUUGGAUUCUGUGGGUUGCCUUUGGCUUUUGAUGUAGGCUGGGUUUGUUUUCUUUGUUGAGGUCAGUGGAGUAUGGUGGCUCAGAAGCUGCUAGUAAUCUGCCUGUUGUAUGCCGACGCUGGAAUCUUCAUGGUGGUUGCUCUGGUGGGUCAAUAUGAUAUGGGAAUGCUUUUGCCUUUUUGAGUCCUUGGGCGUCAGCUGGUUGCUUGUGUUUCCUCUGCACUUUAGCUCAUAUACCAGAGUGCAUACUUCCUUGAGUUCCAUAUCCCACUGCCAAGUGUGUUGUCCAUGAUGUAAUGUAAAGCAGUUAAUUUGUAUACCUGGCCUUAAGUUCCUCUCUAGAAAACUUUGAACGCCCUUUAUGAAUGAAAUGUUGUGAGAAAAACUGGAGUUGAUUUUCACAUUUGAGGUCGUUAAUGGUGAUUUUUCUUAAUGUAAUUGUGAUGGAAAAGAAAUUUGAUCAAGGAGUCGAAAUCAUAAGCAGAGUCGAUCUUAUUCAACAUUGCAUUAUAAUUUGGUACCCCUCACAGAUCGCUCUAAAUAGCAUUGAAAAGUACUUUCAUUUUCCUUCAGUGGAGGCUUCUUUUUCUUUGCUGGUUAAUAUUCAUAGCUUCAGUGCUUGAUGAAAUUUCAUUACUUUACAUUGUUCACUCUUGUCCCUCCUGCUCUAAUAAGAAUGAUUUGUUCAAGGAAUUUGAAAAUACUUGAACAAAAAAAGAAAAGAAUAGGAGAGAAAGGAAAAGAAAUUCAGAAAGCAAACACUUGGUAGUUUCCAUUUCAAUUAACCGAUCUUUGAAACUAAGAUGUAAUUCUUGGUACAAUAAAAGAAGACAUGCAACAUCUUAAGAAGAUUCAUCUAAUGGAACACACCAUCCUAUGAUAGGAAACUGAGACUAAACAGUAAUUUUUGGUAGAAUAGAUAUCGCAUGCCAAAAAGAAUGUUUUGUAGCUUUGGAUGCUUCAAAAUUCUUGUACGUAUAGCCCACAGACCUUUCGAGAUCAUACUUGUUUCUUUAGGCCUGUUUGAACAUACGGCUCUCGCGGAAGAUCUUACAAGUUUAAGAGUUCAUAUUGUCCAUGAAAUCACAGGAAAAGAAAAGGAUGUAUAAUCAAGUUCAUGAAAAAUAAAGAGAUGGCUUAUUAAAUUUCACAAGUAUGGGACAUCUAAAACACUUUGAGUUUCCAUUUAUGGGGCAAUUCCCAUCAAGUCCAAUGAUUGACCACCAAUGACUCGAAAAUCGAAACAUAGAAUGUGUUGCAUAUAAUUGAUGUUGCCUAAUUCUAAUAUUUCUCAUUUAUAUUAAUUUAUUCUCAUUCCUAUCCUAAUAAAAUUUUUUAAAUAAAAUAGGAUGGAUAUGAGAAUUUCUCAUACCCGUCUUAUACCAUUUAUUUAUUAAUUUUUAGUUUUUAAAAAAUUGAAAAUAAAUAUAUUUUAUAAAUAAAUAAAUAUUAACCUUGCAUGGUGCCCGCCCGCGAGCCAAGCCAAGGUGGCACGGGGCCUUGCUUGGUGCCCGCCCGCGAGCCAAGCCUAGGUGGCACGGGGCCUAUAAAUUUUGUAACUUAUUUUAUUUAAAAAUAUAUUUAUAAAAUUAUUUUAUAUGUUAAAAAAAGAAGAAUAUGAAAAACCAUAAAUUAAAUUAUUUUUAAAUUUAAUUAUAUGGGUUGGAAAGUGGUGGGUUAGGAGCCUAGGACAAGGCAUAUCUUGAACCUUGCCCCUAACCAACCCUAGUUUUUUUUUUUUAAAAAAAAAAAAAAAAAAUUCUUGAACUUGUAUAUGAUCUAUUUAUCUUCAUUUAAAUCUAUCUUAUUAAAGAUGAGUAUAGGAAAAAACCUGUCUCAUUGUCAUGUUAAUCAUAAAUUAUUUUAAUUUAAAUUUAGACACCAACAAAUAUUUAAAUUAAAUUAAAAAUGCUUAUGCAAUCAAGGGCUUUUUAGUUGCAGAAAAAUUGUGUACCUUCCUUGACAUUCUAGAUCCAGUUCUUGCUGGUUUUGGAGGAUCCAUUUGAGGAACAAUUUAAAUUUAUUCACAAAUACAAUUAUUCAAAAAGGCAUCAUGUUGAACACAAGCAAAAUAAGUAAAAAUAUUAAUAGAAAUGGAUGGAAGCAGAGUGCCUUUGGUGAGGUGGAUCACUAGCAAGCUCCAUUAACUACCAAGGAUUGCUUCACAACCUCUUAGUAUAUUAUUAAGUCAAAAGUAAAAUUAUUAAAGUUGAAUAAAUAGGUGGCAAUUUUGAUAAGCCAGAAUAACACCAUUCGAAAAUUAUAUGAAUUUUAGUAGGUUUGAAUAAGGUGUAAUCAUAUCCGUAUAAUAAUUAUGUCAACUCAUUUGCUAAAUGGACUGUAUUGGAACUUGAUUACUCGACUUAUCUAACUCACUUAACUUGUUUAAAUACAUGUAUGAGAUGUAUUUGCAUUGUCUAAUUAUAGUUCCUAUUGGAGAAUCAACUACUAUCAAUUUCACAGGAUGAAAUUAUAAUUAGUCAAUAUUACUUGAAAGUGAAAUCUCUUAUUCAAAAAUAUCUCAUUAAAUUUGAAAAGCUAAAAUUAUCAAGUAGAAGGUUAAAGGAACCAUUGAGCAUAUUUUAAAAUUCGAAUAUAAUGUAUUUAUUGUUGUAAUUCAAGCCUAAUAUUUAUUAUUUAUUAUUAAAAAUAUAAUUUUAUGUCUAAUUUUUAUAUUUAAGAUAAUUUAGCACAUUUGAACAAUAUUUUGAGAAUAAGAUUGAAGCAUCUAAUUUGACUAAUUGGAUAACAGAUUGGACUAAUCUGAUCUUAUUUUUCAUAUUUAUCCACCUUCCAUUCUGGGAUAAACAUGAACAAAAGUCUUCAUACGAUUAUAACAAUAUAACAAAAUAAUGAGUAUAAUAUUAAAUCUAAAAUAAAAACUUUACACAAAUUGGUAUAAAACCAAGUAUGAUAAUCCUAAACCAACCCCCGUAGAAAAAGACUUAAAUAUAUAAAAGACUACUAAAUAAAUGAGAAAUGAUGUAACAAGAUAUAUAUUAAAAAUAAUAAUAUUUUAAUAUUUUAAUUAUUUUUAUAAUUUUAACUUGUUAUAUUAUUUUAAAUUUGAACAAUAUAUGAACUAGAUAUCCAUGUUGUCAUGCCGAUAUCAUGUUUCAAUCACUUGAAUCAUCAAUUCAAUCAAGAAAUUGUAAUGCAAUAAUUUACCAACUCAAUGACUAAUAAGAUUUUGAGAACAUUGUAUUUGAAAGCUCAUAUGCAUAAAAUGAAUAUAAAAGAUUAUGAACUCUUGCAAAAAAUGAUGUUAUGGAAACCCAAACCUUAAUUUCUUCAAUAAUGCUUAUAAAAAAUCUAAGGUUGUGUAAUUGAGAAUGCUAAUGACCCAAGGUUAGAACCGGUUGCUCCUAACCAGACUUGUUCUUAUUUUUUAAACAUAUUCCCAUCUUCAUCUCAAAUCUAUAGGAAUUUACUUUCCUAUUUUAAGAAAAUUAAUUUUUAUUUUUAUUUUACAUAUAUUGAAAAAGGCAAAAGAAAAAUUAAGGUGAAGUAACAUGAAUCACUAUAAAACUAGAAUGAAUAUAUAUAUUUAUAUAAAAGAAGGCAAUUUAAAAUGUGUGUUUGACCGAUUUUUUUAAGUGUUUUUAAUAGAAGUAUUUUUUCUAAAGGUACUUUUGGAAGAAUUAACUAUCAAAUGUUUUUUUAAGAGACAUUACAAGUGAUUUUUCAUCUAUUUAAAAGUGUUUUUAAAAUUUUAUUAAAUACUUAAUUUUUUUUCAAAAACACUUUUUAAACUAAAAAUACCUUUUUAAAAAUAUUAUCAAAAAUGGAAUCAAAAUCUUAAAACAAAAUCUCAAAUCUACCCUUUAUUUAAUUAUAUUUUUCCAACCCAUCCUAUUGGGCCUAGACAUUACAAGUGAUUGGUCGUGUUUUUUAAAUUUUAUCAAAUGCUUAAUUAUUUUUCAAAAACAUUUUUUAAACUAAAACAUUUUCAAAAAAUAUUUUUUAAAAAUAUUAUCAAAUGGAAUCAAAGUCUUAAAACAAAAUCUCAAAUCUACCCUUGAUUUAAUUAUAUAUAAUACCCACCCCGAUUAUAAUACAAAAGCAAACCACCACCAAAGACAUUUAAACGACAUUUUAAAUACAAUUGAAACCUAUCAAUGAGACUUUGUCUCAUAAUACAAAUUUCGUUAUGUUCACAUGUAGAAAGGGACAUGUAAACAUAUACAACAGAAAGCGUGGAAUCAAGAGGGAAGAGAGUAGAAAGUUACGAAGUGGGAGCCUCGGCUAAAAUUAAUAAUGGCAUUAUAAUGUGCGUGUCUCAUCGCUGGAUGGACCAAAUUUUGCUUCUCCCAAAGAUAUUUGAAUGUUAUAAUUAGAGCCCACUUGAUGCUUAGAAAAAUAUAUUUGCAUGUGGUCUCCAUCUGUCAAUCUAUUAAUCUAUACAAUAUUAAAAAUCCACUUGAUGUUAAUUUAGGAAAAUUAUUUUAUUUUGUUGGUGAUGACCUGUCUCCCAUGUUACUCAAGUUUCAACUCUGGACUUUUCAAAUUCACACAGUGCAGUGCAGUGAUUCAUCUUUCUUCUCUGCUCCAUCUUUGGCUGAAUUCUAAUCCUAUUUUCUGUAACUUCCGGAAAGCUAUGGAGUUCCUGAGCUCAAUCUUGGGUCUUGUUCCAUGCUUAUAUAUGUGAUCACACCUCCAAGCAUACGGUCUACAUUCGUGAUCUGAAGAAAAAUCUCCAAGCCUUGAGCAAGGAAAUGGUGGAUCUCAAGCUGUAAUUCGAGGAAUGACCAAUUCAGUGCUUUCAUGUUCCAAUCUGAAUGAUUUACAGUAUAAUAUAGUGGUGAUGAAGACAAGCAUGAAACCAUGAGGACAGAGUGUGGAGCCAAGGGUCAAGUGGCAUCUAUACGCAUCUUGUUGUGAGAAGGAAGAAAUUAAAGAAAUGGUGGGGCCUAUACAAAAGAUAUGCUCAUAUCUCUUUUCGAAAAGAAAAGACAGAAUAAUUGAGCGACCCAGCUUUACGCAUCAUUCAACCAACUUUCCCCUUUGAAAAAUCUUAUAAUGGCGUAUUGCAUCAGGUUCUUUGAAUUACCAAACCCCUGUCUCUUCUCUCUUCAUUGCAAACCCUCAUCCCUUUUCCUCUUUGGCUAAAUUUUGGUCUCCGCUGGUGGUGGCGUGUCUCCCAUGUUACUCAAGUUUUAGCUCUGGAGUUUUUAAUUAACAAAUGCUGUGAUUCAUCUUUCUUCUUAGUUUGUUCCAUCUUUGGCUGAAUUCUAAUCCUUUUUUCUGUAACUUCCGGAAAGCUAUGGAGUUCGUGAGCUCAAUCGUGGGUUUGGUCCCCUGCUUCUAUGAUCACACCUCCAAGCACACGGUCUACAUUCGUGAUCUGAGAAAAAAUCUCCAAGCCUUGAGCAAAGAAAUGGUGGAUCUGAACAACUUGUAUGAAGAUGUGAAGGAAAGGGUAGAACGUGCAGAGCAACAACAGAUGAAGCGCAGAAAGGAAGUGGGUGGGUGGAUCCGUGAAGUAGAAGCCAUGGAGAAAGAAGUCCACGAAAUUCGGCAAAGAGGAGAUCAAGAAAUCCAGAAGAGUUGUCUCGGAUGCUGUCCCAGGAAUUGUUGGUCUAGCUACAGGAUUGGAAAGGCAGUAAGUGAAAAGCUGGUUGCUGUAUCUGGUCAAAUCGGCAAAGGACAUUUCGAUGUUGUAGCCGAGAUGUUGCCUCGUCCUCCAGUUGAUGAACUGCCAAUGGAGGCGACUGUGGGCCCACAAUUGGCGUAUGAAAAGAGCUGUAGGUUUCUCAAAGAUCCACAAGUGGGAAUUAUGGUAUUGUAUGGAAUGGGGGGUGUUGGCAAAACCACCCUUUUGAAGAAAAUCAACAAUGAAUUCCUUGCAACAUCCAAUGACUUUGAGGUUGUGAUUUGGGCAGUGGUGUCAAAAUCGCCCGACAUUGAAAAAAUUCAGCAAGUUAUUUGGAAUAAAUUGGAAAUCCCACGUGAUAAAUGGGAAACUAGAAGCAGUAGGGAGGAGAAGGCUGCAGAAAUAUUGAGAGUUCUGAAAAGAAAAAGGUUCAUCUUGUUGUUGGAUGACAUUUGGGAGGGACUUGAUCUCCUAGAAAUGGGGGUCCCGCGUCCAGAUACUGAAAAUAAGUCCAAGAUAGUUUUGACGACCCGAUCACAGGAUGUCUGCCACCAAAUGAAAGCUCAGAAGAGUAUAGAAGUGGAAUGUUUGGAGUCAGAAGAUGCCUGGACUUUGUUCCGGAAGGAGGUAGGAGAAGAAAUAUUAAAUUCUCAUCCGGAUAUACCGAUGCUUGCAAAGGUUGUUGCUGAAGAGUGCAGAGGUUUACCUCUCGCUCUUGUCACUCUUGGGCGGGCCAUGGCAGCUGAGAAAGAUCCCUCAAACUGGGACAAGGUAAUACAAGAUCUACGCAAAUCUCCAGCUGAAAUCACAGGUAUGGAAGAUAAAUUGUUUCAUCGAUUGAAACUCAGUUAUGAUAGGUUGCCUGACAAUGCCAGCAAAUCUUGUUUUAUAUAUCAGUCCAUCUUCCGAGAGGACUGGGAGAGUUAUAAUUUUGAACUUAUAGAACUUUGGAUAGGGGAGGGGUUGUUGGGUGAAGUUCAUGACAUACAUGAAGCACGCGAUCAAGGGGAGAAAAUUAUUAAAACUUUAAAGCAUGCAUGUUUAUUGGAGAGUUGUGGUUCAAGAGAAAGAAGGGUUAAGAUGCAUGAUGUGAUCCGGGACAUGGCUUUGUGGUUAUAUGGUGAACAUGGGGUGAAAAAGAACAAAAUUCUAGUAUACAAUAAGGUUGCUAGGCUUGAUGAAGAUCAAGAAACUUCCAAAUUGAAAGAAACAGAGAAGAUAUCAUUAUGGGAUAUGGAUGUUGGGAAGUUCCCAGAAACAUUGGUGUGCCCCAAUCUUAAGACUUUAUUUGUGAAAAACUGUUAUAAUUUGAAGAAAUUUCCAAAUGGAUUCUUUCAAUUCAUGCUUCUACUUAGAGUUUUGGAUUUGUCAGACAAUGAUAAUUUAAGCGAGUUGCCAACUGGGAUUGGUAAAUUGGGUGCCUUGAGGUAUCUUAAUUUGUCAGUCACAAGAAUAAGGGAGUUGCCCAUUGAACUAAAGAAUUUGAAAAAUCUGAUGAUUUUGAUUAUGAAUGGUAUGAAAUCCCUUGAAAUUAUUCCACAAGAUAUGAUAUCAAGCCUUAUAUCCUUGAAGUUGUUCUCCAUUUUCGAAUCCAAUAUUACAAGUGGAGUUGAAGAAACUGUACUGGAGGAGUUGGAGUCCUUGAAUGACAUCAGUGAGAUAUCAAUCACCAUAUGCAAUGCUCUUUCAUUCAACAAACUAAAGAGUAGUCGUAAAUUACAAAGGUGCAUACGUAAUCUAUUUUUACAUAAAUGGGGGGAUGUGAUCUCACUUGAACUAUCAUCUUCAUUUUUUAAAAGAACGGAGCAUUUGAGGGUGCUUUAUAUAAGCCAUUGCGAUAAAUUGAAAGAAGUGAAAAUUAAUGUGGAAAGAGAAGGGAUACACAAUGAUAUGACUCUUCCAAACAAAAUUGCAGCAAGGGAGGAAUAUUUCCACACCCUUCGUAAGGUGCUUAUAGAACAUUGUUCAAAAUUGUUAGACUUAACAUGGCUUGUUUAUGCUCCAUAUCUUGAACAUCUUCGUGUUGAAGAUUGUGAAUCAAUAGAAGAAGUGAUACAUGAUGAUAGUGAAGUCGGUGAAAUGAAGGAAAAAUUGGACAUAUUCUCAAGGCUCAAAUACCUCAAGCUCAAUAGGCUGCCAAGAUUGAAGAGCAUCUAUCAGCAUCUGCUACUCUUUCCCUCUCUUGAAAUCAUCAAGGUGUAUGAAUGCAAAGGCUUAAGGAGUCUCCCAUUUGAUUCCGACACUUCAAAUAAUAGUCUGAAGAAAAUUAAAGGAGAGACAAGUUGGUGGAAUCAGUUGAAGUGGAACAAUGAAACUUGCAAGCACUCUUUUACUCCGUAUUUCCAAAUCCAUGAAGCUGAAGCAUAUUCAACUGACACUGAGGAGUCUGAAACUGGCAGCAUAGAUGAUGUGCAAGAACAACCGGUAUCAAAUUAACUUCUAUCAAUCUUUCAGGUAUUAAUUAACUUUUAUACUAUAUUUGGAAAAUCAUUUUCUUUCCUUAAUCCCAUUCUUUUGUGGAAUUUUUUACUCUAUAUAUCUAUGCCAAAGUGCAUCAAAGUCUCAACAUCAUAAUAACUUUCAAUGUUUGAUCUAUCAAGUUUGCCCCCUUUUGAAGUAACUGUUAUAAAGUUUGCCCAGAAGGGACUUUGAAGGAGGUCUUUUAUUUAAACAUCUAAUGACAUUUCCUUUUGGUUACUUGAGAACUUGAAAAUGUGCAGAGUUCUCAACUAUAUUGUUUAUUGUGUCUUAAUUUUUUCGGUUCAUUUCAAUCUAUAAACAGAAAGAGAGAAUACCUAAUUUCAACUUAAUUCCUUAUAUUUCAAGUUGAAACAACAGGUGUUUCACAACAACUGUAGGUAAAGAUAUUCCAUUAAGAAUUCUCGCUUUGUUUAAUGUAUUUACCAGGACCAACUAUAUGUAAUUUCUCUUCUUUUGUUGAGUUGCCUCUAUCUGGUUGACUCUCAGUUGUUUUUUUUUUCUUUUCUUUUUUCUAUUGCAUUCAGAGUUGGGGCUUGUUCUAGAAGUUCUGAGAACAGCUGGGAUUCAAUUAGCUCUAUCCAGUGGAGCCUUGAGUUUUUUGGUUGGAUGCAGAGCAGGGUCUUGUUCUACCCCUUCUUACUCAGUUGGGAUCUGAGCUUCUUUGGCUGCUUCCGUUUCGUCCUGCUCUUUUUCCUUCUAAUUGGUAUAGACGUGAGCUGGAUUAUGUUUGCUUGCUGGUCUGAGUUUCUGAUAUGCUUAGUGGUGGUGUGCUGAUUCUCAGAGCAUCGCUAUUCAUGGUGCUCAGUCUGCUGGGAAAGUUGCUUAAUGUCCAGAUGCAGGGGCUCAUCUCGGCAGGCUUUGGUUGGGAUCCAUGUGUUUGCUGGAAUUGGAUUCUGUGGGUUGCCCUUGGCUUUUGAUGUAGGCUGGGUUUGUUUUCUUUGUUGAGGCCGGUGGAGUAUGGUGGCUCAGAAGCUGCUAGUAAUCUGUCUGUUGUAUGCUGACGCUGGAAUCUUCAUGGUGGUUGCUCUGGUGGGUCAAUAUGAUAUGGGAAUGCUUUUGCCUUUUUGAGUCCUUGGGCGUCAGCUGGUUGUUUGUGUUUCCUCUGCGCUUUAGUUCAUAUACCAGAGUGCAUACUUCCUUGAGUUCCAUAUCCCACUGCCAAGUGUGUUGUCCAUGAUGUAAUGUAAAGCAGUUAAUUUGUAUACCUGGCCUUAAGUUCCUCUCUAGAAAACUUUGAACGCCCUUUAUGAAUGAAAUGUUGUGAGAAAAACUGGAGUUGAUUUUCACAUUUGAGGUCAUUAAUGGUGAUUUUUCUUAAUGUAAUUGUGAUGGAAAAGAAAUUUGAUCAAGGAGUCGAAACCAUAAGCAGAGUCGAUCUUAUUCAACAUUGCAUUAUAAUUUGGUACCCCUCACAGAUCGCUCCAAAUAGCAUUGAAAAGUACUUUCAUUUUCCUUCAGUGGAGGCUUCUUUUUCUUUGCUGGUUAAUAUUCAUAGCUUCAGUGCUUGAUGAAAUUUCGUUACUUGACAUUGUUCACUAUUGUCCCUCCUGCUCUAAUCACAAACAAAUGCCCCAAUAAAUAAGAAUGAUUUGUUCAAGAAAUUUGAAAAUACUUGAACAAUAAAAGAAAAGAAUAGGAGAGAAAGGAAAAGAAAUUCAGAAAGCAAACACUUGGUAGUUUCCAUUUCAAUUAACCGAUCUUUGAAACUAAAAUGUAAUUCUUGGUAGAAUAAAAGAAGACAUGCAACAUCUUAAGAAGAUUCAUCUAAUGGAACAUACCAUGCUACAAUUGGAAACUGAGACUAAAUAGUUGUUUUGGUAGAAUAGAUAUCGCAUGCCAAAAAGAAAGUCUUGUAGCUUUGACUGCUUCAAAAUUCUUGUACAUAUAGCCCACAAACCUUUCGAGAUCAUACUUGUUUAUUCAAGCCUGUUUGAACAUACGGCUCUAGCGGAAGAUCUUACAACUUUAGGAGUCCAUAGUGUCCAUGAAAUCACAGGAAAAGAAAAGGAUGUAUAGUCAAGUUCAUGAAAAAUAAAGAGAUGGUUUAUUAAAGUUCACGAGUUUGGGACAUCUAAAACACUUUAAUUGUGUUUGGUUGAGUCUCCAUUUAUGGGGCAAUUCCCAUCAAGUCUAAUGAUUGACCACCAAUGACUUGAAAAUUGAAGCAUUGGAUGUGCCGCAUGUAGUUGAUGUUGCAUUAUUGAGGGUGGUUAUAUUAUAAAUUAAAUAGGCAUGCUAAGAGCAUGAGUUACAGAUUACCCGAUCCUGACUUGUCUCAUUUAUAUUAAUCUAUUCUCAUUCCUAUCCUAACAAAAAAUUUUAAAUGAGGAUGGAUGGAUAUGAGAAUUUCUCAUACCCGCCUUAUAUCAUUUAUUUAUUUAUUUUAGUUUUUUAACAAUUAAAAAUAAAAAUAUUUUAUAAAUAAAUAAAUUUUAUAACUUAUUUUAUUUAAAUAUAUAUAUAUAUAUAUAUAUAUAUAAUUAUUUUAUGUGUUCAAAAGAAGAAAAUGAAAACCAAUAAAUUAAAUUAUUUUUAAAUUUAAUUAUACAGCUUGGAAAGUGGUGGGUUAGUACAAGGCAUAUCUUGAACCCUGCCCCUAACCAACCCUAGUUUUAAAACAAAAACAAAAAUGUUGAAUUUGUAUCUAAUCAAUUUAUCUUCAUCUAAACUUGUCUCCCUAAACGUAAGUAUUUGAAAAAAUUUGUCUCAUUAUCAUCUUUAAUCAUAAAUUUUUUUUAAUUUAAAUUUAGAUACCAACAAACAUUUAAAUUAAAUUAAAAAUUCUUAUGCAAACAAGGGCUUUUCAGUUGCAGAAAAAUUGUGUACCUUCCUUGACAUUCUAGAUCCAGUUCUUGCAUUUUUUUGGAGGAUCCACAUAAGGAACAAUUUAAAUUUAUUCACAAAUACAAUUAUUCAAAAAGGCAUCAUACUGAACACAAGCAAAAUAACUACAAAUGUUAAUAGAAAUGGAUGGAAGCAUACAGGUGUAGAGAAUAUAAAAAAAAGAUUAUGAAGCCAAAAAUAAAAUAAAAAUAAAUAAAAAUAAAUAAAAGUAUAUGGUGGUUUAUUAUUGUUCAGGCCUAAUAAUUGAUUGUACAUGUCAAUGGGCCUAAUAUUAUUGCUCCGGCCUUUAUUCUAGAUGUCCAGGCCCUGUCAUUGCCUGAGUGUGAGGUCAUGGCUCGUUCUCUGUAUAGGUAGGUUCAUCCCUUGUCCAUUUGUAUACUUUUGAUCCAUGUGGUCAAGCCAACUUGGCUGUUGGGUACUUCAGGUGCGAUACCUUCUAUCCUACUUCUUACCCAAUUGAGUGAUUUAUCUUAGACGUCAUGGGGUCAUACACCUCUAAAACUUGAGUUGGUGGACUACCUUUCCCAGUUCUGAUCUCUCAGAUUCUUUCAUGGGCUUGAGUUCUAGCAUGAGCUUCUCGUUCUCCCCUACCCUGGUCCUAUAGUACUAUUUAUUUUUCAAACUUGCCCCUAGAUUUUUUUUAGUAUAAAAAGUACUAUUUUGUUGAAUUUAAAAAAACUCAUAGGAACAUAACCUUUCAAUAAGCUUAAACCUCUAUCUCUCAAAACUUUCAAAAUCCUUCUUGAAAGUCUCUUUUGGCUAAACAAAUAUUUGAGACUCACAUUGUAUAUGCUUUAAUAAGGGCUUUGAGGGACUCGCUAAAAAUAUAGGUGACAAUUUUGAUAUGAUACAAUAACACAACUUGAAAAUGUUAUAAAUUUUAAUAGAUUCAGAUUAGGUAUAACAUAUUCAUAUUGUAAUCAUAUCAACUCAUAUGACCCAUUUAAUAAAAAUGUACGAUUAUCCAACCCCAUAUAGCUUGUUUACUAAUUCAUGCCAAACAAACCAAUUUAUCUAAUCGUAUCAAAAUGAUGUUUAACUCAUAUAAAAUUAUUAAUAUUAUAUAUUUCAAAAUUAUAUAAAAAAAAUACUUAUUAGUUAUAAAUAUGAUAUAGUUAAAAAAUGAAGUAACUAAGUAAAAUUUUAUACAUUUCAUUGUAAAUAUUAAAAUUAUUUUAUCAUUAGAACAUUAGAUAGAAUUAUAAACAAGCGUAAAAUUAAAAUUUUAAUGUAUUUUUAUAUUAUAAACAUUUUCUAAUUUAAAUUUUAUAAUUAAAUUAGUUAAAAUUUUAAAAACAUAAAAUGUAUUUCAAAUAAUACAUUUAUAAAUUUUAAAUAGGUUAAACAUGCUAAAAUUGUAUUAACAUGUUAAAGAGUUAUAAUCAUAUUAAUAUGUUAAACGAGUUAAAAUAGGCUAACCAUGUUAGAAUUGUAUUAGUAAGUUACACAAGUUCAAGUUGUGUUAACAUAUUAAACGGAUUAGAAUCAUGUUAAUGGGUUCAACGACUAUUAAUAUGUUUCAUAUGUUAGAAUUGUAAUAACAGGUUAUCUAUGUCAAUUUAUACAAAGAUUAACUUAACCCGUCUAUUAAAUUAGUUUUGUUUGAAUUUGGUCAUUUUAAUACAAUUCUUAAAUAAAUUGUAUUCCUAUUGAGUAAAUUUUCACUAUUUUUUAUCUUAACAUUAUACAAAUCCAACACGUAUGAUAUCACCUAUUGUCACCCCUAACUAAGGAGCAUAUGAGUGUUGCACUGAGGAACCAGAAGAAGAGUGUAAAUACUAUUUAUAAAAAACUUUUGGAAGUGGAAGCAUUCUAUCAAGUAAAGUUGUGUUAACUUUUUUUCAUAGUUAGUGGAUUAUUCAAUGGUCAAGAGACCAACUAUGGUUUUUUACGCCUAAGGAUUUCCAGGUAGGUUCCACAUUAAAUUCUAUAUCUAAUUGUAUAAUUAGAAAGAUCGUGCAUGAGAUUGAUAACAUAUUAAUCAUAAUUGAAUCAUAAUAAAAUAAUUUAACUUUGGGGUUAAUUGAUUGAACUAUGUAUGUAUGGAUAUUUUAUAUUUUUUUAACUUUAAAUUAAUUAUUAUGUUGGGAAAUGGAAUAAGGGAAUAGUUGGCUCCAUUUUCAAUCUUGGUAACAUAAUUUGUUGUUGACAUGUUAUUUUAUCUUAUUUUAUAUAUUUUGUAGGAUAAAAAUAUAUAAUCAAGUGCUCUUGUAUGAUUGAUUUAGAUGUUAGAAAAAGUUACAAAACAUUAAUUCUAUUUGACUGAUGACAAAAACUUUUAAUUGCCAACAAUUUUUUUUAUAAACUUUAAGUUGCUAGCAUUCAUAUGUUAUUCUAAAGUUAUUAAUUAUAAUUUUAUAUAAGUUGAAUCACAAUUCUUGGGUAAAUGAAGAAGUAUUUAUUGACAAGAUACUUGUUUAUAUUGGAAGUUUUUAGUUUGAUUUGUUAUUGAAUUCAAAUUCUUAGUAGCUAGCUUUGAAUAUUAUCUAGUUGCAUUGGUUUUUGUUGUAAGUUCGAUUUUUAUAUUGUUUCCACACAUGAUGUUUAUUAAUUGAGAAUGCUAAUGAUUCGAGGUUAGAAUCGGUCACUCCUUACUAAACUUAUUCUUUUAGGCUAUGUUUGGUUGGCCGAAUAUAAUAUAUAAUAGAAUAAGAGAAAUGAUAUUAUAUCAUAUUCCAUCUUUAGUUGAAGAUGAGAUAUGAUAAAUUAUUUCAUUGCUUAUUAUAUACUAUGUUUAACUAAAUAUGAGAUAUGAUAAGUGAUGAUAUAUUACUCACUUUUUUUUUAAUCUCUUAUACAUGAAAUAUGUUAAUUUUAUGCUAAGAUAUAAGAAAUGCAUAUCUCAUAUAUCAUAAAUUUAUUUUUUAUCAAUUUUUUUAUAUAUUUAUUUUGUAAAAUAAUUUUUUUUUAUUAUAAAAUUAAAUUUAUAGUUAAAAAAGAAAAACUAAAAAAAUAUUUAUAAAUAGCAUUAACAUAUGAUAUAUAGAUUACUUUUUAUGUAUUAAAUAACAUAACAUAACAUAAACAUUUUUUAUUUGUAAAAUUUAAAUAUUUUAAUCAUGACUAUUUUUAAACAUAAAAGAAAUUUCAUUUUUUUUAAAUGGAAAAUAUUGGAAUGUGAUAUAAUUUUUAUUUUAAACAUUGAAAAUAAUAUAUAUAUAUAUAUAUUUAUUAUUUUUAUUCAUUUCAUAAAUUAAAUAUAAAUAUAAUAUAAUAUAUCUAAUUAGAUAUGUCACAUUAGAAUAUCAUAUUCAUAGGAUAUAUAUAUUUAAGGAUAUCAUAUCCUAUUAAAAAUUAUAUUUUAGGAUAUCAUUCUUUUUACCACAAGAGAGCAACAAUUGCUUUUAAUCGGUAAAAUUUGUAUGUGUACUAAAGUUGCACUGCCUAAUGUAAAGUGUUGGCUCCGCCACUGUGUUGCACCUCAAGCCACCACCAAGUCUCCUCAUGAUGCCCUUGUAAGCCUUGAUUAUCACAUUACCUUGGUGUCACAUUCUCCAAGUCAAGGUGUUAAUACUCUUCUAUGUUUACAAACAUAAUUUGGUCACCAUUUAUUAACUUAUAAGUCUCUAUAACCAUAAAAAAAAAUUUAAACAUACUAUUAGAACAAGGCUCUAUAUUUUGGGUUUUGAUAUCCAAUGAAAUAUGAUAUUUUAAGAAAUACAUAUUUUAUUAAGUUCUAUCCCGCCAAUGAAAUGUAACUUUAAAUGUAUUCUCAUUUUUAUUCUGCAUCUUUAUCCGAAAUCCAGGAGUUUACUUUUUUGUUUUAAGGUAAUUCAUUUUUUAUUUUAUUUUAUGUGUAUUAAAAAAAUAAAAGAAAAAAUAAGGAGUAACAUCAAUCAUUAUAAAGCCUGAAUCAAUCCCAAACAUUCAUAAGAAGACAAUUUAAGUCUUAAAAUAAAAUCCCAAAGCUACUUCUGACUAGACUACGCGUUUUGAUGACAUUUCACUUGAAAAUAAUGCAGAGUUUUCACUUAUAUUAUAUACUGUCUGAAUUUUAUUUUUGAUUCAUUUCGAUCUAUAAACAGAAACGGAAUACCCAGUUUUGAAGUAUCAACUUCAUUCCAACUUAUAUUUCAAGUUAAAUAAUAGAUAUUCCAUUCAGAAUUCUUGCAUUGUAUGAUGUGUUUACGAGGGUAAUUUCUCUUCUCUUGUUCAGUUGGCUCUGAUCAGUUUUUCCUUUUGUCCUUUUAUUGCAUUUAGAGUUGGGGCUUGUUCUAGCAGUUCUGGCAACAGCCGGGUUGAUCUUCUUCACAUAGAUUGGGGUACUUCUGUUUUUUCUGAUUGGAGAUGUGCUGCUCUUUCUCCUCGUACUUGGUAUUCGGGUGAGAGGUGGAUUAUGUUUGCUUGCUUGCUGGUCUGAGUUUCUGAUAUGUUUUGUCACGGUGGCAUGAGUGCUGAUUCUCAGAGCAUUGAUAUUUUCAUGGUGCUGAGACUGCUGGGAAGGUUGUAGCAUCCUUUUCGUUUCUGGCUGGAAUUGGAUUCUGUGUGUUGGCUUUGCUCUCUGGUUUCUUCACCUAAUUCAACAGAGCCACAUGCUUUGGUCCAUAUAUCAGACUGCUGCACCUAAUUCAGGGAUGAUGAAGUGAUCUUAUUCAACGUUGCAUUCUAAUUCCUCUCAUUUUCAUAUCUAUUUUCUACCUUGCUAUAUUCAAUAUCCAUUCUGUGAGUUGAAUGACCCAUGUUUUUAUUUUUCUAAGAAAUUCUCUAUCAUUUCAUCAUAACAUCCAGAGGAAACAUAGACAGGAAUUUCUCAUUUUUCAUUCGAGAGCAUUUAGAUCUUCCAACACCAACCUCACUGAACAUGACCGCAAAAUUCCUUCGAUUUUGGACUUAAAAUUAUGUUAGUACCCAUUGGACAAUCCAUUAGGUCACAGUUUGACCUAACUUGAUUCUUUCUUACCCAUGUCUUUUCCUUUGAAUUUUGGGGUGCCCUAUAAUUCAAGUCAAUGAAUUUGGACAAAUCAAAUCAAUUUUUUUCCCAAUUGAUGCCAAGGAAUAUCCAUAUGAUUCAAACAAUAUUUACAUUGUUUGUUUGAAUUUUGCCUAAAGUAUUCAUGAUUGUGUCCAAACAAAAUGCGUAUUAAUGACAUUAGUAAUGACACAAGUGCUUGGUUUUGACAUUUUCAAUAUUUGCAUUCCCAUUACUAAUUUUUGUUUCCCCCUUUCUUUUUCUUUUUUUUCAUUUUUUGUUUGUUUUGAACUGGUGCUUCCUUCCUCAUUCAUUCUACUUUUGUUUUUUGAAAAACAUUUGUCUCUUUUGCACACAUCCUAAAAAGCCCAAAAGCAUUUUUUUUUUAACUUAAGCUUUUUUUUCAAUUUAUCUUAAAAUGAAAAUAAAAAAUACAAUUUUCUUAUUGAAGUGUUAUUUUGAUUUAUAGAUAAAGUUAUUUCAUAUUUUAUAAAUCUUUUACUCUAUUUAUUUUGUUCUUUGCAAAUUAUAAUUUGGCUCACUUCAACUUUGAAACAAAAUCAGAAUAAAAAAAAAUUAUAGCAAAUUAUGUUUUAAUCUGCUUUCCAAGUGGAAAAUACAAAUAAUGCAACCCGUAUCUGCAUAAAAUUAGUGCAUGAAACAUUACUUUUCAAUGGACUUGAAAAAAUAUUUUAAAACCAACAACUCCAAAAGUCAAUGGUCUCAAUAAUGUAGUGCAAUAGGUUUCCAAAAGAUGAAGGGUGUGAAGAUCCCUAAAAUGUUUUUGAGAGUAAGUGUUUCCAAAAGAUAUAAGCAAGUACGAAUUUCUUUAAAAUGUUUUUCAAUUGUUUUUUUACAUGGUUAUUUAAGUUGCCUAAUAAUAAAUCGUUUUCUAAUUUUUGUAUGAAUUAAAUAUUAUUAUUUUUCUAAAAUAAGAAGUAUGUUUAAUAAUUAAUUUAUCUAAGUAAUAAUAAUGACCAACAACCUUUUAGACCUAGUCUUUCAAUCGACUGAUUUAUUUUCUAGGUAUAAAUUAUCGGGAAGUAAAAUACAUGUAUUGAUGGAUUAAUUAAAGGGAGAGUUAAACCUGAGUUUCGACCCAAAAUAGUGUGUUUUAAAAAAAAAUUCCAAAAAAUAAAGUUGUUUUCAAAAUAAUGUCCGAUCUAAUGUGUCUGUGCCACAUAAGCUGUCACAUCAUAAAACCGUAGUUGGUGACUACGGUUUUAUUUUUCUAAAGUGGUUAGAAACCGUAGUUACCAACCACGGUUUUAACUUUAAGUUUAAAGCCGUAGUUGGUGACUACGGCUCUGAUUUUUUUUAAAAAUGGUCAAAGCCGUAGUCACCAACUGCGGUUUUAACUUUAUAUAUAUUUAUAUAUAACUUUAAUUUUUUUAAUAAAAAUAUUAUAUUAUUUUGAUUUUAAAUAUACUUAUUUCAUUAUUUUAAAAAUAAUAAUAUACGAAAUUAAAUAAUUGAUAUUUUUAAUUUGAUAUAAAAAUAUAUUUUUAAAUUUUAUUAAAACGCACUAUAUUUAAUAUAAAUAUAAUUAAUUAAUUAAAAUAAAAUAUAAUAAAUUAUAUUUAUUUAAAAUAAAUAAAUUAUAAAUACCUAUUUAUAAAAAUAAAAAAUAAUAUAAAUUAUUAUAUUAAUUAAUAAUUUUUAUAUAUUAUAUAUAAAUUUUAUAUAAUACCCCCCCACACACACACACACACACACACACACACACACACACACACACACACACACACACACACACACACACACACACACACACACACACACACACACACACACACACAUAUAUAUAUAUAUAUAUAUAUAUUUAAAAGUUUAAUUUAAGUUUAAAAUUUAUCACAUUUUUAUUUAAAUAUAUAAAUAAAUUUUAUUAAAACAAUUGACACUAUAUUUAAUAUAAAUAUAAUUAUUUAAUUAAAAUAAAAUAUAAAUAAAAUAUAAUAAAUUAUGUUUAUUUAAAAUAAAUAAAUUAUAAAUGCCUAUUUGGAGAAAAAAAUAAUAUAAAUUAUUAUAUUAAUUAAUAAUUUUUUUAUAUAUUAUAUGUAAGUAGUAUAUAAUAUCACACACACACACAUAUAUAUAUAUAUAUAUAUAUAAAAGUUUAAUUUAAUUUUAAAAUUUGGCAUAUUUAUUUAAAUAUAUAAAUAAAUUAUUAUCAUAUCGAUAUAAUAUUAUGAACUUAAAUUAAAAUAUGAUAAAUUUUAAACUUAAUUGAACUUAUAUACAUGUGACAUUAUAUACCACUUACAUAUAGUAUAUAAAAAAUUAUUAAUUAAUAUAAUAAUUUAUAUUAUUUGUUUUUUAAUAAGUUUUCAUAAUUUAUUAUAUUUUAUUUAUAUUUAAAUAUAAUUAACUAAAUAUAUUUAUAUUAAAUAUAGAUUAUAUUAUUUUAAUAAAAUUUUAAAAUAUAUUUAUAUCAAAUUAAAAAUAUUAAUUAUUUAAUUUCAUAUAUUAUUAUUAUUAAAAUAAUGAAAUAAGUAUAUUUAAAAUCAAAAUAAUAUAAUAUUUUUAUUAAAAAAAUUAAAAUUAUAUAUAAAUAUAUAAAGUUAAAACCGCAGUUGGUAACUACGGUUUCUAACCACUUUAGAAAAAUAAAACCGUAGUCACCAACUACGGUUUUAUGACGUGGCAGCUUAUGUGGCACAGACACAUUAGAUCGGGCAUUAUUUUGAAAACAACUUUAUUUUUUGGAAUUUUUUUUAAAAACACACUAUUUUGGGUCAAAGCUCGUUAAACCUUCUAAGACACUACCCAUCUCACUUGAGAAUGGAAAAUUGAAAGGCUACAAAUACAUCCUUAUUUCCCUCUUUCUAUAAAAAUGGUCUUCCAUAUCCUCUUAUCAAUUUCACUUCAAUUAUCCUUAAAAAAAUCACUUCACAACUUCAAAGAUUUGUGAGUAAAAUUAUAAAAGUACUAACAUGUCACUUGAGUAAAAAAGACAUGAUUAAUAUCCAAAAAAAUAAAACAUAUACCAUUGUAAACCCUAAAAUUUGUUCUAAUUUUAUUUUUAUAUUAAUUUCGAACCAAAUUUUAUAUUUAGAUUUCAAAUCCCAAUUACAUGUGUUUUUUUUUUCCCACUCAUUAUUUAAUAAUUUUUAUUAUUUUGUAUAUUAUAUUAUUUUAUUUUAUUACUAUUACUUUUAAUUUAAUUUUAUUAUUAUUAUUAUUAUAUUUUGUUUUAUUUUUAUUUAUUUUUAAUUUUCUUUUCUCAUCUCUCCUAUUUCCUCUUUUCUCUCUCCUCUCUUCCUACCCCUCACCACCGGCCACCCCUUUCUCUCUCUCCCAUUUUCUCCUCCAUUUUCCUCUCUCCUCUCUCCUCUCUUCCUACCCCUCACCGUGGGCCCCACCACUCCCCCAUUCUUCUCUCUCUCACCCCCAAUUCUUCCCAUAGGGCCGGCCCCCACCAUUCUUUUUUCUUUUCCCCCCGCUUUUUCCCCCCAUUUUUUUCCCCUUUUUCCCCACUUUUCUUCUUCCCACGGCCGGCCCCUGGAUUUUUUUUUUCUUUCUUCCCCCUUCCCCCUCAUUUCUUUCUCUCACCCCCGCAUUUUUCUUUUCCUGCGGCUCCAUUUCACUCUCUGGCUCCACUUCGCAAAAUGGGCAGCUCGCUCCCCUCCCAAAUUUUUUUUUCUCUCUUCGUUUUUUUCCUUUUUGUUUCUCUCCCGGGGACGCAUUGAUGGCGAUCCAUUUCUUUUCCACCUACAUUUCUUUUCCACCCAUUUUCUCUGCCAAAAAAAAAAACGCCCAUGGCUCCCAGAUUCGUCUAUUUUCUCCAUUUUUUUUUGUUUUGGUAUUAUUAUUAUUAUUAUUAUUAUUAUUAUUAUUAUUAUUAUUAAUUUUUUUUUCAUAAUUUUUCUUAAUUUGAUUUUGAUAGUAAUUAUCGUUGAAAUUGGGUUUGUGUAUUUAUAUUUGCUUGUGGGCUUAUGUUUGGGCUUUGUUAAUUAAUAUGAAAUUUGAGUUAAUUUAUUGUUGAUGGAUUAAUUUGAAAUUUGUUAAUUUGAUUUUAUGGUUAUAUUACAUUAGUAAUUAAUUUGGGAUAUUUGGAUUUAUCAAUUGCAUAUUGUUUAUUUGGAUUUGGGUCUAUUGUUAAUUUGUUAUUUGUUUAAGCUUAUUGGAUUGAGUUUAAAUUUUAUUUCCCUUGACCAUGUAUAUUUUUUUAUGUGGGUCUGUUAAUUGAUAUGAAUUUUGGGGCCUAAAAUAUGGGUGAAAUUUGUUGGAUUAUUUGAAUAUUUGAUAGGAGCCUGACCAAUUUGAAUUAUUUAAUUUGAACAUGGGACAAUUGUGAUGUACAUUAAAUUAGGCUAAGAUUAUGAAAUAUUAAAUUUAGGUCUAGUAGAAUUUAUUUUAAUUUGUCCAAUCUUAGUGUGGACCCGCAUUUUUCACGUGCGUCCCCACUCGACCGGCGAGACUCGCUUUUUUAUUUGUGAGAAAUUGAUUUUUGAAAAAAAGUUGGAGUCGCCACUUAUUUUUAUUUUUAUUUUUGAAGGGAAAAUAAAACAAGAAAUAAAACCCUAAAAAAAUGACUCCAUAAUUUUUGGAAAAGCAUGUCUUUGAAAAACCCGAGUCUAAGUCCGGGGGUCAGGUUACCUAUUAGGAAGGUACCUUUGAAAGGUAGCACCCCUCUAAGCCCUAUAAAGGUCUCUACUGACAAAGUUAAGGGAAGUGUGACCAUUAAUCAGUUAAUUACGGAUACCUAAGUAGACUAGAUGAUUUCAAAAAAAUAACAUGCCGAAUAUGAUCAAAUUGCCAUAAAAGAGAGUUAGGGUGCAUACCUGGACGACUUCUCAAAGCGCUAUCAUAAAACAUGAAAGUUAGUAUUGAGAUGCAUCACACAACAUGCAUUUUAUCAAAGAUAAUCAAACAAUCAUCAAAUGUAUAUCAAGACAAUCAAAUAGGAUAGCACGUAUGGACAUAGUACGCAAUGACAAUCAUAUUCAUAUGGUUUAGAAAGUGGGUAUUAGGGAAUGUACCUGGAUAGCAUAUAUAACUUACAAUGCGCUUCCAUGAAACAUGGUUAGUGAACGAUGAACAAAUAUAAUUAAGCGAAUAUCAAAGAAUAGAGUAAACCAAUCAUGAAGUCAAGUAUGUGGGGCCCCACCCAAAGCCCGUUUAUUUUAGCAUGAAUUAAUUCCAUAAAUUCCAUUAUUCGGAAUUACGGAAUUUAUUCUUUGCUUAUUUUAAAACAUUUUAAAAUCAUGAAAGUUAUGAAAAUUGCAUGCCGAAGAGAUUGACAACAAAUUUUAUUGAAAAAUAGGAUUUUUGAGACCUAAAAAUUCUAAGGAUAAUAAACUAUGAAAUCAAAACAAGAUUUUUAUUUUGAAAAUCAAUUUUUAAAGAUGUGCAUGAUGAUGGGUAUAAAGACUUGCGAGUUUUGAAGAGGGGUAUAAGAAGGUGAGCCUGUAAGUCAAAAUUAGGCAAGAGUGAGAUCUUAAGCUUGGGGUCUUGAGCGGAUCACUGAACCACACCUCUGAAUCUGAAAUUUCUGAUUCUAUCUCCCUUGGGAUUGGCUUUUCAUAGUCUCGGUUAAGCACAGGGGAACCAUACCAUACCAGUGGUCUCUUCCAUAGUACUUCAUCUCAAGUAUUGAAAUGCAUCGAGCGUCUCAUUUAUUUCAAAUGGGUCAAUGUCAGCAACCUCAAGACCAGCAUUUCUUGCAGUAAUUUGGAUUGCAAUAGCUGGACCUACACCAAUGAUGCUAGGCUCCACACCAAAAGAAUCCUUCACGGUAUCGAGAUUUUCAUGAAAACCGGGUUGUCUAAGCCACUGAGAAAGAGUGUACAAAAGUGGUAUCUGACAUUCCUGUCUUUCGAAACAAGAUUAAUUCCCACCAGAUCAGCAAGUUCAUUGAUUCGGCAUUGCCAUGUGACUGUCAUAAAAGUCUUCAGAUGCACAAUGAAAAGACGGAAGGCUAUAGUGGAGUAAGAGCCUAUUCCAAACACGUGGAAUUUCUACCAAAUACCAAACUGUGCAUAGUUUCAGAAAUUUGAUUAGUCUAUCCAGUAAACUUGAAGAUGGGAAAAGCAAAGACACAGAUGGACACCCAACAACCUGCGGUGGCAGACAAAACAGCCUAUAAUCUUUGCAUUUAGCUUCGUCUUGCUGAUUAAACCAAAGGAAAUCUGCAUGGGCACACCGCGGGUUUGACAUUCCUACCAAGCUUGCCAAAUAGACCACAUGAUAAGCAAGUCAACACAUGAGAGGAAUGGUUCAAAUAUUUGCUUCUUCCAGAAUGCUGAUAUUGGAUUAAAGCUGACUAUAAUUCCGAAACUGAAUGCAAACACUGUACAAUGGAGUUCAUGUAUUAGGUGCUCCUCAGAUUGAAACUGGCAUUAUAACCCACAAUUUCCACUCACUACAAGGAAAAAGGUAUAUGGUGACAUUUAUAACGAGUCACCAUAAAUAUAAGAUGUCACUACAACAUAGCGUCACCUUCUCCACUGACACCAUAGAGGGUACCAAUUGGUGACGUAUUUGGAAGUGACACCAAAGUAGAUAAAUGGUGACCCAUUCAGAAGUGACACCCUAUAUUUCUAGUGAUGAUAGGGUGUCACAUUAAAUACAUCAUCUUUGAGUUAUGAUGUCACAUUAAAUGCAUCACCUUUGAGUUAUGGUAUCACAUCAUUGUAAAUUAUUGUGGAAUAUAUGAUUGGUUUUAGUUGUUGAUUUUUGUAAUGCUUAUGAAUUAAUAAGAUUAACCUGUUUAUAUUUUGUCCAUAAAUAUAACAAUCAUAUUAUAUUUAACUCAUUUUUCUGUAAUGUUUCUGGAAUAACUCAUAAUACAUUGAUCAUCUAAUAAUAUUUGUAUAUCAAAUGUUCACAAAAGGAUAGUACGUCCAACAUAUCAAACCCAUCAAAACUAAAAAAGAAGAGUGAAUACAUACCAAAACAUGAUUUAGAAAUGUUAAAGAUCCCAAGAUUNNNNNNNNNNNNNNNNNNNNNNNNNNNNNNNNNNNNNNNNNNNNNNNNNNNNNNNNNNNNNNNNNNNNNNNNNNNNNNNNNNNNNNNNNNNNNNNNNNNNUCACCUUUGAGUUUAUGGUAUCACAUCAUUGUAAAUUAUUGUGGAAUAUAUGAUUGGUUUUAGUUGUUGAUUUUUGUAAUGCUUAUGAAUUAAUAAGAUUAACCUGUUUAUAUUUUGUCCAUAAAUAUAACAAUCAUAUUAUAUUUAACUCAUUUUUCUGUAAUGUUUCUGGAAUAACUCAUAAUACAUUGAUCAUCUAAUAAUAUUUGUAUAUCAAAUGUUCACAAAAGGAUAGUACGUCCAACAUAUCAAACCCAUCAAAACUAAAAAAGAAGAGUGAAUACAUACCAAAACAUGAUUUAGAAAUGUUAAAGAUCCCAAGAUUCAUGUAUACCUCCAUUUCAUAAGCAUAAAACCGGUUAACCAUAAAAUGACAUAGAAGUCCCAUCUAAAAAUCUAAAUUUCUCAAUUGCAAUUAAAGUAACGUUUAUGUCCUACAACGUAUGACAUAAGAGUUGCAUUUAAAAACCCAAAAUCUCGUUGUCUUCUUCUUUCUUUUUAUUCUCCAUUUCACCCUCCCAAGAGUGUAUACCUGCAUUUCAAAAUUUAAUGAGUUUUAGAGAUUUUUAUUGAAGAAAACAAACAUGGAUCUAUGUUAUCAUAAAUGAACAAAUAUAAGAAUUAAUUUUUUUUUUCAAAUAGAAACAUUAUUCAAAGAAUAAGCAUUACUAUACAAUACCUAUGGAAAAAUUCAUGUAGUAGCUAAGGGACUCACCAUGCAUGGUGAUCAUGAUGCAUCAACAUGAUUCAUGAUUAGUUGUAGCACAAAAGUAGCCCAUUCUCCUCUAAUUUCAUCGAAUUCUACUUGAGAAUAUGUUUUUUUUAUUACCAAACUGAAAUCAAAUAAGAAAAUAACAUUAAAAUGCAUAACAUUUGGAAGCCUAAAACUAUGUACAAUUCAUUAAAUAAGUAAUACCUUUGAAGCAAUAAUUGUAGGAUAAAAAAUUAUCUCUUUAAUGAAUCUCAUAACAAAGUAGCCACAUUCGAACCCUCCUUCUUGUCUUGGACACUAAUCGAUCAAUUAUAAAAUAACAUUAGUACUCACAUAUAUAAAUGGUGCAAAUGCAUAAGCUAAUGUGUAAAGAAAAAUUUUUGGAUGUCACCNNNNNNNNNNNNNNNNNNNNNNNNNNNNNNNNNNNNNNNNNNNNNNNNNNNNNNNNNNNNNNNNNNNNNNNNNNNNNNNNNNNNNNNNNNNNNNNNNNNNAAAAUAGAAAUUCCUAAUAAUAAAAAAUAUAAAAUUUCUAUUUCUAUUAACAAAAUAUAAAAACUUUCCAAAACUCAAUUACUUAAAUAUAAAAAUAAAAUCAAAUAAAAUAUCUAGCUAAUUGGAUUUUAGAAACUAAAUAAACUAUAAAUAAACUAAAUAUAAAAACUAAAUAAAAUAUCCAUGCCCAUGAAUUAAUUGAAGAUGAUAGAAAGACACAGAGAGAACAUGGCUAUGGUUAUGAUUUCCAUCUUAUCAUUUCCCGUCAAUACCACACAUGCCCAUUUUAAGGAUGGACACUACUUUUGUUGCUGGACUUGGAAAGGGAACUUCAAAAUUGAAAACAUAAAUAAACCCUUAUGUAAAAAAAAAACAUUAAAAUAUAAUUGAACAUUAAAAUAUUUGCUCUUUUUCAUCACUUUCAUUUGAAUAUUAAUAAUCUCUUAUUGAGAUAGAUACUUACAAUUUAACAAAAUAGAAAUUCCUAAUAAUAAAAAAUAUAAAAAUUUCUAUUUCUAUUAACAAAAUAUAAAAACUUUCCAAAACUCAAAUACUUAAAUAUAAAAAAAAAAUCAAAUAAAAUAUCUAACUAAUUGGAUUUUAGAAACUAAAUAAACUAAAUAUAAAAACUAAAUAAAAUAUCUAUGCCCAUGAAUUAAUUGAAGAGGAUAGAAAGACACAGAGAGAACAUGGCUAUGGUUAUGAUUUCCAUCUUAUCAUCUCCCGUCAAUACCACACAUGCCUUCCUGGAUUGGUCCUUUUGGGGUUGGAUACUCUCAACGAAAUUCUAUAUCUCAUUCCCACUUAGAUACAAACAGAAAAAUGAUUCUUUUUUUUUUUCUCUCUCGUUUUUUAGAAAGGAUGAAAAUUAUGUGAUAGUAUAUCUUAAAAAAAUUAUGUACAUGUCAUUGUCACACAAAUACAUGUUAAAAAUCAUUCAUUUUUUCCUGUUUUUCACUUUUUUUUUAAGGACUUGAUCAUGUGUUUGGUUUAGAUUUAAAAAAUCAAUUAAUCUAUAGUUUUUUCUUCCAUGCUAGAAGAUUAAACCUAAAUUUUUCUUCCCUACAACUCAAGAAAACACAAUUCACAAAAACCAUAAUACAAAGAUGUUGAAACAAUUAAUAUAAUGACAUUAAUAAAAGAAAAAAAAUUGAUAGAUCCAAGAGAUUUUGGGUUACCUGGGAGUCCACAAAGUGAAGAAUGUCGGUUUUGAGCGUGUUGACUAUGGAUGGGUGAGAGAAAAGGUUGAAGAAGAUCAUGAUUUUAUAUAUAGGAUUUAUAUAUUGAGAUUUUUUGGAUUGUGGGUGAGAUAUGGAAACAAUGGGAUUUUUAUAUAGUAUCCAUCAUUAUUAAUUCUAAAAGUGGGCUCAUUAAGUUAUAAUACUUAAAAAAAAUUAUUUUAUAUGAUGUCACUUCCCAAAAAAUGACACUAUAAAUAUAAAAUUAAUAUCAUCUAACUAUCUCAAUUGAAGAUUUUUUAUAUGAUGUGUCACCUUUAUUAAUUAUAAACCCUAUGGUGUCAUUAUUUUAAAAGUGACACCGUAAAUAGUGACACCAUAAACUAUUUUUGUAGUAGUGACUUAAUCAAUAUAAUUCUGACCAUCCAUACUGACAUUACUCAUGUUUCUUGAGCCAAUGCCUAAUUCCAGAGCAGAUCAACAGAGACCUUGGCAUGGUUUUAAACUUCAGCCAAAUGAGAUGCGUGGGACAAUAGCUUGACUUAUGGAUUGUGGCAGGUCAGCAGCCUGACCCAUGGUUUGUGGUGGGACACCACCAUCUGGCAGUCCAAUGGAUUCCAGAGGAAUAAUAGGCUGCUGAGUGGCCUGUGGUGAGGCACCCACAUUGUCACUUAUGGGGCCUUACGCAUCGAUGGCAAGCCCGGUGGCGAUAGUACUGUGCAUCCCCGAAGCUGCCACUGCAAUUCCAUGCAUGGCAGCCAUGCUGAAACUCGCGUAGAUAGCAACGACAAUGGCAAAUAUCGGAAUGAUGUCAGACACGUAUCCCAUUAGGAAUGACUUUGCAUAAUAAUAAUCUGAAGAAGUCAGCUGCGUCGUCCAUCUACCAGUUCGUGAGUGAAGUUUUGCUCAGAAACCCAUUUGCAAUCUUCACAUUUUGCUUCAUCUCUGACGGAACCUUGAUGCUAUCGCUGAAGACGCGGAGACUGAUGACGGUAGACUAGGACUGGUUGGACUGGUCUUGAAGGUGCAUGACGAGUAGAGAGGUUGGGAUAGAUGAACAUGGCUGGAUGAUGUAUGACGAAUAAGGAGUGGUGAAAUGGGUAUGAAAGAGUUUGAAGAGAGAGAAAAGGUGGUAAUGUGGAAUGGGUUUGAUGGGUGCAUGCAUGGGGCAUGAAGAUGAUGGUUAGUAUGGAAGUGGGGGUAUGAUGAGCGAAAGAGAGAGAUGAGAUGGGUGCAUGGUGGUGUAGAAAGAAAGGUGAUCAUACAAAUGGGCAUAGGUAUGGCAGCCAAUGGGUAUCACCAAGUAUGGUGGUGAAGAGAGGGAACGAGUGAGGACAAAUAUGCAUGGAUAUGAGAUGACAUGGGUAUUGUGGUGUGGCGGAAUAGUGAUAAUAUGAGGAAUAGGUUUUAUGGGCAUAGCAGAGAGGUAAUGGCAUGGAGUGAUAAUGGGAACGUGAGUAUGGUUAUAGGAAGUAGUGACGAUACUGCCAUCAUGAAAGGUAAAUAAAAUCCUCUGCAGAGCCAUCUACAGAAGGCUAUUCAGACAAUCUCAUGUAACUCCGCUUUGUCAAUCCUUACCUGGUCUGGUAUACACUUUCCAUGGAGGUUAAAGAAAUCAAUAUGGUGACAUUGCCUUGGUCUUCUCUCUUUCUCAAUACCAAGCACCGAUAGAGACACCCUUAUUUGGAGAAAUUUUGAGGAUCCAGUAGUACAAGGACACGCGCGAGUCAAUUACAGCUUGAGUGCAGCAAACUUUCCAUCUUAAGAAAACCCCUCCUCACAAUUACUUUCUCUUUUGAUGCUGUCAUUACAUCUUAUGUUGUUUUCCCUUAAACUCUCCCAUUUUAAUAUCCGAAGACUGAGAACCAAUCUCCUGUGAUACCCUUCCCCUUCAUACGAAAAUGGAAGAUCUGAUGCCAGAUACGUAUGGAUGCCAAGAACAGGGGAUGAACAAAAAAAAAACAGAGCAAGGAUAAAAGGAAGCAAAAUCAACCCAUCCAAGCCUCAUUUCAUGUAUUUAUCAAUGGGCUCAGAUGCAAGAGUGGGUCAAAACAGUUUUUCUAAUGAGUUUUAAAACCAAAUCAAGACAUAAACACCAAUAUUUCACAUAAAAUCCUAGAGGCAGAGGACACAAAACCAGUAAGAAAAUAAGCAUGGAUCAAGUGAAAAUCCUCACCAAACACAUUCAGACACCAAGAUAGAAAACCCGUUAAUAUUCAGAUAACCCAAACAAAAAAAAACAUGAACGUGAAAGAGACCAAAACUUAUGAAAAUGAUACCUGAACCUUCCUCUUUUCAGUUAGCCUCUCUUCUCUCCAAGAGCUACUCUCUGUAUAGCUUGUAGAAAAAUCUCCUUGACUACGGCAAUGGAGACUUUUUUUUCCUUCUAGCUUCUCCCAAAACUCUUAUCUCAAUUACCUUUCAUGUCUUCCUCUCUUCCAUCCCAAAAAGAAUCAAAAUCCCUUCUUCUUUCGGUGUAGCUGCCUUUUCCCUCCAGAGAAUCCUUUCCUUCUCAAUGGUCCCGUUGACUCUACCAACAUGGAAAGACAACUCACCAGCCCGGAGAGCCUCAAUCAUCCACGUCAGUCAAGCAUCAUCAGGACUCUCCCUCCUGAACAUAGUCUUCAUUCCGUCCAAAUACCCAUUGAACCUUUCCUUUUUCCAUGCCAAAAUAGCUUUGGUAAUUUUCUUUCUUCAUUCAUUUCCUUCCAUCAGAAGCACAAUCAGCACAUGCAUGGGUGCAUACUUGCUUUCUUUCUCAGUUCAUUUCCUUCCAUACGUCCUCUCCUCUUCCAACCUUCUUGGAUCUAUCCUUCAACACAUGCAUAUCUUUGCCAAUACAUGUUUUCAACCUUCCCUUUUCUCUCCAGUGAUGAUUCCUUUGGUGAAUUUCUCCACAAAAAUAUAAAGAAAAUUAGACUUAAUGAAUGAAUCCCAAGGUGUUUUAGAAAAUUAUAAAAUAAACAAACAAAUUAAAUUAACAAAAUAAUUAAGUAAAUAAUGAUAAUAAUAAUAAUAAUAAUAAUAAUAAUAAUAAUAAUAAUAAUAAUAAGAACUCAUUUCAUGCAAUUAUAAAAUAAAAUAAAUAAACAAAAAUACAAAUAAUAAUAAUGAUGAAAUAGUAUAAAUAUAUCAAAAACUCACUUAAUCUUAAAAGCAAUCAAUAAAAUAAAUAAAUAAAUAAAACAAGAAAACAAAUCUAAGUGAAACUAAACCUUGAAAAGUGUUUAAGUGGGCCUAAGGCGGUACCUAAUGGGCCAAGUGUGUCUAAUGGGCCUAAGGUGCACUAAGUGAACCUAAAGUGAUGCCUAAUGGGCCUAAGGUGCACUAAGUGAACCUAAGGUGUCUAAAUGGACCUAGGGCGAUGCCUAAUGGGCCAAGUGUACCUAAAUAAGCCUAAAGUGUCUAAAUGGGCCUAGGAUGGUGCCUAAUGGGCUUAAAGGGCCUAAGUGGGCCUAUGGUGGUGCUUAAGUGUAUCUAAGUCUAAAUGGGCUACCAGGAGUUGCAAUAGAGUUCGAUAAAUCCCUCAACCAUAGUCCCCAAGGUGGCUUAGAGUAGAUAGGCUACACGAGUAUUAAUGGGCCACCAGGGAAUUGCUGUAAACGACAUGUGCGAGGAAGACAAAAUAGAGGGUCUACACUUAGGUUUGGUUGAUUGUAUUUGUAUUUUUUGUUAUUAAUUUGGAUGUUCUAGUUUAAGACCUAUAGUAAUUUGGGCUCAUUUUAAUUGGCGAAAUUUAUGGGACUAAUUUUUUGAUAAGUGAACACAAAUAUAUUAAACGAGGCAAAAAGCCACAAGGCAUACAGGACGUAUACACAGUAGCCAAACCAACAACCAACACGCACCACCCCUUAGGGAGCGGCGAGCCAUUCCAAAAAUCCUAUAAGCGAAGAGGACUCCUCUCCCAUAUACACCCUAGCCCAGCUCCACAAGUUACAAACAAAAGAAUUCUUUAGCUUCUGAAUAGCUAGAGAGCCCCCUCUGAAAGCUAAUCUAUUUCUCUCCUUCCAAACCGUCCAAAAAAUACACAGCGGAAUGGAAGUCCAAAUCCUUUUCCUCUUUCUCCCCACAAAAGGGCCCCUCCAACUGACUAACAUAUCUUUGACUUUCUCUGGGAACACCCAAUUAGCCCCAAACAAGGCCAAGACUAUCUCCCAGAGAGCCCUUACAACUGUACAGUGUAAAAGUAUAUGAUUUACAUUUUCCUCUUCACAACCACAUAAAAAACACCUGUUAGGAAACUGCCAUCCCCGUCUUUGAAGCUUGUCCAAAGUUAAAACUUGCUCCCAAGACACCUCCCAAGCAAAAAAAGCAACUUUGGUUGGGACCUUGUCCACCCAAAUGCUCUUUUUCGGGAAGGUAAUGACAUUAGACCCUGACAAGAGCUUGUAGGCAUCUCUAAUCCGAAAAAGGCCGUGACUAUCUCCUUUCCAAAUCACUGCGUCCUCUUCAAGAGAAGUCCUCAAAUCCCUCAACAAAUGCAGCAGCUCACCUAAAGCGUCCAGCUCCCAAUCAUUAAAGUUUCUAAAGAGUCUUAUAUUCCAACCUCCUUGGUCGAGGCUAGAAUCCCACAUUUCAUUUACCGAGGCGUUCCUUUGGACAGCCAAUUCAAACAACUGAGGAAAACUUUGGGCCAGCACCUCAUUAUCACACCAAUGGUCAGUCCAGAAACUCAUCUUAGUCCCCUUUCCCACUUUGAACUUAAUAUUAUCCCAACACCAAGACGACUCCUUCAAGAUAUCCCUCCAAACCCCCACCCCAAACGUUCCGCGGGCCUCCUUUGUUCUCCAACCAAAACCCAAUUGACCAUACUUCACCCCAACCACCUGUCUCCAGAAAACAUCUUCCUCAAUGGCGAACCGCCAAAUCCAUUUCCCCAACAGAGCCUUAUUCAAAAAAUCAAUCUUCCGAAUACCUAGGCCCCCACUCUCCUUUUAGGUACACACCACCGCCCAAUUGAUUAGAUGAAUCUUUCUUUCCAUCCUUCCCCUUCCCCAAAGAAAGUCCCUUUGAAGCUUUUCAAGCCUUUUAACAACUAGCUUAGGCAUGCGGAAAAGAGACAAUUGGUAAAUCGGCAUGCUGGCCAAAGUGCUUUUGAUGAGGGUAAUCCUCCCACCCUUUGACAAAUAUUGUCUUUUCCACAGUGCAAGCCUUCUUCUCAUUCUUGCUUCAACCCCAUCCCACAUAGCCAUGGCCUUAUGCUUGGCUCCCAACGGCAGCCCCAAAUAAACCGAAGGGAGGGUCCCCACUUUACACCCUAACUCCACCGCCAACAUCUCAAUGUCUUCCACCUCUCCAACCGGGAUUACUUCACUUUUAGCAAGAUUUAUUCUAAGACCAGAGGCUGCCUCAAACCACACCAAAAUCCAGCUUAGGUAAGUAAUGUGAUCUUGCCUCGCUUCACAAAAUAUAAUCGUAUCAUCAGCAAAGAGUAAAUGGGACACAUUUAUCUCCAUCCCCCCCCUCCCUUGGAUGCUACAACCUGAAGUGAAGCCCCCAUCAACAGCCCUUCUCAACAUAGCGCUUAGAACUUCCAUGCCCAGCACAAAAAGGUAGGGGGAGAGUGGAUCACCUUGGCGUAACCCCCUAGAGUUGGAGAAAUAACCAGCCGGCACCCCAUUGACCAGAAUAGAAAAGCUUGCCGUUGAAAUACACCACCAAAUCCAUUUCAACCACCGGUCCCCAAAGCCCAUUUUCCGCAUGACCUUCAUGAGGAAAUUCCAAUUAAUACUAUCAUAGGUUUUUUCAAUAUCCAGUUUACAUAUCACCCCUUUCUCCUUGCGUUUAAGCCAAUAGUCAAUUACCUCAUUGGCUAUGAGUGAAGCAUCUAAAAUCUGUCUUCCCUUCACAAAGGCAUUUUGGUCCGGCGAAACCACCUUGUCUAACACCUCCUUAAUUCUAUUGGACAGCACUUUGGCCAAGAGCUUAUACACACCCCCAAGCAGGCUGAUUGGUCUGAAAUCCCCCAAGUCCUCAGCCCCCCCUUUCUUAGGAAUAAGGACAAGAAAAGUAGAGUUAAGACUCUUGGCAAACGACUUGUCUUCAUAAAACUCAUUGAACACGUCCACAAUUUCCUCUUUCACGAACUCCCAACAGAACUGCCAAAAGGCCACUGUGAACCCAUCCGGGCCUGGGGCCUUAUCACCAUUCAUCCCCAUCAGAGCCAAGUGAAUCUCUGCCUCAGUAAAAAGCUGCUCCAAACCUUCAGCUUCAGCAUGGUUUAANNNNNNNNNNNNNNNNNNNNNNNNNNNNNNNNNNNNNNNNNNNNNNNNNNNNNNNNNNNNNNNNNNNNNNNNNNNNNNNNNNNNNNNNNNNNNNNNNNNNNNNNNNNNNNNNNNNNNNNNNNNNNNNNNNNNNNNNNNNNNNNNNNNNNNNNNNNNNNNNNNNNNNNNNNNNNNNNNNNNNNNNNNNNNNNNNNNNNNNNNNNNNNNNNNNNNNNNNNNNNNNNNNNNNNNNNNNNNNNNNNNNNNNNNNNNNNNNNNNNNNNNNNNNNNNNNNNNNNNNNNNNNNNNNNNNNNNNNNNNNNNNNNNNNNNNNNNNNNNNNNNNNNNNNNNNNNNNNNNNNNNNNNNNNNNNNNNNNNNNNNNNNNNNNNNNNNNNNNNNNNNNNNNNNNNNNNNNNNNNNNNNNNNNNNNNNNNNNNNNNNNNNNNNNNNNNNNNNNNNNNNNNNNNNNNNNNNNNNNNNNNNNNNNNNNNNNNNNNNNNNNNNNNNNNNNNNNNNNNNNNNNNNNNNNNNNNNNNNNNNNNNNNNNNNNNNNNNNNNNNNNNNNNNNNNNNNNNNNNNNNNNNNNNNNNNNNNNNNNNNNNNNNNNNNNNNNNNNNNNNNNNNNNNNNNNNNNNNNNNNNNNNNNNNNNNNNNNNNNNNNNNNNNNNNNNNNNNNNNNNNNNNNNNNNNNNNNNNNNNNNNNNNNNNNNNNNNNNNNNNNNNNNNNNNNNNNNNNNNNNNNNNNNNNNNNNNNNNNNNNNNNNNNNNNNNNNNNNNNNNNNNNNNNNNNNNNNNNNNNNNNNNNNNNNNNNNNNNNNNNNNNNNNNNNNNNNNNNNNNNNNNNNNNNNNNNNNNNNNNNNNNNNNNNNNNNNNNNNNNNNNNNNNNNNNNNNNNNNNNNNNNNNNNNNNNNNNNNNNNNNNNNNNNNNNNNNNNNNNNNNNNNNNNNNNNNNNNNNNNNNNNNNNNNNNNNNNNNNNNNNNNNNNNNNNNNNNNNNNNNNNNNNNNNNNNNNNNNNNNNNNNNNNNNNNNNNNNNNNNNNNNNNNNNNNNNNNNNNNNNNNNNNNNNNNNNNNNNNNNNNNNNNNNNNNNNNNNNNNNNNNNNNNNNNNNNNNNNNNNNNNNNNNNNNNNNNNNNNNNNNNNNNNNNNNNNNNNNNNNNNNNNNNNNNNNNNNNNNNNNNNNNNNNNNNNNNNNNNNNNNNNNNNNNNNNNNNNNNNNNNNNNNNNNNNNNNNNNNNNNNNNNNNNNNNNNNNNNNNNNNNNNNNNNNNNNNNNNNNNNNNNNNNNNNNNNNNNNNNNNNNNNNNNNNNNNNNNNNNNNNNNNNNNNNNNNNNNNNNNNNNNNNNNNNNNNNNNNNNNNNNNNNNNNNNNNNNNNNNNNNNNNNNNNNNNNNNNNNNNNNNNNNNNNNNNNNNNNNNNNNNNNNNNNNNNNNNNNNNNNNNNNNNNNNNNNNNNNNNNNNNNNNNNNNNNNNNNNNNNNNNNNNNNNNNNNNNNNNNNNNNNNNNNNNNNNNNNNNNNNNNNNNNNNNNNNNNNNNNNNNNNNNNNNNNNNNNNNNNNNNNNNNNNNNNNNNNNNNNNNNNNNNNNNNNNNNNNNNNNNNNNNNNNNNNNNNNNNNNNNNNNNNNNNNNNNNNNNNNNNNNNNNNNNNNNNNNNNAAUGUGAUCUUGCCUCGCUUCACAAAAUAUGAUCGUAUCAUCAGCAAAAAGUAAAUGGGACACAUUUAUCUCCAUUCCCCCCUCCCUUGGAUGUUACAACCUGAAGUGAAGCCCCCAUCAACAGACUUUCUCAACAUAGCGCUUAGAACUUCCAUACCCAGCACAAAGAGGUAGGGGGAGAGUGGAUCUCCUUGGCGUAACCCCCUAGAGUUGGAGAAAUAACCAGCCGGCACCCCAUUGACCAAAAUAGAAAAGCUUGCCGUUGAGAUACACCACCAAAUCCAUUUCAUCCACCGGUCCCCAAAGCCCAUCUUCCGCAUGACCUUCAUGAGGAAGUUCCAAUUAAUACUAUCAUAGGCUUUUUCGAUAUCCAGUUUACAUAUCAUCCCUUUCUCCUUGCGUUUAAGCCAAUAGUCAAUUACCUCAUUGGCUAUGAGUGAGGCAUCUAAAAUCUGUCUUCCCUUCACAAAGGCAUUUUGGUUCGGCGAAACCACCUUGUCUAGCACCUCCUUAAUUCUGUUGGACAGCACUUUAGCCAAGAGCUUAUACACACCCCCAAGCAGGCUGAUGGGUCUGAAAUCCCCCAAGUCCUCAACCCCCCCUUUCUUAGGAAUGAGGACAAGAAAAGUAGAGUUAAGGCUCUUGGCAAACGACUUGUCUUCAUAAAACUCCUUGAACACGUCCACAAUUUCCUCUUUCACGAACUCCCAACAGAACUACCAAAAGGCCACUGUGAACCCAUCCGGGCCUGGGGCCUUAUCACCAUUCAUCCCCAUUAGAGCCAAAUGAAUCUCUGCCUCAGUAAAUGGCUGCUCCAAACCUUCAGCUUCAGCAUGGUUUAAACUUUUAAGCUACAACCCUUCUAUAUCAGAUUUCCAAGAUUGGUCCUCUAACAACAACUGUUGAAAGGCAUUCACAACCCCCUCUCUCACCUCCCUCUCCUCCUCCAGCCACCUCCCAUUGAUUUUAAUCUUGUCCAUAGAGUUAUUUCUUCUAUGAGCAUUAGCCAUCCGGUGAAAGAAACCCGUAUUCUUAUCACCUUCCCUCAGCCACAACUCCCUAGAAGAUUGUCUCCAAUGCGUUUCUUCCAUAAGAACCCAAUUUUUGAAGGCCUCCUUAGCCUCUGUUUUCAGCUCUGACUCCCUUUCAGUUAGACUCCUGUCACUCUCCACCAUAUCCCAAAAUGCUACUUGUUGCAAGGCUAGAUUUUUGUUGACUUCCAACCUACCAAACACAUCCCUGUUCCAAGAUUUGAUUUUAUCCUUCAGAAACUUCAAUUUUGAAGCCACUCUGAAACUAGCCCUCCCCCUCCCCCCCGCCUCCUGCCACCAUCCCCGAAGGAGAUCCUUAAAUCCCUCAACUUUGAGCCACAUGUUUUCAAACCUAAAAGGGGAGGGGCCCUUUCUUAAUCCCCCACCUUUCAGUAAAAUGGGGAAAUGGUCAAAAACGGGUCUGGGCAGCCUGCACUGAAGGACCCCACUGAAACAGUCCAGCCAAUCUUGGGUCACUAAAAACCGGUCCAGUCUAGCCCAAGCUUGGUUAUUCUUUCCCCUACUCCAGGAAGCCACCCCCCCAUGCAAAGGCAUAUCCAAAAGCUCUAACUCAUCCGUCACCUGGGCAAAUCUUCUCAUGGCGCCAGUCAGCCUCCCCUGAUUACUCCUUUCCCCAAGGUUUAGAGUGACGUUAAAAUCACCCCCAACACACCAAAGGUCAUCCCAGAUUCCCCUAAUCGCCCCAAGCUCCCCCCAUAAGGUGUCCUUGUCUUCUUUGGAAAACGGCCCAUACACACCCAUAAAAAUCCAGGUCUUCCCAUCCUCAACAUUCCUAAUUCUGCAAGAAAUUGUGAAUUGACCCAUUUCCAUCUCAAGGAUUUCCAAGGUUCUUUUGUCCUAGCAAAUUAGAAUCCCUCCUGCGGCUCCCUGAGCAUCCAAAGCACCCCAAUCCAGGAACCUCCCUGACCCCAAACUCCUCACCAUACCCUCAUUCAUGGAUUGAAUUUUCGUUUCCUGGAUACAAAACAAAUCAACUUUCUACUUUCUAAUCAAAGCUUUAAUCACUUUCCUCUUGGAGCUAUCAUUGACCUCGCGUACAUUCCAGCUCAAGAGCCUUAUUUUCAUUGGACUUCCAUAAUUUGGCACCCUCUUCCUUGCACAGUACCCUUUCUCUUCUUUCCCCCCUCAUAGUUGACUGAGCAUUCAAGUCUUCUCAAUUCUCUUUCAAAUUUCGAUUUCUCCAACAUAGCUUUGCUGUGAAUUCUUUCUCUUCUCUUCCUCAUUUUAACCAUGAACUCCAGAAUGUCUUUCUCUAAUCCCUCUGUCGAGAAUCCCAGGAAUUGACUGAACCUAGUCAAAUCACUUUCUUCCCAUCUUUCUUCCACCCAUGCACCCUCUUCUUGAGAAAUAGGUCGGGCUAGGCACAGAGCCUUUCUAUCAUCCUCCAUGCUAUCGUUACUGAUCUUUACCAAGUCCCAACACUUCCCCACUAACUGCUCUGAAUGCCCAAUUUCCUUGCAACAACAAUCCCCCUUGGUUGACUCCACAAAAAGCCCAGAACGGUCGAAAGACUCCUUUCUUGGAGUCCGACCAAAAGAAGAAAAGAAAGGAGAAGAAGGGUCCAGAGCCACCAUUCCAGAGGGGGACGGAACAUUAACAUACCUUGCGUCUUCCUCCAACAAAGCACUAUCGGUCCUGGAGAUCCCCCCCCACUGUGUCUCAACUCCACGUCGUAGCCCCCACUGAUCAUCCUUCCCCCAACAAUUAGAGAUAUCCACGUCUGGGCCCCUCAACGGGCUUCGAAUGCGCUCCACAGCAGAGGAACCCUUCUCCGUCUGGGCCUUAGAAGAACCAGGAGGAGAUGGACUUUGAGAUGCAGGCCCAUCCCCUCUAAGCAAACACAAAGGCCCGACCUUUUCCUUGGGCUUCCCAUUCCCAUUCCCAUAAAACACCAGCCCAGGCGGACUUGGCCCAGUGGAAAUAUAAGCCUUAGGCCCUCUAGAAGAUGUUGCUUGGCCUAACAAUCCCAGCCCACCCGAUGCAUGGGGUCCGCCUGGAGGCCCGUCUUCGCUCCGCUUUGGAUCCGAGGACUGACCCGACCCACUGGACUGACGUUGCGUCCCAUCCGCAAUCAGCAGGCAGUCCCCGAGCCUUGAGUCCUCCAUCACCCCCAACACGCGCACCCCCGCGCGUGCACUCACGUCACCCCCUUCCUUCGCAACUGUCACGAUGACCUUCCCUCUCUUUUCAGUCGCCGGAAAUUUGAUGACUGGCCUGAUUUCCCACCAUAAGUUUACCGCAUAACAAAACCCAUCAACCCAAACCUCCACUAGGCUGGGAGGAGACUCGCCGUUCCGCUUCACCAAGAGGCGUGCCCACUGUAAUUCCUCCAUGUUUUCCGUUUGCUGAUCAAUCGCAAGGAGACCCCCACACGCCUCCCCAAUCUUCCUCAGAAUAUCCCAUUCCCACAAGGAUACAGGUAGCCCUACUACCCGUACCCAAGCUUCAUUGCUCCUUUCUCCUUUCAAGCAACCCGUCUCCGGACUCCACUUCUCUAAACGGAGAGCUACCCCCCCCCCCCCCCCCCCCCAAAAAAAAGGCUCCCCAAUUUAAAGGGUGGGUAGCCUCUGGGGGGGGUUUAAAAACAAUUUAAAACUUUACCCUUUUCUUUUUUAGACGGCCCAAAUUUCCUUUUUAACCCCAAAAUUUUGGCAAAUGGGGAACCCCACCCCUGGAAAUGGUCCCCUUUCCUGGAUUUGGGUUUCAAAUUCCAAAAAAAAAAGGGGGCAAUUUGGGAAAAUUUCUCCCCCCCCNNNNNNNNNNNNNNNNNNNNNNNNNNNNNNNNNNNNNNNNNNNNNNNNNNNNNNNNNNNNNNNNNNNNNNNNNNNNNNNNNNNNNNNNNNNNNNNNNNNNCCCCCCCCAAGCAAAAUGCUUCCCAUCUUAGAGGCUUGCUCAGCCUCUGCCGGGAUCUCAAACUCCAUUAAAACCUUACCCCUCUCCAUUUUAGCCAGCCCUAAAUUCCCUUUUAACCUCCAGAUUCUCGCUAACUGGGAUCCCCACCCUCUGAGAUCGUCCCCCUUCGCUGCAUUGUGAUUCCAAGUCCCAACAAUACAGUGGCCAAGUUUGGAUAAAUUCCUCCCCACCUCCUCCUUGGUAACAUCUACCCUAACUGCUUCUCUCUCCUUUUCCUUCGCCACUUUGGUCGCUUCCACAUAUGACUUCACCAUAUUCGGCUUCGACCGAGACACAUCUACCUUCUGGUUAUUAGGGUAACUUUCUUCGCAACCCAAGCUCCGCAAUAUGUCCACCAUUGAAGCCCAUCCGCCCUUUACUCCUCUUCCUUUGGGAAUAAAGACGCUAAACCUCUUUCUCUCCAAAUCCGCAACCCCCAAACGGAGAAAGCAGCCCCCUCUGUUGUAGUCGCGCUACAGAGAGUACAUCCUCCCAUUCUCCUUCCACUCUCUUACCCACUUACCCAUUCUUCCGUCCUCAAUACUCAGAUUCANNNNNNNNNNNNNNNNNNNNNNNNNNNNNNNNNNNNNNNNNNNNNNNNNNNNNNNNNNNNNNNNNNNNNNNNNNNNNNNNNNNNNNNNNNNNNNNNNNNNACCCAUUCUUCCGUCCUCAAUACUCAGAUUCAGACAUUCAAAGACUAUCCCGAGGCUCACCGGACCUAGUCUGACCCAUGACGAGAUCCCACCUUUCCUUUCCACAAUCGUGGCAUGCAAUCUGCCUCUCCUCUCCUCCACCUCGACCUCGAACCUUUUCGAUUCCACGCCGAAACCACCCCUCUUAACAUUCUUCCCAGACCUCACAUGGCUCUCGCCUUCUACAAUUUCCGUCGAACCCUCAUCGCCACCGCUCUCUCUCUCGCGAUCUUUCUCUCUCUAACCCUCUCUCUCUCCUCCAUUAUAUGAAAUUUAAAUAAUUUAUGGGACUAAUUUGAAAUUGGAAUUUGGGUUUAAAUAUUUGUUUGGGAUUUUGCACAUCUUUGGAUAUUUACAUUUGUACUAUCUUUGUUUUUUUCAUAGACCCAUUCUGCAAUUUUGUUGACUGGGUACGAAUUGAUGAUACGUGGAGCUUGUGGGACCCAUUCUACAAUCUUGUUGGCUGGGUACGAACUGAUGACACGUGGAGUUUGUGGUAAGUUUAUUUUGACACAUAUUUUAUUUCUCACUUUUAUUUGGUUUUAUUUUUAUUAGUUCUUGUAAAUAUUUGUUUGUAUAUAUUUAUCGACUGUGUACAGAAUUGAACAUCGAACAAACUAUAAAUUUUGUUUAAGUGAGAGGAAGAAUUCAGUAAAUGUGUUUUGAUAAAACAAUAAUUUUAAAAUAUUAUUUUUAAUAAAAGAAAGUUUUUUUAUUGUUAUUUAUAAAAAUUCAGAAAAAUCCAAAAGAAUUGUUUUUAAUAGAAUUUGAAAAAUUGUUUUUAAUAACAUUGUCCAAAAAUUUAUUUGCUUAAUAAAAAUUGUUCAAAAAUUGUUUUGUAAUUAAAGUUGUCCCAGAAAUUAAUUUUUAAUAAAAUUGUCCAAAAAUAUUCUUUUAAAUGAAUUCCUUUUCCUUAAUUAAAAUGAGAUUAAAAGUAUUUUGAGAAAUAGAGGAUUUAAUUUUUUGUAUUUUGUUUAUUUAUUUAUUUAAAUGAAAAUGAAUCAAGAUACUUUUGUAAAUAAAAUUGUAAAAAUUCAUUAUUAAUCUUUGUGCCCAAAUUGAAAUUUUGUAAUAAAUUUUAUUGAUACCAUAAAUGUAAAUAACUUUUCUUGAAAGUUAAAUACAAAUCAAAUCAAAUCAAAUCAAAUCACUUGAAGAAAAUGUUUUUGCAAAUAAAUAAAUUGAAAUCAUCCAUUCAAAAUUGUUUUUUUAAAUAAAAUCCUUCGAAAUUUUCAGACAGUUAAUUUUAUUUAUUUAUUUAUUAUUAUUAUUAUUAUUAUUAUUUUAAUAUUUUUUUAUUAGUUCAAUAAAUCAAUUUGCAUAAUUCUAUUAUCAUUUGUUUUGUACAUUCUUGUCAUUUUAUUUUGUUAUCACCUUUGUGUAUAUUGAUUUAUGUUAUUAAUUUCGGCAUCCAUGAUUAAUUAGUUAAUUGUCAUAAUUCCCUCAAUUAGUUUAGUAGAAACCGUAUGUAUAUGGGCUUAGAAGGGUGCUACGGCUCACCACCGUACCUUCCCAAUAGGUAACCUGACCCCCGAACCCAAACUCAAUUUUCUACAGACCUGUUCUUUUUUCCUUCAAGAGUUACACUUAGGGGGUGUUUGGUACACGGGAAUAGGGAGUGGGAAUAGACAUCUCAUUCCUUUUCUCCCUUAUUCCUAUGUUUGGAUAAAUGUUAAGAAAGGCGGAAAUGAAAUAAAAAAUUAUUCUGGCAGAAAUCAAAUCCAACUUAUGAGUCGGAUUUGCAUUCAUUAAAAGUAGGUGGUAUUCUGAUUCAUUAAACCUAUUUGAUAAUAUAAAAUAACUUAAAUUACUAUUUUACCCUCUUAUCUUGUUCUUCAAACCCGAUGUUUAUCUUCUUUGUAAAGGUAGAGAUCCAUUCAUCAUCCACUUCUUAUCUUCUUUGCAAAGCUAGAGACCCACUCAUCAUCCAAUUCUCUGCAACAAGUGAUUCUUCCAAAUUGAAUCAAUUAAACCUUCCAUAAUAUUUGAAAAAAAAAAAUCAAUUUCUAAUUUAUAGGGUUUUGGAUGUUCAUUUUGAUUGUUGGAUCUAGGAUUCGUCAUUGUUUGCUGCAACUAGGUUCUGAAAACUCCCUUCUACAUCUUCGAUCAGGUUUACCUUAUUUUCUCUUUCUUAUUCUACUUCUUUAUAUGUGUUUCUUCUUCUCUAUAAAUCGAUUAAUUUUUUUUUAUUAAUUUACGUUUGGAAUCUUUGAUGUUUCUUUAUCUUGUAUUAAUGGAAACUAGAGAGAAAAAUUGAAAUGGUUGGAAAAAGAUUUUUUGAUUCCACGUGUUUACAAUAUUGAAAAUUUUUAAUGGUUAGGAAAAAAAUAAAAAGAAAAAAACAAGCAAAAACAAAACUUUUGGUUUUUUUUUUCCCCUUUGUUUAUUAUUAUCGGCGUCUUCCUUUCCUAGUUAAAUAAAAAGAUUCUAUAGCUUUUUUUGCAUGACAAAUUAUUUAAAAUUUUGAUAAAAAAAUACAAUAUUUAAAAUAUUUUAAGGUUAUGGAUUUUAUCAGAUAUGAUACUUGUUGAAAAUUAUAAUAAAUUUGAAUUCUUUUAUUUCCUCUUUUGAAAAUAGGAAAAACAUUUGCUAGCUUUGAGAAUUUAAAUAUUAUAAUAAAUAAUUUUUUUUUGAAAAAUAUAAUUUUAUAACUACUUAAGCAUGACAAAUUAUUCAAUUUUUUAAUAAAAAUAAUAAUUGAAUAUUUGUGCAUUAGGGUUAUACGAUUUUUUAUGGUUAAUUUUUUAUUUAUUGAGUAUAUAUAUAUUUUUUAGUCUUAUUAUUUAAUAACAAAAAACCUCUCAAAUUUUAUUUUUUUAAAAUAAAAGUAAAAAUAAAAAAAUAUUUUAAAUUAUAUGUAAGGAUAUUAUUGUAAAUUUAUUUCUUUUUCAUUUCCAUUCCUAUUAUUAUCAAACAUUGGAAUGGAAACAAAUAAUCAUUCUAAUCUUGCAUUCCUAAGUUCAUCCAAAUACUAGAAAUAGAAUCAUCAAAUUCAUUCCAUUCCACUAAGAAAUAGGAAAGGAAACAAAAUAUUAUUUCUAUUCCCUAUUCCGACGUACCAAACACCCCCUUAGGGUUUUUAUUUCUUAUUUUGUUUUUCCCUUUUAAAAAAAAGAAUAAAAUAAGUGGCGACUCCAAGUCUUUUUCUAAAAAUCAAAUUUUCACUAAACAAAAAAAAAAAAAAAGCGAGUCACGUCGUCGAGUGGGAACGCACGUGAAAAUGCGGGGUCCAUAACCAUAUUUAUCAUCUAAAUUAUGUGCUUCUUGAAUAGUAAUUACAUGUUACACAAGAUAGAAUCAUGUUAACAUAUUAAACGGAUUAGAAUCAUGCUAUCUGGUUUAACGAAUGUUAAUAAGUAUAAUAGGUUAGAAUCGAAUUAACGGGGGUUACCUAUGUUAAUUCAUAUAAAGGUCAACUUAGCCUAUUUAUUAAAUUAGUUAUGUUUAUAUCAAGUUAUUUUAACAUGAUGUUUAAACAAACCAUAUUCCAUUUGAGUAAAUUUUCACUAGUUUUUAUCUUGACAUAAUACAAAUCCAACAUAAUAUGACCCAUUAUCACCCUAAUUAAGGAGCAUAUGAGUGUUGCAUUAAGGAAGUGGAAGAAGAGCAUAGAUACUAAUGAUAUCAAAUUUUAGGGAGUGGAAGCAUUUAAUCAAGUAAUGUUGUGCAACUUUUUUUUCAUAAGUAGUGGAUUAUUCAAUUGUCAAGAGACCAACCAUAAUUUUUUUUACACCUAGGGAUUUCUAGGUGGUUUCCACAUUAAAUUCUAUGUUGAAUUGUGUAAUUGGAAAUCUCAUGCAUGAGAUUGAUAAGAUAUUGAUGAUAAUUGAGUUGGAAUAAAAUAAUUUAACUUUGAGGGGUUAAUUGCUUGGACUACCUAUUUACCCCUCCUGUAAGAAGUUCCAUAUCAACAAAAAAGUUCUUUCAAUAUGUAUAUAGAUAUUUUAUAUUUUCUAAUUUUAAAUUUAUUUUUAAAUUGGGAAAUUGAGUGGGGAAAUAGUUGGCUCAAUUUUCAAGUUUGGAAACAAAAUUUGUUGUUAACAUGUUAUUUUACCUUAUUUUAUACAUUUUUUUUAAUAAAAAUAUAUAAUCAAGUGCUCUUGUAUGAUUGAUUUAGAUGUUAGCAAAGGUUACAAUCAUUAAUUCUAUUAAUUGACCAACAAUUUUUUAUAAACUUUAAGUUGCUAGCAUUCAUAUAUCAUCCUAAAAUUAUUAAUUAUAAUUUUAUUUAAGUUGAACCACAAAUCUUGGGUAAAUGAAGAAAAAUUCGUUAACAAGAUACUUGUUUAUAUUGGAAGUUUUUAGUUUGAUUUGUUGUUGUUGAAUUCAAAUUCUUAGAAGAUAGCUUUGAGGACUAGCUAGUUGCCUUGGUUUUUGUUAUAUGUUUGAUUUUUAUAUUGUUUUCAGACAUGAUGUGUAAAAUGGAUUAAUGGUAAUGAUGUUGAAACAUGGCUAAUACUAUUAGACCAAUGUUGAAGAGAGUGCCUUUGGCGGGCUGCAUCUGGAGCAAGCUCCAUGACAAGCUCCAUUUACUACAAAGUAUUGCUUCACAACCUAUUUGUAUAUUAUAAAGUUGUGAGUACAAUUAUUAAAGUUGUAUAAACAAGUGGCAAUCUUGAUAUGUCAGAAUGACACCAUUCGAAAAUUAUAUAAAUUUUAGUAGGUUCAAGUAAGGUGUAAUUAUAUCAUAGUAAUAAUCAUGUUAACUUGCAUAACUCAUUUAAAUUAUUGAAAUGCAUUUAUGAGAGGCAUUUGCAUUGCCUAAUUAUAGUUCUUAUUAGAGAAUGAGUUAUUAUCAAUUUCAUGGAACAAAACUUUCAUUAGUCAGUAUAAUUUGAAAGUGAAAUCUUACUCAUAAAAUUUUUCAAUUAAAUUUAAAAGUUAAAAUUAUAAAGUAGAGAGUUAAAAGAACCAUUGAGCAUAGUUUAAAAUUUGAAUAUAAUGUGUUUAUUGUUGUAAUUCAAGCCCAAUAUUUAUUAUUUAUUAUUAAAAAUAUAAUUUUAUAUCUAAUUUUUAUAUUUAAGAUAAUUUAGCACAUUUGAACAAUGCUUUGAGAAUAAGAUUGGAGCAUCUAAUUUGACUAAUUUGAUAGCAAAUCAAACUAAUCCAAUCUUAUUUUUCAUAUUUAUCCACCUUCAAUUCUAAGAUAAACAUGAACAAAAGUCUUUAUAUGAUUAUAACAAAAUAAACACUAAAAUAAUGAGUUUAACAUUAAAUAAUAAAAAUUUUAUUUCAGUCUUCAACAUAUUGUUAUAUAAGUUAUAUAUAUGUUAGUAAAAUAAGAAAUGUUAAUAUAUUUAAAAUAUUAAAUAAUAAAAUCACAAUUUUUUGUUAUUAUUAAUAUUUAAUUAAUAAAUUCUAAUUAAAUCUAAAAUAAAAACUUUACACAAAUUAGUAUAAAACCAAAUAUGAUCACCAUAAACCAACCCCUAUAAAAAGAAUUAAAUAUAUAAAAGUCAAAGUAAAUAAAUGAGAAUUAAUGUUAAAAGAUAUAAACAAGAAAAAAAAAUUCAUUGUCUAGUAGUUUAAUUAUUUAUAUAAUUUUAACUUCAUGUAUUAUUUUAAAUUUUAAUAAUAUAUGAAUUAUAUAUGCAUAUUGUCAUGUUGAUAUCAUGUUUCAAUUACUUGAACCAUCAUUUCAAUUAAGAAAGUCUAAUGCAAUAAUUUUUCAAUUCAAUAACUAAUUAAUAAGAUUUUCAAAAUAUUGUAUUUGAAAACUCAUCACAAAAAAUGAAUAUAAAAGAUCAUGAAGUUCUUGCAAAGAAAAUUGACUUCACUUAAAUAUGAAACCCCAAACCUUAAUUUCUUCAAUAAUACUAAUCAAAAUUCUUAUGUUUAAGCAUAUUAGGAGAGAACCAAUAAUCUCAUCCGCAAAUCAAGCAUAGUCAAUAAUCAAUUCUUAUGUUUAGGAGUAAUAUAUAUAUAUAUACCUUGUGUAGUUGAUGUAUCUUUUGAAAAGUCAUGUAUAUAUUUAAAUGUUGUAAUAUAUAUCUUGAAUAAUAUACUUUUGACCAUUCAUUCAUUCAUCCAUUCAUCUUAUACUCUUGUAAAUAAAAGUGACUUCAUGAAAAUAUAUAUGAAAACCUCAAACCUUAACUUCUUCGAUAAUGCCUAUUAAAAUUUUUGCAAUUGAAGGUUGUGUAACUGAGAAUGAUAAUGAUGUAAGGUUUAGAACUGGUCACUCCUAACCAAACUUAUUCUUAUACAAAUUCCCAUCUUCAUCUAAGUCUAGGAGUUAACUUUUCUAUUUUAAGAAAAUUAAUUAUUUUUAUUUUACAUGUAUUAAAAAAGGUAAAAUAAAAAAAAAAAAACAUUAAGAUUGAGCUAUAUGAUCAAUCUCUGUCAAACCUGAAUCAAUCACAAUAUAUAUGUAAGAAGAUAAUUUAAAAAUGUGUUUGAUAAUGUUUUAUUUUGAAGUGUUUUUAAUUUUAAUGAAAGAAUUUUUUAAAAAAAAUUAACUUUAAGAGAAGCAUUUAUUAAAUAUUUUUUUUUUCAAAAAGCACCAUAAAUGAUUUUUUUAUUUGUUUAAAACUAUUUAUUAAAUUUUAUUAAAUACUUAAUUUUUCUUUAAAAAUAUUUUUUAAGGUAGAAGUGCUUUUUUAAAAACAAUAUCAAAUGGACGUAAGUCUUAACAUAAAAUCCCAAAUCUACCCUUGAUUUAAUUAUACUUUUCAAAUCCAUCCUAUGAGCCUAGGCAUCCUUGAAAUACCCACCCCUAUUAUAAUACAAAAGCAAACCACCACUAAAGAUAUUUAAACAACAUUUUAAGGACAAUCGGAACAUAUCAAUGAGUCUUUGUCUCAUAAUACAAAUUUCGUUAUGUUCACAUGUAGAAACGGACAAAUGAUACGUAAAAACUAAAAAUCAUAUACAAUAGAAAGCUUGGAAUCAGGGAAGAGAGUAGAAAGUUACGAAGUGGUGGAGCCUUGGUAAAAUAAAAUUAACGGCAUUAUCAUGUGCGUGUCCCAUCGUUGGAUGGACCAAAUUUUGCUUCUCCCAAAGCUCUUUAAAUAUUAUAAUUAGAGUCCACUUGAUGCUUAGAAAAAUACAUUUGCAAGUGAUCUCCAUCUGUCAAUCAAUUAAUCUAUACAAUAUUAAAAAUUCACUUGUAGUUGAUUUAAGAAAAUCACUUUGUUGGUGGUGGCCUGUCUCCGAUGUUACCCAAGUUUCAACUCUGGACUUUUCAAAUUAACAAAGUGCAGUGAUUCAUCUUUCUUCUUUGUUCCAUCUUUGGCUGAAUUGUAAUCCUUUUGUCUGUAACUUACGGAAAGCUAUGGAGUUCCUGAGCUCAAUCGUGGGUCUGGUCCCCUGCUUCUAUGAUCACACCUCUAAGCAUACCGUCUACAUUCGUGAUCUGAAGAAAAAUCUCCAAGCCUUGAGCAAGGAAAUGGUGGAUCUCAACAACUUGUAUGAAGAUGUGAAGGAAAGGGUUGAAGGUGCAGAGCAACGACAGAUGAAGCGCAGAAAGGAAGUGGGUGGUGUUGAUGCCUCGCGUCCCUGACGAUCCACGCAGUUGCUGAAUGGAUGGACACGCGAUCUCAACCCACAAAGGUUCUUGAUUCAGUCGUUAUACCUGCAAAAGACAUCCGGACAGGGUGUCCGGACGCACCCUCCGAUGGUUUUGUUAGCCAUGGUUAGAGAGGGAGAUAUAAAUCAGUUGGCCUUUUACUAGGUAUCAGGAGAUUACCUUCCUCUUCGUGUGAAGGUUUAUAUAUAGUGUCAGGAGUACUGUUCCUCACAUUAAUGGUGAGGAGAUAUUUUAUGUUUGUCAUGAUGACAUUCGGAGGCAGCAUGGUCAUCGCCACCCUACUGGCGGCUGUCAGAAACCGUGGUAGGUGAUGCGGCUGUCAGAGAUCGUGGGAAGUGAUCAUGUAGAAUGAUCGUGGGAAGUGACUUGUUGUCACCUCAACCCGUCCUUUCACUCUGCAGGUGAUGGGACGUGGGCCAUGGAUGGUUGUCGUGAUAGCAUGUAAGACUCGCUAUACUUUAGUCAAUGAUCCGGACAAUCAUAUCCGGAUAGCCCAUGUUGGUUAUCCGGAUGUAUUCUGGAGCGGACGCAUUGAUGGAAGACGUCCGGAUGUCUAUGUUUUGUAAGCGUCGUUUGCCCUCCCUUGAGGCAGUCCGGAUGGGAAAAGCGCGUCAUGUGUGCUUUAUAGGAAGAUCUGGAUGAGGGUGACCCGGAUGACAAUGUGUGCCACGUGUCACUGUAAGAUGCGUGCCACGUGUCACUGCAAGAUGCGUGCCAUGUGUUCUCGGAGGGAGGGGUCCCUACAAUGCCCCACUUUUUAACUUGCCUAUUUUGCCUUAGAAAAAAUGGGCGGGUUAAAAAAUAAUUGGUUUUUGAAACCGAAGUCGACUUUUGGUCUGGUUGGGCCACGUGGCGAGUGGGGGUGCGGGAGCCAAAAAGGCAUUUAUGAUGAGCCGCAGACUCUGGGUAUUCCCAGGCAACAUGUCAUUUCAAUGAUGGCGUUGUUUGGGCGUUUGGUUUUCCGAGGGGCUGUCCCCCUAUAAAUAGCAGACUGUGCCUUCUGUUUGUAUUUUUCCUACUGCGUUUCUUCUGAGAGUUUUUGCUUCUUCUUCCUUCUGUGCUUUCCUUUGCUUUUCUGAGUACAAAACCCUGGAGUUUUUUUCUGCCGGUGAUUUUGUGUCGCGACAGCAACCUUUCUUCUCCACAUUUCCAUUUGGUAUGUGCAUUUUGCUCUUAUUUUCCCUUUGUUGUGCUUGUUUGUUCAUUGGCUUGAUUUCUGACUUGCUUUGGGCAAAUCACUUGCAACUGUGUGUUGAAUGUUGGUGUUUGUUGAUUUUCUGGAUUGCUGUGUGUAACUGUUGCGCUUUUUUGUAUGUAGGUUUCGGUAAAACUUGGGCUAAAAAAUGUCUUCGAAGCAAAAAGCUACUUCAUCUGUCCGCGCCGGCGACGCUUAUGGGAAAUCUACAGACAAACUGAGCGUAAAGGAGUUCCGGGAUCGAUUCUGCAUUCCAAAUGGCGUAAUUGUGGAAUUUUUGAAUGGGGAGGAUGUCGUACCUACUGAGAAAGUUGAACAAGGUACCGUCAUCUUCUCCAAGGAACAAUUCAACGCGGGGCUCCGGUUCCCUCUGCCGGCGUUGUUCAAGGAAUUCCUCCAUUUCACCCAGAUUCCACCCGUCUUCAUUCAUCCCAAUAUCGUCCGGGUGCUGAUGGGAUGCAGCAUCAUAAACAUGCUGUACAACCUCGACCUCACGGUGCUGGAGGUGUUUUUUGUCUAUUCGCUGAAGAAGGUGAAAACUGACAUCUUCAGCAUGUCCGCGCACCUGCCCUCCCUUCAAUUGGUGACGGAACUGCCAGACUCGACGAAGGGAGGGGCGAAGGGACACGUGGCGGUCCAGGGUGCAUGGGCGGGGUCAUCAGGGCGUCCGGGGAGGCCCUUCUCUCCAAACUACUCUUUAGCGAUUCCGGGUAAGUUUGCUUUGCGACUUUUGUCCGGAUUUUUACCUUGUUGUCUUUUUGUUGAUCUUUUCGGAUGGUAUUCUCAACCUUUGUUGCUGUCAAUGUAGGUCCGGAAAAAAGGGGCCACCUUGUGGACUGGGUGGAGAAGGAGUCCUUUGCCUGUCUCAGUAAGUUAUUUGAGAUAGACGCCAAGGAGAGGCACUACAAGACGCUGCUUACUGCGCAGAACCUGAUGGCGGUCGUCCGGGUGUGGUUCGGUAGGCCCAUAGGACGCCGGGUAGCUCCUCGACCCACUUCCCUUUGGCUUGUUCAAGCCUUUUCUUUAGGGCGGUGAUUAGGGUCUUGUUGGUGGCUUCUGCUUGCCCAUUACUUUGAGGAUAUCGCGGCGUGGAGUAUGAAUUCCGGAUGUUCAGUUCCGAACAGAAUUUCCUGAAGAUGAUGCUGUCAAAUUGUGGACCAUUGUCAGCUAUGAUGGUUUGGGGGAUUCCAAAACGGCAAACAAUGUUUUUCCAUACGAACUUGGUGACAUUUUUGUCUUUGAUGCUAGCAUAUGCUUCAGCUUCCACCCAUUUACUGAAAUAGUCUGUGGCAACGAGCAAAAAUUUCUUUUGGGCAGGUACAGCUGGGAGAGGUCCCACUAUGUCCAUGCCCCAUUGUGCGAAGGGCCAUGGGCCUGAGAUUGAUUUUAAUGUUGCUGAUGGCAUAUGUGGAAUGGGAGCAUACCUUUGACAUUUAUCACAUUUUUUGACAUAGGCUGCCCCAUCCUUCUUCAUUGUUGGCCAAUAAUAUCCUUGUGAAUGGGCUCGAUGUGCCAGAGAUCGUCCUCCUGAAUGAUUCCCGCAUAUUCCCUUAUGCAACUCAGUUAACACAUACUGGGCCUCUGAAUGCCCUAGGCACCGAAGGUAAGGUCCUGUGAAGGACCGCUUGUACAGGUGCCCCCCAAUCAGGGUGAAACGGGCAACUUGCACCCGGCCUUUGUGUGCCUGUUUGAGAUCUCCGGGUAGAGUGCCUGUCCGGAUAUAUUCUGCGAUGUCAUACGUCCAUUCUUGGUCGUCCGCUUGGGAUGCCUCAAUGGUACUGCAGGUGGAAAUUUCUGCGAUAGAGGGGUUGGGUUGCACAUGUAUAGGCAAUAGAAUAGCUUCUUUGAUGGGAAGGGAAGCAGCUAUUCCAGCUAAGGCGUCAGCGCGCCCAUUAUCAGUUCGCUUAAUUUUUUCUAUUGUCCAUUCAGUGAAUUGCUGCAAGGUGUCCCUUACUUUAGCUAAGUAUCGCGCCAUGCGUGCGUCUUUAGCCUCGUACUCCUUCUGGACAUGCCUUACCACGAGUUGUGAGUCACUGUAGAUCCAGAGUUUGGAGACGGAUAGAGCAAGGGCGAGGUCCAAUCCGGACAAGAUGACCUCAUAUUCUGUUUCGUUGUUAGAGGCAGAGAAUCCCAGCCGGAUGGCUUACUCCGAAUGUUCCCCAGUUGGGGAUUGUAGUAGGAGCCCAACUCCAGAGCCUGAUAAGCGUGAGGCUCCGUCAACUCGCAGAGUCCACCAUUCUUGUUUACUUGAUCCGUGGUGUUGGCUGGGUCUUCGGGAAUAUUCUAGCACGAAGUCAGCCAUUACUUGGCCUUUCAUGGACAAUCUGGGUUGGAAUUCGAUUCCAAACUCGCUCAAUUCAAUGACCCAUUGUAGCAUUCUCCCAGUUAAAUCUGGCUUGUGCAGAAUGUUGCGAAGGGGCUGGUCAGUUAGUACGAUUACUGGAUGAGCUUGGAAAUAAGGGCGGAGCUUCUGAGCAGCGCUUCGAAGGGCUAAGGUUGUUAGCUCCAUUUUUGAAUAUCUGGUUUCUACGUCUGCCAAUGCCCUGCUGACGUAGUAGAUAGGUUUCUGCUCCUUGGGUGAGGGGCAGCGGAAUAGAACGGCGCCGAUUGCCCAUUCUGAUACCGCCAGAUACAUGUACAAUUUUUCCUUCGGGAUGGGGCUGCUCAAGAUGAGUGGUUGCAUAAGACAAUGCUUAAUCUUUUCGAAAGCGUUUUGGCAACUGUCCGUCCAUCCGUGUGCUCCAGCUUUUCGUAUUGCCAAGAAGAAGGGUCGCAAUUCAUCAGUGAAGCGGGCUAUAAAACGCCCUAGUGCGACGAGUUUGCCUGUGAGCCGUUGUAGCUCCUUCUUGUUCCUGGGAGGGGGUAUUUCCAUGACUGCCUUGACUUGAUCCGGACUGACUUCUAUGCCCCUUUGGCUGACCAUAAAUCCCAGAAAUUUUCCAGCACUUACGCCAAAGGCGCAUUUAGAAGGAUUUAGCUUCAUGCCAUACUUUCGUAAGAGGUGAAAAACUUCUUGUAAGUGAAGGACAUGCUGCUCUCGGGUUUUGCUUUUAACCACGAUAUCAUCAAUAUAUACCUCUACUGUGUGGCCUAUCAGAGGUUUGAAGAUCUUUGUCAUCAGUCUCUGAUAAGUGGCGCCAACGUUUUUGAGUCCGAACGGCAUGACUUUGUAGCAAUAGAGUCCGUGUGGCGUUAUGAAUGCUGUCUUUUCCUCGUCAUCCGGGGACAUGGGAAUCUGGUGAUAUCCGGAGAAGGCAUCCAAGAAAGAGAGCAUCCCUUACCCGGAAGUGGAAUCCACAAUUUGAUCUAUUCGUGGCAAGGGAAAACUGUCUUUUGGACAUGCAUUGUUGAGAUUGGUGUAAUCUACACAAACUCGCCAUUUUCCUUCUUUUUUGGGUACCACCACUACGUUUGCCAACCAAUCCGGAUAAGAUACUUCUCUGAUGAAUCCGGCUUCGAGCAAUUUGUCAAUCUCAUUCCGGAUGACUUUUUGUCUAUCCGGGUGAAAGCGCCUAGUUUUCUGCCGGACAGGUUUGGCAGUUGAAAAGACGUUAAGUCUGUGAGAUGCAAUAGAGGGAUGAAUUCCCUUCAUAUCAGAAUGUGCCCAUGCGAAGAUGUCAUGAUUCUGUCUGAGAAUGUUUUGCAUGCUCUAAGUUUCUUCGGUUGUCAUGAGGGAACUGAUGUUCGUGAGGUGAGUGUUUUCCUCCGAAAUUUGGAUUGUUUGUAAGGGAUCUGCUGCCGGGGGAUCUUUGUCCGUCGGACCCAAUAAUUGCUAUUGGUCAUGUGUAUGGCUGGGUUCAGGGGGAGAUGCAUCCUCCUCGUUGGCCCUUGCUUCUCGUGCUAUCUGAUAGCAUUGGCGAGCGGCCAGCUGGCUACCAUAUAGGUCAAUUUGCCCUUCGUUGGUGAGAAAACUCACCAUUUGAUGAUAUGUGGAGGGGAUGGCUUUCAUGUAAUGUAGCCAUGUGCGCCCCAAGAUGAUAUUGAAGGGUGAUAACUCUUGUACCACCGAGAAUUGUACGUUGAGAGUGACUGGGCCAGCUUGGACCGGCAGUACAAUGUCUCCCGAGGACGUAGUUGAUGACCCGUUAAAUCCAGAUAGGAUUCGUCCAGGGUUUUCGAGGCCUGUAAGACUGUGUCCCAUGUGGCCAACGACUGAUGUUUGCACAAGAUCGGCCGAACUGCCUGGGUCAACCAAGAUACGUCGCACAUCGAAGUCCCCAAUUUCCAGGGACAAGAUGAGGGCGUCGCGAUGUGGUUGCAGUGUCCGGGUGGGAUCUACUGGUGGGAAAAUGAUUGUCCCAUCUAUGGGGCGAGGGCCCCCCCCAGUUAGCCCAGGCCGGAUGGAAUUGAUACGUUCGCAUAUUGAUGCGGCUCGCAACAAUUUUUGCCUCUUUCACCUAGAGUCGUACUCCUCGUCAGAUGGACCUCCGUUAAUAUAGUUUAUAACGGCCUUGGGGGCGGCUGGGGCCCUGGGGGCUCCAGGAUUGUGAUGUUGAGAUGCGUCCCUUCCUUCAUUAUCUGAUCGGAGGUAUUGCUUCAAAUGCCCUGUUUUUAUGAGCCUCUUGACCAGAUACUGGAAAGCUCGGCAUGUCUCUGUUGUAUGGCCAUGAUCCUUGUGGAAGGCACAUCUCCUACUACGAUCUCUUGUGGAUGGGUCCGUUCCAAUGGGUCUAGGCCACUUGAAGUCGGACAAGCCCUGGAUUAUUGGGAGAAGUUUCUCAUACGAUAUGGAAAGGGGUGUGAGAGGCGGCCUUUCCGGGCAACUUGGCCCUUCCUGCCUCCGGUCGGAUGGCUUUGGCCGGUCCGGAGGUUUAGCAUUUCUCUCUGCGUCACCUCUAGAUGGUCGUCCGACAACCAAAACUUGUUGGGUGGCUGCACGCACGUCAUCUUCAAGCAUUGAAUAUUUGUUGGCACGCCUGAAUAAGUCAUCCAUCGUUGUGGGAGGCUUUUUUGCCAGUGAUUCGAAAAAUGGAGUGCCUAGACAGAUGCUUCGCUUGAAGAUCUGUAGGACAGCAUCCAUACUGCAAGCCUCUACUUGAAGCACGGCUUGGCCAAACCACUUCACGAAUUCCCUCAAGGAUUCGUUAUCUUGCAUUUUUAUGUUCUGCAGGGUGCUGAUAUUUUGCUUGUGUCGAGCGGGGCACAAGUAUUGUCCCACAAAAGCUUCGGACAGGUCCCUGAAAUUGCCAACAGAGUUGGGAGGUAGGCGAUGAAACCAUGAGAGGGCCUGUCCUUGUAGGCUGGCGGGAAAUACUUUGCAUAGUAGUGCAUCGUUGCCAAUAUCGAGCGUCAUGCACUGUCGAUAAUGCAUGAUGUGAUCGAAAGGAUCGUUGGUUCCAUCGUAUGUGGAAAAUUUUGGUACGAGGAAUCCCCUUGGGGGCUCGUAAUGGAUGAUAUGAGAGCAGAAGGGCGUGGAGAGCAUGUCAUCCAGCCUUCUGCUGAUGGAGCCAAUGGGUGGCUCGUUUGGGAGGUUUCCCCCAGCCUGCUGUACCGCUGGGUGCGAAUGAACGUUCCGCAUCACGGGGGUGACUAUGGGGUCACGAUGCGGGUGUACGUUCUGCACCAUGGGGGUGGUCAUGGGGUCAGGGCGUGGUGCCCAAGUUGUGGCCAUUGGUGGCCUUGAUCUUCCAGGCUCUUGUGGGCUUAGUCUUGCGCGCAUCGAAUUUGACAACUGAGGUCUUCUAUCGCAUUGCCUUUUCGUUGAAAAAUGAGUAGAGUCUGAACUUUCCUCACGGGGAGCUCGGGGCAUAGGCGUGUGUGGCUCAUGAGGCCUCACGUUGCAUGCUCCUGGGAUAGCUCCUGUUGUUCCGGGAUAUAUUGAUUCUGGUUCUUGUUGAGGCCUUGAGUUUGCUACUUGGCCCCUUGAACGCUGACGUCGAGGAGGCCCUGAUGUUGAAGCCUGGAUGCGUAACACAGCGUUUUCCUCUCUCAAUCUUUCUGUCUCCUAGAUGAGAGCUUUUAGUUGUCGUUCGCUUGCCAACUGUCUCCUUUCGAUGGUUUGACGCCAUUCAAAAUUAUCAUCCCCUCCCCUACCAGAUGAACGGCUUCGGGAAGGUGUGGCCAUCUUUGCCAGUGACUGAAUCAAAAUGAAAAAGUAGUUCCCACAGACGGCGCCAAUGUUGAUGCCUCGCGUCCCUGACGAUCCACGCAGUUGCUGAAUGGAUGGACACGCGAUCUCAACCCACAAAGGUUCUUGAUUCAGUCGUUAUACCUGCAAAAGACAUCCGGACAGGGUGUCCGGACGCACCCUUCGAUGGUUUUGUUAGUCAUGGUUAGAGAGGGAGAUAUAAAUCAGUUGGCCUUUUACUAGGUAUCAGGAGAUUACCUUCCUCUUCGUGUGAAGGUUUAUAUAUAGUGCCAGGAGUACUGUUCCUCACAUUAAUGGUGAGGAGAUAUUUUAUGUUUGUCAUGAUGACAUUCGGAGGCAGCAUGGUCAUCGCCACCCUACUGGCGUCUGUCAGAAACCGUGGUAGGUGAUGCGGCUGUCAGAGAUCGUGGGAAGUGAUCAUGUAGAAUGAUUGUGGGAAGUGACUUGUUGUCACCUCAACCCGUCCUUUCACUCUGCAGGUGAUGGGACGUGGGCCAUGGCUGGUUGUCGUGAUAGCGUGUAAGACUCGCUAUACUUUAGUCAAUGAUCCGGACAAUCAUAUCCGGAUAGCCCAUGUUGGUUAUCCGGAUGUAUUCUGGAGCGGACGCAUUGAUGGAAGACGUCCGGAUGUCUAUGUUUUGUAAGCGUCGUUUGCCCUCCCUUGAGGCAGUCCGGAUGGGAAAAGCGCGUCAUGUGUGCUUUAUAGGAAGAUCCGGAUGAGGGUGACCCGGAUGACAAUGUGUGCCACGUGUCACUGUAAGAUGCGUGCCACGUGUCACUGCAAGAUGCGUGCCACGUGUUCUCGGAGGGAGGGGUCCCUAUAGGUGGGUGGAUCCGUGAAGUAAAAGACAUGGAGAAAGAAGUUCACGAAAUUCUGUAAAGAGGAGAUCAAGAAAUCCAGAAGAGUUGUCUCGGAUGCUGUCCCAGGAAUUGUUGGUCUAGCUACAGGAUUGGAAAGGCAGUAAGUGAAAAGCUGGUUGCUGUAUCUCGUCAAAUCGGCAAAGGACAUUUCGAUGUUGUAGCCGAGAUGUUGCCUCGUCCUCCAGUUGAUGAACUGCCAAUGGAGGCGACUGUGGGCCCACAAUUGGCGUAUGAAAAGAGCUGUAGGUUUCUCAAAGAUCCACAAGUGGGAAUUAUGGGAUUGUAUGGAAUGGGGGGUGUUGGCAAAACCACCCUCUUGAAGAAAAUCAACAAUGAAUUCCUCACAACAUCCAAUGACUUUGAGGUUGUGAUUUGGGCUGUGGUGUCAAAAUCGCCCGACAUUGAAAAAAUUCAGCAACUUAUUUGGAAUAAAUUGGAAAUCCCACGUGAUAAAUGGGAAACUAGAAGCAGUAGGGAGGAGAAGGCUGCAGAAAUAUUGAGAGUUCUAAAAAGAAAAAGGUUCAUCUUGUUGUUGGAUGACAUUUGGGAGGGACUUGAUCUCCUAGAAAUGGGGGUCCUGCGUCCAGAUACUGAAAAUAAGUCCAAGAUAGUUUUGACGACCCGAUCACAGGAUGUCUGCCACAAAAUGAAAGCUCAGAAGAGUAUAGAAGUGGAAUGUUUGGAGUUAGAAGAUGCCUGGACUUUGUUCCGGAAGGAGGUAGGAGAAGAGAUAUUAAAUUCUCAUCCGGAUAUACCGAUGCUUGCAAAGGUUGUUGCUGAAGAGUGCAGAGGUUUACCUCUCGCUCUUGUCACUCUUGGGCGGGCCAUGGCAGCUGAGAAAGAUCCCUCAAACUGGGACAAGGUAAUACAAGAUCUACGCAAAUCUCCAGCUGAAAUCACAGGUAUGGAAGAUAAAUUGUUUCAUCGAUUGAAACUCAGUUAUGAUAGGUUGCCUGACAAUGCUAGCAAAUCUUGUUUUAUAUAUCAUUCCAUGUUCCGAGAGGACUGGGAGAUUUAUAAUUUUCAACUUAUAGAACUUUGGAUAGGGGGGGGGGGGGGGGGGGGUUCUGGGGGAAAAUUCUGGAUUUAAUUGAACCCCCCCUCCUGGGGAAAAAAAUUUUUAAAAUUUUAAAACUUGCUGGUUUUUUAAAAAGUCUGGGUUCAAAAAAAAAAAGGGUAAAAAANNNNNNNNNNNNNNNNNNNNNNNNNNNNNNNNNNNNNNNNNNNNNNNNNNNNNNNNNNNNNNNNNNNNNNNNNNNNNNNNNNNNNNNNNNNNNNNNNNNNUUAUAAUUUUCAAUUUAUAGAAUUUUGGAUAGGGGGGGGGGGGGGGGGGGUUCAUGGGUGAAGUUCAUGACUUACAUGAAGCACGCAAUCAAGGGAAGAAAAUUAUUAAAACUUUAAAACAUGCAUGUUUAUUAGAGAGCUGUGGUUCGAGAGAAAAUAGGGUUAAGAUACAUGAUGUGCUCCGCGACAUGGCUUUAUUGUUAUAUGGUGAACAUGGGGUGAAAAAGAACAAAAUUCUAGUAUACAAUAAGGUUACUAGGCUUGAUGAAGAUCAAGAAACUUCCAAAUUGAAAGAAACAGAGAAGAUAUCAUUAUGGGAUAUGGACGUUGGGAAGUUCCCAGAAACAUUGGUGUGCCCCAAUCUUAAGACUUUAUUUGUGAAAAAAUGUCAUAAUUUGAAGAAAUUUCCAAGUGGAUUCUUUCAAUUCAUGCUUCUACUAAGAGUUUUGGAUUUGUCAGACAAUGAUAAUUUAAGCGAGUUGCCUACUGGGAUUGGUAAAUUGGGUGCCUUGAGAUAUCUUAGUCUGUCACACACAAGAAUAAGGGAGUUGCCCAUUGAACUAAAGAAUUUGAAAAAUCUGAUGAUUUUGCUUAUGGAUGAUAUGAAAUCCCUUGAAAUUAUUCCACAAGAUGUGAUAUCAAGCCUUAUAUCCUUGAAGUUGUUCUCCAUUUACGAAUCCAAUAUUUCAAGUGGAGUUGACGAAACUGUACUGGAGGAGUUGGAGUCCUUGAAUGACAUCAGUGAGAUAUCAACCACCAUAUCCAAUGCUCUUUCAUUCAACAAACUAAAGAGUAGUCACAAAUUACAAAGGUGCAUUAGUUAUCUACAUUUACAUAAAUGGGGGGAUGUGAUCUCACUUGAGCUAUCAUCUUCAUUUUUUAAAAGAGUGGAGCAUUUGCGGGGGCUUCAUAUAAGCCAUUGCAAUAAAUUGGAAGACGUGAAAAUUAAUGUGGAAAGAGAAGGCACACACAAUGAUAUGACUCUUCCAAACAAAAUUGCAGCAAGGGAGGAAUACUUCCACACCCUUCGUAAUGUGCUUAUAGAACAUUGUUCAAAAUUGUUAGACUUAACAUGGCUUGUUUAUGCUCCAUAUCUUGAAAAACUUCACGUUGAAGAUUGUGAAUCGAUAGAAGAAGUGAUAUGUGAUGAUAGUGAAGUCUGUGAAAUGAAGGAAAAAUUGAACAUAUUCUCAAGGCUCAAAUACCUCACGCUCAAUAGGCUGCCAAGAUUGAAGAGCAUCUAUCAGCAUCCGCUACUCUUUCCCUCUCUUGAAACCAUCAAGGUGUGUGAAUGCAAAAGCUUAAGGAGCCUCUCGUUUGAUUCCAACACUUCAAAUAAUAGUCUGAAGAAAAUUAAAGGAGAGACAAGUUGGUGGAAUCAGUUGAAGUGGAACGAUGAAACUAUCAAACACUCUUUUACUCCCUAUUUCCAAAUCCACGAAGCUGAAGCAUAUUUAACGGACUCUGAGGAGUCUGAAACUGGCAGCAUAGAUGAUAUUCAGGAAUGACCGAUAUCAAAUUAAUUUCUAUCAAUCUUUCAGGUAUUUAUUAACUUUUAUACUAUAUUUGGAAAAUCAUUUUCUUUCCUUAAUCCCAUUCUUUUGUGGAAAUUUUUACUCUAUCUAAGCCAAAGUGCAUCAAGUCUCAACAUCAUAAUAACUCAGUGUUUGAUCUAUCAAGUUUGCCCCUUUUGAAGUAACCGUAAUAAAAUUUGCCCAGAAGGGAGUUUGAAGGAGGUCUUUUAUUUAAACAUCUAAUGACAUUUCCGUUUGGUUACUUGAAAAGUUAAAAACAUGCAGAGUUCCCAACUAUUUUAUUUAUCUUGUCUUAAUUUUUUCAAUUCAUUUCAAUCUAUAAACAGAAAGAGAAUUCCUAAUUUCAACUUAAUUCCUUAUAUUUCAAGUUGAAACAACAGCUGUUUCACAACAACUGUAGGUAAAGAUAUUCCAUUAAGAAUUCUCGCUUUGUUUAAUGUAUUUACCAGGACCAACUAUAUGUAAUUUCCCUUCUUUUGUUCAGUUGCCUCUAUCUGGUUGACUCUCAGUUGUUUUUUUUAUUUUCUUUUCUUUUCUUUUUUCUACUGCAUUCAGAGUUGGGGCUUGUUCUAGAAGUUCUGACAACAGCUGAGAUUCAAUUAGCUCUAUGUAGUGGGGCCUUGAGUUUUUUGGUUGGAUGCAGAGUAGGGUCUUGUUCUACCCGUUCUUACUCAGUUGGGAUCUGAGCUUCUUCGGCUGCUUCCGUUUCGUCCUGCUCUGAGCUGGAUUAUGUUUGCUUGCUGGUCUGAGUUUCUGAUAUGUUUUGUGGCGGUGUGCUGAUUCUCAGAGUAUCGUUAUUCAUGGUGCUCAGUCUGUUGGGAAAGUUGGUUAAUGUCCAGAUGCAGGGGCUCAUCUCGGCAGGCUUUGGUUGGGAUCCAUGUGUUUGCUGGAAUUGGAUUCUGUGGGUUGCCUUUGGCUUUUGAUGUAGGCUGGGUUUGUUUUCUUUGUUGAGGCCGGUGGAGUAUGGUGGCUCAGAAGCUGCUAGUAAUCUGUCUGUUGUAUGCUGAGGCUGGAAUCUUCAUGGUGGUUGCUCUGGUGGGUCAAUAUGAUAUGGGAAUGCUUUUGCCUUUUUCAGUCCUUGGGCGUCAGCUGGUUGCUUGUGUUUCCUCUGCGCUUUAGUUCAUAUACCAGAGUGCAUACUUCCUUGAGUUCCAUAUCCCACUGCCAAGUGUGUUGUCCAUGAUGUAAUGUAAAGCAGUUAAUUUGUAUACCUGGCCUUCAGUUCCUCUCUAGAAAACUUUGAACGCCCUUUAUGAAUGAAAUGUUGUGAGAAAAACUGGAGUUGAUUUUCACAUUUGAGGUCGUUAAUGGUGAUUUUCCUUAAUGUAAUUGUGAUCGAAAAGAAAUUUGAUCAAGGAGUCGAAACUUUAAGCAGAGUCGAUCUUAUUCAACAUUGCAUUAUAAUUUGGUACCCCUCACAUAUCUCUCCAAAUAUCAUUGAAAAGUACUUUCAUUUUCCUUCAGUGGAGGCUUCUUUUUCUUUGCUGGUUAAUAUUCAUAGCUUCAGUGGUUGAUGAAAUUUCGUUACUUGACAUUUUUCACUCUUGUCCCUCCUGCUCUAAUCACAAACAAAUGCCCCAAUAAAUAAGAAUGAUUUGUUUAAGAAAUUUGAAGAUACUUGAACGAUAAAAGAAAAGAAUAGGAGACAAAGGAAAGGAAAAGAAAUUCAGAAAGCAAACACUUGGUAGUUUCCAUUUCAAUUAACCGAUCUUUGAAACUAAAAUGUAAUUCUUGGUAGAAUAAAAGAAGACAUGCAACAUCUUUAGAAGAUUCAUCUAAUGGAACAUACCAUCCUAUGAUAGGAAACUGAGACUAAACAGUAAUUUUUGGUAGAAUAGAUAGCGCAUGCCAAAAAGAAUGUUUUGUAGCUUUGGAUGCUUCAAAAUUCUUGUACGUAUAGCCCACAGACCUUUCGAGAUCAUACUUGUUUCUUUAGGCCUGUUUGAACAUACGGCUCUCACGGAAGAUCUUACAACUUUAGGAGUUCAUAGUGUCCAUGAAAUCACAGGAAAAGAAAAGGAUGUAUAAUCAAGUUCAUGAAAAAUAAAGAGAUGGCUUAUUAAAUUUUACAAGUCUCUGGGACAUCUAAAACACUUUAAUUGUGUUUGGUUGAGUUUCCAUUUAGGGGCAAUUCUCAUCAAGUCUAAUGAUUGACCACCGGUGACUUGAAAAUUGAAGCAUUGGAUGUGCCGCAUGUAGUUGAUGUUGCAUUAUCUGAGGGUUGUUAUAUUAUAAAUAGGCAUGACAAGAGCACGAGUUAUUGACAAAUUACCCGAUCCUAACUUGUCUCAUUUAUAUUAAUCUAUUCUCGUCCCUAUCCUUACAAAAAAUUUUAAAUGAGGAAGGAUAGAUAUGAGAAUUUGUCAUACCUGCCUUAUACCAUUUAUUUAUUUUUUUUAGUUUUUUAACAAUUAAAAAUAAACAUAUUUUAUAAAUAAAUAAAUAUUAUAAAUUUUAUAACUUAUUUUAUUUAAAAACAUAUAUAUAUUUUAAUUAUUUUAUGUGUUCAAAAGAAGAAAAUGAAAAACAAUUAAUUAAAUUAUUUUUAAAUUUAGUUAUACAGGUUGGAAAGUGGUGGGUUAGUACAAGGCAUAUCUUGAACCGUGCCCCUAACCAACCCUAGUUUUAAAACAAAAAAAUGUUAAAUACGUAUCUAAUCAGUUUAUCUUCAUUUAAAUAUGUCUUAUUAAAGGUAAAUAUUUGAAAAAACUUGUCUCAUUAUUAUCCUUAAUCAUAAUUUAUUUUUAAUUUAAAUUUAUAUACCAACAAACAGUUAAAUUAAAUUAAAAAUUCUUAUGCAAACAAGGGCGAAAAAUUGUGUACCUUCCUUGACAUUCUAGAUCCAGUUCUUGCUGUUUUUGGAGGAUCCACUUGAGGAACAAUUUAAAUUUAUUCACAAAUACAAUUAUUCAAAAAGGCAUCAUACUGAACACAAGCAAAAUAACUACAAAUGUUAAUAGAAAUGGAUGGAAGCAUACAGGUGUGGAGAAUAUAAAAAAGGAUUUUGAAGCCAAAAAUAAAAAAUCAAAAUCAAAAUAAAUAAAAGUAUAUGGUGGUUUAUUAUUGCUCAGGCCUAAUAAUUGAUUGUACAUGUCAAUGGGCCUAAUAUUAUUGCUCCGGCCUUUAUUCUAGAUGUCCAGACCCUGUCACUGCCUGAGUGUGAGGUCAUGGCUUGUUCUCUGUAUAGGUAGGUUCAUACACCUCUAAAACUUGAGUUGGUGGACUACCUUUCCCAGUUCUGAUCUCUCAGAUUCUUUCAUGGGCUUGAGUUCUAGCAUGAGCUUCCCGUUCUCCCCUACCCUGUGUAGGGACCCUUCCCUCCGAGGACACGUGGCACGCAUCUUACAGUGACACGCGGCACACAUUGUCAUCCGGGUCACCCUCAUCCGGAUCUUCCUAUAAAGCACACAUGACGCGCUUUUCCCAUCCGGAUUGCCUCAAGGAAGAGCAAACGACGCUUACAAAGCAUAGACAUCCGGACGGCUUCCAUUAAUGCGUCCGCUCCACAAUACAUCCGGAUAACCAACAUGGGCUAUCCGGAUAUGAUUGUCCGGAUCAUUGACUAAAGUAUAGCGAGUCUUACACGCUAUCACGACAACCAGCCAUGGCCCACGUCCCAUCACCUGCAGAGUGAAAGGACGGGUUGAGGUGACAACAAGUCACUUCCCACGAUCAUUCUACAUGAUCACUUCCCACGAUCUCUGACAGCCGCAUCACCUACCACGGUUUCUGACAGCCGCCCGUAGGGUGGUGAUGACCCUGUUGCUAUCUAAUGUCAUCAUGACAACAUAAAAUAUCUCCUCACCAUUAAUGAGAGGAACAGUACUCUUGACACUAUAUAUAUAAACCUUCACACGAAGAGAAAGGUAAUCUCCUGAUACCUAGUAAAAGGCCAACUGAUUUAUAUCUCCCUCUCUAACCAUGGCUAACAAAACCAUCGAAGGGUGCGUUCGGACACCCUGUCCGGAUGUCUUUUGCAGGUAUAACGACUGAAUCAAGAACCUUUAUGGGUUGAGAUCGCGUAUCCGUCCAUUUGGCAACUACGUGGAACUCCAGGAGCGCGAGGUAUCAACAUUGGCGCCGUCUGUGGGAACUACUUUUUCAUUUUGAUUCAGUCACUGGCAAAGAUGGCCACACCUUCCCGAAGUCGUUCAUCUGGUAGGGGAGGGGAUGAUAAUUUUGAAUGGCGUCAAACCAUCGAAAGGAGACAGUUGGCAAGCGAACGACAACUAAAAGCUCUCCUCCAGGAGACAGAAAGAUUGAGAGAGGAAAACGCUGUGUUACGCAUCCAGGCUUCAACAUCAGGGCCUCCUCGACAUCAGCGUUCAAGGGGCCAAGUAGCAAACUCAAGGACUUAACAAGAACCAGAAUCAAUAUAUCCCGGAACAAUAGGAGCUAUCCCAGGAGCAUGCAACGUGAGGCCUCAUGAGCCACACACGCCUAUGCCCCGAGCUCCCCGUGAGGAAAGCUCAGACUCUACUCAUUUUUCAGCGAAAAGGCAACGCGAUAGAAGACCUCAGUUGUCAAAUUCGAUGCGCGCAAGACUAAGCCCACAAGAGCCUGGAAGAUCAAGGCCACCAAUGGCCACAACCUGGGCACCACGCCCUGACCCCAUGACCACCCCCAUGGUGCAGAACGUACACCCGCAUCGUGACCCCAUAGUCACCCCCGUGAUGCGGAACGUUCAUUCGCACCCAGCGGUACAGCAGGCUGGGGGAAACCUCCCAAACGAGCCACCCAUUGGCUCCAUCAGCAGAAGGCUGGAUGACAUGCUCUCCACGCCCUUCUGCUCUCAUAUCAUCCAUUACGAGCCCCCAAGGGGAUUCCUCGUACCAAAAUUUUCCACAUACGAUGGAACCAACGAUCCUUUCGAUCACAUCAUGUAUUAUCGACAGCUCAUGAAGCUCGAUAUUGGCAACGAUGCACUACUAUGCAAAGUAUUUCCCGCCAGCCUACAAGGACAGGCCCUCUCAUGGUUUCAUCGCCUACCUCCCAACUCUGUUGGCAAUUUCAGGGACCUGUCCGAAGCUUUUGUGGGACAAUACUUGUGCUCCGCUCGACACAAGCAAAAUAUCAGCACCCUGCAGAACAUAAAAAUGCAAGAUAACGAAUCCUUGAGGGAAUUCGUGAAGUGGUUUGGCCAAGCCGUGCUUCAAGUAGAGGCUUGCAAUAUGGAUGCUGUCCUACAGAUCUUCAAGCGAAGCAUCUGUCUAGGCACUCCAUUUUUCGAAUCACUGGCAAAAAAGCCUCCCACAACGAUGGAUGACUUAUUCAGGCAUGCCAACAAAUAUUCAAUGCUUGAAGAUGACGUGCGUGCAGCCACCCAACAAGUUUUGGUUGUCGGACGACCAUCUAGAGGUGACACAGAGAGAAAUGCUAAACCUCCGGACCGGCCAAAGCCAUCCAACCGGAGGCAGGAAGGGCCAAGUCGCCCGGAAAGGCCGCCUCUCACACCCCUUUCCAUAUCGUAUGAGAAACUUCUCCCAAUAAUCCAGGGCUUGUCCGACUUCAAGUGGCCUAGACCCAUUGGAACGGACCCAUCCACAAGAGAUCGUAGUAGGAGAUGUGCCUUCCACAAGGAUCAUGGCCAUACAACAGAGACAUGCCGAGCUUUCUAGUAUCUGGUCAAGAGGCUCAUAAAAACAGGGCAUUUGAAGCAAUAUCUCCGAUCAGAUAAUGAAGGAAGGGACGCAUCUCAACAUCACAAUCCUGGUCAAGAUGUCCUUUUUUGGGUUGAGAUCGCGUGUCCAUCCAUUCAGCAACUGCGUGGAUCGUCAGGGACGCGAGGCAUCAACAUUGGCGCCGUCUGUGGGAACUACUUUUUCAUUUUGAUUCAGUCACUGGCAAAGAUGGCCACACCUUCCGGAAGCCGUUCAUCUGGUAGGGGAGGGGAUGAUAAUUUUGAAUGGCGUCAAACCAUCGAAAGGAGACAGUUGGCAAGCGAACGACAACUAAAAGCUCUCCUCCAGGAGACAGAAAGAUUGAGAGAGGAAAACGUUGUGUUACGCAUCCAGGCUUCAACAUCAGGGCCUCCUCGACGUCAGCGUUCAAGGGGCCAAGUAGCAAACUCAAGGCCUCAACAAGAACCAGAAUCAAUAUAUCCCGGAACAACAGGAGCUAUCCCAGGAGCAUGCAACGUGAGGCCUCAUGAGCCACACACGCCUAUGCCCCGAGCUCCCCAUGAGGAAAGCUCAAACUCUACUCAUUUUUCAGCGAAAAGGCAACGCUAUAGAAGACCUCAGUUGUCAAAUUCGAUGCGUGCAAGACUAAGCCCACAAGAGCCUGGAAGAUCAAGGCCACCAAUGGCCACAACCUGGGCACCACGCCCUGACCCCAUGACCACCCCCAUGGUGCAGAACGUACACCCGCAUCGUGACCCCAUAGUCACCCCCGUGAUGCGGAACGUUCAUUCGCACCCAGCGGUACAGCAGGCUGGGGGAAACCUCCAAAAUGAGCCACCCAUUGGCUCCAUCAGCAGAAGGCUGGAUGACAUGCUCUCCACGCCCUUCUGCUCUCAUAUCAUCCAUUACGAGCCCCCAAGGGGAUUCCUCGUACCAAAAUUUUCCACAUACGAUGGAACCAACGAUCCUUUCGAUCACAUCAUGCAUUAUCGACAGCUCAUGAUGCUCGAUAUUGGCAACGAUGCACUACUAUGCAAAGUAUUUCCCGCCAGCCUACAAGGACAGGCCCUCUCAUGGUUUCAUCGCCUACCUCCCAACUCUGUUGGCAAUUUCAAGGACCUGUCCGAAGCUUUUGUGGGACAAUACUUGUGCUCCGCUCGACACAAGCAAAAUGUCAGCACCCUGCAGAACAUAAAAAUGCAAGAUAACGAAUCCUUGAGGGAAUUCGUGAAGCGGUUUGGCCAAGCCGUGCUUCAAGUAGAGGCUUGCAGUAUGGAUGCUGUCCUACAAAUCUUCAAGCGAAGCAUCUGUCCAGGCACUCCAUUUUUCGAAUCACUGGCUAAAAAGCCUCCUACAACGAUGAAUGACUUAUUCAAACGAGCCAACAAAUAUUCAAUGCUCGAAGAUGACGUGCGUGCAGCCACCCAGCAAGUUUUGGUUGCCGGACGACCGUCUAGAGGUGACGCUGAAAGAAAUGCCAAACCUCCGGACCGGCCAAGGCCGUCUGAUCGAAGGCAGGAGGGGCCGAGUCGCCCGGAUAGGCUGCCUCCCAUGCCUCUUUCCAUAUCAUAUGAAAAACUUCUCCCUAUGAUCCAAGGUCUGUCUGACUUCAGGUGGCCAAAACCCCAAGGAAUAGACCCAUCCACAAGGGAUCGUAGCAAGAGAUGUGUCUUCCACAAGGAACACGGUCACACGACAGAAACAUGCAGGAGCCUCCAGUAUCUGGUCGAGAAGCUCAUCAAGGCAGGACAUCUAAAGCAAUAUCUUCGCUCAGAUACUGAGGGAAAAGUCACUUCCCAACAUCACAACCCCGGGACCCCUAGGGCCCCAGCUGCCUCCAAGGUCGUUAUAAACUAUAUUAACGGAGGUCCAUCUGACGAGGAGUACGACUCUAGGCGAAAGAGGCAAAAAUUGUUGCGAGCCGCAUCAAUACGCGAACGCAUCAAUUCCAUCCUGCCUGGGCUAACUGGAGGGGGCCCUCGCCCCAUAGAUGGGACAAUCAUUUUCCCACCAGUGGAUCCCACCCGGACAUUGCAACCACAUCGCGACGCCCUCAUCUUGUCCCUGGAAAUAGGAGACUUCGAUGUGCGGCAUAUCUUAGUUGACCCAGGCAGUUCGGCCGACCUUGUACAAGCAUCGGUCGUUAGCCACAUGGGACAUAGUCUCGCAGGCCUUGAAAACCCUGGACGAAUCCUGUCCGGAUUCAACGGAUCAUCAACUACGUCCUUGGGAGACAUCGUACUGCCAGUCCAAGCUGGCCCAGUCACUCUCAACGUACAAUUCUCGGUGGUACAAGAGUUAUCACCCUUCAAUAUCAUCUUGGGACGCACAUGGCUUCACUACAUGAAAGUCAUCCCCUCCACAUGUCAUCAAAUGGUGAGUUUCCUCACCAACGAGGGGCAGAUUGACCUGUAUGGCAGCCAGUUAGCCGCUCGCCAAUGCCAUCAAAUAGCACGAGAAGCAGGGGCCAACCAGGAGGAUGCAUCUCCCCCUGAACCCAGCAUUACACAUGACCAAUAGCAAUUAUUGGGUCCGGCGGACAAAGAUCCCCCGGCAGCAGAUCCCUUACAAACAAUCUAAAUUUCGGAGGAAAACACUCACCUCAUGAACAUCAGUUCCCUCAUGACAACCGAAGAAACUCAGAGCAUGCAAAACAUUCUCAGACAGAAUCAUGACAUUUUCGCAUGGGCACAUUCUGAUAUGAAGGGAAUUCAUCCCUCUAUUGCAUCUCACAGGCUUAACGUCUUUUCAACUGCCAAACCCGUCCGGCAGAAAAUUAGGCGCUUUCACCCGGAUAGACAAAAAGUCAUCCGGAAUGAGAUUGACAAAUUGCUCAAAGCCGGAUUCAUCAGAGAAGUAUCUUAUCCGGAUUGGUUGGCAAACGUAGUGGUGGUACCCAAAAAAGAAGGAAAAUGGCGAGUUUGUGUAGAUUACACCAAUCUUAACAAUGCAUGUCCAAAAGACAGUUUUCCCUUGCCACGAAUAGAUCAAAUUGUGGAUUCCACUUCCGGGCAAGGGAUGCUCUCUUUCUUGGAUGCCUUCUCCGGAUAUCACCAGAUUCCCAUGUCCCCGGAUGACGAGGAAAAGACAGCAUUCAUAACGCCACACGACCUCUAUUGCUACAAAGUCAUGUCGUUCGGACUCAAAAACGCUGGCGCCACUUAUCAGAGACUGAUGACAAAGAUCUUCAAACCUCUAAUAGGCCACACAGUAGAGGUAUAUAUUGAUGAUAUCGUGGUUAAAAGCAAAACCCGAGAGCAGCAUGUCCUUCACUUACAAGAAGUUUUUCACCUCUUACGAAAGUAUGGCAUGAAGUUAAAUCCUUCUAAAUGCGCCUUUGGCGUAAGUGCUGGCAAAUUUCUGGGAUUUAUGGUCAGCCAAAGGGGCAUAGAAGUCAGCCCGGAUCAAGUCAAGGCAGUCAUGGAAACACCCCCUCCCAGGAACAAGAAGGAGCUACAACGGCUCACAGGCAAGCUCGUCGCACUAGGGCGUUUUAUAGCCCGCUUCACUGAUGAAUUGCGACCCUUCUUCUUGGCAAUACGAAAAGCUGGAGCACACGGAUGGACAGACAGUUGCCAAAACACUUUCGAAAAGAUUAAGCAUUGUCUCAUGCAACCACCCAUCUUGAGCAGCCCCAUCCCAAAGGAAAAAUUGUACAUGUAUCUGGCGGUAUCAGAAUGGGCAAUCAGCGCCGUUCUAUUCCGCUGCCCCUCACCCAAGGAGCAGAAACCUAUCUAUUACGUCAGCAGGGCAUUGGCUGACGUAGAAACCAGAUAUUCAAAAAUAGAGCUAACAGCCUUAGCCCUUCGAAGCGCUGCUCAGAAGCUCCGCCCUUAUUUCCAAGCUCAUCCAGUGAUCGUACUAACUGACCAGCCUCUUCGCAACAUUCUGCACAAGCCAGAUUUAACCGGGAGAAUGCUACAAUGGGCCAUUGAAUUAAGCGAGUUUGGAAUCGAAUUCCAACCCAAAUUGUCCAUGAAAGGCCAAGUAAUGGCUGACUUCGUGCUAGAAUAUUCCCGAAGACCCAGCCAACACCACGAAUCAAAUAAACAAGAAUGGUGGACUCUGCGAGUUGACGAAGCCUCACGCUCAUCAGGCUCGGGAGUUGGACUCCUACUACAGUCCCCAACUGGGGAACAUUUGGAGCAAGCCAUCCGGCUGGGAUUCUCUACCUCUAACAAUGAAGCAGAAUAUGAGGCCAUCUUGUCCGGAUUGGACCUCGCCUUUGCUCUAUCCGUCUCCAAACUCUGGAUCUACAGCGACUCACAACUCGUGGUAAGACAUGUCCAGAAGGAAUAUGAGGCUAAGGACGCACGCAUGACGCGAUACUUAGCUAAAGUAAGAAACACCUUGCAGCGAUUCACAGAAUGGACAAUCGAAAAAAUCAAGCGAGUUGACAAUAGGCGCGCUGACGCCUUGGCUGGCAUAGCUGCCUCCCUCCCUAUCAAAGAAGCCAUUCUAUUGCCUAUACAUGUGCAACCCAACCCCUCUGUCGCAGAAAUUUCCACCUGCAAUACCAUUGAGGCACCCCAAGCGGAUGGCCAAGAAUGGACGUAUGACAUCGCAGAAUAUAUCCGGAUAGGCACUCUACCCGGAGAUCUCAAACAGGCACACAAAGUCCGGGUGCAAGCUGCCCGUUUCACCCUGAUUGGGGGGCACCUGUACAAGCGGUCCUUCACAGGACCUUACCUUCGGUGCCUAGGGCAUUCAGAGGCCCAGUAUGUGUUAGCUGAGUUGCAUGAGGGAAUAUGCGGGAAUCAUUUAGGAGGACGAUCUCUGGCACAUCGAGCCCAUUCACAAGGAUAUUAUUGGCCAACAAUGAAGAAGGAUGCGGCAGCCUAUGUCAAAAAAUGUGAUAAAUGUCAAAGGUAUGCUCCCAUUCCACAUAUGCCGUCAGCAACAUUAAAAUCAAUCUCAGGCCCAUGGCCCUUCGCACAAUGGGGCAUGGACAUAGUGGGACCUCUCCCAGCUGCACCUGCCCAAAAGAAAUUUUUGCUCGUUGCCACAGAUUAUUUCAGUAAGUGGGUGGAAGCUGAAGCGUAUGCUAGCAUCAAAGACAAAGAUGUCACCAAGUUCGUAUGGAAAAACAUUGUUUGCCGUUUUUGAAUCCCCCAAACCAUCAUAGCUGACAAUGGUCCACAAUUUGACAGUAUUGCAUUCAGGAAUUUCUGUUCAGAGCUGAACAUCCGGAAUUCAUACUCCACACCACGAUAUCCUCAAAGUAAUGGGCAAGCAGAAGCCACAAACAAAACCCUAAUCACUGCCUUAAAGAAAAGGCUUGAACAAGCCAAAGGGAAGUGGGUAGAGGAACUACCUGGCGUCCUAUGGGCCUAUCGAACCACACUCGGACGACCAACAGGAAACACUCCUUUCGCCCUCGCAUAUGGAAUGGAUGCAGUUAUUCCUACUGAAAUAGGUCUUCCUACUAUCCGGACUGACGCAGCAAAGCAGAAUGAAGCAAACACGGAAUUAGGAAGAAAUUUGGAUUGGACGGAUGAAGUAAGAGAAAGUGCAGCCAUCCGGAUGGCAGACUAUCAACAAAGAGCAUCCGCCCACUACAAUCGUAAAGUAAGGCCCAGAAGCUUCAAAAAUGGUACGCUGGUCCUUAGAAAAGUUUUUGAAAACAUUGCUGAAAUGGGCGUAGGGAAAUUCCAAGCUAACUGGGAAGGACCCUAUAUAGUGACUAAGGCAAGUGAAAGUGAAGCCUAUCAUUUACAAAAGUUAGACGGAACUCCAUUACUUAGACUAUGGAAUGUGUCCAAUUUAAAACAGUACUACCAAUGAAAGAGCAAGACAAGUACAAAUGAAAAAAGAAGAAUUUUAUUUAUAUGUGUAAAUAUGUGUACAAAGAGGUCUCCGGACCACAAGAAAUACAGAAAAGAAGAUUACAAGAAAAAAUUGCAAAAAGAAAAGCUAUCAGGGAGCAGGCCUAAAGUUUCUUCUCUUCGCCCGGAGGAAUUGAAGAGACAUCUCGUUUUAUACCGUUCUUCUUCAUACAGCAACGAUAGCCGAAGAUGAAGGUAUCAUCCACUUGUUUUUGAUAAUCCGCUUCAAGCUUCUCCCUCUCUACAGCAAACUCCCGCUCAAGCUAUUCUUUUUGCGCUGUUAAGCGCAACUGCAAAUCUUCUUUCUGCUUCUUUUCAAUUGAAGCCUCGGUCUGGAGUUGCCUCACCUCCCCCCGCAGCCGGACCAUCUCAUCCUCUGCCUCAUGCAGGCGGGCCUCCAUUGAUUCCUCCCGGCUUUUCGCCUCAGCCAAAUCUGCCCGGAGGGCCUCAUUCUCCCCCCGAGCGGUGGAUAAGCUGGCUUCAGCCUCCUCCAGUCUCAGGCGCAACUAGUCUUCAGUAUCUUUGCGCCGAGUGGCGAAGGCCUUCAUAUAAUCAGUGGUCCGCAGCAGGUUAGUGAAAAGAUCGUAUUGAUUGGUCAUGCCACGGAGACCACUCACCAGCUGCAGGCAAACAGACAAACGAGAAAAGCAAAGUUAGAAAUCACACCGCAAACACACAUCCGAAUAACAAGAAAUCAAGAAGCACAAAAACAGCAUACCGAUUCCACCAUAUCAAACAUCUUGGCUGAGGGCAUGACAGUGGUCAAGCCGGGUGGAAUCUGUUUUAGCUUAUCUUCCAACUCCGCGUAGCUAAAAGGGCUAGCGGAGGUGCAAGAAGCAUCAUUAACAGGAUCCCCGCCUGAUGAGGCAACAAAAGGCGACUCUUGUUCCGGAUUCGGGGCCUCAACAUUUACGGCCGGAUGGGUCUCCCCGGGUGCAACCUCAGCCGGGACCAUCACCGGGACGGUUGGAGUCUCAGUUGCCAUCUCUACUUCGCCCCCCUCCGGAUGAGCGUCGUAGGCGGAUGAGCAACUAACUUCAAUCUCUUGCUGACGAUCUUGAAGCCGCCCGAUUAGUCCGGACCUCAGAUUGCGCGCCGAACGAGGCCUCUUUGAAGGUGGCCCCUUCACUAGAACAAAAGCUAGACGGUCCGGAUAGUCAGAAGGCUUACCCUGGCUUUCUGCCCCCGCUUCCUCCAUCGGGGCCGCACAAAUGGCUUCAACUGCAUCGACAUCCGGAUUAGGGGAGUCCGGAUGGUUGAUGGACGCAGCUUCCUCCGCCAAAUUAGUCAGACGGGCAACCGCUGCCAAGGAGGUACUUGAGUGGUUUAGCCCCGCGACGUGUCCGGAUCCGCUUGAGACAGAAUGAGGAGCAGGGUUCACUGGCUCCUCUAUUAUUACUUCCUCCUCAUGAGUAAUUGGCGGAAGAACAAAAACCUUGGGAGGAGUGGGCUCCUUCACUCCCUUCCCAUUCUUCACUAGCCUCCUCCUUUUCGCUGGAGCUUUAUUUGGAGGAGAGGUUGCGCCGCACUUCUGUCCGGGGAGCCUUCCGAAGGGUUCCUUCGUUUUUUUUCUUCUCCCGACUAUCCAGGAGUGCUCGGCGUUUUUCAGCGUCAGCCUCUUUAAACUCCUGGUAGAUCGGGAGAUCCUUCACAGUAUAAUGCUCCCUAGGUACUACCUCAUUUGGCAUUUUCCUGGGGAGAAUGUUGACGACAUACUCUUGGGACUCCCGGACGACUGCCAUCAGGUUUCGCGUAGUAAGCAGCGUCUUGUAGUGCCUCUCCUUGGCGUCUAUCUCAAAUAACUUACUGAGACAGGCAAAAGACACCUUUUCCACCCAGUCCACGAGGUGGCCCCUUUUUUCCGGACCUGCAUUGACAGCAACAAAGGUUGAGAAUACCAUCCGGAAAGAUCAACAAAAAGACAACAAGGUAAAAAUCCGGACAAAAGUCGCAAAGCCAACUCACCCAAAAUCGCUAAGGAGUAGUUUGGAGAGAAGGGCCUCCCCGGACGCCCUAAUGACCCCGCCCAUGCACCCCGGACCGCCACGUGUCCCUUCGCCCCUCCCUUCGUCGAGUCUGGCAGUUCCGUCACCAGUUGAAGGGAGGGCAGGUGCGCGGACAUGCUGAAGAUGUCAGUUUUCACCUUCUUCAGCGAAUAGACAAAAAACACCUCCAGCAGCGUGAGGUCGAGGUUGUACAGCAUGUUUAUGAUGCUACAUCCCAUCAGUACCCGGACGAUAUUGGGAUGAAUGAAAACGGGUGGAAUCUGGGUGAAAUGGAGGAAUUCCUUGAACAACGCCGGCAACGGGAACCGGAGCCCCACGUUGAAUUGUUCCUUUGAGAAGAUGACGGUAUCUUGUUCAGCUUUCUCGGUAGACACGACAUCUUCCCCAUCCAUAAAUUCAACAAUUACGCCAUUUGGGAUACAGAAUCGAUCCUGGAACUCCUUUACGCUCAGUUUGUCUGUAGAUUUCCCAUGAGCGUCGCCGGCGCGGACAGAUGAAGUAGCUUUCUGCUUCGAAGACAUUUUUUAGCCCGAGUUUUACCGAAACCUACAUACAAAAAAGUGCAACAGUCAAACACAGCCAACCAACCCCACAAACCCUAAAUAAUAACAACACUCAGAAAACCUUGCACCACCAAUGUACCCAUUCCAAAGUCCUUGACUCUACCCCAACAAGAAACCCCCAACCCACAAAAAUACAAGGGGGCAACGGAAACCCUUAAAACACCUAGUCACAAACAACACUCGCCCAAACAAACCAGCAACAAACCAACAAACACCAAAGCGCAGAAAAGAAAAGAACAAGGCACAAAGAAUACGUACCGAGUGUAAGAGAAGAGCAAGGAUUGCAAAACCGCAAGGCAAACACCGUCAAAAUGCAACAAAUCACCGUCAGGAAAUUCUGGAAGUUUCACUCAGAAGAAGCGAAGGUACGCACAAGGUUGAAGAAGAAAGUAAUCUCAGAAAAAACGCAGUAGGAAAAAAAGCAACAAUGGGCACAGUAUGCUAUUUAUAGGGAGACAAGCCCUAGGAAAGCCAAACGCCCAACAACGCCAUCAUUGAAACGACAUGCUGCCUGGGAAUACCCAGAGUCGGCGGCCCAUUAUAAAUGCCUUUCUUGGCUCCCGCACCCCCACUCACCACGUGGCUCAACCAGACCAAAAGUCGACUUCGGUUUCAAAAACCAAUCAUUUUUUAACCCGCCCAUUUUUUCUAAGGCAAAAUAGGCAAGUUAAAAAGGGGGGCAUUGUAGGGACCCUUCCCUCCGAGGACAUGUGGCACGCAUCUUACAGUGACACGUGGCACACAUUGUCAUCCGGGUCACCCUCAUUCGGAUCUUCCUAUAAAGCACACAUGACGCGUUUUUCCCAUCCGGACUGCCUCAAGGAAGAGCAAACGACGCUUACAAAGCAUAGACAUCCGAACGGCUUCCAUUAAUGCGUCCGCUCCACAAUACAUCCGGAUAACCAACAUGGGCUAUCCGGAUAUGAUUGUCCGGAUCAUUGACUAAAGUAUAGCGAGUCUUACACGCUAUCACGACAACCAGCCAUGGCCCAUGUCCCAUCACCUGCAGAGUGAAAGGACGGGUUGAGGUGACAACAAGUCACUUCCCACGAUCAUUCUACAUGAUCACUUCCCACGAUCUCUAACAGCCGCAUCACCUACCACGGUUUCUGAUAGCCGCCCGUAGGGUGGUGAUGACCCUGCUGCUAUCUAAUGUCAUCAUGACAACAUAAAAUAUCUCCUCACCAUUAAUGAGAGGAACAGUACUCCUGGCACUAUAUAUAUAAACCUUCACACGAAGAGAAAGGUAAUCUUCUGAUACCUAGUAAAAGGCCAACUGAUUUAUAUCUCCCUCUCUAACCAUGGCUAACAAAACCAUUGGAGGGUGCAUCCGGACACCCUGUCCGGAUGUCUUUUGCAGGUAUAACGACUGAAUCAAGAACCUUUAUGGGUUGAGAUCGCGUAUCCGUCCAUUUGGCAACUACGUGGAACUCCAGGAGCGCGAGGUAUCAACACCCUGGUCCUAUAGUACUAUUUUUUUUUAAAACUUGGCCCUAGAUUUUUUCUAGGGAGAAUUGUGUUUUGGGCCCAACUGGACCCAAAAAUUGAUAAAAGAUCCUCAUAAGUUUCAUAUUUAAACCCAACACCUAAAGAAAGUCUACAAAUUGAAAAGAAGGAUAUGAAACAUUUAAUUUUCCGAAAAUGCCCUUUAUUGUCAACAAGAAAAAAAAAACAACUAACUUCUCACUCUCAUUCAUUAUUUUUUUCCCUCUCUUUCAUCAUUCACCUUAUUUUUUUCUUGCACAUAUUAAUCGGUGGGACAUGUAAAUUAAUUCUUUUCUAGAAAGGUGUUACUAUUUUCAUCAAUUAUUUUUCUCCCAAAAACCAUGCCUAAUAAAUUAAAUAUUGGUAAUUAAUGGUUGAAAAGGAUUAUUACUAUAUUUUUAAAGUAAAAUUUUUUUAAAGACCUCAUAAAAUAUAUUUUUUUAAACUUACAAAAUAUAUAAUAAAUAAUUUUUAAACACCUUAAAAAAUAUUAUUAUUCUUUUUAUCCAAUAUAUAUAUAAAUAUCUUUAAGGUUGUAGACAAUUAUUUGAAUAUUUUCUCUAUUUUUUGGACAAUACAUUGAUAUUGUUUUAAUAUAUUAUUUUGUAACAUGAUCAUCUUUUAACUAAUGGUGAUAAUUAAUUUUUAAUUGAAUAAUGUAUUAUAACUUAAUAAUUUGAAAAAUAUUCAAAUGCCUUUUUAAAUCUAAAAUAGAUGUGGACUUGGCAUGAUUUAAAUUAUUAAAGUAUGAUGUCAUUAAGUCAAGCAAAUGUAUCAUAUUAAGAGAUGUGUAUGUAAAUUAUAUAAUAGUUUUCUCUUUUUUUUAUUUUUUUUCCUCGUACAUGAUAUCUUUUGUAUAAAGUUUUGUAGAUGAAAAAUAAUAAAAUCUUUUGUUAUGUAAAGAGGUAUAACAACACAUUAAAAUUGAAAAGAGAAUAUAAUGGAAUACAAAUUAGAUGAAAAUCACUUUAAAUAAGGAUAUAAUAGAAAACAUAUAAAUGUAAGAAAAAACAAGUUUAGAUGAAAUUUAAAAUAAAAAAUCAAAGAAAAUAAAUUAAAAGUAAUAAUAUAAAAAUCGUAGAAUCUUUAAAACUAUAAUUACAACAAAAAAAUUAUUUUAAAUUAACUUGAUAAUUUAAAUUAAUGAUUUUUUUAUAAAAAAAAAAUUGCAACUGUUACAAAGAUAAUUUUUUAUCCUUUUUAAUUCUAUUUAAAUAUGAUUUUUUUAAUAUCUGCUCAUUAUGUUUAUAAAGGUAAAAUAGUAAAAAAAUAUAUUUCAUUCGGUUUACUUGUAAUAAACAUUUUAAAUGUGAUUAAUUUUAAUUUUAUUUCCUAUGUUUUAAUUUUGGUAGAGAAGAUCUAAAUGACAUAGUUUGGUAAAAAAAUAUUCAUAAUUUUUCCUCAACAGUUAUUAUAUGUUGUUUAUAUUGUCUUAAGUUAUUUGAAACAAUGACAUUAAUGUGUUAUCCAUUUAUAUUAAUUUGAUUUCACAAAAAAAAAAAGGUAAUACCUAAAUAUUAUGGUUAAUUUUCCUUUAUAUAGGAUGUAAAUGUUGUAAGAAAAAAAUAUUGUUAAAACUACUUAAAUGAAAUAUGCAAUUACAAAUUUUGGAUGAUGAAAUUUAAAAUUUCAAAUUAAAACAAUUUUUAGGUGAAGGAAUGUGUGGGGAAAAGUGUUCAAUCCUUAGGUGACAAGAAAAAAAAAAAAGUUCAGAAUUGAUUAAAAUCUUGCAUAAAAGAUAACCUUGUACACCCUUGUAUAAUUAGUACAUUUACCCCAUACAGUUAAUACAUUGCCUUACACAGUGAGUGGAAUACUCUUUUAUAGUUAGUGUAACACCCUUAUAUAAUAGUGCAAAUUUCAUAAACAAUUUAUGGGUAACAAAAAAAAUAAAGAAAUGAUUCAAAAUCGACUAAAAUCUUUCACAAAUGGUAACCUUGUACACCCUUAUACACUUAGUAUAUUUCCCUUGUACACUUAAUACAUUUCCCUUGUACAGUUAGUGUAACAUCAUUGUACAAUGAUGCAAUAUAUCCCUCUUAAGUUGUGUGUCCACGUAGAUAUAUUAAUCUUAUUUCUAAUGGUUUGGCUAACAAAAUGGUGGAUGAAUUAUGAUUAAAUUUUUUUCCCCAAACAUUAUUACUAAGAAAAGUAUCGAAAUUUUCAUGUGAAAGUUAAAUAAAUUGCAUGACGUAGGUAUGCAAUCUAUGGGUGACAAGGAAAAUGAAAAAGUGAUUCAAAAUCGAUUAAAUUUUUUUAUAGAUGGUAGUCUUGUACACCCUUGUACACUUAGUACAUUUUCCUUGUACAAUCAGUUAAAUACCAUUGUACAAUAUAUCUAUCCUAAGUAAUAUGUCCAUGUAGGUGUGUUAACCAUAUUUCUAAUGGUUUAACUAAUAAAAAGAUGGAUGAAUUAGGGUUAGUUUUUUUUUUCCCAAACAUCAUUAUUGGGGAAAGUAUCGGAAUUUCCAUAUGGGAGUUAAAUAAAGUGCAUGACAUGAAUAUGCAAUUUGUGGGUGACAAGGAAAAUAAAGGAGUGGUUCAAAAUAGAUUGAAAUCUUUUAUAAAUGGUAAUCUUAUACACUGCUUGUACACUUAGUACAUUUCCCUUAUACAGUUAGUAAAUACUCUUGUAUAGUGACACAAAUUUCAUAUUCCCGUAGUGCAUAUAUGCCUAUAUUUGUAUUAAACAUGAUUCUAGUAGUUUGAUUAAAAAAAUGAUGAAAAACUUCAAUCCAAUUUUUUUAUGAACAUAUUACAUUUUUGUGAAAAAAAUAUACAAUUGACCAAUUCCUUUAUUUAAUUGUGAACAUAUUAUAUUUUAAAAAUAAAAAAAGAAUAAUUAAUAAAUGAAAUUUAAUUCUUUUUAUUAUCUUAGUAUUAAACAAGGUCUUCAAUUUUCAUUUUUAAAAAUAUUUUUCAUUUUUUUAAUUAAAUGUAUUUUCAAAAAGAGACAAUAUAGAAAAUAAAAAUAAUUUUUAAAAAUAAAAAAAUAAUAAAAACUAGAAAAAAUAUUUUAAAACCAAACUCAAACAUAAUCUAUAUAAUUUUUAACUACUUGUUUUUAUUUAAAAUGAGUAAACAUAUCAUUUAACCCUUCUGUAUGAGAAAAAAAAUCAAUCUCUACUAUACUAUGUAUUGAUAUAAUCCAUUUCUAAAUACGAAAACAUUUUAGUUGGAUAUUUAAAAUAAAAACUCUUCAUCUAUCCUCUUUCUCUCUUUUUCUUUUUUCUCAUUUCAAUAAAUUUUCAAUUAAUUCAAAUCAUUAAAAAAAUUCCUUAAUAAACAAAUUUGGAACAUUCAUAUAACUUAUUACAAAAGUCUAUGUUCAAAAAAUUAUUAAACUAUGGAAAUAAAAAGAUUAAAAAAAAAACUUUAAACUUUUUAUUUUAUAAUAAUAAAAAAAUAAACUUUAAAAUACUUUUUAGUAUAAAAGAAAAAAAAUAGUAAAUAUAUUUUUUUAAAUAGUGUUUUAAUCAUUAAAUUAUUUACUUGUAAAAUGUAAAAAAUAAUUUUUAUUCAUUUAAAUUAAUAUUUUUUUCAAAAGUAUGUUCCAAAAUAAUUUUUGAAUCAUUAAUAUAGUUUUUAUUUAUUUAUAAUUUAAAAAUAUAAAAUAAUGUUGAUUUUUCAAUUAUUUUUAAAGGAGUUUAAAAAAUAAUAAAAAAUAAAAAAAUGAUUAAAUAAAGGAGAAUUUUAUGGAUGAGGCAUGUAAAGAGUGGUGGUAUAAAGACAAAAUGAUGGGUGUAAGUAAAAAGGGGUAUUUUUGUUUAUUCCAACCUUAUAUCCUUACAAUCAAUUAUAAGUGUUUGAAGGAUCUUUUAUUAAUUUUUGGGCCUAGCCGGGCCCAAAACACAAUUCUCCCUUUUUUUUAGUAUAAAAAGUACUAUUUUGUUGAAUUUAAAAAAAACUCACAGGGAACAUAACGUUUCAAUAAUCCUUUAACCUCUAUCUCUCAAAACUUUCAAAAUCCAUCUUGAAAGUCUCUCUUGACUAAAACAAAUAUUUGAGACUCGCAUUGUAUAUGCUUUAAUAAGGGCUUUGAGGGACUUGCUAAAGAUAUAGGUGACAAUUUUGAGAUGAUACAAUAACACGACUUGAUAAUGAUAUAAAAUUUAAUAGAUUCAGAUUAGGUAUAACAUAUUUAUGUUGCAAUCAUAUCAACUCAUAUGACUCGUUUAAUAAAAUGUACAAUUAUCCAACCCCAUAUAGCUUGUUUACUAAUUCAUGUCAAACAAACCAAUUUAUUUAAUCGUAUCAAAAUAAUGUUUAACUCAUAUAAAAUUAUUAAUAUUAUAUAUUUCAAAUUUAUAAAAAAUAAAAAAAAUGCUUAUUAGUUAUAAAAAUGAUAUAGUUAAAAAAUGAAGUAACUAAGUAAAAUUUUAUACAUUUCAUUCUAAAGAUUAAAAUUAUUUUAUCAUUAGAACAUUAGAUAGGAUUAUAAACAAGCAUAAAAUUAAAAUUUUAAUGUAUUUUUAUAUUAUAAACAAUUUCUAAUUUAAAUUUUAUAAUUAAAUUAGUUAAAAUUUUAAAAACUUAAAAUGUAUUUUGAACAAUACAUUUAUAAAAUUAAAAUUUUAAAUAGGUUAAACAUGUUAAAAUCGUAUUAACAUGUUAAACGAGUUAGAAUCAUAUUAAGCUAACCAUGUUAGAAUUGUAUUAGUAUGUUACACAAGUUCAAAUUGUGUUGAUAUAUUAAACGAAUUAGAAUCAUGUUAAUGGGUUUAACGACUAUUAAUAGGUUUCAUAUGUUAGAAUUGUAAUAACAAGUUAUCUAUGUCAAUUUAUACAAAGGUUAACUUAACCUAUCUAUUAAAUUAGUUUUAUUUGAAUUAGGUCAUUUUAACACAAUUCUUAAAUAAAUUGUAUUCCUAUCGAGUAAAUUUUCACUAUUUGUAUCUCAACAUUAUACAAAUCCUACACUUACAAUAUCACCUAUUAUCACCCCUAACUAAGGAGCAUAUGAGUGUUGCAUCGAGGAAGCAGAAGAGUAUAAAGACUAUUUAUAUAAAACUUUAGGAAGUGGAAGCAUUCGAUCAAGUAAAGUUGUGUUAACUUUUUUUCAUAGUUAGUGGAUUAUUCAAUGGUCAAGUGACCAACUGUGAUUUUUUACGCCUAAGGAUUUCUAGGUGGGUUCCACAUUAAAUUCUAUAUCUAAUCGUAUAAUUAGAAAUAUCGUGCAUGAGAUUGAUAACAUAUUAAUCAUAAUUGAAUCGGAAUAAAAUAAUUUAACUUUGGGGUUAAUUGAUUGAACUACCUAUGUAUAUAUAUUUUAUAUUUUUUAACUUUAAAUUAAUUAUUAUGUUGGGAAAUGGAAUAAGGGAAUAGUUGGCUCCAUUUUCAAUCUUGGUAAUUGUAGACCCCCACUUUGGGAGGUAAUUGUUGUAGCAAAUUUUGCCAGGUGGAGCAACUUUAGGAGGCCGCGUGGUGCCUCUUGACAGGCUGCUGAAGGAUCAAGUAGUGGAUUUGAGAGGCAAACCAGGUGGUGACACCUGUAAAGUGAUUCUUCAGGCAGUUAUGAGAUAUUUUUGAGGACUGCCAGCUGCAUGGAGGUUAGAGGAGCAGAGGCUGCCAGCUGCAUGGGGGUAGUGGAGGCUUGCGGCUGCAGGAAAGAGGUGCUUUUCAGAGUUGGUUAGGAUAUACAAUCGAGGGGAGCUUUGACAGGGGGGUACUUUUCUGCUGCGAGAGAGGAGAGUAGAGGGGGAGAGUUGAGAAGAGGAAGCUAGGAAAAACAGAGGAGAGGGGAGAGCAGAGAGGAAAACCAGAGAGGAAAUUAAAAGAAAACAGAGGGAAGAAAGGGAGCAUCCUCAGGUAUGUUUGCUAGACCACAUUUUAAUUGCUAUUGGUAUCCUUUGGUUUGUUGUGACUAUUUGAUAAAGUAUCUCUGCUUUGUUCUUCAGUAGAAAUUUGUUUUAGAGUAAUCUGUUUCCUUUAUAUCUCUCAUUUGGAUAUUUGAGAUCUUAGUUCCCCUUGGUUUUUCCCAUCCAUGCAUAAACCUAUUAACUCCAAAAUGAAAUGGAGCUCGGGUCGGUGUUUUCUUUGGUUCAGUUACCACUUUGUUUUUGUGCUUGCUCCUUUGCUGUUUAUACUAUGUUCUCGAUGGCCAUUCCAUUGGUGAAACGACUACCACAGGGCCACCCCUCCAUUCAAGGCCGCCUCUGUACCCAAGAUGGAAGAACAAAGAUCGGUGGAAUUUAACAUGGACUGAUUGGUGAAUGUGUUUUGGAGGAGUGGAAAGGGAUUCACUACUAUUUGCAGUUCCAUAUGUGUGCAAGUCGUGGUAACAAGUGAGCCUGGAUCCUGUGUGCUGGAAACGUUUUGUUUUUCCUCACUUUGAACAGACGGUUAUGAAAAGGUUCAUGAAAGUGUAUCAAAGCAUGGGACUCUUCUCCGUCACUUUAUUCAUAAAUUCCAUACUUCAUUGUAGCAAUAGAUUGGCUACAGCCUUGAUGCUCCCUGAUUGCUGCACAAAAGAGGCAUUGGAGUACGCGGUUGAUGAGGGUCCUGCGCUGAAAGUUUUGAGAGGAUCUUGGCAGAGAGAAGAAGCUCCUGAAACUCAUAGAGAUGAGUCAAGGUUCAGAUUUUGUUCUCAGUAUCUCUGCUGGGGAAAGUUAGGCUAUCAUGCAAGGAUCGCUGAGGUGUCGAAAUGAUUUAGUGGGCCGAACCUCCAUUUUCUAUGAAGCCAGACGCACUGGGCAGCAAGCCAAAUGAAUAUUCGGGCUAUUCUCAUUGAUUUGGGCCUGGAAUCAUAGGCAAAGUCAAGUGAUAAGUCCGGGCCAUUCAGCAUACCCAUGACCCUAUACCCAUUAUACCUCCAUACCUAUGCCCAUUUGUAUGAUCACCUUUCUUUCUACACCACCAUGCAUCCAUCUCAUCUCUCUUUUUCGCUCAUCAUACCCUCACUUCCAUACUAACCCUCAUCUUCAUGCCCCAUGCAUGCACCCAUCAAACCCAUUCCACAUUACCACAUUUUCUCUCUCUUCAAACUCUUUCAUACCCAUUUCACCCCCCCUUUAUUCAUCAUCCAUCAUCCAGUCCUGUUCAUCUAUCCCAACCUCUCUGCUCGUUAUGCACCUUCAAGACCAGUCCAACCAGUCCUAGUCUGUCGUCAUUAGUCUUCGCGUCUUCAGCGAUAGCAUCAAGGUUCCGUCAGAGAUGAAGCAAAAUGUGAAGAUUGCAAAUGGGUUUCAGAGCAAAACUUCACUCAUAAACUGGUAGAUGGACGACGCAGAUGACUUCUUCAGAUUAUUAUGCAAAGUCAUUCCUAAUGGGAUACCGGGCAGUCCACUAGGAAGCAGUACUGGUACCAGUAUCUGGCAGAUCAAGCAAACAUCACCUCGCGGUUUGGGAUAAUUGGAUGGUUGUUCCAUUUAGUCUUCUGGACUAAGACGCUCAGUCCGCAUCCAUCAUUGCCGCGGUGUUGAAUCUCCGAAAUAUAGCAACAUGUUAAUCAGGGACGCUCAUCACUGACAUUGCAAUUAAGGACAACGUGCUGACCACUAUAUCAUUGUUUGGGCAUUGUGAAUCUUCCCAUGAAUUAUGGUUUUUGGGAUGGGAACAGGAUACAAACAGGCAGCUUUUUCAGUUUUCGGCAUCAAUUUCAGCCAUAUACGUAAGUGACUUGACCAGGGAGUUUGUCACAGCAGCUGCAGCAGUCUCAUAUUCCACAAUUACUUCUUGAAUAGUUGUGGCAUCAUCGCAUGUCUGAUCCGGGUUUUGGGCAGUCAAAGAUGGACCUUAUGGGAGACAACAUGCUUGAUUAGGCUUAGCUGAGGAAAAGCCUUCUCCAUGAAUUGCAGUAGAAUUCGUUUGCUUCAAGGCACCUGGAUCUAUCUUUAGAACAGAUCAUUCAAGCAAAGAUUGGUCAGAAUGCAUAUAGAGGACGGUCAAAUGAUUUAUUAGAGCUCAUAUCACAGGUGAAGCAUGAGAGUGCAUCCCCUUCAGAACAGUAGCUCCAUUUCCGCCAAGAACAGUCGCAUGCAAGGCCUCUUUGGGCACUUCAAUCCCCUUCUUAUUAUCCAAAACCUCAUGCUCGUUUCCAGCUAAUAAGUGCACCAGAUGAUAAGCGCGAAGGGGAGUCUGUUCCAUUAAAACCUGGUAUUCAUGCUGUUGAGAGAUUAAAUCAGAACACCAGGCCCUCGUCCUUGGUUGAGCUUUGCAGUCGCGAGAGCCCUCAUGCCUGCCAUUCCAUUUUGUUUCCUCCCUGUGUUUGGUUUCUGGAUCCUAAUGGAGAUGUAAGAAAGUUGUGGGUCUACUUACAUGGAGGAUAUGAGGAGAGACACUCACAUUUACUAGCACGUACAUCUCCAUGCUUCCGUGUCAUAAGAAGGUGAUGACUAUAUCAGCAAUAAUGGGUUUGACCUGGAUGAAAAUUCAAGGAACGGGACUUGAUGCAUUGCAUGCAAGAUAUGGAAUAGUGAUUGACUGCCAAGCGCUUUCUAGUAUCAGCAUCGUUCUCAAAUAAUGCCCCGUCUGUGUGAAAGAUGCAAGUGACAAGUGGAUUUAGGUUGACAUGCUGAUCUGGGCGAUGAAUAAUCCUGCCUCGAUUGGUCAUUUACUGAUUUCUGAUGAUGGUUUCUGAUGACUGUUUAGGAAGCCAAUUAAUCUCGGGUCAAGCUAUGAGUUUAGACAAAGGCUCGAUGCCGGCUCCAAUACACGUGAAAACCAUCCAUUGUGAUGCAGACGAGAGGCUCAAGGGCUUUGGUCAUGUUGAGUUUGCUACUCCGGAAGCAGCACAUAAGGCUUUCAAAAUGAAUGGUGGGGACCCCUCGAGAGACUCCAAGUACUCAGUCAUCAUCAUCAUAGCAUACUCAACACAUCACCAUCAUUUUCUCUCACCUCCCAUUCCAUCAAUCUUUUGGCUUAAAAAAAUAAUUUUCUAACAUCUUUUCUUGCAAAUAACUUUUUAAACAUCGGUUUUCAAAUAAUUUAAAUAUUUUCCAUCUUUCAUCCUUAGGUUUCCUUUAGGUUCCAAAAUUCUGUUAUUAAUAAAAUUUAGUGUCAUCUCUCUUCGGCAUGCAAUUUUCAUAAUUUUCCAGAUUUUAAAACGUUUUAAAAAUGAGUCUCAAAUUAAAUUUCGUAAUUCUCAAGUGAUGAGAUUUAUGGAAUUGAUUUGUGUAAAAUAAACGGGCUUUGGUGGGGGCCCCACAUAUGUGAAUUGAUGAUUGAUUGAUUGUUUGAUUGAUUUACUUAUCGUGCGUGUUUGAUCUAUUUUGUUCCUUGAUAUGCGCUUAAUUAUAUCUUGUUCAUUGCUCACUAACCCUGUUUCAUGAUAGCGCAUUCGAUAUUACUGUCCAAGUAUGCAUUCAUUCAUUCUGAUCGUUCGUUAUACAUAUCUUGAUUCUCAUACGUGCAUGAUCAUUUUGGGUAUUCGUUGAUUUAUUCAUCAAUUGCCAUGAUUGCUUCAUUUUAUUAGUAGAGACCCGUUUUUAGGGACUUAGAGGGGUGCUACGGUAUUUACCGUACCUUCCCGAUAAGUAACCUAACCCCCGAACCCGAUCCGGUUUUUCACAGACCACCUUUUCCAAAAUAUGGAGUCACACUUAGGGUUUUUUCUUUCUUAUUUUGUUUACCCUUUAAAAAUAAAACAAAAAUAAGUGGCGACUCCAAGUCAAUUUCUUUUUAAUAAAUAAAAAUCAUUUUCAAAUAAAAAUCGAGCUCGUCAUUCGAGUGGGAAACGCAUUGAGCCGAAAUACAGGGUCCACAGUAAUAUAAUUUGUUGUUGACAUGUUAUUUUAUCUUAUUUGAUAUAUUUUGUAGGAUAAAAAUAUAUAAUCAAGUGCUCUUGUAUGAUUGAUUUAGAUGUUAGAAAAUGUUUUACAAAACAUUAAUUCUAUUUGACUGAUGACAAAAACUUUUAAUUGCCCAACAAUUUUUUAUAAACUUUAAGUUGCUAGCAUUCAUUUGUUAUCAUAAAGUUAUUAAUUAUUAUUUUAUCUAAGUUGAACCAAAAUUCUUGGGUAAAUGAAGAAGUAUUUAUUGACAUACUUGUUUAUAUUAGAAGUUUUUAGUUUGAUUUGUUGUUAAAUUCAAAUUCUUAGUAGCUAGCUUUGAAUACUAGCUAAUUGCAUUGGUUUUUGUUGUAAGUUUGAUUUUUAUAUUGUUUUUAGGCAUGAUGUUUAUUAAUUGAAAAUGCUAAUGAUUCGAGAUUAGAAUCAGUUACUUCUUACUAAACUUAUUUUUUUAGGCUAUGUUUGGUAGACCAAAUAUAAUAUAUAAUAGAAUAAGAGAAAAAAUAUUAUAUCAUGUCUCAUCUUUAGUUGAUGAUGAGAUAUGAUAAGUUAUUUCAUUGCUUAUUAUAUCAUAUGUUUAACCAAAUAUGAGAUAUGAGAAGUGAUGAGAUAUAUUACUCACCUUUUUUUUUUUUUUUAUAUCUCUUAUACAUAAAAUAUGUCAAUCUCAUACUAAGAUAUAAGAAAUGCAUAUUUCAUAUAUCAUAAAUUUAUUUUUUAUCAAUUUUUUAUAUAUUUAUUUUGUAAAAUAAUUUUUUAUUAUAAAAUUAAAUUUAUAGUUAAAAAAAAACUAAAAAAAUAUUUAUAAAUAAUAUUAAUAUAUGAUAUAUAGAUUACUUUUAUAUAUUAAAUAACAUAAUAUAAACAUUUUUUAUUUGUAAAAUUUAAAUAUUUUAAUCAUGACUAUUUUUAAACAUAAAAGAAAUUUCAUUUUUUUAAAUGGAAAAUAUUGGAAUGUGAUAUAAUUUUUAUUUUAAACAUUGAAAAUAAUAUAUAUAUCAUAUUAUUUUUAUUCAUUUCAUAAAUUAAAUAUAAAUAUAAUAUAAUAUAUCUCAUUAGAUAUAUAUAUUUAAGGAUAUCAUAUCCUAUUAAAAAUCAUAUUUUAGAAUAUCAUUCUUUUUACCACAAGAGACUUAAACCCAAGUCUAUUUCUAUACCCCUUGAACAAUUACAAGGUUGAACCAUUGGGCUAAGGGCAAUAAUUGCUUUUAAUCGGUAAAAUUUGUAUGUAUACUAAAGUUGCACUGCCUAAUGUAAAGUGUUGGCUCCUCCAUUGUGUUGCACCUCAAGCCACCACCAAGUCUCCACAUGAUGCCCUUGUAAGCCUUGAUUAUCACAUUACCUUGGUCAAUAGGCACUUAUGGGUACAAGGUGCAACCCCAUGAGACCUUGGUGCCACAUUCUCCAAGUCAAGGUGUUAAUACUCUUCUAUGCUUACAAACUUAAUUUGGUCACCAUUUAUUAACUUAUAAGUCUCUAUAACCAUAAAUAAAAUUUCAAAUAUAUUAUUAGAACAAGGCUCUAUAUUUUGAGUUUUGAUAUUCAAUGAGAUAUGAUAUCUUAAGAUACACAUAUCUUAUUAAAUUCUAUUCCACCAAUGAAAUGUAACCUUAACUUAAAUGUAUUCUUAUUUUUAUUUCUCAUUUUUAUCCCAAAUCUAGGAAUUUACUUUUCUAUUUUAAGGUAAUUCAUUUUAAAUUUUAUUUUAUGUGUAUUAAAAAAAUAAGGAGUGACAUCAAUCAUUAUAAAGUCUGAAUCAAUCCCAAACAUACAUAAGAAGACGAUUUAAGUUUUAAAAUAAAAUCCCAAACCUACUUCUGACUAGACUAGGUGGAGCCUUGGGUAAAAUAAAAUUAACAAUGGCAUUAUCAUGUGCGUGUCUCAUCGCUUGAUGGGUUAUAAUUAGAGCCCACUUGAUGCUUAGAAAAAUAUAUUUGCAAUUGAUUAUCCAUCUGUCAAUUGAUUAAUCUAUACAAUAUUAAAAAUCCACUUGAUGUUAAUUUAGGAAAAUUAUUUUAUUUUGUUGGUGAUGGCCUGUCUCCCAUCUGACUCGAGUUUCUAACUCUUGAGACUCUUCAAAUUAACAAACUACAGCGCAGUGAUUCAUCUUUCUUCUUUGUUCCAUCUUUAGCUGAAUUCUAAUCCAUUUUUCUGUUACUUCCGAAAAGCUAUGGAGAUCCUGAGCUCAAUCUUGGGUCUUGUCCCAUAAAAAAUCAAAGCAACUAGCUAGUACUCAAAGUUAUGUUUGAUUUUUAUAUUGUUUUCAAACAUGAUGUGUAAAAUGUAUUAAUGGUAAUGAUGUUGAAAAAUAGCUAAUACUAUUUUGACGAAUGUUGAAAAGAGUGCCUGUGGUGCACUGCAUCAGGAGCAAGCUCCAUUAACUACAAAGUAUUGAGUAGAAUUAUUAUUAAAGUUGUAUAAACAAGUGACAGUCUUGAUAGUCAUAAUGACACCAUUCAAAAAUUAUAUAAAUUUUAACAGGUUCGAGUAAAGUGUGGUCAUACCGGAGUAAUAAUCAUGUCAACUUGUAUAACUCAUUUAAAUUAUUUAAAGAAAUUUAUGAGAUGGAUUUACAUGGCCUAAUUAUUGUUCUUAUUGAAGAAUGAGCUACUAUCCACUUCACGAGGACGAAAUUAUAAUUAGUCAGUAUUACUUAAAAGUGAAAUCUUAAAUUUAAAAGUUUCAAUUAAAUUCGAAAACUAAAAUUAUUAAGUAGAGAGUUAAAAAAAAUUAUUGAGCAUAGUUUAAAAUUCGAAUAUAAUGCAUUUAUUGUUGUAAUUCAAGCCCAAUAUUUAUUAUUUAUUAUUAUAAAUAUAAUUGUAUAUCUAAUUUUUAAAUUUAAGAUAAUUUAGCACAUUUGAACAAUGUUUCGAGAAUAAGAUUGGAGCAUCUAAUUUGACUAAUUAAAUAGCAAAUAGAACUAAUCCAAUUUUAUUUUUAUAUUUAUCCACCUUCAAUUCUAAGAUAAACAUGAACAAAAGUCUUUAUAUGAUUAUAACAAUAUAAACACUAAAAUAAUGAGUAUAACAUUAAAUAACAAAAAUUUUAUUGGAUAUAUUAUUAUAUUAGUUAUAUAUAUAUAUAUAUAUUAGUAAAAUUAGAAAUAUUAAUACAUUUAAUAUAUUAAAUAAUAAAAUUACAAGUUUUUGUUAUUAUUCAUAUUUAAUUAAUAAAUUUUAAUUAAAUCUAAAAUAAAAACUUUACACAAAUUAGUAUAAAACCAAGUAUGAUCAUCAUAAACCAACCCCUAUAAAAAAAGACUUAAAUAUAUAGAAGUCUAAGUAAAUAAAUGCAAAAUAAUGUUAAAAGAUAUAAAAUAUAAAAGGAAAAAAAAUAAUUAAUAAGAUUUUCAAAAUAUUGUAUUUGAAAACUCGUCACACAAAAUGAUUUUAAAAAAAAUUAAUGAAUGUAUUUUCUUUAGAAAUGAUUUCGAGAGUAUCAUCUAUUAAAUACUUGAUUUUUCUUCAAAAAUAUUUUUUAAGCUUGAAGUGCUUUUUAAAGACAAUAUCAAAUGGACCAUAAGUCUUAAAAUAAAAUCCCAAAUAUACCCUGGAUUUAAUUAUACUUUUCAAAUCCAUCCUAUGGGCCUAGGCAACCUUGAAAUACCCACCCCUAUUAUAAUACAAAAAAAGCAAACCACCACUAAGGAUAUUUAAACAACAUUUUAAAGACAAUUGAAACCUGUCAAUGAGUCUUUGUCUCAUAAUACAAAUUUCCUAUCAAUGAAUCUUUGUCUUAUAAUACAAAUUUCGUAAUGUUCACAUGUAGAAAGGGACAAGUAAUAUAUAAAAACUAAAAAUCAUAUACAAUAGAAAGCUUGGAAUCAAGAGGGAAGAGAGUAGAAAGUUACCAAGUGGUGGAGCCUUGGGUAAAAUAAAAUUAACAAAGGCAUUAUCAUGUGCGUGUCUCUGUCUCAUCGCUGGAUGGACCAAAUUUGCUUCUCCCAAAGAUCUUUGAAUAUUAUAAUGAGAGCCCACUUGAUGCUUCCAAAAAUAUAUUUGCAGGUGGUGGCAUAGCUACCUAUACUGAAGUCUUAACUCCGGGGUUUUUGAUUGACAAGGGUAGUGAUUCAUCUGCUCCCUAUACGGCGAACUAUCCCCUCUUUCUUUUAUCUUUGGCUCAACUUCAGUCCUUUUUUUCCUUUGAUUUCCCGAAAGCUAUGGAGUUCCUCAGCUCAAUCGCGGGUCUGAUCCCCUGUUUCUAUGAUCACACCUCCAGGCAUACGCUCUACAUUCGUGAUCUGAAAAAAAAUCUCCGAGCCUUGAGCCAGAAAAUGGAGGAGCUCAACAACUUGUAUGAAGAUGUGACGGCAAGGGUUGAAGGUGAAGAGCAACGACAGAUGAGGCGCAGAAAGGAAGUGGGUGGCUGGAUCCGUGGAGUAGAAGAAAUGGUGGAAGAAGUUAACGAAAUUCUGCGAAGAGGCGAUCAAGAAAUCCAGAAGAGAUGUCUCAGAUGCUGUCCCAGGAAUUGUUGGUCUAGCUACAAGAUUGGGAAGGCAGUAAGCGAAAAGCUGGUUACCUUAUCUGAUCAAAUCGGCAGAGGACAUUUCGAUGUUGUAGCCGAGAUGCUGCCUCGUCCUCUAGUAGAUGAACUGCCCAUGGAGGAGACUGUGGGCUCAGAAUUGGCGUACGGCAGAAUCUGUGGGUUUCUCAAAGAUCCACAAGUGGGAAUUAUGGGAUUAUAUGGAAUGGGGGGUGUGGGCAAAACCACCCUCUUGAAGAAAAUCAACAAUGACUUCCUCACUACAUCCAGCGAUUUUGAUGUUGUGAUUUGGGAUGUGGUGUCAAAACCGCCCAACAUUGAAAAAAUUCAGGAAGUUAUUUGGAAUAAAUUACAAAUCCCACGUGAUAUAUGGGAAAUUAAAAGCACUAAGGAGCAGAAGGCUGCAGAAAUAUCGAGAGUUCUGAAAACAAAGAAGUUCGUGUUGUUGUUGGAUGAUAUUUGGGAGCGACUUGAUCUGCUAGAAAUGGGGGUCCCGCAUCCCGAUGCUCGAAACAAGUCCAAGAUAAUUUUCACGACCCGGUCACAAGACGUGUGCCACCAGAUGAAAGCUCAGAAGAGCAUAGAAGUGAUGUGUUUGUCAUCAGAAGCGGCUUGGACUUUGUUUCAGAAGGAGGUAGGAGAAGAAACAUUAAAGUCUCAUCCACAUAUACCGAGGCUUGCAAAGAUUGUUGCUGAAGAGUGCAAAGGUUUACCUCUGGCUUUGAUUACUCUUGGGCGAGCUUUGGCAGGUGAGAAAGAUCCCUCAAAUUGGGACAAGGUAAUACAAGAUUUGGGCAAAUUUCCAGCUGAAAUUUCGGGUAUGGAAGAUGAAUUGUUUCAUAGAUUAAAAGUCAGUUAUGAUAGAUUAUCUGAUAAUUUCAUCAAAUCUUGUUUUACAUAUUGGUCCUUAUUCUCUGAAGAUCGGGAGAUUUAUAAUGAAAACCUUAUAGAAUAUUGGAUAGGAGAGGGGUUUUUGGGUGAAGUUCAUGACAUACAUGAAGCGCGUAAUCAAGGCCAUAAAAUUAUUAAAAAACUAAAGCAUGCAUGUUUAUUAGAGAGUGGCGGUUUAAGAGAAACAAGAGUUAAGAUGCAUGAUGUGAUCCACGACAUGGCUUUGUGGUUAUAUUGUGAAUGUGGGAAGGAAAAGAACAAAAUUUUAGUAUACAAUAAUGUUUCUAGACUGAAGGAAGCUCAAGAAAUUUCAGAAUUAAAAAAAACGGAGAAGAUGUCAUUAUGGGAUCAGAAUGUUGAGUUCCCUGAAACAUUGAUGUGUCCCAAUCUCAAGACUCUAUUUGUGGACAAAUGUCAUAAGUUGACGAAAUUUCCAAGUAGAUUCUUUCAAUUCAUGCCUCUAAUAAGAGUUUUGGAUUUGUCAGCCAAUUAUAAUUUAAGUGAGUUACCUACUAGUAUUGGUGAAUUGAAUGACUUGAGAUAUCUUAAUUUGACAUCCACAAGAAUAAGAGAGUUGCCCAUUGAGCUAAAAAAUUUGAAAAAUUUGAUGAUUCUGCGUCUAGAUCAUUUGCAAUCCCUUGAAACUAUCCCACAAGACCUCAUAUCAAAUCUCACAUCUUUAAAGUUGUUCAGCAUGUGGAAUACCAAUAUUUUCAGUGGAGUUGAAACCUUGCUUGAGGAGUUGGAGUCCUUGAAUAACAUCAAUGAGAUAGGAAUCACCAUAUCUAGUGCUCUUUCAUUGAACAAAUUAAAGAGAAGCCACAAAUUACAGAGGUGUAUAAGGCAUCUACAGUUACAUAAAUGGGGGGAUGUAAUCACACUUGAACUAUCAUCUUUGUUUUUAAAAAGAAUGGAGCAUUUGAUUGACCUUGAAGUAGACCAUUGUGAUGAUGUGAAAGUAAGUAUGGAAAGAGAAAUGAAACAAAAUGAUGUUAUUGGUCUCUCAAACUACAAUGUUGCAAGGGAGCAAUACAUUUACAGCCUCCGUUACAUAGGAAUAAAAAAUUGUUCAAAAUUGUUAGACUUAACAUGGGUUAUUUAUGCUUCAUGUCUAGAAGAACUUUAUGUUGAAGAUUGUGAAUCAAUAGAACUAGUACUACACCAUGAUCAUGGAGCUUAUGAAAUUGUGGAAAAAUUGGACAUAUUCUCAAGGCUCAAAUGCCUCAAGCUCAAUAGACUGCCAAGAUUGAAGAGCAUCUACCAGCAUCCUCUGCUCUUUCCCUCGCUUGAAAUCAUCAAGGUGUAUGAUUGCAAAAGCUUAAGGAGCCUCCCAUUUGAUUCCAACACUUCGAACAACAAUCUUAAGAAAAUUAAAGGAGGGACAAAUUGGUGGAAUCGGUUGAAGUGGAAAGAUGAAACCAUCAAGGACUGUUUUACUCCUUACUUCCAAGUCCAUGAGGCUGAAGCAUAUUUUGCAGAAGAGUUUGAAACUGGCAGCAUAGAUGAUGAUAUGCAGGAACAGCUGGUAUCAAAUUAAUUUCUAUCCAUCUUUCAGGUAUUAAUUAACUUUUAUGUUAUAUUUGAAAAAUACUUUUCUUUCCUUAUUCAUUCUUUUGUGGAAAUUUUUACUUUACCUAUGUCAAAAGUGCAUCAAAGUUUCAAACAUCAUAAUAACUUUCAAUGUUUGAUCUGUAUAGAUUACUUCCAUAAUUUUCAGCCUAGUCCUAAUAACUUUCAAUCUAUUUUUUUCCCUUUUAUUUUCUUUCUCUUCUAUGUUGCUUUGAAUCUUUUGAGAUCCAAACAAAGCCAAAUCUACACCCUUCCAAGAUCUUGGAUGGGUAAUUCAAUUCUAGUUGUUCCUUGUGAAAUAAUUGUUAUAAAAGGUUCACCCAGAUGGCACUUUGAAGGAGGUCUAUUGUUUAAAAAUGGGAUGACAUUCCCUGUUGGUUACUUGAGAACUUGAAAAUAAUUCAGAGUUUUAAACUAUAUUAUUUAUUUGUCUUAAUUUUUUUGAUCAAUUUCAAUCUAUAAACAGAAACAGAUCAACUUCUUUUCAUCUUAGUUCCAUAUAUUUCAAGCUGAACAACAGGGUUUCACAACUACUAUAUCUAUAGAUAUUCCAUUAAAGAAUUAUUGCCUUGUUAAGUUACAAGGGUAUUUUAUCUUCUAUUGUUAAGUUACCUCUAUCUGGUUGGCUCUGAUCACUUUUUGCUUUUCUAUUUUCUUUUUUUCAUUUCUCUUUUUGUUGCAUUCAGGGUUCGGGUUGGUUCUAGCAGUUCUGGCAACAGCCGGGUUUUCAUUUCUUUAUAUAUAGACUGCGUUGCUGCCGUUUUUGCUGAUUGGAGAUGUCCUGCUCUUUUUCCUUCUACUUGGAAUCUGGGUUUGGUCUGAGGUCUCUGGUAUGUUUCAUCAGGGAUGCGCAAAUGCUGAUUCUCAGAGCAUUGAUAUUUCAUGGUGCUGAGACUGCUGGAAAGGUUGGUGUACUUAUGUGAUGGUUGCAGCAUCCUUUUUGUUUCUGGAUCUCAGGAAUUGGAUUCUGUGGGCUGCCUUUGGCUUUUGAUGUUGGGUGGGUUUUGUUUUGUUAAUUUGUUGAGGCCGGUGCAGUGUGGUGGGUCUGAAGCUGCUGCUGGGUCAAUGCGGAUGUGAUAUGGGAAUGCUUUUGGAUCUUUGGGCUUCAGCAGGUUGAUUAUGUUUCCUCUGCUUACAAAUGUUUUAUCACCAGAUCCUAUGUGGGGAUGGGAUGGAUUGUUGUGAUAGUGAUGGUGUGGGUUUUGUUUUGUUUAUUUGUUGAGGCUGGUGCAUGUUUUAUCACCAGAGCACCGCUUAUUUCCUUGAGUUUGAUAUCCCACUGUCAAGUGUAUUGUCCAUAAUGUUAUGGUGUGUGUGUGUGUGUGGAUUGGAAUGUUUUGUGAGAACAACUGGUUGAUUUUAACAUUUGAGGUUGUUAAUGGUGAUUUUUCUUAUUAUGAUGAACAAGGUGGAAGUAUAAGCAGAGUUCUGAGGACUCAAACAACAACAUAGACUAGAAUUUCUCAUUUUUCAUUCCGGAGCAUUUAGAUCUCCAAACAGCAACCUGACUGAACAUGACCACAAAACUCCUCCGGCGCCACCAAUUUCCUCCACCUGCGACUCUUCAAAUCCAACAUGUAAGCCACAUGGGCUUCACCAAAGCUUCUGCACCCAAUCACUAAAGCUUCCCCUCCCAUGUUGUCAUGUAAGCUGUGUGGCGAAUCUCAGCUGGCAAUUUGUCUACUGUCUGCCAUCUGCAGUCCUGCAGUGCCACCACCUCACCCGCAUGACACAUGUACAUCCCCAUGUCACCACCGUCUACGCAGGUCCUCGGGCACGUGCUGUCUUCCAGGAAAUCCUCCUCUGCCUUGUCCCACUCCCAGUUGGCAAAAUCGAAGGCUUCCGCGCUCCUCUCGAACCUGCCUUGCAUCUCUGUGCAGUACCCGCCGAUGACAUGGAACUUACCACGGUGGAAUACUCCUUUGCAUUCAUCGCUCUCCCUUGCCAUGUCAGGCAGUGGGGCCCACUCAUCCUUUGCCACGUCAUACACCAGCGCUGACUUCAAUGCAUUCUUCUCACCAACAUACACCACCCGCUCCAAACCCGACGCCGCACAUCCAAAGAACGACCUCCGCGCACCUGGCAUAUCCGCUCCCCGCCGCCACGUCGCCGACAGGAAAUUGUAAAUAAACACAGAGCUCGAAACCUCCCAUGUAUCCGGAUCCCACCCGCCCACCACCACAAGCUCCGACUCGACUCCCACCAGCUGACAGAACAUCGGCAACCCAUCGGAAAACCCAGGAACCGGCGGUAACUCUCUCCAAUUACCCGUUUCGAGGUCCAAAAGCGUGACCCGAUAAGCAAGCGUAGGACAUUUCAUCCCACCAGAACUCCGAUUCGGGACCACCCGGGCCUGCGCCUUUGCGAAAACGGGUCGAGUAUACCCUGCCGUUUUCCUCUGUCGGAAAAAAUCAGGGUCCUCAACCUCACUCUUCCAAACCCUACAAACCGCGGCGAUGGUGGAGAAUUUUUCAUAAUAAACGCGAAUUAAACAUUGGCGGGCAACGUCGUCCGGGAGACCCGGAAUGAAGUCCAUGAACAAAAAAAAAACAGCAAGACUGUGGUGCUAUUAAUGGAGAGAAACCCAACCAGAGAAAUAUUUGAAUAAAUUGAGAUGGGGGGUUGAAAUAAAUUGAGAGAGCAGCUAGCUACAGAAGAAGAAGAUGAUGAAGAGAGAAACAGUUGAAUAUAAGAUGAUGAUGAGGAGGAGGAUUGCCUUUUAUAGAGCUUGCCAACAAGACUGUAAUACAGGUUUAAAAAAGGUUAGGCGUUCUAGAAAGUUAAAACGAAGGCGACCAUAGGUAAUGCCAAUACGGAAUACCAUACAAACAGCCGUUGUUUCAGUGUGAAUGGCUCCCUAGAAAAUCUGAGUCCAUGUGGAUGGGUCUGUAUUUCUCACUAUAAUUUCAGCUCAAAGGUACGUUUUAUCCUGUGCCAUCUCACACUCAAAAAUUAAUAAUUAAAAAAUCCACGUAAUCAACAUUUGAGUUGAGCCACCGUUAUAUAUCACUUAAAAAAAUUAUAUAAUAUCAUUUUACUUAUAUAAUUAUUUUUUUUAAAAACAUGUGAAAACAAUUAAAUUGUGUUUUCAAAAAAUAGGAUGUUUUAUUUAUAUUUUUAGAAAUAAAAAAUUAUUUUUUAUUUCCUUAUUGUAAAAUAUAUUUUCCAUUUUUUUUUAAUUCUUGAAAAUAGGAAACCAUUUUUUAAAAUAGCUUCUAAACAUAGUCUAAAUUUUUAAAAUUUUUCUAAAUCCUGUUUUUCUAAGAAAUGAUCCUUCUAAAAAUAUAAAUCCGUUUUUCCAAACAUAUCUUAUCUCCUAGUAUUUAUUAUUAUUAUUAUUAAAUUGAAAAAUUAAAACAAAAAUUGAUAUCUAAUCUAUUAAAAUUUUAUUUUAAAAUUUUUGCUACUUGUUUUGUUAGAACUAUCUAAUAUAUUUUUUCAACUUUUAAAAAUUAAAAUUAAAUUUAUUUUUUAAUUUUUCUUUUUGUUAUAUUCUACAUUUGAAUGCCAAAAUAAUAAUAAUAAUAAAGAAAGAAAAAUGAUAUGAAAGUCACAAAACCUUAUCAACUCAAAUAAGAGCAUUGGAGUUCCUAAGGUCAGAUUUUCAUUGAAAAUUUAAAGGGGAAAAAAAAAGUGAAAAAUAGCUUUUUUUUUUGUAUUUGAUUUUAUGAUGGAAAAUUAGGAAGAAAAUUAAAUAUAAUUAAAAUUAGUUAAAUUUAUAUAUUUUAAAUUAUUUAAUCAUUAAACUAAGUGAAAUGAGUUUAAAUAAUAAUAAUAAUAAUAAUAAUAUUUAAAUUAUUUAUUAAAAUAAAAUAAUUUAUUAAUUUAAUUUUCAUUCACUUUUUAUUUUUUUUUUCUAUUUUCUUUCUAUUUCAUUUUUUCUAAAAGCAAACACACCCGACAAAAAAUGUUUUGACUUUCAUUAAAAUUUGAAGUCUUAGUAUAAUACUUUCACAUUUAUUUUAAUGCAAAUUAAAAGCCAAUACAAGCAUAUUUGGAGUGUGUUUGAAAUAUUUUCCAAUUUUUUUACUUUAAUUAGAAGUUAAAAUUGAAUCAAACUCAAAAUUUUUAAAGGAUAAUAUAUGUAAAAUAAAGUUUUCACAAUCGAACAACAUUUUUCUAAUUUCUAUAUUAAGCUUUUUUUUAAAAUAGUCAUAAGAUUUUUGAACAAAAAUAGUGAAAAAAAAAAACCCCUUAUUGAAGUUAAAAAAAGAAACUGUUAUCUUCAUAGAAGUCUUACCAAAUAAGAAUCUAGCCUUACGGAAAAAGAAAAAAAAAAAAAAAGGUGGGUCAGUGCCCACUAGAUAAUGCAUUAGACCACCGUUUGACCCAACUUGAUUCUACCUUCAUGAUUUAUCCUUUGAAUUGUAGGAAGAUGAAUUUGGACAAAUCAAAUCAAUUUAUGUCCUAAUUGAUGCCAAAAAUAUCCAUAUAAUUCAAAUAAAUAUAAAUUUGAUAGUGAGAUAAAAGGGUAUGCCGUUUUUUUAUGGGUGUUGCCAGCAUUAUUAUAAUUUAUAGCUAUUUUAAAGAAAAAUUAAAUUAAAAUUAUCAAAAUAUAUUUUAUAUUUGCAAAAGCUAAAAGCAUAACCAAGAAAAAAUCUUUAUGCUUUAUAUUUUAAAAAUUAGUUAAAGCAAAAGCAUAUCCAAAUCAGCCCCACACAUCAAAUAAAGCUAAAAAUGAAAUUGACUAAUCAUUUUUUUACUGGCAAACCUUUUUGACUUUUUUCUUUUACUGUGCCAAUGAGAAAAAUGAUUCAUAUUAAAAGUGAUCAAAUUAAUUAAUUAAAAGAUUACAGCAUCCUUGCCCAGGAGGAGUUUAUCUCAGGAGGCUUUGUUUCUUGGCUUGAAGUGUACGUUGCUCACUACUUCCUUCAUGCGAUUCUCUGGCCUUUUAUGCUGGAGGUUGACUGGUACACAUCAGCCUGCCGCUUGCUACCUGAUUGGUGAUUGUGAAUGCUUUUGGGUCUUGCUGGUUGCUUGUGUUUCCUCUGCUUACAAAUGAAAUAUCACUAUAUAUAUUCUGGGAAGAUAGGAUGGAACUGCAUUUUCAAAGGAUGGAACAUAGUUUACAAACUUGGAUUUUGUUCCUCCCUUCAAAUUUUGAUCACUCAUUAAUGAAAUUUUUUCGUUCAUUUUUUUUUUUUUGGGAGAAAAAAUGGUGUUAAUUUGUUAAUGGCAAUUUGCUGCUGAUUUUGCUGGGUUUGAAAUGUUCUGCUCUCUUUCUGUUGGUGCUGUUGGUGUUGGCGUUUGCUUAAUUGGUGCUUGUCAGAAUUUUUUUAGUAAUAUUAUUUGUAGGAUAUUCUUAGAAAAAGGUAAAUGGUAAUAGCAUCUCAUUCAUUUAUUUUUUUAAAAAAAAAUAUUAUAAAUGGUAGAAGUUACAUGAAUAAUUCAAAAUUUGGCAAUAAAAAUACAAUUCAAUCCCACCAUGACCAAUCAGAAUUGUUUAAAGAAUAAUGUAGUGGUGAUGAAUGCAAGCAUAAAACCAUUGUGGAGCCAAGAUUCAAGGGGCAUAAAACCAUUGUGGAGCCAGGAUUCAAGCAUAAAACCAUUGUUGGUCUAGCUACAAGAUUGGGAAGGCAGUCAGCGAAAAGCUGGUUGCUGUAUCUGGUCAAAUCGGCAAAGGACAUUUCAAUGAUGUAGCCGAGAUGCUGCCUCGUCCUCUAGUAGAUGAACUGCCCAUGGAGGAGACUGUUGGCCUAGAAUUGGCGUAUGGCAGAAGCUGUGGGUUUCUCAAAGAUCCACAAGUGAGAAUUAUGGGAUUAUAUGGAAUGGGGGGCGUGGGCAAAACCACCCUCUUGAAGAAAAUCAACAAUGACUUCCUCGCUACACCCAGCGAUUUUGAUGUUGUGAUUUGGGUUGAAGCAUCAAAAAUUAAAAAAAUUCAGAAAGUUGUUUGGAAUAAAUUGCAACUCUCACGUGAUGGAUGGGAAAGUAGAAGCACUAAGGAGGAGAAGGCUGCCGAAAUAUUGAGAGUUUUGAAAACAAAGAAGUUCGUGUUGUUGUUGGAUGACACAUGGGAGCGACUUGAUCUCCUAGAAAUAGGGGUCCCCCAUCCCGACGCUCAAAAUAAGUCCAAGAUAGUUUUCACAACCCGAUCACAGGAUGUGUGCCACCAAAUGAAAGCUCACAAGAGUAUAGGAGUGGCAUGUUUGCAUGUCGCCAGAAGUGGCUUGGACUUUGUUUCAGAAGGAAGUAGGAGAAGAAACAUUAAAGUCUCAUCCACAUAUACUGAGUCUUGCAAAGACUGUUGCUGAAGAGUGCAAAGGUUUACCUCUUGCUUUGAUUACUCUUAGGCGAGCCUUGGUGGGUGAGAGAGAUCCCUCAAGUUGGGACAAGGUAAUACAAGAUUUGAGCAAAUUUCCAGCUGAAACUUCAGGUAUGGAAGAUGAAUUGUUUCAUAGAUUAAAAGUCAGUUAUGAUAGAUUGUCUGACAAUGCCAUCAAAUCUUGUUUUACAUAUUGUUCCUUAUUCUCUAAAGGUUGGUGGAUUUCAAAUGAAACCCUUAUGGAAUAUUGGAUGAUUGAGGGAUUUUUGGGUGAAGUUCAUGACAUACAUGAAGUGCGUAAUCAAGGGCAUAAAAUUUAAAAAAAAAUUAAAGCAUGCAUGUUUAUUGGAGAGUUGUGGUUCAAGAAAACAAAACAUUAUGAUGCAUGAUGUGAUCCACGACAUGGCUUUAUGGUUAUCUUGUGAAUGUGGGGAGGAGAAGAACAAAAUUUUAGUAUACAAUGAUGUUUCUAAGCUGAAGGAACCUUAAGAAAUUCCAAAAUUGAAAGAGACAAAGAAGAUGUCAUUAUGGGAUGAGAAUGUUGAGGAGUUCCCUAAAACAUUGGUAUGUCCCAAUCUCAAGAUUAGUGGCUUGUGAUAAGUUGAAGAAAUUUCCAAGUGGAUUUUUUCAAUUGAUGCCUUUAAAGUUUUGGAUUUGUCAAAUAAUUAUAAUUUAAGUGAGUUACCUACUGGGAUCGGUAAAUUGGGUGCCUUGAGAUAUCUUAAUUUGUUAGCCACAAAAAUAAGAGAGUUGCCUAUUGAACUUACAAAUUUGAAAAACCUAAUGACUUUGCUUUUGGAGAAUAGGAAAUUCCUGGAAUUAAUUAUUCCACAAGAACUGAUAUCAAGUCUCAUAUCUUUAAAGUUGUUCAUCACAAUCGAUACCAAUAUUUCAAGUAGAGUUUCAGAAAGCUUGUUGGAUGAGUUAGAGUCCUUGAAUGGCAUCAGUGAGAUAUGUAUCACCAUAUGUACUACUCAUUCAUUCAACAAAUUAAAGAGUAGUCGCAAAUUGCAAAGGUGCAUAAGUCAAUUCGAGUUGGAUAAAUGUGGGGAUAUGAUCUCACUUGAACUACCGUCUUCAUUUUUGAAAAGAAUGGAGCAUUUGCGAUGGCUUUGUAUAUUUGAUUGCGAUGAAUUAAAGGACAUAAAAAUUGAAGGGGAAGGAGAAGGGACACAAAGGGAUGCGACUCUCCAAAACUACAUUGCUAUAAGGGAGAACUACUUUUGUGCCCUUUGUAACCUAUAUAUUUUUCAUUGUUCAAAAUUGUUGAACAUUACAUGGCUUGUUAGUGCUCCAUAUCUUGAGGAACUUACUGUUGGAGAUUGUGAAUCAAUAGAACAAUUGAUAUGUUAUGGAGUAGAGGAAAAAUUGGACAUAUUCUCAAGGCUCAAAUACCUUAAGCUCAACGAGCUGCCAAAAUUGAAGAGCAUCUACCAGUAUUCGCUGCUCUUUUCCUCACUUGAAAUCUUGAAGGUGUAUGAUUGCAAAAGCUUAAGGAGCCUCCCAUUCGAUUCCAAUACUUAACAAUAAUCUAAAGAAAAUUAAAGGAGAGACAAGUUGGUGGAAUCAAUUGGAGUGAAUCGAUGAAACUAUCAAGUAUUCUUUUACUCCAUAUUUCCGAAUCGACCAAGCUGAAGCAUACUUAACUGAGGAGUCCGAAACUGGUGGCAUAGAUGAUAUACAAGAGCAAUUGAUAUCAAAUUAAUUUCUUUCAGGUAUUAAUUAACUUUUAUGCUAUAUUUGAAAAAUAAUUUUUUUCCACACUCCCCAUUCAUUUGUGGAAAUUUUUACUUUACCGAUGUCAAAGUGCAUCAAAGUCUCAACAUCAUAGUAACUUUCAAUGUUUGAUGUAUAUGGACUACUUCCAUAAUUUUCAGCCUAAUCUUAAUAAUUUUGGUGUGGUUAUAAUUUUUUUCUUUUUUAUUUUUCUUUUUCGUCCUUCUAAUCUUAAGCCUUCAUUUUGAUGACAAACAUAAUUAAGAAAGGAAAAAAAAAAUGUAAGAAAUCCAAAUCUAAAUCUAUAUAUAUAUAUAUUUUUAUCUCUAUCUGAUUGGCUCUGAUCAGUUUUUGCCUUUUUUUUUUUUUUCAUUUCUCUUUUUGUUGCAUUCAAGGUUGGGCCUUGUUCUAGCAGUUCUAGCAACAGCCGGGUUUUGAUCGUUUUUAUAUAGACUGUGUUGUUGGAACUCCAUUUUGCUUGUAUCCAAUUAUUAGACAGGAAUCGCAUGUUGAAUCAUAUGAAGAAAUUAUGCCAAACAUUUCUAUAGAAAGGGAACAUACAGAAUCUGAACUAACCUGAUUCCAUUUUGAGUGUUGAAUGAAUAAGGUAUGGAUCUUCUAAGGCUGUGGAGGGCACCACCUCUUUCUGAAUUCUCUCUGACGAUGGAGCAGGAGAGAAAACAAGUCUAUUAUUAUUUCAAGUGAUGUGAUUAGACUGAACAGACACUUAGCCUUUGGUUUUAUACCCUCCUGCCUUAGGGACCAUACCCUUUGGCUAUUGGGCCUCACGAGUCUUAGGCCCAUCAUCUAAGGCCCGUGAUGGCAAUGGGCUGUACACAUAAGGUGACCCAUACUAUGGAAAAUUGAUACAAAAUAAAUAUCAAAAGGCGAAUAGCUUAGUCAUGUAUCAUUGUUAAAUAUGUGUGAGUCCAUAUCUUAACAUGUGUUGUUGUUGUUUUUGCUGAUGGUUGAUGUCCUGCUCUUUUUCCUUCUACUUAGUAUUUGGGUUUGGUCUGAGGUCGAUCUAGGUAUGUUUGAUCAGAGAGGCAUAAAUGCUUAUUCUCGGAGCAUUGAUAUUUCAUGGUGCUGAGACUGCUGGGAAGGUUGGUGUACUUAUGAUGGUUGCAUCAUCCUUUUUGUUUCUGGAUCUCAGGAAUUGGAUUCUGUGGGCUGCCUUUGGCUUUUGAUGUUGGGUGGGUUUUGUUUUGUUAAUUUGUUGAGGCUGGUGCAGUGUGGUGGAUCUGAAGCUGCUAGUAUGCUGCUGCUGGGUCAAUGUCAAUGUGAUAUGGGAAUGCUUUUGGGUCUUUGGGCUUCAGCUGGUUGCUUGUGUUUCCUCUGCUUACAAAUGUUUUAUCACCAGAUCCUAUGUGGAGAUGGGAUGGAUUGUUUUAAUAGUGAUGGUGUGAGGGUGUGAUAUAAUCCUGUCAACAGAGCCACAUGCUUUGGUUCAUAUACCAGAGCACUGCAUACUUGAGUUUGAUAUCAUAUCCCACUCCCAAAGUGUGUCGUGCAUAAUGUAAUGUAAACAAGUUUCAACUUUCAUCCAUUGUGGAUUGAAAUGUUUAAUUUGGGAGAAAAACUGGUUGAUUUGUAACAUUUGAGGGUGUUAAUGGUGAUUUUUCUUAUUAUUAAUUGUGAUUGAAAAGAAAGUUGAUGAACAAGGUGGAAGUAUAAGCAGAGAGUUCUGAGGACUCCUAAUGUGGUACAUUUUCUCAAGCAUAUUUCUUCCCCAAUAAAAAGGAAAACUUGGGUUCACUUGUGCGAUGGUUUUGGCAGUUGGCACUAACUGAUCAAUGAAAGAGAGAUCCAGGUUUAUCACUGAUGAAUUAAAAUGCUUUGUUAUUGUUGCUUAGUUAAAAAAGUUGCGGUUCAGUUUGCUAAUCUAUUGAUAUCUGUUGCAGUGAUUCUGCUGCUGAUGAACAUCAAAGACAAUCAAUAGGUGCAGGUGAUGCCAUCUCAUCUGCUCAAUCAUCUCAAGUAUUACAGCCUGCUCGCUCAGGGGCCAGGGGACGUGCUUCAAUGGCUGAUAUUGUGAGGAGGGGCAGACCAGGGACCAGGAGACAUGUUUCAAUGGCUGAUGUUGUAGGGAUGGGCGGACCUGGUGCCAAUACUUCCAGCCUGCCAAUUACGUCAACUGGAACUUCUCCCCCUCUUGUUGGGGCAGUACCAGAACAAUGUGGUGUGCCCAAUACUUCCAGCCCGCUAAUUACAUUAGAUGAAACUUGUUUCCCACCUCUUGGAAGAACACCAAAACGAUCCUCUUACCGUGUCACUACUCCCUUUGUUCUGCCACCAGUGGAGGCAGAACCACACCAAGAUUUGCAUUCUCCAAAUCCUUGGUAUGUGUUGGAGAUAAGUCAUGACUCAUGAGCCUUGCAUUACUGAUGAAUGGCCCACCACUGAUUAGCCAACAGCACAUAAUGGCUUUUUUAGGUGGCUCACCUGCCUUAGAAACAGAGAUAUUCUAACCCAUCUAACUUGUACAGUGAUACAGCUGAAAUGUCCCAGGACUGCCGGCCAGAUGAGGUCCAAGCAUCUGUAUCCAGUGAACAGUGGGCAGAGUAUAGCGCUGCAGGUGCGUCUUAUAGAGCUUGCCAACGAGACUGUAGUACAGGUUUAAAAAAGGUCAGGCGGUCUAGAAAGUUAAAAUGAAGGCGACCAUAGGUUAUGUCAAUACACAAGACCAUACAAACGGCCAUUGUUUCUAUAUUUUGUUAUUUGUUUUUAAUGUGAUUGGUUCCCUAGAAAAUCUGAUGUGACCCUGGUUCAUGAUGCCCAAAAUGGAAAUCAUGCGAGUCCAUGUGGAUGGGUCUAUAUUUAUCACUCUUUUGAAAAUUCAUCACCCAUCAAAAUGAUCAAAUUUCAUAAUCUAAGCUUGAAAAUACAUCUUAUCAUUUGCCUUCUCACUCUCAAAAAUUCAAAAUAAAAAAUUCCACAUAAUCAAUACAUUUUGGAUUUUAAUUAUUUUAAUCCAUUCUAUCUUCAUUAUCUAAGUCCAACUUCUACUGUCAGUAAAAGUAAAACUUCAUUUCAGGAAGAGAGAAAUUGAUAAGUUUUAACAAAUAAGUUUAAAUACAUUUUUUAUUUUUAUUUAAUUUAAAAUUUUAUAUAACAUACCAAAAUUUUAAAAUGUUUAUAUUAAAAAUAUAAUGACUUAAAAUUAUUUAAAAAAUGAGAUAUCAAAAAAAUUAUUAUCUUAAAUUUAAAAAAUUAAUGUAAUUUUUUUAUAAAAAAAAAAACAUAAUAUAAAAAAUAUAUAUUGGAGGAGCAGAAUAAUUGAGAGAGAAGCAACAAAACGUUAAGUACAAAGUGGGGAAAUGCAACUAAUGAAGUGGGUCCAAAAGGUUGAAAGAUAAGAGGAUACCUUAACAAUGUCAUUUGGGCAACAUUAAGUUAAUUGAUCCUAAUCAAUGCAAAAUACCAUGAAUCUAAAGUUCACAUCAUAGCAACAUAGAGAGGGAGUUCAAUUUCAAUACAAAAUACAAAAAGUGUAAAACUAGAUAUUAAUAUUAAGACAUCAUACUAAUUAAAUAAGUUUCAUUUUUGUCAAAAAAAUAUAUAUAUAUCUAGUUCCCAAAAAUAUCAAGGAAAAAAAUAUAAAAAAUAUUUUUCUUCAUAUUUGGUUUUACUAUGAUAAAUUCGAGAUAAAAUCAAAUAUAAUUGAAAUUUUAAAUAUUUUAAAUUAUUUAAUCUUUAUAUAAAAAUAAAGUUAAAAUAAGUGAAAUGACUUCAAAAUAAUAUAUAAAAAAUAAAAUUAAUUUAUUAGUUUUAAUCCUAUUUUUUAUUUUCAUUGGUUUUUUGUCUUUGGAUUUUUUUCUUCUUCAUUUUCUUUUUCUCAUAUUUUUCCUCAAUCAAACAUACCAAAAAAAAAAAAUUGUUUUAACUUUCAUUAAAAUUCAAAGUCUUAAUAAUACUUUCACAUUUUUUUUUAUUCAAAUUAGAAGAAAAUACAAAUAUUUGGAAUGCCUUUGAAAUAGUUUCCUAUUUUUCACUUUAACUAAAAGUUAAAAUUGAAUCAAAAUCAUAAUUUUUAAAAGAUAAUAUUGGUAUUAAAUAUAUGAAAGAGUUCUUAGCAUAAAUCAAAAUAAAGUUUUUACAAGGAACAACAAUUUUUUUAAUUUCUAUAUUAAAUUUCUUGUUAAGUGGUCAUAAGUUUUUUAAACGAAAAUAGUAAAAAAAAAAAAAAACAUAUGAUUGAUACCAAGAUAAAUUAUGAAUCCUUUAAAGUGAUCCACUACACUUUUUUGGGGUGGAAAUUCAGUCAUUAAUACAUGUACUUGAUCUGGGGGUGCCCUACAAUUCAAGUCAAUGAAUUUGGACAAAUCAAAUCAAUUUUUUUCCCAAUUGAUACCAAGGAAUAUCCAUAUGAUUCAAACAAUAUUUAUAUUGUUUGUUUGGAUUUUGCCUAAAGUAUUCAUGAAUGUGUCCAAAUAAUAUGCUUAUCAAUGGCACUACUAAUUUUUGCUUCCCUUUUUUUUUUUUUUUUUUUUUCAUUUUUUGUUUGUUUUGAAUUGGUACUUCCUUUCUCAUUCAUUCUACAUUCUUUUUUUUAAAAACAUUUGUCUCUUUUGCAUACAUCCUAAAAAGCCCAAAGUGUCUUUAUUAUUAUUAUUAUUAUUUUUAAAAAAAGAACUUAAUAAAAUCUUUUGCUUCAAUUUAUCUUAAAAUGAAAAUAAAAAAUAAAAUUUUAUUAUUAAAGUUUUAUUUUGAUUUAUAGAUAAAGCUAUUUCAUAUUUUAUAAAUCUCUUCCUAUAUUCAUUUUGUUCUUUGCAAAUUAUAAUUUCACUCACUUCAACUUUGAAAAAAAAAAAAAUUAUAGCAAAUUAUGUUUUAAUCCGCUUUCCAAUUGGAAAAUACUAAUAAUGCAACCCAUAUCUGUCUAAACUUAGUGCAUAUAAUAUUACUUUUCAAUGGACUUGAAAAAUAUUUAAAAACCAACAACUCCAAAGUCAAUUAUCUCAAUUAUGGAGUGUAAUGGUUUCCAAAAGAUUAAAGCAAGUGUGAAGAUCCCUAUAAUGUUUUUGAGUGUAAUGGUGUUUCCAAAAGAUAUAAGUAAGGAUGAAAAUAUCGGUAAUCAUGAAUAUAUCGGUAUUUUGAUUUUACGGAUAUAUCGGUGGGUAUUUUGACAUAAAAUAUCAGUAGACCUAAAAUUGACUAAAACUUAUAAAAAUAUAAAAUAAAACUUUUAGAAAUGAAAUUAAAAGUACAAUAGACAUUUUAAAAUUAUUUUUGUUGAAUAAAUUAAUGUAUAUAUAUAAAAUAAAACUUUUAGAAAUGAAAUUAAAAGUAUAAUAGACAUUUUACAGUUAUUUUGUUGAAUAAAUUAAUAUAUAUAAAAUAUUGUACGUGUCAAUAAAAAAUAUAAAUUUGAUAAGUAUAUAUUGAUUAUUAAAUUAUAUCAAAUAUUAUUUGGUGAUUAUAUUGUGAUAUUUGAUUAUAAUAUAUUUCGGUGGAUAUUUUGACACAAAAUAUAUGUAGACUUAAACUUGAUCAAAACUUAUAAAAAUAUAAAAUAAAACUCUUAGAAAUGAAAUUAAAAGCAUAAUAGACAUUUAAAUUUUUUUUUAAAUAUAUAUAUAUAUAUAUAUAUAUAUAUAAUAUUGUACAUGUUAAUAAAAAAAAUAUAAAUUUGAUAAAUGUACAUUGAUUUUUAAAUUAUAUAAAAUAAUAUUUGAUGAUAAUAUUGUGAUAUGUAAUUAUAAUAUGUUUAAUUUUAAAAUCUAUUUAAUAUUAAAAUUAUGAUAUAUUAUAAAAUAAAUGUAUAAAAUUUUAAUAUAUUAAUAAUAUUAAAAACACCAUGAAUAAAAUUAUGAUAUAUUUUUACUAAUCAAUUAAAUGAAAAAAUUUCAUUAAAUUAUAAAAUAGUUAUAAUUAAUUUGUUAUUUAAAGUGUUUUUUUUUAAUAUUUUAUUUAUAUCAUAACUUUUGAUAUAUAUUUCUUUAGUGCAUAUUACAUAUCAAAGGGCAAGUUUGCCUUAGUGGAGCCGGGGAUGCAUGUUGAACCUUCGAAUCUCCCUAAUAGCAACAAAAAAAAGCUCAAUUUUGAGCUUUGAUUGCGUUGAGCAGCCGUUGACCACCGAUAUAUCCAUGCUAUAUAUCGUUUCGCCACCCGCCGACACACCGAUAUUUCAACAAUAUUUUCUUCCCUGGAUAUGAGCAAGUAUGAUUUUCCUUAAAAUGUUUUUCACAAUUUUUUUAUAUGAUUAUUUAAGUUGCCUACCAAUAAAUCUUUUUCUAAUUUUUGUAUGAAUUGAAUAUUAUUAUUUUUUUUUAAAAAUAAGAAGUAUGUUUAAUAAUUAAUUUUUCUAAGUAAUAAUAAUGACCAACAACCUUUUAGACCUAGUUUUUCAAUCAACUUAUUUAUUUCAUAGGUAUAAAAUAUGGAGAAGUAAAAUAUAUGUAUUGAUGGAUCAAUUAAAGGGAGGGUUAAACCUACUAAGACACUACCCACCUCACUGGAGAAUGGAAAAUUGAACGGUUAUAAAUACAUCAUCAUUUCCCAUUUUUCACAAAAAUGUUGCUCCAUGUCCUCUUAUCAAUUUCACUUCAAUUAUCCUCAAAAAAAUCACUUCACAACUUCAAAGAUUUGUUAGCAAAAUUGAAAAAGUACUAACAUGUCACUUGAGUAAAAAAAGACAUGAUUCCUAUGCAAAAAAUGAAACAUAUGUGUGGACCCCGUAUUUCGACUCAUGCGUUCCCCACUCGGUGGCGAAACUCACUUUUAAUUUUAUUCAGUGAAAAUUUGAUUUUUGGGGAAAAGACUUGGAGUCGCCAUUUUGUGGACCCUGCAUUUCAACUCAUGCGUUCCCCACUCAAUGGCGAAACUCACUUUUAAUUUUAUUCGGUGAAAAUUUGAUUUUUGGGGAAAAGACUUGAAGUCGCCACUUACUUUUGUUUUAUUUUUAAAAGGGUAAACAAAAUAAGAAAGAAAACCCUGAGUGUGACUCCUCAUUUUGGAAAAGAUGGUCUGCGAAAAACCGGAUCGGGCUCGAGGGUCAGAUUACUUAUUGGGAAGGUAUGGUAAAGACUGUAGCACGCCUCUAAGUCCCUAAAGUUGGGGUCUCUACUAAUAGAAUGAAGCCGACAUGGCAAUCAAUAAGAAAGUCAAUGGAUACCUAAGUCAAAUCAUGCACAUAUGGGAAUCGGAACAUGCAUAGAGAAUGAUCCGAAUGAAAGUGUAUGCGUACCUGGGUCACGAGCCACAAUGCAUUGUAUUUGCUCCUCUCAGUGCGAUUUUCUCCGUGCGUUUUUCCCUAUCCCCUCACUAGCUCCCUCUGGUAUCCUUUUCCCUCUUUUUUUUUAGCUUGCUCUCUAAGCUAACGAAAACCUCACUCUGUCACCUUUCACUCAGCCGUCCUCCCUAUUCCAUCUUGUCACCCCAUGCCCUCUUUGGUAGAGUUCACGAGUGCAAUGAACAUGAACACUGAAGUGAAAAGAGAGUGUGAAUAGUGAGUGAAAUGAAGUGAACUCUACCGAAGAACCCAGGAGACCCCCACAACGACACUAGUGAAACACGAACUCAUUAAAACUAACAGACAAACACGAAGGCUCUAACCCUGAGAGAAGAUGAUGUUCAAAAUGUCUCGGAAGCCACACUGAGGACCUAGGCUCCCUCUAAGACGCCUCCAAAAGAGGCUUGAAGAACCAUAUCAAAGAUGAGUAAUGGUUGAACCACUCUGAAGUAUAGAAAAGACUAUGCCCAAAGGAGACUGCCAUAUGCGAACUACAUAAAAAUGACAAGUGUAUGGUGCCUAACGACAUGACUGAAGUAGGUGUCGUGAACUCAAAGGACUGUGUCAUGAGCAAUGAAAAAGGGAAUCUGGAAGAGUGAUGGCAAGUAGGCGAUAAGCACACGAUAACAAGGUAAGAAAAAUGAGAACAUAUGCAAACCCAUGAAGGCAAGAUGUGUAAUGCCAAUGAACAUGAAUGCCAGGGACUCUGACUCUGAAUGAUAUAACUGAGGAGAAAUGACUCUGCAUAUCAAAACAAAGAGAGAUGGUGACUCAUGGUGCAUGAAUGAAUAUGUACAAUGGCUCUGAACACCAAAAUUGAGAAGCGAUGAUGGCUUUGAAUGCCAAAACUGAGAAUGAUGAUGGCUCUGAACGCCAAAACUGAAAAUGGUGAUGGCUCUGAACGCUAAAGCUGAUAAGCGAUGAUGGCUUUGAACGCCAAAACUGAGAAUGAUGAUGGCUCUGAAUUCCAAAACUAAAAAUGGUGAUGGCUGUGAACGUUAAAAUUGAAAAUGGUGAUGGCUUUGAACGCCAAAACUAAGAAUGAUGAUGACUUUGAACGCCAAAGCUGAGAAGCGAUGAUGGCUUUGAACGCCAAAAUUGAGAAUGAUGAAGGCUCUGAAAGCCAAAACUGAAAAUGGUGAUGGCUGUGAACGCCAAAACUGAAAAUGGUGAUGGCUUUGAAAGCCAAAACUGAGAAUGAUGAUGGCUCUGAACGCCAAAGCUGAGAAGCGAUGAUGGCUUUGAACGUCAAACUGAGAAAUGUCGAUGGCUCUGAAUGUUGAAACUAAGAGAUGAUAAUGGCUCUGAAUGCCGAGAUUAAGAAACAAUGAUGGCUCCGAACGCCAAACUGAAGAUGUUGAUGGCUCUGAACGCCAAGACUGAGAAGAAAUAGGGGCUCUGAACGCCAAAUGGAAAAUGCUGAUGGCUCUGAGCGCCGAGACUGAGAAGAAAUAGUGGCUUUGAAAGCCAAAUGGAAAAUACUGAUGGCUCUGAACACCGAACUGAAAAGAAAUGAUGGCUCUGAACGCCAAAUGGAAAAUGUUGAUGGCUCUGAAUGCCAAGACUAAGAAGAAAUAGUGGCUCUGAAAACCAAAUGGAAAAUAUUGAUGGCUCUGAAUGUCGAACUGAGAAGAAACAAUGACUUUGAACGCCAAAUGGAAAAUGCCGAUGGCUCUGAACGCCGAGACUGAGAAGAAAUAGUGGCUUUGAAUGCCAAAUGGAAAAUCCUGAUGGCUCUAAACGCCGAGACUAAGAAGAAAUAGUGGUUCUGAACGCCAAAUGGAAAAUGUUGAUGGCUCUGAAUGCCAAGACUAAGAAUGAACAAUGGCUUUGAACGCCAAAAUGAAAACGUGGCUUCGAACGCCAAAUGGGAACAAUAGCUACUAAUGCUAAGCGAAAAUAGUGGCUUAGAAUGCUAAACUAAACUGAAUAACCAUAAGCGUCAAACUGAGAAAGACGACGCUGACCAUCGUAACUAAGAAGACAUAGUGGCUCUAAAUGCCGAACUGCAAGGGAAUGAUGGGGGGAAAAUAUGCCCCAGUGUAGCGGGUCACCAAAAACCCUCAAUCCAUCAGAAAAGUCGGAAAGAGACUCCGUAAGUCUCGAAAAAAUGCUUGGCCAAUGUGUCGGGGUGAUAAAAUCGAAUGAUCCUUUAAGGAGCCUUCAGAAAAAUGAUCUGAUAGGGUAACUAACGCGAUCUGAAGAAUCACGGAUAGCAAGACAAUCACAACCCGAACGUCCUACUCUACUGAAAGCUCAUCUCGAAGAAUCACGGAUAGUGACUAGUAAAGCAGAUAUAAUAUCUCUUGGCCAAGUGAUGAGAACCGCAACAAACUUGUGAGAGAACGAUCAUCUCCAUAUCCAAAUGAGGGAAAUAUGCCCACGUAUGGCGUCAAAUGUAUCCGAUCUGUCCUGAUGACUCAUGAGUAACUCAAUGGGGACGCGUCGCAGAUCUGACAUGUGCUCCAACGAAAUGAUGAAGUGAGAGUCCAUGAGCCUGAGAUGACUCCAUCCAAAAAUCACAAUGACAUCGGAAACUAUAAACAUGAUGAAACGACUCAAGGGAAGGUCCUUCGAAGAGUCAUGACAAAAUGAAACAAGAUCAUCAACCCGAUGUGUAUCUCGUAACUAGGGAUAAUGACGCAAACCAGAAGGGAUCUACGAAUCUCAAUCAAAGACGGAAAUAUGCCCCAGUAUGGCAUCAAAUGUGUGACAAGUAGGGAAAAUCAAAUGACAUCGAAUCAAGCAUCAACAGAUAUGUAAUCUUGGUCAUUUGAAUCCAUAACUGAAUCAUACCCACUGAUCAAAGAUGUGUCUUUCGGAAGGAAGCAUGAUGAUGGCAUCUGAGUGCUGAGAAAUGCGUGCCUAACUGGAUGGCUCCCAAGAGGCUCCACUAAGAAAUCAUCGUAAAAAUAGUGAUCGGACGAUCAUCUCGAUGAGUAUCCCGUUAGUGGGAAUGAUCACAUAACUCCACGAAGAUCAGUAAACCUCAUCCGAAAUGGAAAUAUGCCCCAGUAUGACAUCAAAUGUACAAUAGGUCGAAAUCGGGUGACAUGAAAUCAUCCAUCAUCAAAUAUGCGAUCUCCAUAAUCCAAAUCAAAUCCAAACAUCUAGGGAACGUCUCUCGAAAUAAAAAGCAUGAAAACAACCCGAUACCGAGAAAUGUGGACCUAGAUGAAUGGCUCCACUGGGGCUCCACUAAAGAAUCAUCAUAAAAAUAACGACAACGUCAUCAUCUCAACGCAUAUCCCGCAAGUGGGGAUAAACACGCAACUUCGUGAAGAUCGGCAAAUCUCAUCUAGAACGGAAAUAUGCCCUAGUAUGGCAUCAGAUGUAUAGUAGGUCUGGCUGAAUGGCCCUAAAGAGGCUCAACUGAAGGAUUGUCAUAAAAUAAUGACCACGCCAUCAUCUCAGCGCAUAUAUCGUGAAUGGGGAUAAGCAUGCAAACUCGUGAGGAUCUGUAAAAUCAUAUCUGAAACGGAAAUAUGCCCCAGUAUGGCAUCGAAUGUGUGACAAAUCAGAAAAGGUUAGGUGUCGUCAAAUCAUCCCUCGUCAAAUGAGUGAUCCCGGUAAUCCAAACACAACCGAAACAAAUCUAAACAUCAGAAAGGUGUCUCCCAGAAGAAGAAGCAUGACAGUAUCUAAAUGGCAACUAGAGCCCAAACACCUGUCCAAGUAGAGGCUGUCGAAGACGACAUCUGAUCCCAUGGCCUCAGGGUGGUCUUAAGACACGGGACGUAACGUAGGCUAGGGUGAUAAGGUAAUAGAAAUGAAAGGAAACGAGACCUAAAUACCCAAUGAUCAAAACUCAUGCCCUCAAGUAUAAAAUGCAAUAUGUGUGGAAAAGCUCGUGAGCCAUGAACCUGAAUGUGCCCAAUGUGAAUGUGAUAUCAAUAACAAGGUGGUGAAGAAAAAUGAUCUGAUAGAUGGAUGUGUAAGAACGAUGCACGUGAAGUGUCAAACUGAGAAUAAAAAGGCGUGGUAAGAAAAAUAAAAUGGCAAGAGGUGAGAUGAGGAUGAUGAAUCAAAAGCGAAAACAAGAAUGAUGAUGAAAUACGUAAUACAAAGGGGAGCAGUGAUCAACUCAAAUCAGACAUGGAGUGAACUCACAUCAACAAUGAAUGUAAUGAUGGAUAGGACAAUGACCCGGAGUCCCUAGGAGAAGGCCACUCAUCUCGCUCUCAAAACAUACGACAAAAAUGAAUACAAAGAAUGAAAGGUCUUGAGAAGCUCACAUACGAACUCUCAUCAAUAAACAUACUCGAUACAAUGACCUUUGAACAUCAACAUACACGCCCAACGAUGGAGAAUACUAUGCACAUACACAUGCAUGCUUAUUUUUUCUUUCUUUUCAUUUUUUUUUUUUUUACAUAUAUACAAAGGCACAUACCUUGAACAUAGACAAAUGAACCCCAAAGAUGAUAGCAAUAAUGAAUAGACACGCUCCCAAGUGCUAAGGUAACAAAAAUCUCUCUCUGAUAAGAUGACCUUCUCAAACUAAGGAUCUCUAACUCAAUGUCCGCAUGAUAAAUAGUGGAAAUGAUGUGACUAUCCCCCAUGUAAUGAAUUGAGGAGGAUCACCACUCGGGGUGGAGAGAAUAUGAAGCAAAACAAGUAAAUAGAAUAAAGAAUGAGAGAUGAAAAACACAACUAAUGAGAUAUGAAGGAAUGCAGUAGCGCGGUGGUAGGAAAAAAAAUAAUGAGAGAAAGAUGCACCUGUAGGUCCAAGACUCAUGAGGCUUCCAAACAAUGCAUGCAUACACUAAAUGGCCCCAAUCCCGGUGUAAAAAUGUGAGGAAGGCGAUAAGAUAGAAAUGCUAGAAUGCAUACGCGAGGCUCAAUGGGCUAGCAACGGUUCAUAUGUCAAAAAAGGAAUAACAAGGUAUAUAGCUAACCGAAAUGAUGGCCACCCAUUCUGCGACCAUGGUCUCAAACAUAGUACCUCUUUAGCUGGUCCACGUUGGUAGGCUCCGAGAAUCGGUUUCCAUCUAGAUCCAUCAACCAUGCAGCGCCCUCUGGGGUCAACUCCCUGAUGAAGUAAGGUCGGCUCCAAUUGGGUCUGAACUUCCCUCUAGGAUCUCUGAUCAAUCCUCUGAUGACCUUCAGAACCAAGUCGCCUGUCCAUAGUGGUCUGGGCUUAACCCGCUUUUUGAAAGCGCGGACCAUCUUUCUUUGAUAUGCAUGAACAUGAUCGGCUGCCCUUAAUCUCCUCUCAUCUAAGAGAUUGAGUUGAUCAAAUCGAGCCUGAACCCAAUCUGCCUCAGGAAUCUGCUGCUCCAAUGCUACUCUCAAUGAACCCAUCUCAAUCUCAACUGGUAGCACUACCUCCAUACCAUACACUAAUGAAUAGGGUGUGACCCCUAUAGAGGUGCGAAAAGAAGUCUGAUAAGCCAACAAUGUGAAAGGGAGCUUCUCUGACCAAUCUUGAGAAGUCUCAACCAUCUUUCGCAAGAUCCUCUUAAUAUUCUUAUUCGCGGCCUCUACUGCCCCAUUCGUCUGCGGCCUGUACGCAAACGACCUACGAUGUCAGAUGCCAUAUCUCUAUACUAAGGUGUCAACCUCUGCUCUGAAAUGUACUCCUCUAUCCGAAAUCAGCUCAUGAGGGACUCCGUAACGACAAAUAAUAUGUGAUCUAAUGAAACUGGUGACUUCGGCUGAUGUCAAUCUCGCAUAUGAAGCGGCAUCCACCCACUUGGUGAAGUAAUCGAUGGCGACCAAGAUGAACUCAUGACCACUAGAAGAUUUCGGUGAAGUCUUCCCGAUGAUGUCGAUACCCCAUACUGAAAAUGGUCAUGGUGACGUCAAUGCAUGUAACUCCGAGGGUGGCACGUGAAUAAGAUCUCCGUGUAUCUGACACUCUGGACAUCUCUGAACGAACUGGCAACAAUCCGUCUCCAUAGUCAACUAGAAGUAGCUAGUCCUCAUGAUCUUACGAGCCAACAUAUGUCCUCCCAUAUGUGGUCCGCAGACUCUCGUAUGAACCUCCCUCAUCACUCGAUCGGUCGAGGCGCGGUCUAAACACAAUAAUAGUAUCCCAUCAGGUGAUCGUCGGUACAAUGUCUCACCACAAAUCAUGAAUCGAGCUGCCAACUAUCUCAACGCUCUCUUAUCCUUGGUCGUGACGGCCUUAGGAUAUACACCAAGUGUCAGAAAGUGAUAUAUAUCGUGGUACCAUGGCAAACCAUCAUUUGGCUCUGUAUCAUCAAUCAAACAACAAUAGGUGGGAUUAGAUCUCGACUAAAUCAUCAAAGGGUGAACAAUGGCAUUGACAGGAAUAUCGAUCAUGGAAGCUAGAGCAGUUAAGGCAUCAGCAAACUAGUUCUGCGCUCUAGGCAGAUGUGUGUAUCUCAAAUCAUCAAAUCUCCCGACCAAUAGCUCCAAAUAUGCGUGGUAAGGCCCAAGCUUCACAUCUCUAGUCUUCCACUCGCCCUGAAUCUGUCUCAAUACCAAAUUGGAGUCACCAAACACCUCCAUUUACUAUAUCUCCAACCUUAGCGAAUGUCCCGUGCUCGUCGAUCUCAUCUGGGAAAUAGAGCGUCAUAAGGCUCAUGCGAUCGGGGGAUGAAGGGGCGGUCAAUGCAGAUGUGGAGGUGCCCAGAGGUUCGUCACUCAAAAGUAACUGGCGGAUAAGGCGCUGAAGCUCGGCCUCCUGGGUAAUGCUAAGCCCUCCAAUAAUCCCGUAUGAUUGGGUCGGUGGCUCCGAUGCCCUCACAAAAUAAUCUGCUAGGCUCAUGGUGUACGAGCGAACGGGAUAAUCGAAAGGUGUGUGAGUCAGUCGAGCUCUCACCCGCUCCCUGUGCAGUCGUGCCAUAUAUCUGUAGUCAGCCUCAAUAGGGACGAACUCGAGUCCGAAAGGUACAUCAUGAUCAGGAAUGGUCAUGAACUCGCUAGGCCCAUGCUGACGCCGCUCCAACCCCAUGCCGGGAAGAUAGGACAUGCCCCUCAUCAUAUUAAGCACCACUGUGCUCCCAUGCUGGUCAAAGGACAUAGCCACAAAGUCUCGAUAGAAGUCCUCCAUCUCAAGGGUCUGCACCUCGUCAAAAGUGAACUCGGUCAGCAGUAAGUCGUCGUCGCUAUGGUUGAUCUGGAGCAUUGGCUCAGCAGAAAUAAACAUGUCUCUUACAGACUGUACUGUGACAAUCUGUCCCUCAUGGAUGAAUUUCACUUUUUGAUGAAGUGAAGAAGGCAUGGCUCCGACUCGGUGAAUCCAAGGUUGGCCCAAAAGUAGGUUAAAGGAUGCAAGAAUCCUCAAAACCUGAAAUACGGUGACGAACGUGGUCGGACCUAUUAGGAGCUCAAUCUCAAGUGUACCCAUAACCUCCCUCCAAGUGUUGUCAUACGCUCGAACGGUCUGAGUGGAGGGAUCGAAAUCAGAGGGUGCAUAUCCAAGAGCGAUGGCGGUGGCCAGAGGACAGACGUUUAGGGCCGAGCCAUUGUCCAGAAGGACAAAUGGAACUCGGCGACCUGAACAACCAAUAGAAAUGUAGAGAGGACGUGUGUGGUCUGAGCUCUCCGAUGGCAAGUCAUCGUCAGAAAAUAUGAUGCAAGUGGCUCUGCCAACCAUCAUCAUGUGAAUCAGUUCCUCAGGGGUGGUCGUAGUAUUGACCCUAAUCUGGCUCAAAGCUCGAGUCAAGGCAUCUAGAUGAGUACUGGAAGAUGCUAGCAAACUCCAGAUGGAAAUACGAGCCUGAGUGCUCUGCCUCAAAAUCUCAUCAUCCUCUCUCCUGACCUCCUCCUAGGAUGACGUACCCUCUAAGGGUCUAGCGGCUGCAGGGGGCUGUUGGCGUACCACCUUACCUCCGCAGAUGACAUACUGUACAUCUGAAGUGUGAACAUCAUCGACAUACGGAGUCUGGGAAACAUCAACAUAUUGAGUCUGAACCUAAACAACAUCCAGAAUCAAAAGAAACGGAGUCCGAACACUGUAAUGUGGGAAAGUCAAUGGCUCGAUAAUGGUCGUCUGUACCAAUGUCAUCUCAAGGGUCAGCCUGAAUGGUGUGGACAUCCAAGGGCCCAAAGUCACUCUACCUAUCUCAUGAAUCUCGUCUGACACUAUAGGCUCUGGCUCUGGCUCAUCCCAACUCAACAUGUGGAUGUGAUUGUCAAGCUCAGCGAAGUCGAUGGAGUGCAUGCUAUCGGUCGGAGGAGGAACCGCAUGCGCGGUGUGGGCCGGUAGUGGGUUUUGGGUUACACUCAACUGACCCAAGUGAACCAAACCCUGAUCGAUCAAAUCCUGAACAACAUGCCUCAGAGUUGUGCAUCGAUCAAUCUCAUGUCCAAGCCCCUGAUGAUAGGCACAAUGUAAAUCCAUCCUGAACUGAGGAGGAAGAGGCUGAGGUGGUGGCCUCAGGGUAAGAACAGUCAAUAAUUCGGCCUCUAUGAGCUUCCAAAGAGCCUGGCUCAAUGGCAUGCUUAUCUGGGAGAAUUGUCUUUACGUCCUCAAAGAAAAUGGAGUAGAGGUCUGCUGAGCUCUGGGCUUGUGGUAAGAAGUAACGGGUGUCGCAGUGAAUUGUGCAGCGUAGCAUGGCUGUCUGGUGGCUGUAUAAGAAAUAGGAGGCUUCUCGAUGCCCUGAGUGGUAUAAUAAGGCAGAGCUAGUGUCUGAGGUUGGUAUGUCUAAUCAUAAGUCAGGCGAGGUGCCUGUGGCCUGUACUGCUGAGGCGUGUAAGAUGAACGAGCCUCGGGAAGCUGUGGGAUCGGCUGAUGGCGCCUAGGAGGCCUCUGACUAGAAGAACCAAUGACUCCCACAUCCACUGAUCUCUGUCCUCCAAAAGGUUUCUUCCCCUUGACAUCACUAGGGGAAGAAUCUGCCCACAAACCUCUCGAGAUGCCAUCCUCGACAUCGUAUAAUGCUAAGCCCAGAGAACCAAAAUCUACAAAAGGCACCCUGACCACAUGUCUGGCGAUCCUUGGCCGUAAGCUCUUCAGAACCACCUGUAUAUGAUCUCUAUCUGAUGGUCUAUCCACUAUCUCGGCUAUCUUCUCGUGCCAGCGGGAGAUGAACUAUGAAACAGACUCUUUUGCCCUCUGUCUUAGAGCCUCAAGCUCUCUCCUCAAUACAUCUACGACAGUGUUAAAUGAAAACUGUUGUAGGAACUCUUGGGCCAAGUCGUCCCAUGUCCGGCGUCGUGAGGACUCUAAAGAUGCGAACCAUGGCUGGGACGCCCCACUAAGAGAUAGCGGGAAUAAAGUGAUCAUCUGAGGCUUGUCCAAUCCAUGAGCCCUCAUCACUGUGCUAUAGAGUCGGAGGUGAAUGCAAGGACAACCAAUACUUAUGUACCUCUCAAUAUCCGACAUCCUGAACUUAGCCGGCAAACUGGCUACCGGCAUACCCUCAAGAUCAUCCCAAACAACGGAGCCAUCAAAUACCCUCAUCUGUCUCAUGUGCUACUCAAUACGGUCCAUGCGCGCAUGAGCGUCGCCAACAAUAGUGGCCUGGAUGACUGCGGGCGGAACAACCUCAGAAUGACUGUGUAGCACAUAAGGUGAAGCUUGAGGCACCGAAGGAACAGGUGGUGGCGGUGGAGGUGGCAACGAGUCAUGCAGCGUCUCAUCCUAAACUAUGGGCGGUCUACUUUGCUGACUGCCUAUCUCCUGCCUAAGACUGGCCAAGGCCUCCUGAAUAGAAGCCAUGGUGGCCAUAAAUUGGUCAACUGUGACGACCUGCUGAUCCAUGUCUAAUAUCUCUGAAAAUCGGACUAAUCUCCCCUCUACUCUGACCCAAUGAGGUAAGUCUAGAUUGAUAAGAAAGGUCUGAUCCUGAAAGUCUCCUCAUUUGCUCUGAUCCACGAAGCUAUAUCCAGGCUGAGAACAAAGGUCUGAUCCUACAAAGCACGAAGAACGUAAUAAGGAUACGACUCAGAGAAAGCAUGGAAGAAGUGGUAAUCUGAACGGAAACAAGUAAGCAUCCAAGUGAAGACGGACUGUCCGACCGUACUCAAACUCGUCCUGAUCUCGAUACACUCUCAAUCGGAGACUAAAAAGAGGGAAAAUCGGAUCCAAAUUAUAGCUAUAGAGGCUCUGAAGGCCCUUAGAUGCACCCACGUGUAAGGAGGGAGUCCUAGUCGAAGGAUCUACGGCUCAACCUACAAGGUAGAAGUGACUUUAAGAGGAUAAGGGUGGACUUUAAAAAAUCCCUAGCAGAAGCGAUCAUACCUUCCGGCGGUAUGCAACCCUCUGUACGCCUCAAAAGAAACGGGACGCUUCCAUGCAAGGUGGUUAUCACCUCCACACAUGCACUACCUCGACAUCUUAGGGGGGUUUCCUAUGGUAGAACUUCUCAAACUCUCAACACUCAAUGGUCAACUAGAGUGCACAGUGUGCUGUGUGGGUGCAUCUGAAAACCCUAUGAAGCUAAAAUGAAAAGGGAGACACUGGCCGCACAAAUAUCCAUGAAAUCUAGCUCCGAGCUAAACAAGUCUUCAAUGAUCGGACUCCAAUCGUCAUCAAUGUGUCGCUCUCUUCCAGAAUACUCCCAAACAUCGGUAUAGCCUGUCGCUGGACCCUACUCCUAACCUUUAGCUCAGUCAGAAUACAAGCACACACAAGGCCUCACACUUGCAAAAGUGAGAACCAAAAUAAAGGAAAUGACCGAAACCAGAGGGUGGGAGGUAAGAGGAUAAAUGUGCUACCCACACAAACAAGUGACAUGCAAUCAUGCAGAGAAGGGCAGUCAUGCGACAUGUAAUCAGGCAGAGUACAGGAUAUAUCACUCAUGUGCACAUACAAGCUAUGACAAUAAAAUGAAUAGUGAUAAAAACAGUAUGCUCAAGGAUGAUCAAGAUAAUAUACAAACAAAUGGAUCAACGUGUCGAGUCAAAUAAUAUACAGUGGCAAGUGUAUGCAUGUGAGGUGAUCAGGGUAAUCAUGGCAAAAUCAGAGUAUAUAUGCUAAGCAAUACAAGAUGAUCAAUCAGUAUAAUCAACAAUGUCGAUGUCUCAAACAAUAUAGCAAUGAAUCACAAAAGGAAUAGCUAUCUCAGAAUCCUCAAUCAAGACAAAUCAGUCAUCAUAAUCAGCAUAUCAACAUCUCAAACGGAUACAAUAUACGAGCAUGCAUAAAAAACUCUCAAUGUGCAAUCAAGAGAUGGGCAUCCAUUGAUCGGCCAAUCAAAUGCCACGUUCGCUUCAUCCUAGGUUCAAGCUUGACCCUCUAAAUCUUCCCCAGUGGAGUCGCUAUUUUAUGGACCCCGCAUUUCAACUCAUGCGUUCCCUACUUGGUGGCGAAACUCACUUUUAAUUUUAUUCGGUGAAAAUUUGAUUUUUGGGGAAAAGACUUGGAGUCGCCAUUUUGUGAACCCCGCAUUUCGACUCAUGCGUUCCCCACUCGGUGGAGAAACUCACUUUUAAUUUUAUUCUGUGAAAAUUUGAUUUUUGGGGAAAAGACUUAGAGUCGCCACUUACUUUUGUUUUAUUUUUAAAAGGGAAAACAAAAUAAGAAAGAAAACCUUGAGUGUGACUCCUCAUUUUGGAAAAGAUGGUCUUGGAAAAACCGGAUCGGGCUCGGGGGUCAGAUUACUUAUCGGGAAGGUAUGGUAAAGACCGUAGCACCCUUCUAAGUCCCUAAAGUCAGGUCUCUACUAAUAGAAUGAAGCCAACAUGGCAAUCAAUAAGAAAGUCAAUGGAUACCUAAGUCAAAUCAUGCACAUAUGGGAAUCGAAACAUGCAUAGAGAAUGAUCCGAAUGAAAGUGUAUGCGUACUUGGGUCACGAGCCACAAUGCGCUGUAUCUGCUCCUCUUAGUGCGAUCUUCUCCGUGCGUUUUUCCCUAUCCCUUCACUAGCUCUCUCUGGUAUCAUUUUUCCUCUUUUUUUUUAGCUUGCUCUCUAAGCCAACGAAAACCUCACUCUGUCACCUUUCACUCAGUCGUCCUCCCUAUCCCAUCUUGUCACCCCAUGCCGCCUUCAUUUCGGGUUCGUCAAAAGAGUAAUCAUAAUAAAAUGGCCAAAUUUCUCAUCUCUCAGGAAGGGGUCUACAAUAUGCCAUAUUUAUCAUCUAAAUUAUGUACUUUUUUGAAUAGUAAUUACAUGUUACACUAGGUAGAAUCAUGUUAACAUAUUAAAUGGAUUAGAAUUGUGUUAAUUGGUUUAAUGAAUGUUAAUAGGUUUAAUAGGUUAGAAUCAAAUUAACGGGGGUUACCUAUAUCAAUUCAUAUAGAGGUCAACUUAACCUAUUUAUUAAAUUAGUUAUGUUUAUAUCAAGUCAUUUUAACAUGAUGUUUAAACAAAUCAUAUUCCAAUUGAGUAAACUUUCACUAGUUUUUAUCUUGAUACAAUACAAAUCUAACAUAAUAUGACCCAUUGUCACCCUAGUUAAGGAGCAUAAGAGUGUUGCAUCAAGGAAGUGGAAGAAAAGCAUAGUGAUAUAAAACUUUAGGGAGUGGAAGCAUUUAAUCAAGUAAAGUUGUGUAACUUUUUUUUUUUUUCAUAAGUAGUGGAUUAUUCAAUUGUCAAGAGACCAACCAUAGUUUUUUUUUUUAUACCUAGGGAUUUCUAGGUGCUUUCCACAUUAAACUCUAUGUCAAAUUGUGUAAUCGGAAAUCUCAUGCAUGAGAUUGAUAAGAUAUUGAUGAUAAUUGAGUUGGAAUAAAAUAAUUUAACUUUGAGGGGUUAAUUGCUUGGAUUACCUAUUUACCCCUCCUUCAAGAAGUUCCAUAUCAAGAAAAAAAUUAUUUCAACAUAUAUAUAGAUAUUUUAUAUUUUCUAAUUUUAAAUUAAUUUUUAUGUUGGGAAAUUGAAUGAGGGAAUAGUUGGCUCAAUUUUUCAAGCUUGGCAAAAAAAUUUGUUGUUAACAUGUUAUUUUACCUUAUUUUAUACAUUUUUUUUGGAAUAAAAAUAUAUAAUCAACUACUCUUGUAUGAUUGAUUUAGAUGUUAGAAAAGGUUACAACCAUUAAUUCUAUUAAUUGACCAACAAUUUUUUAUAAACUUUAAGUUGCUAGCAUUCAUAUAUUAUCCUAAAAUUAUUAAUUAUAAUUUUAUUUAAGUUGAACCACAAAUCUUGGGUAAAUGAUGAAGUAUUUGUUAACAAGAUACUUGUUUAAUUAUAUUGGAAGUUUUUAGUUUGAUUUGUUGUUGUUGAAUUCAAAUUCCUAGAAGCUAGCUUUGAGGACUAGAUAGUUGUCUUGGUUUUUGUUAUAAGUUUGAUUUUUAUAUUGUUUUCAAACAUGAUGUGUAAAAUGUUAAUGGUAAUGAUGUUGAAACAUAGCUAAUGCUACUAGAAGAAUGUUGUAAAGAGUGCCUUUGGUGAGUUGGAUCGGGGGGGAAAGCUCCAUGACAAGCUCCAUUUAUUACAAAGGAUUCCUUCACAAACUCUCUUUGUAUGUUAUUAAGUUGUGAGUAGAAUUAUUGAAGUUGUAUAAACAAGUGGCAAUCUUGAUACGUCAUAAUGACACCAUUCGAAAAUUAUAUAAAUCUUAGCAGGUCUAAAGGUAUUUGUAAAACACAUUUGUAUUGCCUAAUUAUGGUCUUAUUGGAGAAUGAGUUAUUAUCAAUUUCAUGGAACAAAACUUUCAUUAGUCAAUAUUAUUUGAAGGUGAAAUCUUACUCAUAAAAUUUUUCAAUUAAAUUUAAAAGUUAAAAUUAUAAAGUAGAGAGUUAAAAUAACCAUUGAGCAUAGUUUAAAAUUUGAAUAUAAUGUGUUUAUUAUUGUAAUUCAAGCCCAAUAUUUAUUAUUUAUUAUUAAAAAUAUAAUUUAUAUUUAAGAUAAUUUAGCACAUUUGAACAAUGCUUUGAGAAUAAGAUUGGAGCAUCUAAUUUGACUAAUUGGAUAGCAAAUCAAACUAAUCCAAUCUUAUUUUUCAUAUUUUUCCACCUUCAAUUUUAAGAUAAAUAUGAACAAAAGUCUUUAUAUGAUUAUAACAAUAUAAACAAUAUAAACACUAAAAUAAUUAGUUUAACAUUAAAUAACAAAAAUCUUAUUUUAGUCUUCGACAUAUUGCUAUAUAAGUUAAAUAUAUAUGUUAGUAAAAUAAGAAAUAUUAAUAUAUUUAAAAUAUUAAAUAAUAAAAUCACAUUUUUUUGUUAUUAUUAAUAUUUAAUUAAUACAUUCUAAUUAAAUCUAAAAUAAAAACUUUACACAAAUUAGUAUAAAACCAAAUAUGAUCACCAUAAACCAACCUCAAUUAAAAAUACUUAAAUAUAUAAAAGUCAAAGUAAAUAAAUGAGAAAUAAUGCUAAAAGAUAUAUAUAUAUAUAUAUAUAUAUAUAUAUAUAUAUAUAUAUAUAUAUAUAUAUAUAUAUAUAUAUUAUUUUUAACUCCAUAUAUUAUUUUAAAUUUUAAUAAUAUAUGAAUUAUAUAUGCAUAUUGCCUUGCUGAUAUCAUGUUUCAAUUACUUGAACCAUCAGUUCAAUUAAGAAAGUUUAAUGCAAUAAUUUUUCGAUUCAAUAAUUAAUUAAUAAGAUUUUCAAAAUAUUGUAUUUGAAAACUCAUCACAAAAAAUGAAUAAAAAAGAUCAUGAAAUUCUUGCAAAGAAAACUUACUUCAUGAAAAUAUGGAAACCCCAAACCUUAAUUUCUUCAAUAAUAUGAAUCAAAAUUCUUAUAUUUAGGCAUCUUAGGAGAGAACCAAUAAUCUCAUCCACAAAUCAAGCAUAGUCAAUAGGCAAUUCUUAUGUUUAGGAGUAAUAUAUACAUACAUACAUAUAUAUACUGUGUAUAGAUGAUGUAUCUUUUGGAAAGUCAUGUAUAUAUUUAAAUGUUGUAAUGUAUAUCUUGCAUAAUAUAGUUUGACCAUUCAUCUAUUCAUUCAUUCAUCUUAUACUCUUGGAAAGAAAAGUAACUUCAUGAAAAUAUGGAAAUCUCAAACCUUAAUUUCUUCAAUGAUGCUUAUUAAAAUUUUUGCAAUAAAAAGUUGUGUAAUUGAGGACACUAAUGAUGCAAGGUUACAACUAGUCACUCCUAACCAGACUUAUUCUUAUACAUAUUUCCAUCUUCAUCUCAAGUCUGGGAGUCUACCUUUCCAUUUUAAGAAAAUUAAUUAUUCUUUUUAUUUUACAUGUAUUGAAAAAAGUAAAAGAAAAAAUAAGAUUGAGCAAUAUGAACCAAUCAAUCUUGACAUAUAUGUGAGAAGAUAAUUUAAAAGUGUAUUUGAUAGUGUUUAAUUUUGAAGUGUUUUUAAUUUUAAUAAAAGUAUUUUCUUUAGAAGUGAUUUUGAGAUAAUUACCUAUUAAAAGUGCAUUUGAUAAUGAUUUUAAAAUAGUGUUUUUAGUUUUUUAAUACUUGAAAAAUAAAAAUUUUCAAAUAUUAAAAAGAAUAAAAAUAUUUCCUAAAAUUAUUGUUAGACGCACUUUAAAACCCCGUUUAGCAGUGAUUUUAGGAAGUGUUUCUAAACUUUUUAGUACUUUAAAAUUUGUAUUAUUUAAGUGUUAGAAAUACUAGAAACGUUUUCUAAAAUCACCAUAAAAUGUAUUCUAAGAGUGUGUGUGAUAGUGAUCCUUGGAAAUGUUUUUAACAUUUUUAAUACUUAAAUGAUAAUAAUUUUCAAAUGUUAAAAGGUUAUAAACACUUCUUAAAAUUACUAUAAAACGGGUUCUAAGUGUUUCUUCAAAAAACACCACAAAUGAUUUUUUUAUCUGUUUAAAAGUGUUUUCUAAAUUUUAUUAAAUACUUAUUUUUCUCCAAAAAUAUUUUUUAAGGUAGAAGUGCUUUUUUAAAAAUAAUAUCAAAUGGACGUGUAAGUCUUAAAAUAAAAUCCCUUGAUUUAAUUAUACUUUUCAAAUCCAUCCUAUAAGCCUAAGCAUUCUUGAAAUACCCACCCCUGUUAUAAUACAAAAGCAAACCACCACUAAGGAUAUUUAAACAACAUUUUAAAGACAAUCGGAACCUAUCAAUGAGACUUUGUCUCAUAAUACAAAUUUCGUUAUGUUCACAUGUAGAAAGGGACAAAUAAUACAUAAAAACUAAAAAUCAUAUACAAUAGAAAGCUUGGAAUCAAGAGGGAAGAGAGCAAAGUUACGAAGUGGUGGAGCCUUGGUAAAAUAAAAUUAACAACGGCAUUUUCAUGUGCGUGUCUCAUCGCUGGAUGGACCGAAUUUUGCUUCUCCCAAAACUCUUUAAAUAUUGGGAGAAUUGUGUUUUGGCCCAAUUGUCCCAAAAAUUAAUAUUUGGUCCUCCAAUCAUCCAUAAUUGAUAAUAAGGAUAUGAGAUAGUAAUUGACAAAAAUACCCGCUUGACUCAUUUUUGUCUUUAUUCUACUACUUGUCACUAUUCUUUCUUAUUUAACUAUUUUUGGAUUUUCAUUUUUUUAAAACUCUUUUAUAAAUAAUUGAAAAUUUAAUAUUAUUUUUAUUUUUAAAUUAUAAAUAAAAAAAAAUUAUAUUAAUGAUUCAAAGACUAUUUAGGAAAAUACUUUCUAAAAAAAUAUUAAUUUAAAUAAAUAAAAAUUAUCUUUUACAUUUAUUUUUAUAGUUUACAUUUUAGAAGUAAAUAAUUUAAUGAUUAAAAUACCAUUUAAAAUAAAUAUAUUUACUAUUUUAAUUUUUUUUAUACUAAAAAGUAUUUUAAAGUUUUUUUUUUUUACUAUUAUAAAAUAAAAAGUUCAUUUUUUUUUUAAUCUUCUUUCUUCCUUAUUUUAAUAACUUUUUGAACAUGACUUUUAGUAAUAAGUUAUAUGGAAUGCUACAAAUUUGUUUAUUAAGGAUUUUUUUUUAAUGAUUUGAAUUAAUUGAAAAUUUAUUAAAAUAAGAAAAAGAAAAAUAAAGAAAGAGGAUUGAUGGAGAGUUUUUAUUUUAAGUACUCGAUUAAAAGAGGAUGGACGUAGAGUUUUUAUUUUAAGUAUUCAAUUAAAAUGUUUUCAUAUGACCUACUUUUAGAAGUGGAUUAUAUCAAUACAUAGUAGAGAUUGAAUUUUUUUUUUUAUAUAUAAAAGGGUUGAAAGGUAUAUUUACUUGUUUUAGAUGAAAACAAGUAACUAAAAAUUAUAUAGAUCAUAUUUGAGUUUGGUUUUAAAAUAUUUUUCUAGUUUUUAUUUUAAUUUAUUUUUAUUUUCUAUAUUGUCUCUUUUUGAAAAUAUGUUAAUUAAAAAAUGAAAACUAUUUUUAAAAAUGAAAAUUGAAAACCUUGUUUGGUAAUUUUUUUUUAUAUAAAAAAAAUUAUUUAUUAAUUUAUUGUGUCAUUGUACAAUUGUAUUACAAUAACUGUACUAAAGACGUACAAGACUACCAUUUAUGAAAUAUUAUAAUAGAUUAUGAGUCAUUCCUUUGUUUUUCUACAUGGACACAUAACUUAAGAGGGAUAUGAAAUUUGUGUCAUUGUACAAGGGUAUUACACUAACUGUACAAAGGAAAUGUACUAAUUGUACAAAGGUGUACAAAAUCAUCUUUUGUGAAUUAUUUUAAUAAAUUCUAAACCACUUUUUUUUUCCUUGUCACCCAAGGAUUGUAUGCCUAUGUCAUGCAUUUUAUUUAACUCUCAUAUGAGAAUUCUAAUAUUUUCCCUAAUAAUGAUAUUUGGGGAAAAAAUUGACCCUAAGUCCUCUACCAUUUUCUUAACCAAACAAUUGAAAAUAUGAUUAAUACACCUACAUAAACAUAUAAGUUAUGACAAAUAUGAAAUUUGUGUCAUUGUACAAGGAUAUUACACUAAUUGUACAAGGGAAAUGUGCUAAGUGUACAAGGCUCCUAAUAGGUUUUGUACGAUUGUUAAACAACUUGAAUUUGAUAUUAAGACGAUUAUUGAUAGUUUUUUUUUUCUUUUUUUUAUCAAACUAUUUCAUUUAGACAUUCCCUACAAAAAUUAACACAUAGGAAAUAAAAUUAAAAUCAAUCAUGUUUGAAUUGUUCAUUAUAAGUAAACUAAAUGAAAUAUACAUUUUUACUAUUUUUCCUUUAUAAACAUAAUUUCUUUGUUAUCAAUAGAGAUUAAAAAAAAUCAUAUUUAAAUGGAAUUAAAAAUAAACAAAAAUUAUUUUUAUAACAUUUUUAUUUUUUAAAAUCAUUAAUUUAAAUUAUGAAAUUAGUUUUAAAAUUAAAAAUACUUGUUGUAAUUAUAGUUUUGAAGAUUUCAUGAUUUUUAUCUUAUUACUUUGAAAAAAUUGUUUUAAUAAGAAAGUAUUUAUUUUAAUUAUUUUAAAUAUUUAAAUCUUUAUUAAAAAAUAUUUAGAAUUGGUGUGGAGAGCAAUUAGAUAAUUUUGGAAAGGAGAAAUUUUGAAUAUUUUGAAGAAUUUAAUUCGGCAAAUUACCAUAUUUACACUUUUUAAAAUAUUUUGGAAUGGAGAAAUUUUGAAUAUUUUGAGAGCAUAGUUCAAAGAAUUGAAAGAUUUUAAUCAAUUUUAGACAAUAGUUUUUUUUUUUGUCUUGUCAUCUAAGGAUUGCACACUCUUAAGGUACACAUUCCUCUAUUACACACUCAUCUUAUGCACUUUAUUUAACUCGCACAUGAUAAUUCAAAUACUUAUCCCACUAAUGAUGUUUGAAAGAAAAUUUUGUUUUUCCAUUUUCCACUAUUUUUUGAAACAAACCAAUGAAAACAUGGUUAACCUACCUAUGGUUAUACAUUGAGUAGCAGGUAUAUGGAAUUUGAGUCACUGUACAAGGUAUUUACACUAAGUGUACAUGAAAAAUUUACUAACUGUACAAGAGUGUACAAGAUUAUUAUUUGUGAAGGAUUUUAAGUGAUUCUGAAAAAUUUGUUUGUUUAUUUCCCCUAACCGAGGAUAAAUGACAUUCAUUACACACAUUAAUUAAGCAUACAUUCAUCUCAUGCGCUUUAUCUAAUUUGUAUAUGGUUAUUUGAAUAGGUACCUCACUUAUGAUGAUUGUAAAACAAAAUUCUACAACAAUUUUUCUUCUUUUUUAAAACCAAACCAAUGCAAACAUGGUUAACUGACCUAUUGUCAGAUAUUCAUGAGAUAAUCUAUGAAAUUUAAGUUAUUGUACAAGGGUAUUACACUAACUGUACAAGACAAAUUUACUAAUUGUACAAGGGUGUACAAGAUUACUUUUUGUUAAGGAUUUCAAGUGAUUUUGAAAAACUUUCAUAUUUUUUUCCACUCAAAGAUUUUUUUCCCCACUCAAAUUCUCUCACUCAAGAAUUGUUUCGAAUUUUAUUUUUAAAUUUCAUCAUCAAAAUUUUGUAAUUGCAUAUUUUGUUUUUGUAGUUUUAGCAAUGUUCUUUCUUUUCACUUUUUUUUUUUUUUUUUUUUUUUUUGUGAAAUUUUAUCGAAAUGAAUCUAGAUUUAAAAUUAUAAUCAUAUUUAUCAAUUUUUUUUACUAAGAUUAUCUUUAAUUCUUUUAAUAUAUUUAUACUCAUUUAUUUAAAAAAGGAAAAACUAAUUUUUUUUUUUUUUUUUUGUAAACAUAUUCUAUUACCUUUCAAGUAAAAAAUUAGAUAAGUUUGAAAGUCAACAAAAAAAAAUUAAAUACCACUUUCAAUAAUUUUUAGAUAAAAUUUUAUAUAAUAUAUUUUAUUUGAAAUUUAAUUUUUAAAGUUUAACUAAAAAAUUAUAUUGACAAUUUUCUAGUUAUGAGUCAAAAUACUUUGCAUUAGUAUAUCUAUAUAAGAAAAAUUAUUAAUAUAAUAUUAUAACCUCAUAUCUUAGUUAUUUUUUUUCAAUAAAUUUAUCUUUUUAAAAAUUUUAAAAUAAAAACAUUAAAAAUUAAAAAGCUAAAAAGAUAUAUAUAUAUAUAUAUAUAUAUAUAUAUAUAUAUAUAUAUAUAUAUAUAUAUAUAUAUAAUAAAGUGAAGUGAUAGUUAAUUUUAAUUUUUUUUUAAAUAUGGUUAAUGUAGAAAAUAUAAAAAUAAUUAAAAAUAAGAGAAAAAUAUAAAUGAAAGGGUAAUAUAAUUUUAAAAUAAAUAAUAAUAAUUAAACUAAAAGAUAAAUAUAAAAAGAUAAAAAAUAUUUGGAUGAAAAAUCCCAAAAUUUUUAUCAUUGCUUUUAAUAAGAGCAAAAAGAUUGAAUAUCUUUAAAAAUGAAAAAUAAAAAAAUAUUAUUACUUUUUAUUUGACAUAAAAUAGAAAUAUAUAUUGGAAUAAAAAGAAAAAAAAAGUUAGAAAUGAGUAAUACUUAAUAGGGAAUAGAAAAGGAAAAAAAACAUAAAAAAAAUUGAAAUUCACACUCACUUGUAGACAUAUAAGGGAUAAGGGUAUUUUAGGAAUUAAUGAAAGACAAUAUCCUUCAUCUUAAUUUUCAUACUUUGUUUGAGUCUUGGGUUUAAAUAUGCAUGAUAUAUGGACUAAAUGUUAAUUUUUGAUCCCAGCUGGCCCAAAAUACAAUUCUCCCUUAAAUAUUAUAAUUAGAGCCCACUUGAUGCUUAGAAAAAUACAUUUGCAAGUGAUCUCCAUCUGUCAAUCAAUUAAUCUAUACAAUAUUAAAAAUUCACUUCUUGUUGAUUUAGCAAAAUCACUUUGUUGGGGGUGGCCUGUCUCCGAUGUUACUCAAGUUUCAACUCUGGACUUUUCAAAUUAACAAAGUGCAGUGAUUCAUCUUUCUUCUUUGUUCCAUUUUUGGCUGAAUUGUAAUCCUUUUGUCUGUAACUUACGGAAAGCUAUGGAGUUUCUGAGCUCGAUCGUGGGUCUGGUCCCCUGCUUCUAUGAUCACACCUCCAAGCAUACGGUCUACAUUCGUGAUCUGAGAAAAAAUCUCCAAGCCUUGAGGAAAGAAAUGGUGGAUCUGAACAACUUGUACGAAGAUAUGAAGGCAAGGGUUGAACGUGCAGAGCAACAAGAGAUGAAGCGCAGAAAGGAAGUGGGUGGGCGGAUCUGUGAAGUAGAAGACAUGGAGAAAGAAGUUCACGAAAUUCUGCAAAGAGGAGAUCAAGAAAUCCAGAAGAGUUGUCUAGGAUGCUGUCCCAGGAAUUGUUGGUCUAGCUACAGGAUUGGAAAGGCGGUAAGUGAAAAGCUGGUUGCUGUAUCUGGUCAAAUCGGCAAAGGACAUUUCGAUGUUGUAGCCGAGAUGUUGCCUCGUCCUCCAGUUGAUGAACUGCCCAUGGAGGCGACUGUGGGCCCACAAUUGGCAUAUGAAAAGAGCUGUAGGUUUCUCAAAGAUCCACAAGUGGGAAUUAUGGGAUUGUAUGGAAUGGGGGGUGUUGGCAAAACCACCCUCUUGAAGAAAAUCAACAAUGAAUUCCUCACAACAUCCAAUGACUUUGAGGUCGUGAUUUGGGCUGUGGUGUCAAAAUCGCCCGACAUUGAAAAAAUUCAGCAAGUUAUUUGGAAUAAAUUGGAAAUCCCACGUGAUAAAUGGGAAACUAGAAGCAGUAGGGAGGAGAAGGCUGCAGAAAUAUUGAGAGUUUUGAAAAGAAAAAGGUUCAUCUUGUUGUUGGAUGACAUUUGGGAGGGACUUGAUCUCCUAGAAAUGGGGGUCCCGCGUCCAGAUACUGAAAAUAAGUCCAAGAUAGUUUUGACGACCCGAUCACAGGAUGUCUGCCACCAAAUGAAAGCUCAGAAGAGUAUAGAAGUGGAAUGUUUGGAGUCAGAAGAUGCCUGGACUUUGUUCCGGAAGGAGGUAGGAGAAGAAAUAUUAAAUUCUCAUCCGGAUAUACCGAUGCUUGCAAAGGUUGUUGCUGAAGAGUGCAGAGGUUUACCUCUCGCUCUUGUCACUCUUGGGCGGGCCAUGGCAGCUGAGAAAGAUCCCUCAAACUGGGACAAGGUAAUACAAGAUCUACGCAAAUCUCCAGCUGAAAUCACAGGUAUGGAAGAUAAAUUGUUUCAUCGAUUGAAACUCAGUUAUGAUAGGUUGCCUGACAAUGCCAGCAAAUCUUGUUUUAUAUAUCAUUCCAUCUUCCGAGAGGACUGGGAGAUUUAUAAUUAUCAACUUAUAGAACUUUGGAUAGGGGAGGGGUUCUUGGGUGAAGUUCACGACAUACAUGAAGCACGGGAUCAAGGGAAGAAAAUUAUUAAUACUUUAAAGCAUGCAUGUUUAUUGGAGAGCUGUGGUUCGAAAGAAUAUAGGGUUAAGAUACAUGAUGUGAUCCGUGACAUGGCUUUAUGGUUAUAUGGUGAACAUGGGGUGAAAAAGAACAAAAUUCUAGUAUACAAUAAAGUUGCUAGGCUUGAUGAAGAUCAAGAAACUUCCAAAUUGAGAGAAACAGAGAAGAUAUCAUUAUGGGAUAUGGAUGUUGGGAAGUUCCCAGAAACAUUGGUGUGCCCCAAUCUUAAGACUUUAUUUGUGAAAAAAUGUCAUAAUUUGAAGAAAUUUCCAAAUGGAUUCUUUCAAUUCAUGCUUCUACUUAGAGUUCUGGAUUUGUCAGACAAUGAUAAUUUAAGCGAGUUGCCAACUGGGAUUGGUAAAUUGGGUGCCUUGAGGUAUCUUAAUUUGUCAUACACAAGAAUAAGGGAGUUGCCCAUUGAACUAAAGAAUUUGAAAAAUCUGAUGAUUUUGAUUAUGGAUGGUAUGAAAUCCCUUGAAAUUAUUCCACAAGAUAUGAUAUCAAGCCUUAUAUCCUUGAAGUUGUUCUCCAUUUAUGAAUCCAAUAUUACAAGUGGAGUUGAAGAAACUGUACUGGAGGAGUUGGAGUCCUUGAAUGACAUCAGUGAGAUAUCAAUCAUCAUAUGCAAUGCUCUUUCAUUCAACAAACUAAAGAGUAGUCAUAAAUUACAAAGGUGCAUAUGUCAUCUAUAUUUACAUAAAUGGGGGGAUGUGAUCUCACUUGAACUGCCUUCUUCAUUUUUUAAAAGAACGGAGCAUUUGCAGCAGCUUAAUAUAAGCCAUUGCAAUAAAUUGAAAGAAGUGAAAAUUAAUGUGGAAAGAGAAGGGAUACACAAUGGUAUGACUCUUCCAAACAAAAUUGCAGCAAGGGAGGAAUACUUCCACACCCUUCAUCGUGUGGUUAUAAUUCAUUGUUCAAAAUUGUUAGACUUAACAUGGCUUGUUUAUGCUCCAUAUCUUGAAGGACUUUACGUUGAAGAUUGUGAAUCAAUAGAAGAAGUGAUACGUGAUGAUAGUGAAGUCUGUGAAAUUAAGGAAAAAUUGGACAUAUUCUCAAGGCUCAAACACCUCGAGCUCAAUAGGCUGCCAAGAUUGAAGAGCAUCUACCAGCAUCCACUACUCUUUCCCUCUCUUGAAAUCAUCAAGGUGUGUGAAUGCAAAGGUUUGAGGAGCCUCCCAUUUGAUUCCAACACUUCAAAUAAUAGUCUAAAGAAAAUUAAAGGAGAGACAAGUUGGUGGAAUCAGUUGAAGUGGAAAGAUGAAACUAUCAAGCACUCUUUUACUCCAUAUUUCCAAAUCCGUGAAGCUGAAGCAUAUUCAACAGACACUGGCAGCAUAGAUGAUAUGCAGGAACAACCAGUAUCAAAUUAACUUCUAUCAAUCUUUCAGGUAUUAAUUAACUUUUAUACUAUAUUUGGAAAACCCUUUUCUUUCCUUAAUCCCAUUCUUUUGUGGAAUUUUUUACUCUAUCUAUGCCAAAGUGCAUCAAAGUCUCAACAUCAAAAUAACUUUCAAUGUUUGAUCUAUCAAGUUUGCCCCUUUUGAAGUAACUGUUAUAAAGUUUGCCCAGAAGGGACUUUGAAGGAGGUCUUUUAUUUAAACAUCUAAUGACAUUUCCUUUUGGUUACUUGAGAACUUGAAA